rnacentral:lncRNA from 1 species
UGCCAAAGAAGAAUGAGAAGAAGCCCGAAAAAAAGCAAAAAGGAACAUAACCUCCGAUACGAUAAAGAGAAUAAAACCAUAUCGAAGUCCUAAUUGUACGACUUUGGUAUGAUGUCCUUCCAACGUGGAUUCACGUAGAACAUCGCGCCACCAUACGAACAUGGUAUAUAGGAGAAAUAUGAGGCCCAAACUGAGAAGUCUUGCACCCCCUUGAAAUGAGUGCAUGUACAUCACACCUCCUACGAUGGUUGCCAAAUGAUAAGAAUGCCUUUGAGAUUCAAUCACAAACCACUUUGCCUCGGUUGUAUGUAAACCCCCCCUUCACCCCCACCCGCUAAAGUGGUAAAGAAGGGCUCUUUGGGGUCUCAUUUUCUUUCUAUCUGACAGGACUAAAAAAUAGGAAGGGAUGGUUCUUUCAUUGCAUUGAUAGAAGUCUAACUAGAAAAAGAUCUUGUUGCUUUGAUCGAGCCCUAGGCUUUCCUUGGAUAGAUCCCUCUAUAUUCCAACUGAUUUAUGGCGUAGAAGGCGGGAAUAGGAAUCACUCAUAUUGCAUUGAGCCUUAACAGUCCGGAGGACUAUCCCGCUCCGUGGGAUUCUUUUAGCCUCACAAUAUUCUUUGCACCUAUCCAUCCACGCAAUAUUCUUUGCACCUUCGCUCCAAAUAAAGUAAUAGCCGCAACUCAAUUCAUUCAGCCUUCGCCUAGAAAUUCACUUUGCGACCCACUCCGUAAGCCCACUACACGAGAAGAAAGAAUAUCCUUAGCUAUUUAUCUUUAUUAUCUCUUCUCUGAGAAUAUCCUCUUAUUCUACUAUUAGAAGAAUAUCCUACUUUCAGUUUCUAGUCAAAGAAAGGUCCAGGCGCAGGCGCAAAGAAUAUUGCGAGGUGCAGUCUAAUGGAUAGGACUGAGGGCUCGACUGAAAGGAGAGAAGGCGCAAUGAAAUAUGCGAGGUCCAUAUUCCGACUGAGGAACUGAAACUUCCGCGUAGUGCUUCCCUUGUUCAUUGAUAGUAAUCCUGAAGUUUCUUCUUGGCAUCAAAAUAGAUCAAUGAAAGAGGACUAAAAAUAAGACGAAAGUACUUAUGACGGCUUUCCUUCCCAACAAAUCUUCGUUCUUAGUUAUUUGAUUCCACUUUCAAACUUUCUGGGAGUUGUCUUCUCCUAGGCUUUCUUCUUUCUGGCAGUCUUCUGCCUUGCCGUAGGGAGUAGGUUCAGGAGAACCAUAACCAUAAAUCAGAGAGACGGAGGCAUCAAUCACGCAAUAUUCUUUGCACCUCUUCCUUUAAGCUAUAUUUUUUAGGCUCCGGAGGCUCAAAGACAGGGAUAUUGUUGAAUACUAUUAGUUCGAGUCGCAGAGAGCAAAGAAUUUUCUCUUAAUGGAACUUAGCGCGGGUUAAUAUGGAUAGGACUGAGGUCUUAAGACUCCUAACUAUUAAUGGAAAGGACCCACGGAGCGGUGCAAAGAAUAUAUAGAAGGGCAGACAGGUCCGGAGGACCUGUCUGUCCUUCGGUCUUAAUACUCCUAACGUCGAAUAAGAAGCUGGAGGCUGGGUCCAGGUGCAAAGAAUAUUGUGUCCAUUAGAUCCAUUGAAUUAGGCGAAGGAUUUUAUCAAGCUUAGCUUUCUGGAUUCUUCGGCGGAGUGGGGCUUUCUCUAGUAGGUCUGGAGGCUCAAAGAAUGAUCAAAGGCUCCGAACCAUAAAGAAGAGAGUCGGAGGACAUCCAUUGACUUUUUCUUCCUUUCACUUCUAACUUCAAACCUUUCAUAUUCAACCUUGAAAAUAAAGGAGGGAGCGGACUACGGAGGCCAUAAGUUUGAGUUCCUCAGAUGUAUAAAAACAAGUCCUCCGGACGACCUAUCCACUGAAAGUAGCUACGUAGUCUUGUCUCCUUCCCCGCGUAGUGGGCAUUGACUUCUUCAUUGAUUUUCUUCUAUCUCCCACGUAGCGGUUGAAUAUGAAAGGAAGCCCACAGAGCUGAAGAUGGAGCGGGAUAAUAAAGAAGAAAGCUCAAAAGGAGGGAGCGGACCUCAAUGAACAAGGGGAGGACUCGUUUUCAUCCUUAUGGAAGAAAAAUCUCUUUUUUUUAUCUAAAAGACGUAGAAGGAGGCUCAAUGUCUAAUCUUUCUCUCAAAUCAAUAUCCCCAGUGCAAAUAUUCCAGCAAUAUUCUCAAUAUGAAAAGAGCCUUUCUUCUUUUCUUAGAUAAAUGCGCUUCGUAGAUUAUGCUGAAGGAGGAGUGGGCCAUGAUCUUUGCUCCUUAAUUUCCCUAAUGGAUAGUCAUCUGGACCUUUCUUUUUAGUUCUUUGCGCUCGUCAACGCAUAUUUCAUUGCGCCUUCGCCUUCAAUGAAAUCCAUAAAUAAAUAAGGGUAGAUUUCAGACUCAAGAGGAGGGUUCCUUAUCAAUAUCAAUGAGACGGAUAGGCUUUCUUUUACAUUCCACAGGUCCGAAGGACUAUCCAUAUUAACAUGUCUGUCCUUCGCCUAACUAGUUCAUAUAGACCUUUGUUUUUCUUCCGCAGUCACUAAUAUGGAUAGUCCGGAGGACCUCCUUCAGCAUAAUCUAUGAAUGAUCGGAGCAAAGAAUAUUGCGGAAAAGAAGAAAGGAGUGCAAGCGAAAAAUAAUGGAUUGAAUAGUCCUUCGGACGAACUACCGCACUUGGGGGAUAUUGUUGAGAAAGAAUAUUGAAAAAGAAUGAUCGAAGAAUAUUGAAAAAGGACGGAGGAUAGGCUUUCUUUGAACAAUGUGGAUGUAUCAAAGAUUCCACAGGUUAAUAUGGUAGAUUUCAGACUAGUCCUUCACCUUGGAUCUGGGGACUAUUCUCUGUUCUAAUAGACAUAGAGGAGAGGUUCAAAGAAUAUUGAGAAUACUCGUGCAAGCGCAAUCAAUGAACAAGGUGAAAAGAAUAAAAAAAAGGCGGUCGAUGAUCAGGAAGAAAAAGUCAAAAGUCUAUCCCAUCUUCUUCGUUAGGCGCAAAGAAGAAAAACAAGGUGCAAAGAUCUAUGGCCCAAUUAUAAGGGGUCCAGAUGCACCAUAAGACUGGUCCGAAGGACUAUCCAUAUUAACCGGAGUCUUCAACAAGAUUUCCAACCCUGAAUAUUAAGCUACUGAGGCCCAAUAUUGCGAAGGAAGAACUGCGCCAUAAGACAGGUCCGAAGGACUAUCCAUUAGGGAAUGAGACGGAGGUAACGUUUGGUUUUUUGGAAAACUUGUUGGUCGCGGAUUAGUGCGUUUUUUUUGGAAAGUAACAAUUCUCUUCAGUUUGGUUUCAGAAAACUUGUUGGUCACGGAUUAGUGCGUUCUGCGCCGCCUGGUGUCACGAACAUAUUUUUCCAAAGUGUGUUUACCUUUGGUUAUAUGCUCCGAUUACCCCCAGUUUAUCUCAUCUUUAGUUUGCAUAACUAGUUUAGCUGAUUGCUUUUCAUUCUAGGUCAUAAAGCUUGGGUGUGACGUUUCGGCAUUUUCAUAUGCAAGCCUGCCAGAGAGGAAAAUGUUCAAAAUGUACUAUAGGGGAGGCAUACCAGUUGAAUCCCCGCCCAAGCAUUAGUUGUACUCUUUGCAAGCAACCCUUUUUCCUUGCAAUUGACAGUCUUUAAUGCUUAUUGUAACGUCUAUUUCAAUGUAUUUCUUUCUUUCCCGUGUUUUAUAAAUAAAAUGUCCCUAAAACGCAAACGAAGGUUACGACAUACAUCGACGUUACCCACAACUCUUGGAUAUUGAUCGACUGACUUGUUCAUCGAGUUAGAACAAGUGCCGCACAAUCGUCCGUCUCGAGGUUGAAACGCUACGAUUGUGACAAGUGGUAUCAGAGCCAAAGUUGGCUGAGUGACAGUUUUGACAAAAAUAAAAUGUCGACUGCAAAACGAGCGAGCAAGACCCAUGAAGAACGGUUGGUGGGGAUCGAAGUGCAGAUGCUCCACCUGAUGGAAGUUCCUGAUUCCAUCCGGUUCUUGGAAUAGCGGCUUGAGGAUAUUGCCAAGAAAGCUGAUGGCAUUGAAGCCGUGUCCGGUCGCCUUGACGGACUACCCAUCCAAGAGUUACUGACUAGAGUCGACACUCUAGAGUCCCGAGUUAUGAGAACGGGAAAUGUCACCUACGAGCGUGGGGACAGUUCAUCGGGCUCUGUUGCCCAGAUGGAAGAACGAGUUAUGGAGCUUGAUAACUCGCAAAAGAACAUGUUGGAGAUGAUCAGCGCAUGACAAAGGAUUUUCGAGCAACCCUCGAUGUCGUGAGGAAUGAGCUCGCAGAGGUAAGCACGAGGGUGAACCUUACUAUGCGAGCACUAGAAAAUCAGGCUCUAGCUGGAGGAGCCAUUCCUGUGGGCAGAAUCAAGAUUCCUGAGCCCAAGCCCUUCUGUGGGGCGAGAGAUGCCAAGGCGUUGGAAAACUUCAUCUUUGAUGUCGAGCAGUAUUUCAAAGCCACGAACACAAUUACUGAAGAGGCCAAGGUGACGUUGGCAACCAUGCAUCUGUCAGAAGAUGCGAAGUUAUGGUGGAGGUCCCGAUACAUGGACAUUCAAGAAGGGCAUUGCACAAUCGACACGUGGGAUGCCCUAAAAGGAGAACUCCGUUCGCAAUUUUCCCUGAGAAUGUCGAAAUUCUGGUCCGACGGAAGCUGCGUGAAUUGAAGCACACGGGGAACAUUCGGGACUACGUGAAACAGAUUGCGGGGGUAAUGUUGGAUAUACGCGACAUGAUCGAAAAAGAUAAAAUAUUCAGCUUUGUUGAAGGGUUGAAGCCAUGGGCAAGGACUAAGCUAUACGAGCAGAAAGUCCAAGACCUCGUGUCAGCCUAUGCAACAGCUGAACGUUUGUUUGAUCUGUCUAAUGACGUUCAAGAGACAAGACAUCAUUGAAGCUCUUCACCUGGAAGAGACAGAAACAGCCGACUGAAUUCUCCCGAAGCUGUCAGUAGAAAUAAAAGUCCCGGCAGAGACCGCAAGCCCUUCCAGUCAAAUACGGGGAACACCAGGCAAAGGCCCACUAGUCAAAGGACCUCCCACACUCCUAUCAGUUGCUACAUUUGUAACAGGCCACAUCGGACAAGGGAAUGUCCGGAUAAAGCGGCCUUCUACGCCUUCCAGGCCUCUCUGGCUACAGACUUAGGUGACAAGUUGGGUCAACCAGAGAAUGAAGGUGGGUAGGUGGAGGAAGUCCAAAACGUUAGAGUAGGGGCCAUAAGACUCUUGUCGUUCCUUCAGAAUAAAGCAGGGGAGACAAGUGGUCGUACAAAAGGGGGCCUAAUAUAUGUGGACACCUGGAUCAACCGAAGGCAUGCAAAGAGCACUAUGGUUGACUUCAGUGCAACCCAUAAUUUUAUAACGGUGGCGGAAGCCAGACGAUUGAACCUUCACUAGAAGAAGGAUACAGGAAAGAUGAAGGCCGUAAAUUCUACAGCUUUACCCGUCGUCGGAGUAGUGAAACGAGCGGUGAUACAGUUGGAAAGAUGGAACGGCCUUGUUGACUUUGUGGUUGUGGGCAUGGAUGACUUUGAUGUAGUUCUCGGAAUGGAAUUCCUUCUUGAACAUCAAGUGAUCAUGAUGCCUGCAGCCAAAUGUCGGUGAUCACGGGAUCUACCCCCACCGUUAUGCAGAUACCCCCACCAUUAUGCAGAUAGAACUCCGGCAACCCAAAGGAUUGAGAAUGGUCUCGGCCAUGCAACUGAGGGAGGGCCAUAUUCAGGAAGACACAAGGCGUGUCGUGGAGAGACGUUGUGAUGGGAAACAGGAUAGUUUGCCCAUGUCAGAAUCGCCUACGAGAAAUGAUCAUCGUAUGGCGCAAUCAAAAUCAUCUGGACUCAGGAGACAGUCAAGGAGACUGUCAGGUGCAGGAUCCACUAGACCUGCGAGAGAUCCGUAUCAAGCACAAGACUUCUUACGGAAGGAAGAGAAUGGACAAUUGUGUGUCAACAACCGUGUCCUAAAGCAAGCCCCGAGGAGAGGGCCAACUUUUGAGUCCGUGAGUGGGACUCAGCCUGUUGAAGCUUACGCUAAGGCAUAUGGUCCUGUGUCAGGUGGCAUCCUAAUGCAGAAUGGACACCCUGUCAAAGCUGAGAGUCAGAAACAAAGUGCCGCAGAAGGUAGUUAUACGAUGUUUGGAAAAGGAAUGCUGACCACGAUACGUAGUCUGAAGGAUGGAAGACAACAUUCCCAGGGGUCUACACAUGGAAGAGAGACGAACAACAUUGCGACCAACCGCUUUGAUACUCGGCCGAAGUGGGCUUUGAGUCAAGAAAAGUGGCAGAGGGACGUGUCAAGGGAAUCCUUGCAGAAAAACUCUGUCAUUGAAGUUGAUGUAAGUCUGGCGGAGACCAGUCAGGUGGAAGAAAAGAAUGGAGUUCAAUUGUGGAAGCUAACCCAAUCUUAUGUUAAUGCUGCAAUGAGUUCGUCAAUGGAUGGAAACCAGUUUGUGGGUGUUUGUGGCGGACAUUCUGUACAGUCCCGCCUUGUUGGUCCCUCCUAUGUUGGUAAGAAUCCUCAAGCUUGCAACAGUACCAAGAGGUGGAAGCUGGAGUCAGACAUCGUUCGGACCGAUCGAGAGGAAGCCUCGAAGUGGCCAGAAAAGUGGGCAGAUAAGAAGCAUCGCCUCCGUGAUUCCCGUGGGGAGACCAGGUCAUCGUCAAACGGCGAUCUGAACUGACUCCGUUUUUGAAGAAGACUUCAAGAUCACCGCCUCAUGAGAGAACGCGAGGGACAAACAGAAGUUCAAGAAGUCCUUGCUAAAGAAGCAAGGAAAGAAGAAGAAGACCCAUGGGGGAUACACAAGUUCGUGGUGAAGCAGAGGAGCCUCCUCAUGGAAGAAGCCUGUGGAAGACGUACCAAGACUGUGAAGCGUGGAGGUAGAAGAUCGAAGGAUUCCAGCUUUGCCAGUCGACGGGGACGUCAACUGUUUAAGUGGGGAGUGUGUCACGGACAUAUUUUUCCAAAGUGUGUUUACCUUUGGUUAUAUGCUCCGAUUACCCCUAGUUUAUCUCAUCUUUAGUUUGCAUAACUAGUUUAGCUGUUUGCUUUUCAUUCUAGGUCAUAAAGCCUUGGUGUGCGUUUCGACAUUUUCAUAUGCAAGCCUGCCAUAGAGGAAAAUGUUCAAAAUGUACUAUAGGGGAGGCAUACCAGUUGAAUCCCCGCCCAAGCAUUAGUUAUACUCUUUGCAAGCAACCCUUUUUCCUUGCAAUUGACAGUCUUUAAUGCUUAUUUUAACGUCUAUUUCAAUGUAUUUCUUUCUUUCCCGCGUUUUAUAAACAAAAUUUCCCUAAAACGCAAACGAAGGUUACGACAUACAUCGACGUUACCCACAACUCUUGGAUAUUGAUCGGCUUACUUGUUCAUCGGUUAGAACAAGUGUCGCACAAUCGUCCGUCUCGAGGUUGAAACGCUACGAUUGUGACACCGACGGCCACAUAGAAUUGAGAAAAGCCUAUGGUUGAGGCAGCAUUAAUUUAUGAAACUUUACACGUGGGAAGGGAUGACUCUUUCUAUUCAAACCUGUAAACAUAGAAGACCGCCUCAAUGAACAAGGGAUCAUUCACAUAGAAUAAAUAUGAACAACGAGAAAGGGAAUAUAAGGUUUGAAUUCAGAGGAAAGCCUAGCUUGAAUGAACAAGGUGAAAAGAAUAUUGACAGCUGCACUUACGAGUCUUUCAGUUACCUUUCUGCCUCUUUAAAGAGAGUUCAAGGUUUUCUAUUAUCGGAAGAAUCAGAAUAAGAAGAAAAUAGAGGAAGACAGAGAGAAGAGAGCUCAGGAGGCGCAAUGAAAUAUGCGUGAGAAGCGCAUUUCCUUAGUGGAAUACUUUGAUAGCGGAAUAAGAAGUCGGAGGCUCGGUCAAGACGAUCUUUUGAUCUAUUCUAAUGGUCUCUAAUGGAUAGUCCUUCGUUUUAGAGUCCUACAGAUAAAUCCUCCGGACUGGUCCGAAGGCUAGGUUCAUACGGAUAGUCAGGAGGACGGUUAGUUGGAGCCUUGUUUUUCGAAAUCUUCUUUGAGCCUCAGUCGUCUCAUUGAUAAGGACAUCUUUGCAAAUGAAGAGCGGGAGGUGCAAAGUGCGGCUAUUACUUUGAAAAGAAUAGGAGCUCCGCGGUUUGAAUUGAAUAAAAAGGAUAGGCUGAAAUUCAAAGUGAAUAAGAGGAUAUUUUCAGAUAUAAUAUCUAAAGUCAAUGAACAGGGGCUCCUAACCUCUGAUUUAUGGGGAGCCUACUACGUCCAUUAGUUCCGAACUUGGCUCCACUCCUAGUAGUUCGAACUUGGCUUUGCUCCUUCGCUUUUUCUCUUAUUGAUCUCUCUUGUAAUGCUUUCUACUAAGAAUCAAGAAAGCGCAACUUCUAUUUUGUCCGAACGACCUUGAUUAAAAAACGAUGCUUCCUUGGUCGUGUAGAACAUGGAUUAGCAUUAUUUCAUUCCUACAAGCGAUCCCCCAUCCAGGAUUGGAAGAAGUGCUAUAUGAGGACUUUGAGAUCAAAUAGAAUAUAUUUCUUUCAAGACCUCGUGAGCCACUUAUUUCUCUGAAACAAGAGAGAAAAGUGAUUUUCCUCCUUUUUCUCAAUAAGUCGACGACCUUACACCAUUGGGAUACUUCUUCUUUGAAACUAGAGUACAUAUAGGAUACACCGGUGCUAAAACCUUUUCUCAAAAGAUCUUCCAAACUGUUGGGGUCCUUGCUCCGUAUGUUCUUCCCCCGGUGUGAAAGCAGUUGGUUCCAUAGUUUGAGAAUUCUACUACUGAUCCCAAGUACUCCAUCUCCAUCAUUGCAUAUGGGAAUAUAGAAAAGUCAAGAAGAAAAGGCAUGAGCAGAAGAAUUGUGUGAAAUAAGUCAAUUUAUCCAAUUGAGGCAUUCUUUCUUUUUCUUAAGAAAAUUCCCUCUAGACAUAAAUCCUUUCUGUACGAGUAGUGAAGAACUAUAGAGAGUAGUGGUUGGUUGUUGACCAACAAAAAGCAUGGGAGAAAGAAAGAUGUUGGCAAGGAAGCAUCAAAAUAGAUCAAUGAAAGAGGCUCAAAGAAUGAUCGAGGACUAUUUUAGUCCGACUAGAAACUAGGGAAACUAAAGACUAACGAAAUCUAGAUGAGAAUCCGUACAAUUAGUCUCGAGAAAAAGAAGAAAGCAAUAAAAAAAGUGAAGACAGAAAAUGAACCGAAAAUCUUCUUCUCUCAUAUUGAAUUCAUCCUUCUACGCAUCUCCAUGGGCUCGACUGAGAGUGGAGGAGAGGACGGGAAGAAUGAGAAAAAUAGUAAGGCGAGAAGACAGGUUCGAAGGACUAUCCAUCAGGGAGUUUGGACCCCGUAGUUAGGAGCAAAGAAUAUUGCGAAAGAGUCAUAAUAGGUACAAAUCUUCUUAUAGAUUAUGUUGAAGGAGGCGGCGCAAUUCAAUAUGCGAAAGUCAUGAUCCCUUUAAAGCAGACGUUAGGCGCAAAGAAAGAAGCUCAUUAACGAGAAUGAAAGAAUAAUUCACUCAUUAACGAGAAUGAAAGAAUAAUUCUGAUUUCAUCACCUUGUUUUUACGGAGUUCAAUACUAGAUUGAAGACGGAGGGAAAUCCCAGAUUUUGCUAGGUUUUGGGCCUAUAAAGUAGCAAGAAAUCAUGAAAAAUCAGUCAAAAUUAGACAAUUAUCGUAGCAUAUCAAUAUGAGAAAAAGUAUGAAAAAGAAGCAAAAAAGUCGGGAAAUAGCAAUUCAAGAAGAAAGCCUAGGACAGGGAAAAGAAAUGAACACUUCUAGUUUGAGUUUAUGGUCCGGAUACUGACAGGUCUAUUCUUUAUUCCGCUCCUGAAUAUGGAUAAUCCUACUUCGGUUAAUUACGGAUAGUCCUCCUUCGGUUAAUUACGGAUGGUCCUACGGAUAAAUCCUCCAGACUACUUCCUUCCAUAUGGAUGGUCCUACUUCGGUUAAUUACGGAUGGUCCUACUUCCAUAUGGAUAGUCCUACGGAUAAGAAUCCUGCGGACUCCGGACUACUUUGGUUAAUUACGGAUGGUCCUACGGAUAAAUCCUCCGGACUCCGGAUAAAUCCUGCGGACUCCGGACGUACGACGUAGGAUAAAUCACCUGGACCUUUCUUUGGCACUACGGACUACUUCGGUUAAUUACGGAUGGUCCUACGAAUAAAUCCUCCAGACUCCGGGUCGUAAGACGUAGGAGAAAUUCCUGCGGACUCCUUCCUUCCAUAUGGAUGGUCCUACGGAUAAAUCCUCCAGACUACUUCAAUUAAUUACGGAUGGUCCUACUUCCAUAUGGAUAGUCCUACUUCAAAUGGAUAGUCCUCCGGAUAAAUCCUGCGGACGUAGGACCCUGGACCUUUCUUUCUUUAAUGGAUAGUCCUCCGGAUAAAUCCUGCGGACGUAGGACCCUGGACCUUUCUUUGGCACUCCGGACGGAUAAAGAAAGGAUAAAUAAAGGCGCAAAGAAUAUUGCGAAGCGAAGCGCAUUUAUCUAAGAAAAGAAGAAAGGAUAAAUAAAGGCGCAAAGAAUAUUGCGAGAGCGGGAAUUACCUUUUCUCUUCGGGUUAGCUAAGAGUUGCCGGAGGCUUGAAGUCGGAUAAUUACUUUUACUUAAAGGUUUCACAAACCUGCAAAAUCUUCUCCAAAUUAGCGUUAGCGUUCUGAGCUAGCCAAGCAGUAUAUUUAAAAUAUAGAAAGAAGAAAAAUCCAUGCAAUCUAAGUACACUAAGAACCUACAGCAUCGUCACCGCUGCGUGGGAAGGUUAAUUCUUCUAACUCUGGUAUUAUCGUUGAACAAGCAGUUCACAUCCGACUGCCCGCGUAGUGGGGGAAGCUCGCUCGCUAACUUUGCACUUCGGCCAAAAUGCCGAAAAAAGGCUAAGGCCGAAGGAGGUCUGACUCCUUCGCUCAAGGAAGAAUUGCCCGAUUGGAUAUAUAUCUUGGUGCGGAGAGAGGAAAGGAUCACGGAAGCCUCAGUCUCAGUACGAAAGGGGCAAAAAGCUGGAAAAAGCAUACUGGCUUCACCUUGCCCUAGGAUGGGGUCCGCCGGAUCUUUUAAGGCAUAGGCUUAAUGCUGAGACGCACGGGGAUAUCCGGUCCAGGAUGGAUAUUCAAGACAAGGACGAAGGCUCUCCGUCACGCAAGAUGAUUACAAGUCUUAGGAGUGAACUUCCGCUUUACCCCUUCCGGUAUCAGGAAGCGAAGGGCAGAGAAAGCGAGCGAGAAAACAUAAAUCAAGGCGGUCGAUGACUUAAAAUAGGCAAAAAGAAAAGACAGAAAGCCUACGGGUUUCUCGGUUUACCCUUCUUUUAGGAUAGAAAAAGGCACUGCCUGUGUGACCACUACAAGCGGACGUGACGAGCGACGCAGGGCCACCCACGACCGCUAGCAAUACGAGGUAAAGCGGCCAGAAAGCAUACCAUAGGAUGCGUCCUGAGGGCAUUCACAUAAACAUUCUUCGAAUUGUUCACAUUCGGCGGGAUGUUCUUAGCCUUGUCUCCAGGUGAAUAAUUGAAUCGGCACCGGCGAUCGGACCUAUUGCAGCCUUCGGUUGACUGGUGGCAUUCGAUGGUAUGCUUGAGGCCUUCCCAACCCGCUCCGUGUAAAAGAGGUAGAAGGAGGCUCAAAGAAUUAUCGAAGAGCAAGACGAAAGAAAAUAGCGACUUCCAGUCGGUGAUGGGAAAUCUCAAUGUUAUCGCAGAUUCAAAGGCGCAAAGAAUAUUGCAUUGAGGCUCGACUGAAAGGAGAGGCGAAUUUGAGAAGAAAGAACUAUAUCGGCUAAAUACUCAACUGCCUCAGACGUCACUGGGACAAGAGCCGGAGAUUCCGAAACCUCUCGCAGCUUCUUUGCUUCCUCUGGUCUCGAUAUUUGAACCGCCUCAAUAAACAAUAAAUAAGGGUCCAAAAAAUCAAGGUCAUCUUCAAACCCUUUUUUUUAUGCGCCUCAGUCCUAUCCAUUAGAACGUCGGCCCUCACCCUUUUUCUUCUUAGUGCGCGCUUGAGCUUUAGUCUUCUGAGUUCUCAAAUUCUUUGACCCUCUGUCUCAGUAUUCGGCAGAGAUGCUGAUGUUAACAAGAAAUGCAGGCUGAAUGUUGUAUGGAAGGAUGAUCAUUUCGGCUUCUUGUAGCCAUUGAUGCUGUCUAAUGCUUGGAGAGACAUUGUUUAAUGUGACUUUGGACAAGGUUACUGAAGAUAGAACUAUCUGGCCUCAGAGGUCAGUUUUCAGUUGCUAAGACAGUGAAGCUCUUUCAUCUUCCUGGUAAUACUGUCCCUUGGUUCAAGCUUCUUUGGGGUAAGAAGCACAUCCCUAGUCAUGCUUUUCUUUCCUGGAUGGCUAUGAAUAAGAGUCUGAGAGUCAAAGCUAAACUGUACAAUCUUUAAGUGCUUUCGUCUGAUUUUGAGGUUUGGAAGCAAAGAAGCAGAGCGGAGUUUGAUUCCUUAUAUCAGAAAAAGAUAUAGGAAGACUCCCAGAAAGAAGAAAGCCUAGGAGAAAGCAAAGAAAGAGUAAGGAUCAGAAAGCUCCUAACCCCUAUUUAUUUAUGGAUGUGAAUUGAGCGAAGGCGCAAAGAAUAUUGCGAAGGUUCAAAGAAUAUUGACUUGAUAAACCUCUAUUUAGCUUCUUAUAUCUGAAGACGAUAAAGUCAGAUAAUCAGCCUCCGGCUGGGUCGGAUCGUCCAUACCUAGUUGAGUAUCUUGUCCGUCAUAACGAAGUCACUCUUUGAAAAAGGGUCGGGCUUUGUUGGAGUUGACUCGGUGAGUACACUUUCAUCUUUACGAGAAGAAGCGCGAACAACAACUAUAUUAUUCAGCAGAGACCUGAUUUACCCGAUGAGUGGAACGGCUCGACAAAAGUCUUAGGACUCGGGACGACGCGCCUCCUUCCUGCUAGAACUCAUAGGUCUACGGGGUUCUUUCGGUAGCGAGAAUAGUGGUCCCAAACGGAAUAGAAGUACUUUUGAUUCACUGAAUCGGAAUCUUUGAAAGAAGAAAGGGGGACGGAGGAUCAAUGAAAUUUGAUGAUGAUGAGUAAGCUCUUGCUUUUCUUGCUCCUCUUUCUGAAGUUGCGAGAGGUUCAAAGAUCCUUAUCAAUGAUUGGAGUGGCUGUUCCGGUUGCAGACGUUGCUGUUGGAGUAGAAGCUGUAGCCCUUUCGGUGAGGUGCGAAUGCUCGACCUCGACCCAUUGGCAUUAGUUGAGGAUGCACCAUCCCUGAUUAUUUUUUAGGAGAAAGCCUCUUUCGUCGGGUUCAAGGGAAAAGACUAAGAAUGAGGUCCCCUCCCCCCAGUUGAGGAACGAGGGCAAAAGCGAAGCCUAUGAAGUGAGUAUGAGCUCGCUCGACCCCCACGUAGCGGGAAUAGCACCAUCUUCUCUCUUUCAUGAGUAGUUCACUGCACUCAUUAGUAGCUGGACCAAGAGGUUAUUCUCUCUAUGAUCUCCUGGACUGGAAUAGCGCUCUCCCCAUAGCAAGAGGGAGCUCGACGUAGUCGGUCUUUCGGCAGUCACAAUAAUUAAGAGAAGCAGCUGCUCGGGAGAGGGAGGUAUCAGAUGCACGAAGAGAGGAUUGGUCGAAUCGACUGUAAGAAGAGGCAUCUGUUCUUGUGGCUGUAGCAGUUGCAGAAGUUGAAUCGUCUGUGGCUGUUCUUGUUUAAGAAAUAGCUGCAGCUAUUCCCACCAAGGCCUGACGAUAGGCUGAUUUCAGGAUUUCCUAUCCAUCCUCAAAUUCUUUGAGCCUUUGUUACAAGAAAAUACUCUUUAGUGACUCAAGAAUGACCCUGUCUUAUGGCACCUCUCAUCUGGAGCCUUUGUUUUUGAAACAAGUCAAAUUCUCUAAUGGAUAGGCCUGAAUUCAUGAAUAUUGAAUUGAACCUACUAAAAUCAAAGGAAUAAAGAAAGAGCUCAAAAGGAGUCAAAAUGAGAAGUCCGAAACCUCAUCACCUACUCCCGGAGGCAAGGUGAAAUUCAAUAUGACGAAGUCUUAUAGUUGGGUCUCAUCCCCCCAUAAUCAAGUAGCGUCCACUAAAAAGAAGCGGAGCGCGGAAGGACGAGGCGCAAUGAAAUAUGCCUUGAAUGAAUCUACCCUUUUUAGACUCGACUACUCCGCUACGUGGGCUUACUAGUAAUGCUGAAGUUUCCUCCUUUUCUAGCUUUCUUUCUAAUGCCCUUCUUUAUGGUCAAUGGUCACUUCCCCGAGGCGCGGAUCCCACUACACGGGAAUAUAUUAUGAUAUAAUGAACUAUCUUCUUUCUAAUAGCUAGUUUCAACAGCCACCGGGGAGGAGACAAGAACUCAAUCUACUGAAACAAGGGUUUCAACCACAGCGAGAGCAGACCUCAAAAAAAUAAGGAAGAAAAAGAUAAAGGCGCGAAGCGAAGCCUAUGAAGUCAUAAGGGCAAGGGCUUUCCGUGAACUUUCUUAUGAUGGGAAAUCCUUGUUUUCAUUUGCGAGACACAUUUCAUUCGUAGAAAUACCACUUCCUACUUCCUCAUCCCGACAAUAAAUAAAGCACUACGCGGGACAAAGUAGAUUCCCAAACUUAAAAGGAAAGACUAAAAUCAAAGCUCCAGAUGAGUUGAAUUGAGGUGCAAUGAAAUAUGCCUUUCUGCAGUGUGCGAAUUCGCUCUUUCGGCUGAUAACCUUUCGAUCCAGAAAGCACUACGCGGAAGUUCCCCACUACGCGGCGUGAAGUGACUGCCCACUUUUUGAAAAGAAAUAAAGAGCGCAGAACAAGGUUCAGUUAAGCUUGAUAAAUCAGUCCUUCGCCUAAGAAUAAGGUGAAAAGAAUAUUGAACUCAUGAAAUCAAUAUCCCUGUCUUAUGGGGCCUUUGUAGCUUAAUAAUGGGGAUCUGGUUCAAUUAUAAGGCUCAAAGAAGAUUGAGAAAGAAUAUUGCAAAAUCAAGGCGGCAAAGAAAAGGUGAAUAGGGAUUCGUACGAUUAGACUUGACUGAGAAUGGAAUUGCUUUAGCUAUCUUUUUUUUUCCGUCUUUCAAGGUGGAAGCUAAAUCAGAAUAGUUUCUAGUUGAAGGCAAGCAAGCUAGGGUUGGUUCGUAUUGACAAAGAGCUGGACUUCUAAACUUUCAAUGGGUACUGGAGUACUUUCUUUGUCAAUCGAUGCUUAAUACUAUCUUUACGCAAAUAAAGGCCGAAGAAUGAGGCUAAGUCUUCUAUUUAGUGGUCUCGCAAUAUUCUUUGCACCUUGCUGAUCUCAUUUCAAAAAUGCUUCGCCUGCCUCUUCUUUGAUUCCGUGCACGAGUAAGUACCCGUAAAUCGUAAAGAAAGAGGGGGGUAGUUACCUGCUCUUUCAUCGAGAUUGGCGAAUUACGGUAGAAGAUAGAAGAGGUUCGAGGAUCAAAGUAUUUGAGCUUUGCUAUUACUUUCAUGCUCCUCUUAGAAGGAAGAUAAGCACGAUAAGCUGGCCUAUAUCAUUGCUUAAUUCAUGCUUUCUUCGUACUUCCGGAAAGAAAUCUCACUCAUUUCAUUCUAUCACAUAAUGAGAACUCUAGAAAAGAAAUUGCUUACUUCAUGCUUUCUUCGUAUUUAUUUAAGGACCCAAUCCAUCUUUUGUCUAUGACGAUCGGUACGAAAGGAAGGCAUGCUCGCAGGGGAUUCUUAUUACUAAUAGAUGAUAAGAUAAUACGAGAAUGAAAGAGGUCGAGCGCCUCACCUCUGAGUCUGAUUGUUGGAAGUAUGAUGACUCCCACUGGUCGUCUUUCAACUCAUUAAAUCCCCCUAUCUUUUAUGGCGGUCUUACCGGAAUAUCUACUUUAUAGAAUUCCUAUGAGACUAAGAAAACAAACUGAGACCUCGUAGUCUUCCUGUUCCCGGUCGAUCCUAUGAUCGAUCUCAUACAAAGAUCUUCUAUGAUUCGACUAAAAAGACUCUUUCUUCUUAGUUUGAGCUUGAGGCGCGUCCAACCCACUACGCGGUAAGCUUUUCCUCUUUUCCUCUCACUUCAAGACUCAAGACCUUACCCGCACCGAGUCAAUCCGAUCGCUACCUUUCCAGGUCGUAUUCUAGUAAUUAAUUUCAUUAAUAACUCAGAGCGGCGAUCUAAAUACUUCUUCAGCAAGAACUUUCGAAGAAGGUAGAGGAACUGAAAUGGAUUCAGCUUCCGCAGGCAGCAUCCCUUUCAACGACGACUCCCCGAGAGACUCGCUUCAAACUUCCGAUUUAGAAAGAAGGUAUCUCAGUCUCUUACCGCGUAGUGGGCUGAUCGUGAGAGAUGGAAUCUUCAACCUCUUAUGGAAAUGUGUCCAGCGGAAGUAUUUACGUAAGAAAUUGAGAACCAGGCGAGAGGAGAGGGGUGAGGAUCGAGCGCAUUCCCUAUCGAUCAGCAUCCUCAACUCUACUUCAAGAGUAGAAAGGUUUCGGAAUUCAGAGGCAAGAGCAUUCCUUCCUCUUUCUUUAGUCAAGUCAUUUCAUUCCUUUUCUCACUAGGUCUAUAGAAAUAGUUCAUGGCCAGGACUAGGUCUCGUCAUAUUCUUUUCUCAAGAGAUGAGAAGAAAGUUCUCCUAAUAGAAUAUGUUUGAAUAUCUCAACUAGAAAGUCUCGGACUAACUCUUCCCAUAGCGUAGCCUACGGAGCGGGGAAAAGGAAGAUUUUCAACAGUCAAGAGAUCAAUCAGAAGGGAGCGGGAAGAAUGGAUAUUGUCUUCGAUCUUGCGAUAAAAUGAGUCAGACCAUAUGCGAUCUCGUCUCAAACAGAGAAUUAGUAAUCUGAGUCGCACGGGGAAUAGGUUGGAUAGUCCGGAGGACGGGAAGACAGAAAGAAAAGAGAGGCUCCGGAGGUUCAAAGAAUAUUGACAAAGAAUAUUUCAUGAAUUGAGGUGCGGUAGUCCGUCCGAAGGACUAUGAAAUCCAUUAGUUUUCGUUUGCACUCCUUUCUUCUUUUCUUAGAUAUUCUGGGAUUGAACUCCGUCUGAAAUCUAGCAGAUUCAUUUUUAGCUUCUUUCAUUCUCGUUAAUGAGCACUUGAACCUGUCUUUCUCAGGCGCAAAAAAUAUUGCGAGAAGAGCAAAGAAGAGAAUGGCGAUCAGAAUUUGAGUCCUUUCAUACUUUCGUUGAGGAGGAGGAGUUUUCUUCUUGUAUCAUAAUAGGAUAUUUUAGUAGAAUAAGAAGAAGAAGAAGAUAAGACUACGUAGCGUAGUGGGCUUUUCUUAUGGCGGAGCGGAGGAUUCCGACUAUCCACUGAAGAAAGUAGGAAAGCCUAAGGAACCUAAAAAGGGCUAAUAGGGGAAGGAAGAAAGCCUAUCCCUCCAGAAUCUUUGAGGACCGAAGGACUUCUUUAUAUCCCUAUUUAUUUAUUUAUGGGACUCCCAGAAAGGUUUAGUUCCAUAAAUCAGUCGGCUAAUAUAUAGGAUGAAAGUAGAUAGAAAGGAAAAGAAAAAAGUCGUCACUCUUAAGGAGUGCAAGAAGGAAUCUUUGAACCUUUUAUCCUGAUCUCUCUCAUUCUACAACUCAGUCGAGCCACUAUUCAACCUUCUUUUCGAUGGGACAUCAUGUCCUCUUAUCUUAAUCCCAUAAAUCAUUUAAGGCGAUACGGAAACAAGAAAUCCAGAAACUUAAUCCGGUAGAGUCAAUUCGAGACUAAGACGAGUUGGGGUUUCGACCAUAGGCUUUCCUUCCAAACCUACUAUACUAAACCUACCCCCGGACUCAAGGCGCGAAGUGAAGCGGCUGCCCACUUUUUAGAAAUAAAGAGCUGAGAUAAUUCUUUUCACUCAUUGAGGUCGGCUAAAUUCAAUGGAUAAAGAAGUCCUUUGCUUCAUUCUAUAUGUCCUUAUCAAUGAGACCAUUAAUCAGUCCGAAGGACUAUCCAAAGAAAAGAAUAUCCCUGUCUUAUGGGGCCUCCGUAGCUUAAUAUGGAGCGCUCCGGACGAGUCUUAACUAAUAUUCCCAAUCAAAGAAUUAUCGAAAGAAUGAUCGACGAGUCUUAUUCCACUAAAAUAGUAGUCCUUCGGAGCAGUCUUAUACUAAUCUCCUAAAAUCAAAGCUCCAGAUGAGUUUCAUUCCACUAAAAGACGAAAGAAGGUAUCUCAGUUACCAAAGAGAAAGAGCUUCCACAAACCACUUCCACAUAAACUUCUGCUAAGUCUACUUCUGUUAUUGAUUCAACUUAGCCUUUAAUCAGAUUAGGACCUAGCUAGCCAACCUUAUUCCUUCCUCUUCCUUACUUUGUUCUCGCUUGCUUCGGCAGGCACACACUAUCUCUGGAUACUGGAUAAGAGAUCCUUUGGUCAAGCUGCAAGAGAAAGACUUCUUCUCCGAUCGAUCAGCUACCCGAUUCCUCCUUCCCCGAUGAUAAGGUUAGCAGGCCCGAUCCUCUCCUAUUGAAAAAGAAAGCAGAAAUCUUUCAGUCUAGAGGAUUUAUCCGUAGCCCGGAGGAUUUAUCCGUAGCCCGGAGGAUUUAUCCGUAGGACCAUCUGUAAUUAACGCGAAGUAGUCUGCAGUCCGGAGUCCGCAGGAUUUAUCCGGAGGACUAUCCAUAUGGAAGUAGGACCAUCCAUAUGGAAGGAAGUAGUCCGCGAGUCCGCAGUCCGCAGGAUUUAUCCGUAGGACUAUCCAUUUUCAGUCGGACUAUCCAUAUGGAAGGGAGCGAAAUCUAGCUAUGAGGACUCUUUGAGCUCUUCUUUGAGUCAGUGGCUCUGCCACUUGCAGAAGGAGCAGCGAAGUCCGCGGUUUCAGAGGUUUAUGUAGCAGUUCUUCUUUAAUAAGAUGCUUACUUUCUUUCGGGUAGAAAGGUUCACUCGUGAACGGUACACCUCUUAUAUGAUGCCUGGGGACUUUGUCCCUUCUUCUACGGAUUUCUCUUAUAUGAUCUUAUUCAUCUCCGUAUCGUUCAUAUAUUCAUUCUAUAAAAUCCCUAGCUGCCACAGAUGGUCGAACUUGCCUCUUAAGUGGCGUGGGUCGAUCCUCUUGUUGACUUUUUACCUAGGAGUGGGGGGGAAGAAGUUCGAGAAUAAUUUAUCUUCUUUCCUUGUCCCAGUUCUUCUUUCCACUUCUACUUAAGUCACCACGACUGAUACAGAUGCAAGAACAUCAGGGCGAGCAGGGAAGAGGCGGAGGGAGUUUGCACUCUUUUCAUGCGGGUUUGAGUGAGACUGAUGCGCCCUAGGUCAAGCCAUUGCUUCGUCUUGUUCAUCACAUUCAUUAUGUUCACAAUUCCGGAAUCAAAGUAGAAAUACGAGAAAGCGCUCCAGCGGACUCUGAUUCAUUGGGAAUUCUAUCUUCCCGCCUCAAUGAACAAGGUGAAAAGAAUAUUAAAUGAAUCAUUGAGUUGAGGCGGUGGAACCUAGGAGUGGGACCGGGAACAUGAUAGGCUUGAAUCUAAGAAGUGAAUAUAGUAUUGAAAGAGGCCCACGGAGCGGUGUCCGACUAUCCUACUAUCGAAGCCUUGAAGCAUGAGUCUUGAGGUUUUCAAAGUCUACUCAGAGGACGAGGUUGAAGUUUCAUAGGGAAAGGUUUCAUAACAAGCAGUUGUUUUCCGUAUCGAAUGCUCUUUCAUUCCUUAUUCGAAAGAAGGCAAAGAAAGUGGAAACUAAAUCCUUGGAUUCUUUCCCGCUUGAACCAUGAAAGGUUAGGCCUUAGUUACGAUCUCAUUCAAUGCCCUAGCAUACUCAAAGGUUCGGGGGCGUAGUGGAUGGAGCUAGAAGACUACUACUUGGACGAGGGAUUUCCUUUCUCUUAUUGUAAUACUCCUAACCACCCCUUUUUGAAUGGGCAGGCCCCUCUGGUCGAGUUUACCCUUUUUAUUCAGGCCUAUCUGCCUCCGUUCAUGAAGGACAAAAUCGGACUGAGCCCUUGUUCAUUGAGGCGUAUAAGCCCACGUAGCGGUGCCAUAAGACAGGUCUGAAGGCGUCACAGGUCCGGAGGACCCGUCUGUCCGAAGGACGAGAUAUUUAUAAUGUUGAGAGAAAGAUUAGACUUUGUCAGGACCCUUAUUUCCAUUAUUUUUCACUUUCAAUAUUCUUGAGAAUAUUCAUUCAUCCGACAGAGCAAAGUUCAUCCAGAUCCCCAUAUGAAUUAGGCGAAUGACUGAUUUUCAAAGUCAGAGUUAUCCCUCAAAUUCUUUGAGCCUUUGCACUCAAAUUCUCUAAUGGAUAGUCCUUCAGACCGCUAGGAGUAAAGAAUAUUGUGUGGAACUGAACUAAUAGGGAAAAGCAUUUCCUAUUGAUUUGUCCCCUGGACUGGACCUAUUCUGAUUCUGAAUUAUCCGUCGCUACGUUGUUCCCAAGGACUAGCAAAAUCGAAAUAGCGAAAUUCUUGGGUCAUCUCAAUGGGUUCAGAAACCACACGUUUCUCUGGAUCAUCACAGCGUACUUCCACAUAUCCACUCAGAGGAAGGUCUUUUUGUAAUGGAUGACCCUCGAAACCAUAAUAUGUUGAUAUACGGCGUAGAUCCGGAUGAUUGAUGGAAGAAACACCAAACAUAUCCCAAACUUCUCGCUCCCACCGGCCGGCUGAUGGAAAUAGACUGACUACCGGAGAGAUUCGUGUUACUUCGUCUGCACUGGUUUGUACACGAAUGCGUGAGUUAUACCGAGUACUCAGUAAAUUAUAGGCCACUUCAAAUCUGAGUUUUCUAUAUAUAUUUAUAUUGAUGUUAAUAUGUUACCUUGUAAUUGGAAUGGUGAUUUGAAUAAUCUAAUAGGAUUAUGUGUUUGGAUCAAAAUAUGUUGCAAGAGAAAUAGCUAAAUGUGUGGAUUUAGUGACAAAGAGGGUAUUCAUGUGUUUAUUUUAGUUUUCUCAGUGAGGACUCGAUUUUUAGAAGAAACGACCACUGUUCGAAUCAUUCAAAACUUUGUUCCGAACAAAAAUUUUGGACUUUGUCAUUGUCCUCUUCACCGAAUGUGACAAACUUGAAGACAACGAUGAAACAUUGAAAGAUUACUUGGAUCGAAAAUGUCUUGUGGGGUUGAAAGAUACCAUAGCCGCUAGCAAGAACUGUUGCUUGGUUUUCAAUAACAAAACCGAUAAUGAAACAAAGAAGAUUGAAUAAGUGGAUAAACUUAUAAAGAUGGUGCAUGAAGUUGUACAACAAAAUGAAGGAAAAGCAUACACUCAUGGCUUGUUUUCUAAUGUCAAGUUUGAGACCAACUUGCAAGAUGAUGUGAAAACCAAGCUUGAACACACAAUUACAGUUCAAAACACAAGCAAAAUUUAAAGCAUAACAAGGAGCACAAGAAGUUCAACAACAAUCUAUGGAUCAAAUUCGAGUCCUCAAAGACCAUCUAUGCAUCAAGACUUGAAAGGUCACUGUCACUACCAAUGCUUCCACAAAUUAUUCGUCAUGGUCGCUGCAUGAGAAAAGGUUGCAUUAUUGUAUGACUUUACUGUGCAUGCAUUCAAUAAAUAUGUACAAGUAAUUAGUAUAAUGAAUAUAUACUAAAUAAAAAUAUGAAAAAACUGUGAAAAAAAACUUAUUUGAUUAACUGCUAUAAAAUUAAUAUUUGAAAAUUGGCAUGUGUUCUCGAAACUAAUAAAAGCAAGUUUGGAAAUGCCUUUAUUUUGUCUUUGUUGAGUGUAGUGUAAAUUGGGAAAUAUAGAAUGCUUAAUUAUGUUGUUAAUUAAUAAGAAAAUUAUUUUAGAAGUUUUGAUGAAUGUCCAACUACAUGUGGAAAGAAUUAUAAAGGAUUGAAAAAUGAUUCUAUAAUCUAGCCCAAACAAGAGGUGGGUUAUUAUAGCUCACUUCACUUCUAUUUAGUUUGGGACCCAAAUAGCCUCUUAAAAUUAGGUUAACUCCAUAACUAAUAAGGGUCUUUAACUCAUAUAGUCUAAAUUGCUAUAUGAUAUUACAUGAAUGAUCCAAAUUACUAAUAAAUUUCAUAAAAGUCCUAAAUGGACUAGUAUAUUACAUAAAUGUAGGCUCAAAUUACUUUAAUACCAAUUUAUAUUAUUUAAUUGAUUUAUAACAAAUAUCUAAAUGAAAAAAACCGUGGGAUAUAGUUUUGGAAAGAAGUGGGGUCCAAAUUAAUUUAAUAUCAACUUCUAUUAUUUAAUUUAAUUGAUUUAUAACAAAUAUCUAAAUGGAAAAAAUGGUGGAACACCGUUUUGGAAAUAAGUGGGGUCCAAAAUAAUUUAAUACAAAUUUUUAUUAUUUAAUUGAUUUAUAACAAAUAUCUAAAUGGAAAAAAUAAAGAGAUACAGUUUUGGAAAGAAGUGGAAAACUUUUCAUGCUUUCCUUCCACGAAAAUGGUUGUCUACUCCUUUCAACGUGGAUUACGAUUUUUACUUCAAAAUUUUAGAGAGUUCGGAGGUGAAGAAGAAGACAGUCGACGACCGACAAAUACAAAACUUCUCGAACAUAAUCUAGUUAAAAACUUUGAAGUUAGUAUUGUAUAUAUUCAACACAUAUGAAACAUUAGAUAUAUUAUGUAUAUUUUAGACAUUCAAUUAAAUAGUCAAUCAAAUGAAAAUGUAGUUUUGAAUGUGAUACAUUUUAGGGUUUAUUGAGAUUUCGGCGGUGAAGAAGAAAACUUUUGAUGGCCAAAAAAUACAAAACUUAUCCGACAGAAUCUAACUAGAAAAUUUGUGCUUAAUAUUAUAUAUAUUCAAAACAAAUGAUUAGAAACAUUUAGUAUAUUAGGUAUAUUUUAAAUAUUCGAUUAAAUAGACAAACAAAUGAAAAUAUAUGAAACAUUUGGUAUAUUAGGUAUAUUUUAAAUAUUUGAUUAAAUAGACAAACAAAUGAAAAAUUAGUUUUGAAUGUGAUACAUUCUAGAGUUUAUUAAGAAUUCAACGUUGAAAAAGAACGGUCAUCCUAUCAAAAAAAUAAUAGAACUAUAUAUAUAAUAUGAGGUAUAUAUAUAUAAAACAUAGAACAUAACUAUUAUAGAUUACGGAUAUAUUAAAGUAUAAUGUAAUCAAAUACAUUUAUAAAGGAAAAAUAUGUAUGUAUGAUCAUGUCGUUUACUACCGUUUUAGUAAUAUUUAUUCUACAAACACAAAUUCUGUAGGAAUUAUGUAUAAGGUAUUAUUGUAUAUAAUAUGAGGUAUAUAUAUACUAAAUAACAUGUAUGAAUUAAGUGUACAUUUUAUUAGUGAAAGGUUCUUAUAUCAAUUUGUUUAUGAUUUUUAUUUAAAUAUUCAUAUAUUAUGUAGUAAGUAAUACGUUAUGUUUGAAAUAAUAUUGAUUAUGUAUUAAAGUUGCCAUUAGACAGUUUUUUAACAAAAUAUACCUAUUAUAUUAAUAUAGAAAAUGGGAGGAAAUCGUGCAACAUUAAAAUAGGAAACUUCUUUACCAUUUUCUCACUUUCCAUAUUCAACGAAAAGCUUGCCAUUUCGACAGUCAAUGACAUAUACAACAUAUUAUAUAAUGCGAUAAUAUUAUAAAACUAGUAUAAUCAUAAAUAAGAUGUGAUAUAUAUUUAAGGGAAAUAUUAAAAAACUGAUAAAUUCAUAAUAGAAUAACGUUAAAAUAAGGAGAAUAUUGUUAAUAUAAUAUAUAUACGCAUAUGAUAUACUCAUAAUGAACUAAUUUUAAAUGGGUAAAAUAACAAAUGACAUAUUUAUGUUAUUCUUCAUAUAAAACAUCAACUAAAAUAAUAAAGUAUUAUAUCUCACGGUUAAUAUAUAAAACUAUUAUAAAUGUAAACAAGAUGUGAUAUAUAUAUAUAAUAAAUCACAUAUACAACCUAUUAUAUCAUGCGAUAAUAUUUAAAACUAGUAUAAUCAUAAAUAGUAUGUGAUAUAUGUUUAAAGGGAAUAUUAAAAAACUGGUAAAAUCAAAAUAGAAUAACAUUAAAAUAAGAGGAAUAUUGUUUAUAUAUACUAUAUCUCAUAUAUAUACUCAGAAUGAACUAAUUUUAAAUGGGCAAAAUAACAAAUGACUGUGGAUUUUAUCUUAUCUUUAGGUGAUGGACAAUUGUAUAUGACGGCGAUUUGUUAAGAUUCUGCAGCUUACGGUUAUGAUAAAUUUGAAUACAAAUUUAUAAAACAAUGUAAUAAGAAGUUCAAAUGAUGGAGAAGAAUAGCAAAAAACAGUUGUCGGCGAUGGAGAAGAUAAUGUAAUGGCUGCCAGAGAGAGUGAACAAUUAGGUUAAGUUAUAUUUUUAGAAAGAAUAAUUAAAUAGUUUAUUACAAAAUAAAGUAAAAUUACAAUUAUUAUAAUAUAUUCUGAUUUAUAAUUAAUUUAAAAGAUACUUGAAAUUUAUUAACAUAUUAAGGUCUUUUGUCUAAAAGUUUCAACUAAUAAUAAUGAUAGUUGUAAAGCCCCAAAGGUAAAAAAAAAAAAUGUAUAUUUUACAUUUUCUUUUUAUAUAUUUUUAUAUAUAUAUUUUAUUUUAUUAAUUUAAAUAAAAAGAAAUGAAAAAGAAAAUCCUUAUUUAUAUAUUUUUUCUUUUCUUUUCUUUUUUUUUCUCUCUUCUUCUUCCUCCGUGCGCCGCGACCCCCACCCGUCCUCUUCUCCUUCCCGUUCGCAUCAAUCGCCGCCCCAUCCGUUCUCUUCUCUUUCGUUCGCAGCAGCCGUCGGCCGCCGCGUCUCCCCUACUGAAGCCGAGCGCCGCGACCAUUCCUUUCUCCUCUUCUCUUCAGUUCGCAAAGCAGCUGUACGCGUCCAAAUCUGUCGUCGUCCAGAUCUGCACCGCAAGACCUUCCGUCGUUGCGACCGUUGCUCUUUCUCCGCUGCCCAGCCGUCUCAGCCGGUUCUGUCUCCGUCGAAGCCACGGUUCUGCAACCGUCUCCGCCGGUUCUGUCUUCGUCGAAGCUAAGGCCCCCGCGUGAACCAGUAACCGCUACGCUCUCCGCUCACAACCGCCGCUCCACUUGCUAUCGACGUCGGUCGACUAGUUGCUGUAACCGUUCAGAUUUGCUGUAACCGUUCAGAUUCGCGGUCUGUUCGCGACGGUCUCCAUCCGUGAAGCCCAGCCGCCACGUUCCCUUUGGCCGACCGCUGACCGACCCACACUUAGGAUUUUGCUGCAAGUUCGACAGUCGUGCGUUGAGGUGUUGGGAGUAACGUUAGGCUCCCUUGCAUUCACAACCAGUUUGUGAGUUGUUGAGGGUUCAGUUCGCCAAUAUAUCGGUGAGUUGGAACUUACGUUGAGGAAAGUAAGUGAGAUAUGUAUCGUGAAAGUAAUUGAAUUUUGUGUUGUUGUGCUUAGGAUUGUUUCGAGGACGUUAGUUGAUUAAGGAGCUUCCCCAACUUUGAGGUAAGGGAUUUUCUACUGGACUCAAUUGUGAUUGUGAACUGUGAUUGUGAACUGCAUGUGUGUUGAAUGUAUACUGUGGGCUAACUGAAAAUAUAUAUGAAUGUAUAUGAAUUGAAGUAGACUUGACGUCAAAUGUAUAUCGUGAUUGUCAUGGAAUCUAUAUAUAAAUGUGUGUGUGUGGACAGGACGGAGAUUGUAGAUUGUGUUUGUAUGAGAUGCAGAUGUGAAUCUUGUGAUUUUCGUUUAGAUUGGGUGUAUGAUUACGCUAAAGUAUGACUGUGUGCUGGUGAACUGAGGGGUGCAUUGACUGUAUAGUGGAUUGACUGUAUAGUGGAUUGACUGAUGUAUUAGCAUAUUAUUGACAGACAUAUGACUGUAGUAAAAUAAGUUGACUGUUAGGAUGUUGAAAGAAAGAACUUUGUGACUUGAAGUAACUGAAAGAUGGGUUGAAUGGAAUGAGGGGAUAAAUUGUUAGAUUGUAUUGGGAUGUUUACCUUGUAGGUGUCCCACGGGAUCACCAAUUUAUUGUGCACCUUCAAGAGCAUUUGACUGAUAUGUGUUUCUGCAGAACACUAGACUGAUAUGUACGUCCCUCGGGGCGUUAGACUGAUAUGUACGUCCCUCGGGGCGUUAAACUGAGAUCUGUAUCCUACGGGAUCACAAGACUGCGAAUGUACAGAGUGUCCCAAUAGAACUUUAACAAUUUACUUUCCCCUGACGAGACCAGUAGAGGGUCUCUUACUGAGUAUUGUUAUACUCACCCUUCUUAUGUUUAAUUUUCAGGCAAAGGUAAUAAAGGCGGCAAACCGGCGAAGGGCAGGAAGGAAGCGUGAUUGACAUAGGAAAUGUGUCAUUUUGCUUCCGCUUAUGGUUUCUUUUGAGGUUUAAGAUGUACUAAAACUUAGUUUACAAACUUUUAUUUGUAAAUAGUGUUAUUUUUAAGUUUUCUUGAACAUUUGAAAAUCAGGCCUGACAUAAAUUGUUUUUAAAUUGACUUACGUUUCAUUUUGUAUCAACCAAAGUCUUUUGUUAAAAAUUAACGACCUCGACUUACCUAGAAAAGUUGGGUCGUUACAAUAGUUCUCAUUAACCAAUUGACAAAUGAAUGAUAUUGUCAAAUGAUCGAUAUUGUCAAAUGAUCGAUAUGUGCAAGUGCACAUUUCAAUUAUAUUAUAGUAAAACGUUCUUAGAGAUCGAGCUAGUAUCCUUUUAAGAGGGAUCAAAUUAACAAAUUAAUUUAUUGAUUUUAGGAUUAGGAUGUGUUUUAAGGAUAAAAACAAUGAUUAGAAACUAAUUAACUACAAGUUGUUGACUUUUGAAAAGAAUAUCUUUCCAUUCAAACAUAAUUGUUCCUAAUCUCUUCCAACUAAGUUAAAUAUUAUGGUAUUAAACAGAUACAUAGUUUGGUUGGUAGUUUCUCUUCAAAAUUAUUAUUUUGAGAAAACAAAUACAAUUUCUUUUUAUGUAAUCCAAUAUCCUCAAGUAUAUUUAUAAAUAUGGAAAUAUUAUUUCCAUAUUAGAAGAGAUACUAAAAGAUCUUAUUACAACAUCAUUAGAGUCCCAUCAUUUUCUCUAAAUAUCUCUUUUGUGGUGAAAGAUUUGGAAUUGCACAUCAAUCAUUUUGGAGUGGGUAAUUGAUCACCCUAUUUUUCAAAAAAUAAGAAAGAUAAAAAAUAGUUAUUUUUUUAAAGAUAUAUUUGAAAGUGUUGAGUUUAUGGAAGGUAUUAGUACUUAUACAACCACGAAACAUUUGAUUUUUGUUAUCUAAAUUAUUUUAAUAAAAAUGUUUUUUUUUUUUUUUGAAGUUUAUGCUUAUUAAAAAUGCUUAUUUAAAAAAUGUUAAUGAAAUUUUAAAAAAUAAAAUCUAAUUAAACACUUCUGAGAUAGAGAGGUUUCCCUUGACUACCCGAGCGUAGAUAAACACUUCUGAGAUUUGGUUGGUAAUCCUAAGUUCGUGUGCAGUUGAUUAUUUUUUAAAUUUUGUAUAGUUGAAUAAUAUUUGAAUUUUAAAUUUUCAUCUAUGUGAUAUUUACUCAUUUCAAACUUUUUGAAUAUGCAUGUUUAUUUAUUAUUCUGUCGUCUCUCUAUUGUAUUUUAAAAUAUAGAAUAUGUGUAUUUAUAUUAUUUGAAAUUGAAAAUUUAACUUUUACUCUUAGAGUAGGCUUUAACUCUUUGUUUGUCCGUGUUGUAGGUGAGCGAGAAGGAAAAGUUCCAUUGUUUGAUUGAAUUGGAAUUGUUUCCUGCAUGGGGUGUCAUACAUAAUUCCACUUAUUACUAGUUGAAGGUCUUCUUUGCCUCUGUCUUCUUCCCCAUCUCCCCAAGUUGUUCUAACCUUUUUAUAUCUACCUAUUACAUGUCAAAAGGUUCGCUCUUCAAUGUUUUGAAACAAGUUCAUUAUGAAAAUCUCUCACAAGCAAACGUAUGUGCAUUAUGAAUAAUUUCAUCUCAAAAAAAUUGUUUGAGAGGUUUCAAAAGUGUAUCGAAACUAAUAAUUUUAAUGAAUAAAAAAAUAAUUCUUCGUUAGAUUCUUACAUUUUAUUUCAACGAACAAAAUUUAGGAAAAUUUUUAAAAAUAGCAAAUUUUACAAAAAUAUUUACAAUUUAUAACAAAUUUAUAGUCAUUGAUAUGAUAUAACGAUAGUUACUAAUAAAUAUUUUAAUUUAUUUUGUUAUUUUUAAAAAUGCUCAUAAAAUAUUAUAGUGAGGGAACAAUGAUGAAUCACAUAGUUCUUGUGGUGAUGUCGCUUUUUCUCCCUCUUUACAUUCUAAAAUCUCAAAUACAAAUCAUAAAACAAGUAGAUAUACAUUCAAUUAGCAUGAUUUUGAUUCUAAUAAAUUAGAAAGACAAAAAUAACUAACUAAUUAUGGAAAAGUAAUAUUUUAACAUGAAUUAUUGAUUUUUAAUUAGAGGUAAUUUUAAAAUAAAUAAAAUAAAAGAAAAUAUUACAAAUCAAAUCUAAACUAACUUUGAUUUUACUUCUUUAAUUGCAAUAUAACAUAGAUACAUUGGCUAUGAAGUGCAAUUUCUUAUAUUAUAAUAUUUAAAAGAUUUAAAUUUAAAAAUAAAAAUAAGUAAUCUCAAGUCCAAUAUUGGACCCGUGGGCUUAGCCCAUCAAUUUAAAAAUUCAAAAUGCACACUCAACCGUCACAUUUUCCUAGGAUCAUCCUAUUUAAUGCCCUUCUACUUGUCAACUCCAUCGAAAUCCUUCAUUUCUUGUGGCACCGUCUAAAAUUUGCUUCGAUUGAAGAAAUUUUGACGCCCAUGACAGCGUUGAAAUUUCUUCAAUGCAAACAAAUUUUUUAUCUUCCUUUCAUCGAGGAUUUUCAUACCAUGUGAAGGAGAGAUCAGUUCCAUCCGUUCCAAGUCGUUCGUGAGUCAUCUUCUUUCCUGUGUAGUUUUCAUCUCUUGAUUUUGGAUUGCUUGUUCAAGAUUUAUUUUCGAAUUUUGGAUUGUUUGCUAUUCGGAUAGGCAGAAGGUUUGCACGAUGAUAGAUCUGGAGUACCUGAAUCGUUUAUUGAUUCUGUAGUUUAAUCUUAUGAUUUUGGUGAUUUCGAAGCGUACAAUAUAAUCGUACUGUGUUAUGAAGUAAAUAAGAUUUUGUAGGGUUUUUGAAAGUUAAUUUAGAUAUUUCCUGCAUUUUAGUCUUGAUAGAUCUGGGGUACCUGAACCGUUCAGGUUUGCAUGCUGUGAUUGUGUUGUUCUUUUUUGAUUUUGGAGAGAGUCCUUGGGUAAUUUUGAGGAUUGUUCUUUUUUUAGUUUUUUUUUGCAUGCAUUCAAACACACGCAUGGUUUUUAAACUGGGGUUCUUGAAUAUUUGUUGGUUUUCUCGAAUAUUUGCCGGUUUUUUUUUCUCAGAAGAAUUGAUCUUAUAUUUGUGUAUCUCUCUGUGCAACUUUAAUAUAAAGUUAUUAAGGAAGAAGAGAAAGGAGGAAGAAGGGAGAGAGAAAAGGUAGAAACGACCUAAUAGUAGGCAUGAGUAUUAAGAUGCAGCAGAGCCACCACUUAGUGGCGCUAAGGUUUAAUGAGCAAAUUGACAGUAGAAAAGGGUCCACAUCCAUACCUAAGUUACUAUUGCUCUGGGUUCUGUUGGUGGCAUUCAUUAGUAUGUUAAACUACAAAGAAAUGGAUGGGUGGGUGUUAACAAAGUUAGAAGAAAGUAAGUUCUGGGAAGUAUGUGUGACCAGACGACAAAGAUGUUUCUUAGUGUCAGUGUCAAACUAUGUCCAGGCUUUGGCCAUUCUCAUUUCCAUUUUCCAGUACUUCAAAAUCGUAUCAGCAAUUGAUCAGGAAAAUGUGUUUCGAUUUCUGUCUUUUAUUAGUCUCGGUUAGUUAGGCUUAAGAGUAAGGGAUAUAAUUCAUUUUUCUUGUUUCAGCUAGAAAUUACGUCGAUGUCUUGAUUUUUAGUUUUUUUAGGGCUGUUUGGUUGUUUUUUUAGGGGUGUUUGGUUAGUUAGGCCUAAGAAGUAAGGGCUAGUGAAAGAGAAGCAUUUGAUUGUCCUACAAGUAUCUGAAUCGCCAAUGAAAGCAGAGGUUAUUUCCUCUGAAUUUCCACGAAUUGUUCAGGUUUGGAUUCUGUGAUUGUGUUGUUCUGUUGUUCUCUUCUUUAUUUUGGAGUGUUCUAGGAAAUUUUGAGGUUUGUUAUUUUUUAGUUUUUUUGGCUUGCCUUUAAUCACGCUCGUUUGGGAAUAGACAGGCUUCAGAGAAUGAAUCUCCUUUUUAAGGGUUCGUUGGGGAGCGAAGUGACCAUAUGGCAUCCCUUUCUGCACCUGCUCAGUCUCUCUCUUGCCUUUUUCAUACUACAUAUUUUUGUUUCUCAAUUUAGUGUCAGUGUCAACCAUGUCUAUGCUUUGGCCAUUCUCAUUUCCACUUUCCACUACUCUAAAAAUGUAUCUGCAAUUGAUCAGGUAAAAGUGUUUCAAUUUUCUGUCUUUGGUUCAUCUCCGUUAGUUAGUCUUAAGAGUAAGGGAGAUAAUUCGUUUUUCUUGUUUCCCUCCAUGUAUUGAUUUUUAGUUUUUUAGGGAUGCUUGGUUGGUUUGAAUGCACGAAACAUUUGCUGGUACACGAUUCAAACAGCUUGCCCAGUCAUGUUUUUCUAUUUUUUUUUAAUAUUUUGGAAUUUUGCAUGUGUGAUUUCUGUAUAUAUUAUUCUUGCCCUUUUCCUUUAUCAUCAUUUAUUUUGAUUUUGGAGAGGUCUCUUGGUUAUUUGUUAUUUGCACAUAUACAAGGGUUGAAAAUUUCAAUCCCACCUCUCUUUUAUAUUACAUUCAUUUAGUUUUGGCUGUUAUCUAAUUGAACUAUUUGAUCAUCAAAUAAUUGUGUUACCUUUUCUUCUAGAUGUUUAGAUUCAUUUUUCUCACUCUUUUAGUUUUCUUAAUGUGUGACAGUCUUUGUUUUUUAUUGAACUAUUGUGUGGCAGUCUUUAUUUAUUGGUUAUCUUUAGUUUCACUAUUGUUCUUUUUUUAAUGUUUUCUUAGUUUUUAAUAAGUGUGACAAAAUAUGAAUUAAUUUUUUUCUUUGAACAAAUGUGGAAUUUAUUUUCUUUUAAUGUAGUUGUGUCCCCAAUAAAUUUAUUUUGGCGAUUUAACAAUCCAUCAUGUUCUUUUUCAUUUUUCUGUUGUAUUUUCUUCGGUUCUUUGUUGUGGUAUGUCUAUUUUUGAGACAUUCUUAAUUUAGUUUUAUUUCUUUUAGCUUCCUGCAUCAUUUUGUAUUAUGGAUUGUUAUGAAAUUUUGAGAUUAUGCUUUAUUUUGUUUUUUGGUCCUUUGCUGUGAUGUCUUUUGAUUAUUUAUUUUGAGUGAACAGUUCAUGUAAGAUUUUCUGCAUGAGAAUAAAUUGAUUAUUUAAUUUGGUCAAAGAAGUUCAAAAUUUACAUGUGAAAUUUACACUCAGUGGCUGUAAGGUUUAAUGAGAAAAUUGGAAGUAGAAAAGAGUCCACAUUAAUUCAUUCAGCCAAGAGGGCUUGGCAUCCUAAGUUUGCUCUGGGUUCUGUUGGUGGCAUUCAUCAAUAUGUUAAUCUAUUAGGGAAUGUAUGGUUAUAACAAAGUAAGAAGAAUGGAAGUUCUGGGGGAGUAUUUGUGACAAGAGGGCAAGGAUGCUUCUGCAUCAAUUUAGUGUUAGUCAAUCAUGUCUAUGCUUUGGCCCUUCUCAUUCCACUUUCCACUACUACAAAAAUGUAUCUGCAAUUGAUCAUGUAAAAGUGUUUCAAUUUUCUGUCUUAGGUUCAUCUCAGUUAGUUAGUCUUAAGAGUAAGGGAGAUAAUUCAUUUUUCUUGUUUCAGCUAGAUGUUACCCUCCAUGUCCUGAUUUUUAAUUUGGCUUCCUAAGUGUGCUCUAGGUUCUGUUGGUGGCAUUCAUCAGUAUGUUAAUCUACAGGUGAAUCUAUAGUUAUAACAUAGUAAGAAGAAUGGAAGUUCUUGGGGAGUCUUUAUGUGUGACGGUCUUUGUUUUUCAUUGAACUAUUGUGUGGCAGUCUUUAUUUAUUGGUUAUCUUUAGUUUCACUAUUGUUCUUUCUUUAAUGUUUUUCUUAGUUUUUAAUAAGUGUGACAAAAUAUGAAAUUAUCUUUUUCUUUGAACAAAUGUGGAAUUUAUUUUUCUUUUAAUGUAGUUGUGUCCCCAAUAAAUUUAUUUUGGCGAUUUAACAAUCCAUAAUGUUGUUUUUCAUUUUUCUGCUGUAUUUUCUUUGGUUCGUUGUUGUGCGAUGUCUAUUUUUGAGACAUUUUUAAUUUAGUUUUAUUUCUUUUAGCUUCCUGCAUCAUAUUGUAUUAUGGAUUUUUUCGAAAAUUUGAGUUUGAUCUUGUUUUCCUGGUCCACUGCUGUGCAGUUUUUUUUUAUGAGAUAUUUUUAUUUAGAUUUAUUAUCUUUUAGCUUGUUUUGCAUUUUGCAUUAUAGAUUAUUUUUUAAAAUUUUGAGGUUGUUUUUUUUCUUUGAUCUUUUGUUGCGGUGACAAUUUUAAUUUAGAUUUAUUAUCUUUUAGCUUGCUUGCAUUAUGGAUUGUUAUGAAAUUUUGAGAUGAUGCUUUAUUUUGUUUUUUGGUCCUUUGCUGUGAUGUCUCUCUAUAAGACAUUUUUAAUUUAGGUUUAAUAACUUUUAGCUAGCUUGCAUUGUGGAUUGUUAUGAAAUUUUGAGUUUCUGCUUUCUUUUGAGUUUUGGUGAUGCCUUUUUACGAGACAUUUUUUAAUUUAGGUUAAUUUUUUAGGUUGCUUGCAUUUAUGGAUUGUUCUGAAAUUUUGACUUUCUGCUUUUGUUUUUUAUGUCAUUUGUUGUGUGAUAUUCUCUUUAUAAGAUAGAGAUAUUUUUAAUUUAGGUUUACUAUUUUUUAGCCUGCUUGCAUUUGGUAUCAUAUAUGAAUUGUUCUGAAUUUUGAGUUUCUACUUUUUCAGUCAUUUUUUUAGGGCUGUUUGGUUGUUUUUUUAGGGGUGUUUUGGUUAGUUAGGCUUAAGAAGCAAGGGCUAGUGAAAGAGAAGCAUUUGAUUGUCCUACAAGUAAUAAGCUUCUCCUCAAUCAUUCAACCAUUUUUUUAGUAAAGAAAGAGGCUUCUCCUCUGGCAACCAAAGUCCGUCCCUCGUUAACAGGUAAGUCUACCUCAUUACUUUUUAUGUCCUUUUAAUUAAGAUAUUUGGGUCAAUAUAUAUCAAAAUAAAUAAGAUCCAUCUUUGGUAAUUUUUAAAAAAAUUAAAUCUAUAAAUACUCAUUUCAUCUCUAAAAUUAUGUGAUUUGUACUUUCUAAAAUUCCCUCGAUGGUACUAAUACACUCUUAUAUUUGUAUUGUAAUUAUCAUGUCCUUUUUCUAUGGUUUUUUAAAGUUAAUUUAGAUCCUUAUUCGCUCUAGGUAUAAGUUGAAUGGAAGAGUUUUUUAGCCUUGAUGGAUCUUGAGUACCUGAAUCGCCGAUGAAACAGAGGUUAUUUUCUCGAAAAUUCCACGAAUUGUUCAGGUUUGGAUUCUGUAAUUCUGUUGUUCUUUUUUGAUUUUGGAGAGUGUCCUGGGUAAUUUUGAGGAUAUUAUUUUUUUGUUUUUUCGGCUUGCAUUUAAUCACGUGCGUUGGGGAAUAGACAGGCUUCGGAGAAUGAAUCACCUUUUUAAGGUUUCGCUGGGGAGCGAAUUGGCCAUAAGGCAUCCCUUUCUGUUCAGUCUCUCUCUUGCCUUUUUCAUACUAUAUGGUUGUUUGAUCUGGGGUUAUUGAAUGAUUGUUGCUUUUAUUUUCAUAAGAAGUGAUCUUAUAUUUUUGUCUCUCUGUGCAACUUUAAUUUGAGGUUAUUAAGGAAGGAGAUAAAGGAGGAAGAAGGGACGGAGAAAAGGAAGAAAUGACUGGAUUGUUGGGAUGGGUAUGAAGAUGCAGUAGAGCCACCACCUAGGUAAGGUCUAAUGGGCAAAUUGAAAGUAAAAAAGAGUGCACAUCCAUUCAAGCUAAGAGAGCUUGGGUUCCUAAAUUACUACUGCUCUAGGUUCUGUUGGUGGCAUUGAUUGGUAUUGUUAAUCUACAAGGGAAUUGAUGGUGUUAACAAAGUUAGAAGAAAGGAAGUUUUGGGCGUAUGUGUGACCGGAGCACAAAGAUGCUUCUGCAUCAAUUUACUGUCAGUGUUAAACUAUGUCCAUGCUUUGGUUUAUUUUCUAUUUUCUACUUUCCACUCCUCUCGAAAUGUAUCAGCAAUUGUUCAUGUAAAUGUGUUUCGAUUUCUGUUUGAUACUUCUCAGUUAGUUAGGCUUAAAAGUAUGAGAGAUAAUUCAUUUCUCGUCUCAUAUAGAAAUUAUCUUGAUGUCUUGAUUUUUAGGGUUUUUUUCAGCGGUUUUUGGUUUUUUUUUUUUUUUUUUUGGAUUUUGGCUAGUUAGGCUUAGAGGUGCAAGGACUUGUGAAAGAGAAGCAUUUGAUUGACCAACGAGUAAUUAGUUUCUCCUCAAGCAUCCCACCACUUUUCUAUUAAAGAAAUACAGGUACGUCUACGCUAUUACUUUUCAUGUCCUUUUACUUAAGAUAUUUAUAUAAAUAUAUAUAAAAAUAAAUAAGAUCCAUCUUUGGUAAUUUUUUUUAAAAUCAAAUCUGUGAAUAUUCAUUUCAUCUCUAAAGUUUUGCGUUUUGUUACUUUUUAAAAUUCCCUCCAUGUUACUAUUACACUCCUAUAUUUGUGUUGUAAUUAUGAUGUCCUUUUUCUAUGGUCUGUUAAAGUUAAUUUAAAUCCUUUUUUGCUCUUGGUUUAUGUUGAAGAAAUGGAAGAGUUUUUUAGCCUUAAUAGAUCUGGAGUACCUUAAUCGCUCUUGCAUUUUGUGAUUCUGUUCUUUUUCUAUUUUGAAGAGUGUCCUGAGUAAUUUUUAGGAUUUUUAUUUUAUAGUUUUUGUCGCUUGCAUUUAAACACGAACUUGGUUGUUGAACUGGGAUUCUUGAAUAAUUGUUGGUUUUGUUUUCUGAAGAAGUGAUCUUAUAUUUGUGUAUCUCUAUGUGCAACUUUAAUAUGGGGUUAUUAAGGAUGGAGAUAAAGGAGGAAGAAUGGAGAGAGAAAAGGCAGAAAUGACUUAAUUGUUGGGAUGAGUAUGACCCCAUGUCUAGUAGUUCCCAAGUAUGAUAUAGGAAGGCAGAGAGUCAAGGCCUUGUCUGACUCUAAUAGAAGUAAGUAGCUAACGCAACGCAAUAUUCUUUGCACCUUCAGUCUGUGAAUCUGAGGAGCAAGAGUUUGGCCAGAGGAGCUAGUCUCGUAACUGCGGGCGCAGUUCUAGUUCUUUACAAGACAGAUGGGAACUGUAGCUAACAAGUGUGCCCUGAGUGGAAUCCUACCACUACUCUUUCUACUAUAUUGGCAGGACGGGUGCCAAGUUAUUAGUAGCUAGGCAGCUAAGCCAGUAGUAGUUCAGUUCAGGUGCUGUUCUCAAACCUAGUUGACUACGUUGUAGCGUAGCGGUACGGGACAGAAAAAGAAUUGAUAGCGGUACACUGAACACAAAGAAAUUUGAUAGACAUAUGUUGAGAGUUCGACAAGUAGCACUGAAUCUACUAUCAGUAGUGAUUUAUAGAAGUUGACUCGCUUAAACGAAGAGAGUGAACAAAGCAUAGCGGAGUGAAGAGAGAAAUGGUUUCAUUAGAUAGCUCUCUCGAUGUCCUUGUUAUCUUUCCUAGGUAGAUUGUGACUUAUUCAUUCUUUCUCGCUGACUCUAGUUUCCCCGCCGUGGAUCCUUUCUCGGUUAGGGCUGUAAUUUAGAAUUCAGAAACGUAUCUGUCUUAUUAUCUUUGAGUCAAAGCAAUGUUACAUAUUUAUAUAGAGAAUAAACUAAACCCUAGAGACUAUGUAAAAUUACAAUAAAGGACAUAUGUGUAUAUAUAUAUAUAUAUCAUAACACUCCCCCUCAAGCUGGAGCAAAUAUGUCGAUCAUGCCCAGCUUGUUGCACAGAUAGCUUAUCCUUGUUCCAUUUAAAGCUUUAGUUAGAAUAUCUCCCAAUUGUUCUCCGGUCUUCACAUAUCCUGUGGACACCAACCCAUCUUGGAUUUUCUCACGAAUGAAGUGACAAUCCACCUCAAUAUGUUUAGUUCGUUCAUGAAAUACUGGAUUAGAUGCAAUAUGAAGUGCAGCUUGAUUAUCACACCAUAAUUUAGCUGGCACGGUAAUACUGAAGCCUAUCUCAGAUAAUAGUUGGUGAAUCCAUACUAUUUCACACACAGAUUGUGCCAUAGCUCUAUAUUCUGACUCAGCACUCGAACGAGAAACAACAUUUUGUUUCUUACUCUUCCAUGAAACUAAGUUUCCACCUACAAAAACACAAUAUCCAGAAGUCGAUCUCCUAUCCUCACGAGACCCCGCCCAAUCAGCAUCAGAAAAACAUUCAACUCUCGUAUGUCCAUGAUCUUUGUAUAGGAUCCCACGUCCAGGAGCAGCUUUUAGAUAACACAAAAUCUGCUCUACUGCAGCCCAAUGAUCCACUGUAGGGGAAGACAUGAAUUGACUUACAACACUUACAGAAUAUGCAAUGUCUGGUCGAGUCACUGUUAAGUAGUUCAACUUCCCAACUAAUCUCCUAUAUCUCUCAGGAUCUUUACAUAAUUCUCCUUCUUUAACAAGUUGCUGAUUUGGCAUCAUUGGAGUGCCACUUGGUUUGGCGCCUAAUUUUCCUGUUUCAGACAACAAAUCAAGUACAUAUUUUCGUUGAGACAAAUAAAUACCUUUCUUGCUUCUCAUCACUUCAAUGCCCAAAAAAUAUUUCAAUUGGCCCAAAUCUUUUGUAUAAAACUGACCCUGAAGGAAAGUUUUGAGAGACGAAAUACCCAAUGCAUCAUUUCCAGUAAUAACAAUAUCAUCAACAUAUACAACUAGUAGAACUAUACCCUUCUCAGAUCGGCGAUAGAAAACUGAAUGAUCAGAUGUACUCUUCUUCAUACCAAAGCAUACAAGGGCUGACUAAACUUACCAAACCACGCACGAGGACUCUGUUUCAAACCAUACAGAGAUUUUCGAAGGCGACAUACUUUAUCACUCUCCCCCUGAGCAACAAACCCUGGUGGUUGUUCCAUAUAAACUUCCUCUUGAAGAUCACCGUGAAGAAAAGCAUUCUUAAUGUCAAGUUGAUGCAACGACCAUUUAUUGGUAGCAGCCAUGGAAAGAAAUAGGCGAAUGGAAGUUAACUUGGCAACCGGAGAGAAUGUAUCUGAAUAAUCAGUGCCAUAGAUUUGAGCAUAACCUUUGGCAACAAGGCGAGCCUUUAAACGAGCCACUGUUCCAUCAGGAUUCAUCUUGACAGCAAACACCCAUUUACAACCAAUGGCCUUCUUUCCUGCAGGACGAGAUACCAAAUCCCAAGUAUCAUUAUCAUCUAAAGCAGUCAUCUCCUCAAUCAUUGCAUUUUGCCAGCGAGGAUGAGACAAAGCUUCAUGAACAGAGUUAGGAAUAGAUGUGGACUCAAGAGACGUAAUAAACGCAUAUGUGGAGGGAGAUAACUGGUGAUAGGAAAUAAAGGAAGAAACGGGGUAAGUACACUUGCGUUUACCUUUGCGAAGAGCAAUGGGAAGAUCAUCACUUGGCGCUGGAUCACAUGAUGAAGGAAGCAUUGAUGGAGGACAUGAGUCUGAAGGUUGUGGUGGAGGUCGUCGGGAGUAGACUUGAGAAAUCAACGGGCGGGAAGGAGGCACAUCAGUAGACAAGGAUGGUGUGGGAGAGGUAACCUCAUAUAUAAAAAGAUUGUCAUCCUCCCCCUGACACAAACUCGAUGGUGAUGAAGUAAAGGGUGUAUCUUCAAAAAAGACAACAUCAGGCGAAACCAGAUACCUUUUAAGGGUAGGACAAUAACAACGAUAACCCUUUUGAACACGUGAAUAACCCAAGAAGAUACACUUCAAGGAUUUGGGAUCUAACUUAGUAUGAUGAGGACGAACGUCACGAACAAAACAGACACAACCAAAUAUCUUAGGAGCAAUAGGAAACAAAUGCUUGGUAGGAAAAAGAACACGAUAGGGAAUCUCACCAUUAAGAACAGAGGAAGACAUUCUAUUAAUCAAAAAACAAGCUGUAGAGACAGCAUCAACCCAAAAGAUUUUUUAAACAUGCAUUUGAAACGAUAAAGCACGGGUAGUUUCAAGUAAAUGCCUAUUUUUCCGCUCUGCAACACCAUUUUGAGAUGGAGUGUCAGCACAGGAAGAUUGAUGAAUAAUGCCAUUUUCACACAAGUAAGAGCCAAGAGAAUGAGAAAAAUAUUCACCCGCAUUAUCAGUACGCAAAGUUUUGAUAGAGACAUUAAAUUGGUUUUUUAUUUCAGUAUGAAAGGCACAAAAAUGAGAUAAUAACUCAGAACGAUUUUUCAUUAAAUAUAACCAAGUUAGACGAGAAUGAUCGUCAACAAAAGUAACAAAAUAACGAAAGCCUGUUUGAGAUACAACUGGACACGGACCCCAAAUAUCAGAAUGAACUAACUCAAAUGGAGCAAUUGCUCGUUUAUCGACUCGAGGACUCGAACUAAGACGAUGAAAUUUCGCAAAUUGACACGAAUCACAAUUUAAAGAGGACAAAGACCUAAAUUCUGGAUAAAGUUUCUUCAACACGAACAAAGAUGGAUGACCUAAACGACAAUGGACUUCAAAAGGAGAGGGAACGACAGGACACGCCACAGCUUGCGAUACUUGAUGAUCAAAGAGAUAAAGGCCUCCUGACUCAUAUCCUCUACCAAUAAUCUUCUUCGUCACACGAUCCUGAAACAAGCAAUAACCAGAAAAGAACAUGACAACACAAUUUAGGUAGGUCAUGAGUAAGUUGACUAGUAGAAAUUAAAUUAAAGGAUAAGUUAGGCAAAUGUAACACAGAAGAGAGUGAAAAUGAUGGGGUAAGGUGAAUAGUGCCAGAGCCAAGAACAGAAGAUGUGGAGCCAUCGGCCAAUGUAACCGAUGGAAAAGGGGCAGGGGACAACGGUCUAGAAAAUAGGUGAGAAUUACCUGUCAUAUGAGCUGUGGCACCAGAGUCUAUGACCCAUUUGGUAGAUGAUGUAAGAAGACACUUUAUAUUACCUGGGGCAACAGUGGAUGCAAUCAGAGUAGAGGAAGAUGACGCUUGUAAUGACUCUUGGUAAUUCUGAAACUUAGCAAACUCAUCUGCCGAAAUAGUAACUGACGCCUCUGGUAUAUCACAUGUGGAGGCUAUCUGAGCAUGUUGAGAUCGUUGACUAUUCUUAUAUAGCAAUUUCUGACAAUCACGUUUCAUAUGGCCUGGCUUACGACAGUAGUUACAAACAAUCUCUACAGACUCUGGUUUUCGAUGAUCAGUACUAUUCCUCUGAGGUGCCCGAGGGUUAUUGUUAUUGUUCUUGCUAAAGAGAGCACUACUGGGUUGAGGAAUAGACACACUAGUCGGAGAGCUUUCAAUGCGAAGGACUCGAGUGAAGGCAUCAUCUAAUGAUGGAAUCUUGGAGUCAGAGAGAAUCUGUGUCUUUGCCAUUCCAAAUUCAGGUAAGAGUCCAUUCAGGAAAAUCAUAACAGCCAUCUUCUCUCGUUGAACUUGUUGAACUUUAACAUCAGGACUAAAAGGUAACAACAAGCCAAGCUCGACAAUGAUCUUCUUAAGCCGCAUAAAGUAGCUGGUGACAGACUCAGCUUUCUGUUCCGCACGAGAAAAUUGCAUACAAACUUCAAACAUUCUAUGCACUUGCUCUUUACCUGAGUAUAGAAAAUCCAAAAAUUCCAAAAGUUCUUUAACAGACUCACAGUGAUCAACCAAUCCAAUUAUCUCACUCUCAAUUGAAUUCUUGAUCUGAAGAUAUAAACGGGCAUCAUCACGAAGCCAAUCCUUCUUCUGCUUUGCAUCUUUUGGGAGAUCGAGUUUCAAACCUUUAUACACAAAAUUGAAACUCAAAAUUCACUUCCUUCCUUCCGCAAGGCCGAUAUCUUUCAUAGCAAGCAAGGAUGAGUCCAUUAGGUUCUUCGAUUGAUUCGGAAAAGAAAUGAGAGACAAGAAAAGAUCUUUGAUGGAGAUGAAAAGGAAGAAUCUCAAAUAGACCAAGAUCCAAUUUCGGGUCAUUUCUUGGUGAACAUGAUCUGCCAUAAUCUCUUCGAUCCCUGAAUUUAUGUGCCAGAAUAAAGAGAGAUUUGGUAGGAAAGUGGAAGAGACCUUGUGGUAUAUAAUAAUGAGAGGGAGUGGGAAAGCUGCUGUAAUUCUUUGGAAAAGCCCGGUUCUUUUUGUCUUCGAGCUUGAAUUCCUCAAUCCACUCUUUCGUUCUUUCAUAUACCUCCCCACCAAUAGAUAGAGACAAAUAGGAAUAACCGAACCACGUCUACAAAAUGCCAGUACCAUGCAGCUGCUUCAAAGCCAAUGUGAUGCUCCUUGGUCGGAUGACCUAGAUAUUGGCGAAUACCACAUACGAUCAAGAAAAGAGUACCUAUAAUCACAUGAAAACCAUGAAAGCCAGUUGCUAAGAAAAAGGUAGAACCAUAAAUACUAUCCGAAAUAGUGAAGGGUGCUUGAUAAUAUUCCAUUCCUUGAAAGCCUGUGAAUACUAGAGCCAGUGAAACGGUAGCUACUAAAGCGUAAACAGCUCGUUUUUCCUUCCCCGCGAGUAUAGCAUGAUGAGCCCAAGUUACGGCUGCUCCGGAUGAAAGGUGAAUAGGGGUGUUAAGAAAAGGGAUUUCCCGAGGAUCUAAAACCCCAAUCCCUUUUGGGGGCCAAAUAUCUCUGAUCUCUACCGUAGGUGCCAAAGAAGAAUGAGAAGAAGCCCGAAAGAAGCAAAAAGGAACAUAACCUUCGAUACGAUAAAGAGAAUAAAACCAUAUCGAAGUCCUAUUUUUACGACUUUGGUAUGAUGUCCUUCCAACGUGGAUUCACGUAGAACAUCGCGCCACCAUACGAACAUGGUAUAUAGGAGAAAUAUGAGGCCCAAACUGAGAAGUCUUGCACCCCCUUGAAAUGAGUGCAUGUACAUCACACCUCCUACGGUGGUUGCCAAAUGAUAAGAAUGCCUCUGAGAUUCAAUCAUAAACCACUUUGCCUCGGUUGUAUGUAAACCCCCCCUUCACCCCCACCCGCUAAAGUGGUAAAGAAGGGCUCUUUGGGGUCUCAUUUUCUUUCUAUCUGACAGGACUCAAAAAUAGGAAGGGAUGGUUCUUUCAUUGCAUUGAUAGAAGUCUAACUAGAAAAAGAUCUCGUUGCUUUGACCGAGCCCUAGGCUUUCCUUGGAUAGAGCCCUCUAUAUUCCGACUGAUUUAUGGCGUAGAAGGCGGGAAUAGGAAUCACUCAUAUUGCAUUGAGCCUUAACAGUCCGGAGGACUAUCCCGCUCCGUGGGAUUCUUUGAGCCUCACAAUAUUCUUUGCACCUAUCCAUCCACGGCAAUAUUCUUUGCACCUUCGCUCCAAAUAAAGUAAUAGCCGCAACUCAAUUCAUUUCAGCCUUCGCCUAGAAAUUCACUUUGCGACCCACUCUGUAAGCCCACUACACGAGAAGAAAGAAUAUCCUUAGCUAUUUAUCUUUAUUAUCUCUUCUCUGAGAAUAUCCUCUUAUUCUACUAUUAGAAGAAUAUCCUACUUUCAGUUUCUAGUCAAAGAAAGGUCCAGGCGCAGGCGCAAAGAAUAUUGCGAGGUGCAGUCUAAUGGAUAGGACUGAGGGCUCGACUGAAAGGAGAGAAGGCGCAAUUCAAUAUGCGAGGUCCAUAUUCCGACUGAGGAACUGAAACUUCCGCGUAGUGCUUCCCUUGUUCAUUGAUAGUAAUCCUGAAGUUUCUUCUUGGCAUCAAAAUAGAUCAAUGAAAGAGGACUAAAAAUAAGACGAAAGUACUUAUGACGGCUUUCCUUCCCAACAAAUCUUCGUUCUUAGUUAUUUGAUUCCACUUUCAAACUUUCUGGGAGUUGUCUUCUCCUAGGCUUUCUUCUUUCUGGCAGUCUUCUGCCUUGCCGUAGGGAGUAGGUUCAGGAGAACCAUAACCAUAAAUCAGAGAGACGGAGGCAUCAAUCACGCAAUAUUCUUUUGCACCUCUUCCUUUAAGCUAUAUUUUUUUAGGCUCCGGAGGCUCAAAGACAGGGAUAUUGUUGAAUACUAUUAGUUCGAGUCGCAGAGAGCAAAGAAUUUUCUCUUAAUGGAACUUAGCGCGGGUUAAUAUGGAUAGGACUGAGGUCUUAAGACUCCUAACUAUUAAUGGAAAGGACCCACGGAGCGGUGCAAAGAGAUAUAUAUAGAAGGGCAGACAGGUCCUGAGGACCUGUCUGUCCUUCGGUCUUAAUACUCCUAACGUCGAAUAAGAAGCUGGAGGCUGGGUCCAGGUGCAAAGAAUAUUGUGUCCAUUAGAUCCAUUGAAUUAGGCGAAGGAUUUUAUCAAGCUUAGCUUUCUGGAUUCUUCGGCGGAGUGAGGCUUUCUCUAGUAGGUCUGGAGGCACAAAGAAUGAUCGAAGGCUCCAGACCAUAAAGAAGAGAGUCGGAGGACUUCCAUUGACUUUUUCUUCCUUUCACUUCUAACUUCAAACCUUUCAUAUUCAACCUUGAAAAUAAAGGAGGGAGCGGACUACGGAGGCCAUAAGUUUGAGUUCCUCAGAUGUAUAAAAACAAGUCCUCCGGACGACCUAUCCACUGAAAGUAGCUACGUAGUCUUGUCUCCUUCCCCGCGUAGUGGGCAUUGACUUCUUCAUUGAUUUUCUUCUAUCUCCCACGUAGCGGGUUUGAAUUAUGAAAGGAAGCCCACAGAGCUGAAGAUGGAGCGGGAUAAUAAAGAAGAAAGCUCAAAAGGAGGGAGCGGACCUCAAUGAACAAGGGGAGGACUCGUUUUCAUCCUUAUGGAAGAAAAAUCUCUUUUUUUUUUAUCUAAAAGACGUAGAAGGAGGCUCAAUGUCUAAUCUUUCUCUCAAAUCAAUAUCUCCCAGUGCAAAUAUUCCAGCAAUAUUCUCAAUAUGAAAAGAGCCUUUCUUCUUUUCUUAGAUAAAUGCGCUUCGUAGAUUAUGCUGAAGGAGGAGUGGGCCAUGAUCUUUGCUCCUUAAUUUCCCUAAUGGAUAGUCAUCUGGACCUUUCUUUUUAGUUCUUUGCGCUCUCGUCAACGCAUAUUUCAUUGCGCCUUCGCCUUCAAUGAAAAUCCAUAAAUAAAUAAGGGUAGAUUUCAGACUCAAGAGGAGGGUUCCUUAUCAAUAUCAAUAUGAGACGGAUAGGCUUUCUUUUACAUUCCACAGGUCCGAAGGACUAUCCAUAUUAACAUGUCUGUCCUUCGCCUAACUAGUUUCAUAUAGACCUUUGUUUUUCUUCCGCAGUCACUAAUAUGGAUAGUCCGGAGGACCUCCUUCAGCAUAAUCUAUGAAUGAUCGGAGCAAAGAAUAUUGCGGAAAAGAAGAAAGGAGUGCAAGCGAAAAAUAAUGGAUUGAAUAGUCCUUCGGACGAACUACCGCACUUGGGGGAUAUUGUUGAGAAAGAAUAUUGAAAAAGAAUGAUCGAAGAAUAUUGAAAAAGGACGGAGGAUAGGCUUUCUUUGAACAAUGUGGAUGUAUCAAAGAUUCCACAGGUUAAUAUGGUAGAUUUCAGACUAGUCCUUCACCUUGGAUCUGGGGACUAUUCUCUGUUCUAAUAGACAGAGGAGAGGUUCAAAGAAUAUUGAGAAUACUCGUGCAAGCGCAAUCAAUGAACAAGGUGAAAAGAAUAAAAAAAAAGGCGGUCGAUGAUCAGGAAGAAAAAGUCAAAAGUCUAUCCCAUCUUCUUCGUUAGGCGCAAAGAAGAAAAACAAGGUGCAAAGAUCUAUGGCCCAAUUAUAAGGGGUCCAGAUGCACCAUAAGACUGGUCCGAAGGACUAUCCAUAUUAACCGGAGUCUUCAACAAGAUUUCCAACAUUGAAUAUUAAGCUACUGAGGCCCAAUAUUGCGAAGGAAGAACUGCGCCAUAAGACAGGUCCGAAGGACUAUCCAUUAGGGAAUGAGACGGAGGUAACGUUUGGUUUUUUGGAAACUUGUUGGUCGCGGAUUAGUGCGUUUUUUUUGGAAAGUAACAAUUCUCUUCAGUUUGGUUUCAGAAAACUUGUUGGUCACGGAUUAGUGCGUUCUGCGCCGCCUGGUGUCACGAACAUAUUUUUCCAAAGUGUGUUUACCUUUGGUUAUAUGCUCCGAUUACCCCCAGUUUAUCUCAUCUUUAGUUUGCAUAACUAGUUUAGCUGAUUGCUUUUCAUUCUAGGUCAUAAAGCUUGGGUGUGACGUUUCGGCAUUUUCAUAUGCAAGCCUGCCAGAGAGGAAAAUGUUCAAAAUGUACUAUAGGGGAGGCAUACCAGUUGAAUCCCCGCCCAAGCAUUAGUUGUACUCUUUGCAAGCAACCCUUUUUCCUUGCAAUUGACAGUCUUUAAUGCUUAUUGUAACGUCUAUUUCAAUGUAUUUCUUUCUUUCCCGUGUUUUAUAAAUAAAAUGUCCCUAAAACGCAAACGAAGGUUACGACAUACAUCGACGUUACCCACAACUCUUGGAUAUUGAUCGACUGACUUGUUCAUCGAGUUAGAACAAGUGCCGCACAAUCGUCCGUCUCGAGGUUGAAACGCUACGAUUGUGACAAGUGGUAUCAGAGCCAAAGUUGGCUGAGUGACAGUUUUGACAAAAAUAAAAUGUCGACUGCAAAACGAGCGAGCAAGACCCAUGAAGAACGGUUGGUGGGGAUCGAAGUGCAGAUGCUCCACCUGAUGGAAGUUCCUGAUUCCAUCCGGUUCUUGGAAUAGCGGCUUGAGGAUAUUGCCAAGAAAGCUGAUGGCAUUGAAGCCGUGUCCGGUCGCCUUGACGGACUACCCAUCCAAGAGUUACUGACUAGAGUCGACACUCUAGAGUCCCGAGUUAUGAGAACGGGAAAUGUCACCUACGAGCGUGGGGACAGUUCAUCGGGCUCUGUUGCCCAGAUGGAAGAACGAGUUAUGGAGCUUGAUAACUCGCAAAAGAACAUGUUGGAGAUGAUCAGCGGCAUGACAAAGGAUUUUCGAGCAACCCUCGAUGUCGUGAGGAAUGAGCUCGCAGAGGUAAGCACGAGGGUGAACCUUACUAUGCGAGCACUAGAAAAUCAGGCUCUAGCUGGAGGAGCCAUUCCUGUGGGCAGAAUCAAGAUUCCUGAGCCCAAGCCCUUCUGUGGGGCGAGAGAUGCCAAGGCGUUGGAAAACUUCAUCUUUGAUGUCGAGCAGUAUUUCAAAGCCACGAACACAAUUACUGAAGAGGCCAAGGUGACGUUGGCAACCAUGCAUCUGUCAGAAGAUGCGAAGUUAUGGUGGAGGUCCCGAUACAUGGACAUUCAAGAAGGGCAUUGCACAAUCGACACGUGGGAUGCCCUAAAAGGAGAACUCCGUUCGCAAUUUUCCCUGAGAAUGUCGAAAUUCUGGUCCGACGGAAGCUGCGUGAAUUGAAGCACACGGGGAACAUUCGGGACUACGUGAAACAGAUUGCGGGGGUAAUGUUGGAUAUACGCGACAUGAUCGAAAAAGAUAAAAUAUUCAGCUUUGUUGAAGGGUUGAAGCCAUGGGCAAGGACUAAGCUAUACGAGCAGAAAGUCCAAGACCUCGUGUCAGCCUAUGCAACAGCUGAACGUUUGUUUGAUCUGUCUAAUGACGUUCAAGAGACAAGACAUCAUUGAAGCUCUUCACCUGGAAGAGACAGAAACAGCCGACUGAGUUCUCCCGAAGCUGUCAGUAGAAAUAAAAGUCCCGGCAGAGACCGCAAGCCCUUCCAGUCAAAUACGGGGAACACCAGGCAAAGGCCCACUAGUCAAAGGACCUCCCACACUCCUAUCAUGUUGCUACAUUUGUAACAGGCCACAUCGGACAAGGGAAUGUCCGGAUAAAGCGGCCUUCUACGCCUUCCAGGCCUCUCUGGCUACAGACUUAGGUGACAAGUUGGGUCAACCAGAGAAUGAAGGUGGGUAGGUGGAGGAAGUCCAAAACGUUAGAGUAGGGGCCAUAAGACUCUUGUCGUUCCUUCAGAAUAAAGCAGGGGAGACAAGUGGUCGUACAAAAGGGGGCCUAAUAUAUGUGGACACCUGGAUCAACCGAAGGCAUGCAAAGAGCACUAUGGUUGACUUCAGUGCAACCCAUAAUUUUAUAACGGUGGCGGAAGCCAGACGAUUGAACCUUCACUAGAAGAAGGAUACAGAAAGAUGAAGGCCGUAAAUUCUACAGCUUUACCCGUCGUCGGAGUAGUGAAACGAGCGGUGAUACAGUUGGAAAGAUGGAACGGCCUUGUUGACUUUGUGGUUGUGGGCAUGGAUGACUUUGAUGUAGUUCUCGGAAUGGAAUUCCUUCUCGAACAUCAAGUGAUCAUGAUGCCUGCAGCCAAAUGUCGGUGAUCACGGGAUCUACCCCACCGUUAUGCAGAUACCCCCACCAUUAUGGCAGAUAGAACUCCGGCAACCCAAAGGAUUGAGAAUGGUCUCGACCAUGCAACUGAGGGAGGGCCAUAUUCAGGAAGGACACAAGGCGUGUCGUGGAGAGACGUUGUGAUGGGAAACAGGAUAGUUUGCCCAUGUCAGAAUCGCCUACGAGAAAUGAUCAUCGUAUGGCGCAAUCAAAAUCAUCUGGACUCAGGAGACAGUCAAGAAGACUGUCAGGUGCAGGAUCCACUAGACCUGCGAGAGAUCCGUAUCAAGCACAAGACUUCUUACGGAAGGAAGAGAAUGGACAAUUGUGUGUCAACAACCGUGUCCUAAAGCAAGCCCCGAGGAGAGGGCCAACUUUUGAGUCCGUGAGUGGGACUCAGCCUGUUGAAGCUUACGCUAAGGCAUAUGGUCCUGUGUCAGGUGGCAUCCUAAUGCAGAAUGGACACCCUGUCACAGCUGAGAGUCAGAAACAAAGUGCCGCAGAAGGUAGUUAUACGAUGUUUGGAAAAGGAAUGCUGACCACGAUACGUAGUCUGAAGGAUGGAAGACAACAUUCCCAGGGGUCUACACAUGGAAGAGAGACGAACAACAUUGCGACCAACCGCUUUGAUACUCGGCCGAAGUGGGCUUUGAGUCAAGAAAAGUGGCAGAGGGACGUGUCAAGGAAUCCUUGCAGAAAAACUCUGUCAUUGAAGUUGAUGUAAGUCUGGCGGAGACCAGUCAGGUGGAAGAAAAGAAUGGAGUUCAAUUGUGGAAGCUAACCCAAUCUUAUGUUAAUGCUGCAAUGAGUUCGUCAAUGGAUGGAAACCAGUUUGUGGGUGUUUGUGGCGGACAUUCUGUACAGUCCCGCCUUGUUGGUCCCUCCUAUGUUGGUAAGAAUCCUCAAGCUUGCAACAGUACCAAGAGGUGGAAGCUGGAGUCAGACAUCGUUCGGACCGAUCGAGAGGAAGCCUCGAAGUGGCCAGAAAAGUGGGCAGAUAAGAAGCAUCGCCUCCGUGAUUCCCGUGGGGGAGACCAGGUCAUCGUCAAACGGCGAUCUGAACUGACUCAGUUUUUGAAGAAGACUUCAAGAUCACUGCCUCGUGAGAGAACGCGAGGGACAAACAGAAGUUCAAGAAGUCCUUGCUAAAGAAGCAAGGAAAAGAAGAAGACCCAUGGGGGGAUACACAAGUUCGUGGUGAAGCAGAGGAGCCUCCUCAUGGAAGAAGCCUGUGGAAGACGUACCAAGACUGUGAAGCGUGGAGGUAGAAGAUCGAAGGAUUCCAGCUUUGCCAGUCGACGGGGACGUCAACUGUUUAAGUGGGGGAGUGUGUCACGGACAUAUUUUUCCAAAGUGUGUUUACCUUUGGUUAUAUGCUCCGAUUACCCCUAGUUUAUCUCAUCUUUAGUUUGCAUAACUAGUUUAGCUGUUUGCUUUUCAUUCUAGGUCAUAAAGCCUUGGUGUGCGUUUCGACAUUUUCAUAUGCAAGCCUGCCAUAGAGGAAAAUGUUCAAAAUGUACUAUAGGGGAGGCAUACCAGUUGAAUCCCCGCCCAAGCAUUAGUUAUACUCUUUGCAAGCAACCCUUUUUCCUUGCAAUUGACAGUCUUUAAUGCUUAUUUUAACGUCUAUUUCAAUGUAUUUCUUUCUUUCCCGCGUUUUAUAAACAAAAUUUCCCUAAAACGCAAACGAAGGUUACGACAUACAUCGACGUUACCCACAACUCUUGGAUAUUGAUCGGCUUACUUGUUCAUCGAGUUAGAACAAGUGUCGCACAAUCGUCCGUCUCGAGGUUGAAACGCUACGAUUGUGACACCCGACGGCCACAUAGAAUUGAGAAAAGCCUAUGGUUGAGGCAGCAUUAAUUUAUGAAACUUUACACGUGGGAAGGGAUGACUCUUUCUAUUCAAACCUGUAAACAUAGAAGACCGCCUCAAUGAACAAGGGAUCAUUCACAUAGAAUAAAUAUGAACAACGAGAAAGGGAAUAUAAGGUUUGAAUUCAGAGGAAAGCCUAGCUUGAAUGAACAAGGUGAAAAGAAUAUUGACAGCUGCACUUACGAGUCUUUCAGUUACCUUUCUGCCUCUUUAAAGAGAGUUCAAGGUUUUCUAUUAUCGAAAGAAUCAGAAUAAGAAGAAAAUAGAGGAAGACAGAGAGAAGAGAGCUCAGGAGGCGCAAUGAAAUAUGCGUGAGAAGCGCAUUUCCUUAGUGGAAUACUUUGAUAGCGGAAUAAGAAGUCGGAGGCUCGGUCAAGACGAUCUUUUGAUCUAUUCUAAUGGUUCUAAUGGAUAGUCCUUCGUUUUAGAGUCCUACAGAUAAAUCCUCCGGACUGGUCCGAAGGCUAGGUUCAUACGGAUAGUCAGGAGGACGGUUAGUUGGAGCCUUGUUUUUCGAAAUCUUCUUUGAGCCUCAGUCGUCUCAUUGAUAAGGACAUCUUUGCAAAUGAAGAGCGGGAGGUGCAAAGUGCGGCUAUUACUUUGAAAAGAAUAGGAGCUCCGCGGUUUGAAUUGAAUAAAAAGGAUAGGCUGAAAUUCAAAGUGAAUAAGAGGAUAUUUUCAGAUAUAAUAUCUAAAGUCAAUGAACAGGGGCUCCUAACCUCUGAUUUAUGGGGAGCCUACUACGUCCAUUAGUUCCGAACUUGGCUCCACUCCUAGUAGUUCGAACUUGGCUUUGCUCCUUCGCUUUUUCUCUUAUUGAUCUCUCUUGUAAUGCUUUCUACUAAGAAUCAAGAAAGCGCAACUUCUAUUUUGUUCGAACGACCUUGAUUAAAAAACGAUGCUUCCUUGGUCGUGUAGAACAUGGAUUAGCAUUAUUUCAUUCCUACAAGCGAUCCCCCAUCCAGGAUUGGAAGAAGUGCUAUAUGAGGACUUUGAGAUCAAAUAGAAUAUAUUUCUUUCAAGACCUCGUGAGCCACUUAUUUCUCUGAAACAAGAGAGAAAAGUGAUUUUCCUCCUUUUUCUCAAUAAGUCGACGACCUUACACCAUUGGGAUACUUCUUUGAAACUAGAGUACAUAUAGGAUACACCGGUGCUAAAACCUUUUCUCAAAAGAUCUUCCAAACUGUUGGGGUCCUUGCUCCGUAUGUUCUUCCCCCGGUGUGAAAGCAGUUGGUUCCAUAGUUUGAGAAUUCUACUGAUCCCAAGUACUCCAUCUCCAUCAUUGCAUAUGGGAAUAUAGAAAGUCAAGAAGAAAAGGCAUGAGCAGAAGAAUUGUGUGAAAUAAGUCAAUUUAUCCAAUUGAGGCAUUCUUUCUUUUUCUUAAGAAAAUUCCCUCUAGACAUAAAUCCUUUCUGUACGAGUAGUGAAGAACUAUAGAGAGUAGUGGUUGGUUGUUGACCAACGAAAAGCAUGGGAGAAAGAAAGAUGUUGGCAAGGAAGCAUCAAAUUAGAUCAAUGGAAGAGGCUCAAAGAAUGAUCGAGGACUAUUUUAGUUCGACUAGAAACUAGGGAAACUAAAGACUAACGAAAUCUAGAUGAGAAUCCGUACAAUUAGUCUCGAGAAAAAGAAGAAAGCAAUAAAAAAAGUGAAGACAGAAAAUGAACCGAAAAUCUUCUUCUCUCAUAUUGAAUUCAUCCUUCUACGCAUCUCCAUGGGCUCGACUGAGAGUGGAGGAGAGGACGGGAAGAAUGAGAAAAAUAGUAAGGCGAGAAGACAGGUUCGAAGGACUAUCCAUCAGGGAGUUUGGACCCCGUAGUUAGGAGCAAAGAAUAUUGCGAAAGAGUCAUAAUAGGUACAAAUCUUCUUAUAGAUUAUGUUGAAGGAGGCGGCGCAAUUCAAUAUGCGAAAGUCAUGAUCCCUUUAAAGCAGACGUUAGGCGCAAAGAAAGAAGCUCAUUAACGAGAAUGAAAGAAUAAUUCACUCAUUAACGAGAAUGAAAGAAUAAUUCACUCAUUAACGAUAAUGAAAGAAUAAUUCUGAUUUCAUCACCUUGUUUUUACGGAGUUCAAUACUAGAUUGAAGACGGAGGGAAAUCCCAGAUUUUGCUAGGUUUUGGGCCUAUAAAGUAGCAAGAAAUCAUGAAAAAUCAGUCAAAAUUAGACAAUUAUCGUAGCAUAUCAAUAUGAGAAAAAGUAUGAAAAAGAAGCAAAAAAGUCGGGAAAUAGCAAUUCAAGAAGAAAGCCUAGGACAGGGAAAAGAAAUGAACACUUCUAGUUUGAGUUUAUGGUCCGGAUACUGACAGGUCUAUUCUUUAUUCCGCUCCUGAAUACGGAUAAUCCUACUUCGGUUAAUUACGGAUAGUCCUCCUUCGGUUAAUUACGGAUGGUCCUACGGAUAAAUCCUCCAGACUACUUCCUUCCAUAUGGAUGGUCCUACUUCGGUUAAUUACGGAUGGUCCUACUUCCAUAUGGAUGUCCUACGGAUAAGAAUCCUGCAGACUCCGGACUACUUUGGUUAAUUACGGAUGGUCCUACGGAUAAAUCCUUCGGACUCCGGAUAAAUCCUGCGGACUCCGGACGUACGACGUAGGAUAAAUCACCUGGACCUUUCUUUGGCACUACGGACUACUUCGGUUAAUUACGGAUGGUCCUACGAAUAAAUCCUCAAGACUCCGGGUCGUAAGACGUAGGAGAAAUCCUGCGGACUCCUUCCUUCCAUAUGGAUGGUCCUACGGAUAAAUCCUCCAGACUACUUCAAUUAAUUACGGAUGGUCCUACUUCCAUAUGGAUAGUCCUACUUCAAAUGGAUAGUCCUCCGGAUAAAUCCUGCGGACGUAGGACCCUGGACCUUUCUUUCUUUAAUGGAUAGUCCUCCAGAUAAAUCCUGCAAACUGCGGACGUAGGACCCUGGACCUUUCUUUGGCACUCCGGACGAAUAAAGAAAGGAUAAAUAAAGGCGCAAAGAAUAUUGCGAAGUGAAGCGCAUUUAUCUAAGAAAAGAAGAAAUGAUAAAUAAAGGCGCAAAGAAUAUUGCAAGAGCGGGAAUUACCUUUUCUCUUCGGGUUAGCUAAGAGUUGCCGGAGGCUUGAAGUCGGAUAAUUACUUUUACUUAAAGGUUUCACAAACCUGGAAAAUCUUCUCCAAAUUAGCGUUAGCGUUCUGAGCUAGCCAAGCAGUAUAUUUAAAAUAUAGAAAGAAGAAAAAUCCAUGCAAUCCAAGUACACUAAGAACCUACAGCAUCGUCACCGCUGCGUGGGAAGGUUAAUUCUUCUAACUCUAGUAUUAUCGUUGAACAAGCAGUUCAUAUUCGACUGCCCGCGUAGUGGGGGAAGCUCGCUCGCUAACUUUGCACUUCGGCCAAAAUGCCGAAAAAAGGCUAAGGCCGAAGGAGGUCUGCUCCUUCGCUCAAGGAAAAAUUGCCCGAUUGGAUAUAUAUCUUGGAGCAGAGAGAGGAAAGGAUGACGGAAGCCUCAGUCUCAGUACGAAACGGGCAAAAAGCUGGAAAAGGCAUACUGGCUUCACCUUGCCCUAGGAUGGGGUCCGCCGGAUCUUUUAAGGCAUAAGCUUAAUGCUGAGACGCACGGGGAUAUCCGGUCAAGGAUGGAUAUUCAAGACAAGGACGAAGGCUCUCCUUCACGCAAGAUGAUUACAAGUCUUAGGAGUGAACUUCCGCUUUACCCCUUGUGGUAUCAUGAAGCGAAGGGCAGAGAAAGCGAGCGAGAAAACAUAAAUCAAGGCGGUCGUUGACUUAAAAUAGGCAAAAAGAAAAGACAGAGAGCCUACAGGUUUCUCGAUUUACCCUUCUUUUAGGAUAGAAAAAGGCACUGCCUGUGUGACCACUACAAGCAGACGUGACGAGCGAUGCAGGGCCACCCACGACCGCUAGCAAUACGAGGUAAAGCGGCCAGAAAGCAUACCAUAGGAUGCGUCCUGAGGGCAUUCACAUAAACAUUCUUCGAAUUGUUCACAUUCGGCGGGAUGUUCUUAGCCUUGUCUCCAAGUGAAUAAUUGAAUCGGCACCGACACGAUCGGACCUAUUGCAGCCUUCGGUUGACUGGUGGCAUUCGAUGGUAUGCUUUGAGGCCUUCCCAACCUGCUCCGUGUAAAAGAGGUAGAAGGAGGCUCAAAGAAUUAUCGAAGAGCGAGACGAAAGAAAAUAGCGACUUCCAGUCGGUGAUGGGAUAUCUCAAUGUUAUCGCAGAUUCAAAGGCGCAAAGAAUAUUGCAUUGAGGCUCGAUUGAAAGGAGAGGCGAAUUUGAGAAGAAAGAACUAUAUCGGAUAAAUACUCAACUGCCUCAGAUGUCACUGGGACAAGAGCCGGAGAUUCUGAAACCUCUCGCAGCUUCUUUGCUUCCUUUGGUCUCGAUAUUUGAACCGCCUCAAUAAACAAUAAAUAAGGGUCCAAAAAAUCAAGGUCAUCUGAAACCCUUUUUUUUAUGCGCCUCAAUCCUAUCCAUUAGAACGCCGGCCCUCACCCUUUUUCUCAAAUUCUUUGACCCUCUGUCUCAGUAUUCGGCGGAGAUGCUGAUGUUAACAACAAAUGCAGGCUGAAUGUUGUAUGGAAGGAUGAUCAUUUCGGCUUCUUGUAGCCAUUGAUGUUGUCUAAUGCUUGGAGAGACAUUGUUUAAUGUGACUUUGGACAAGGUUACUGAAGAUAGAACUAUCUGGCUUUAGGUCAGUUUUCAGUUGCUAAGACAGUGAAGCUCUUUCAUCUUUCUGGUAAUACUGUCCCUUGGUUCAAGCUUCUUUGGGGUAAGAAGCACAUCCCUAGUCAUGCUUUUCUUUCGUGGAUGGCUAUGAAUAAGAGUCUGAGAGUCAAAGCUAAACUGUAUAAUCUUUAAGUGCUUUCGUCUUAUUUUGAGGUUUGGAAGCAAAGAAGCAGAGCGGAGUUUGAUUCCUUAUAUCAGAAAAAGAUAUAGGAAGACUCCCAGAAAGAAGAAAGCCUAGGAGCAAGCAAAGAAAGAGUAAGGAUCAGAAAGCUCCUAACCCCUAUUUAUUUAUGGAUGUGAAUUGAGCGAAGGCGCAAAGAAUAUUGCGAAGGUUAAAAGAAUAUUGACUUGAUAAACCUCUAUUUAGCUUCUUAUAUCUGAAGACGAUAAAGUCAGAUAAUCAGCCUCCGGCUGGGUCGGAUCGUCCAUACCUAGUUGAGUAUCUCUGUCCGUCAUAACGAAUUCACUCUUUGAAAAAGGGUCGGACUUUGUUGGAGUUGACUCGGUGAGUACACUUUCAUCUUUACGAGAAGAAGCGCGAACAACAACUAUAUUAUUCAGCGAUAGACCUGAUUUACCCGAUGAGUGGAACGACUCGACAAAAGUCUUAGGACUCGGGACAGACGCGCCUCCUUCCUGCUAGAACUCAUAGGUCUACGGGGGUUCUUUCGGUAGCGAGAAUAGUGGUCCCAAACGGAAUAGAAGUACUUUUGAUUCACUGAAUCAUAAUCUUUGAAAGAAGAAAGGGGGACGGAGGAUCAAUGAAAUUUGAUGAUGAUGAGUAAGCUCUUGCUUUUCUUGCUCCUCUUUCUGAAGUUGCGAGAGGUUCAAAUAUCCUUAUCAAUGAUUGGAGUGAUUGUUCCGGUUGCAAAUGUUGCUGUUGGAGUAGAAGUUGUAGCCCUUUCGGUGAGGUGCAAAUGCUCGACCUCGACCCAUUGGCAUUAGUUGAGGAUGCACUAUCCCUGAUUAUUUUUUAGGAGAAAGCCUCUUUCGUUGGGUUUAGGGGAAAAGACUAAGAAUGAGGUCCCCUCCCCCCAAUUGAGGAACGAGGGCAAAAGCGAAGCCUAUGAAGUGAGUAUGAGCUCGUUCGACCCCCAUGUAGCAGGAAUAGCACCAUCUUCUCUCUUUCAUGAGUAGUUCACUGCACUCAUUAGUAGCUGGACCAAGAGGUUAUUCUCUCUAUGAUCUCCUGGACUGGAAUAAGCGCUCUCCCCAUAGCAAGAGGGAGCUCGACGUAGUUGGUCUUUUGACAGUCACAGUAAUUGAGAGAAGCAGCUGCCCGGGAGAGGGAGGUAUCAGAUUAGGCACUAAGAGAGGAUUAGUUGAAUCGAUUGUAAGAAGAGGCAUCCGUUCUUGUGCCAGUAGCAGUUGCAGAAGUUGAAUCGUCAGUGGUUGUUCUUGUUUAAGAAAUAGCUACAGCUAUUCCCACCAAGGCCUGACGAUAGGCUGAUUUCAGGAUUUCCUAUCCAUCCUCAAAUUCUUUGAGCCUUUGUUACAAGAAAACACUCUUUAGUGACUCAAGAAUGACCCUGUCUUAUGGCACCUCUUAUCUGGAGCCUUUGUUUUUUAAACAAGUCUAAUUCUCUAAUGGAUAAGCCUGAAUUCAUGAAUAUUGAAUUAAACCUACUAAAAUCAAAGGAAUAAAGAAAGAGCUCAAAAGGAGUCAAAAUGAGAAGUCCGAAACCUCAUCACCUACUCCCGGAGGCAAGGUGAAAUUCAAUAUGACGAAGUCUUAUAACUGGGUCUCAUCCCCCCAUAAUCAAGUAGCAUCCACUAAAAAGAAGCGGAGCGCGGAAGGACGAGGCGCAAUUCAAUAUGCCUCGAAUGAAUCUACCCUUUUUAGAUUCGACUACUCCGCUACGUGGGCUUACUAGUAAUGCUGAAGUUUCCUCCUUUUCUAGCUUUCUUUCUAAUGCCCUUCUUUAUGGUCAAUGGUCACUUCCCCGAGGCGCGGAUCCCACUACACGGGAAUAUAUUAUGAUAUAAUGAACUAUCUUCUUUCUAAUAGCUGGUUUCAACAGCCACCGGGGAGGAGACAAGAACUCAAUCUACUGAAACAAGGAUUUCAACCACAGCGAGAGCAUACCUCAAAAAAAUAAGGAAGAAAAAGAUAAAGGCGCGAAGCAAAGCCUAUGAAGUCAUAAGGCAAGGGCUUUCCGUGAACUUUCUUAUGAUGGGAAAUCCUUGUUUUCAUUUGCGAGACACAUUUCAUUCGUAGAAAUACCACUUCCUACUUCCUCAUCCCGACAAUAAAUAAAGCACUACGUGGGACAAAGUAGAUUCCCAAACUUAAAAGGAAAGACUAAAAUCAAAGCUCCAGAUGAGUUGAAUUGAGGUGCAAUGAAAUAUACCUUUCUGCAGUGAGCGAAUUCGCUCUUUCGGCUGAUAACCUUUCGAUCCAGAAAGAAAUUACUUACUUCAUGCUUUCUUCGUAUUUAUUUAAGGACCCAAUCCAUCUUUUGUCUAUGACGAUCGGUACGAAAGGAAGGCAUGCUCGCAGGGGAUUCUUAUUACUAAUAGAUGAUAAGAUAAUACGAGAAUGAAAGAGGUCGAGCGCCUCACCUCUGAGUCUGAUUGUUGGAAGUAUGAUGACUCCCACUGGUCGUCUUUCAACUCAUUAAAUCCCCUUAUCUUUUAUGGCGGUCUUACCGGAAUAUCUACUUUAUAGAAUUCCUAUGAGACUAAGAAAUCAAACUGGGACCUCGUAGUCUUCCUGUUCCCGGUCGAUCCUAUGAUCGAUCUCAUACAAAGAUCCUAUGAUCGACUAAAAAGACUCUUUCUUCUUAGUUUGAGCUUGAGGCGCGUCCAACCCACUACGCGGUAAGCUUUUCCUCUUUUCCUCUCACUUCAAGACUCAAGACCUUACCCGCACCGAGUCAAUCUGAUCGCUACCUUUCCAGGUCGUAUUCUAGUAAUUAAUUUCAUUAAUAACUCAGAGCGGCGAUCUAAAUACUUCUUCAGCAAGAACUUUCGAAGAAGGUAGAGGAACUGAAAUGGAUUCAGCUUCCGCAGGCAGCAUCCCUUUCAACGACGACUCCCCGAGAGACUCGCUUCAAACUUUCGAUUUAGAAAGAAGGUAUCUCAGUCUCUUACCGCGUAGUGGGCUGAUCGUGAGAGAUGGAAUCUUCAACCUCUUAAGGAAAUGUGUCCAGCGAAAGUAUUUACGUAAGAAAUUGAGAACCAGGUGAGAGGAGAGGGGUGAGGAUCGAGCGCAUUCCCUAUCGAUCAGCAUCCUCAACUCUACUUCAAGAGUAGAAAGGUUUCGGAAUUCAGAGGCAAGAGCAUUCCUUCCUCUUUCUUUAGUCAAGUCAUUUCAUUCCAUUUCUCACUAGGUCUAUAGAAAUAGUUCAUGGCCAGGGCUAGGUCUCGUCAUAUUCUUUUCUCAAGAGAUGAGAAGAAAGUUCUCCUAAUAGAAUAUGUUUGAAUAUCUCAACUAGAAAGUCUCGGACUAACUCUUCCCAUAGCGUAGCCGACGGAGCAGGGAAAAGGAAGAUUUUCAACAGUCAAGAGAUCAAUCAGAAGGGAGCGGGAAGAAUGGAUAUUGUCUUCGAUCUUGCGAUAAAAUGAGUCAGACCAUAUGCGAUCUCGUCUCAAACAGAGAAUUAGUAAUCUGAGUCGCACGGGGAAUAGGUUGAAUAGUCCGGAGGACGAGAAGACAGAAAGAAAAGAAAGGUUCCCGAGGUUCAAAGAAUAUUGACAAAGAAUAUUUCAUGAAUUGAGGUGCGGUAGUCCGUCCGAAGGACUAUGAAAUCCAUUAGUUUUCGUUUGCACUCCUUUCUUCUUUUCUUAGAUAUUCUGGGAUUGAACUCCGUCUGAAAUCUAGCAGAUUCAUUUUUAGCUUCUUUCAUUCUCGUUAAUGAGCACUUGAACCUGUCUUUCUCAGGUGCAAAAAAUAUUGCGAGAAGAGCAAAGAAGAGAAUGGCGAUCAGAAUUUGAGUCCUUUCAUACUUUCGUUGAGGAGGAGGAGUUUUCUUCUUGUAUCAUAAUAGGAUAUUUUAGUAGAAUAAGAAGAAGAAGAAGAUAAGACUACGUAGCGUAGUGGGCUUUUCUUAUGGCGGAGCGGAGGAUUCCGAUUAUCCACUGAAGAAAGUAGGAAAGCCUAAGGAACCUAAAAAGGGCUAAUAGGGGAAGGAAGAAAGCCUAUCCCUCCAGAAUCUUUGAGGACCGAAGGACUUCUUUAUAUCCCUAUUUAUUUAUUUAUGGGACUCCCAGAAAGGUUUAGUUCCAUAAAUCAGUCGGCUAAUAUAUAGGAUGAAAGUAGAUAGAGAGGAAAAGAAAAAAGUCGUCACUCUUAAGGAGUGCAAGAAGGAAUCUUUGAACCUUUUAUCCUGAUCUCUCUCAUUCUACAACUCAGUCGAGCCACUAUUCAACCUUCUUUUCGAGGGGACAUCAUGUCCUCUUAUCUUAAUCCCAUAAAUCAUUUAAGGCGAUACUGAAAGAAGAAAUCCAGCAACUUAAUCCGGUAGAGUCAAUUCGAGACUAAGACGAGUUGGGGUUUCGACCAUAGGCUUUCCUUCCAAACCUACUAUACUAAACCUACCCCCGGACUCAAGACGCGAAGUGAAGCGGCUGCCCACUUUUUAGAAAUAAAGAGAUGAGAUAAUUCUUUUCACUCAUUGAGGUCGGCUAAAUUCAAUGGAUAAAGAAGUCCUUUGCUUCAUUCUAUAUGUCCUUAUCAAUGAGACCAUUAAUCAGUCCGAAGGACUAUCCAAAGAAAAGAAUAUCCCUGUCUUAUGGGGCCUCCGUAGCUUAAUAUGGAGCGCUCCGGACGAGUCUUAACUAAUAUUCCCAAUCAAAGAAUUAUCGAAAGAAUGAUCGACGAGUCUUAUUCCACUAAAAUAGUAGUCCUUCGGAGCAGUCUUAAUACUCCUAAAAUCAAAGCUCCAUAUGAGUUUCAUUCCACUAAAAGACGAAAGAAGGUAUCUCAGUUACCAAAGAGAAAGAGCUUCCACAAACCACUUCCACAUAAACUUCUGCUAAGUCUACUUCUGUUAUUGAUUCAACUUAGCCUUUAAUCAGAUUAGGACCUAGCUAGCCAACCUUAUUCCUUCCUCUUCCUUACUUUGUUCUCGCUUGCUUCGGCAACACAUCUCUGGAUACUGGAUAAGAGAUCCUUUGGUCAAGCUGCAAGAGAAAGACUUCUUCCGAUCGAUCAGCUACCCGAUUCCUCCUUCCCCGAUGAUAAGGUUAGCAUGCCCGAUCCUCUCCUAUUGAAAAAGAAAGCAGAAAUCUUUCAGUCCAGAGGAUUUAUCCGUAGCCCGGAGGAUUUAUCCGUAGGACCAUCUGUAAUUAACCGAAGUAGUCUGCAGUCCGGAGUCCGCAGGAUUUAUCCGGAGGACUAUCCAUAUGGAAGUAGGACCAUCCAUAUGGAAGGAAGUAGUCCGCAGUCCGCAGUCCGCAGGAUUUAUCCGUAGGACUAUCCAUUUUCAGUCGGACUAUCCAUAUGGAAGGGAGCGAAAUCUAGCUAUGAGGACUCUUUGAGCUCUUCUUUGAGUCAGUGGCUGCCCUUGCAGAAGGAGCAGCGAAGUCCGCGGUUUCAGAGGUUUAUGUAGCAGUUCUUCUUUAAUAAGAUGCUUACUUUCUUUCGGGUAGAAAGGUUCACUCGUGAACGGUACACCUCUUAUAUGAUGCCUGGGGACUUUGUCCCUUCUUCUACGGAUUUCUCUUAUAUGAUCUUAUUCAUCUCCGUAUCGUUCAUAUAUUCAUUCUAUAAAAUCCCUAGCUGCCACAUAUGGUCGAACUUGCCUCUUAAGUGGCGUGGGUCGAUCCUCUUGUUGACUUUUUACCUAGGAGUGGGGGGGAAGAAGUUCGAGAAUAAUUUAUCUUCUUUCCUUGUCCCAGUUCUUCUUUCCACUUCUACUUAAGUCACCACGACUGAUACAGAUGCAAGAACAUCAGGGCGAGCAGGGAAGAGGCGGAGGGAGUUUGCACUCUUUUCAUGCGGGUUUGAGUGAGACUGAUGCGCCCUAGGUCAAGCCAUUGCUUCGUCUUGUUCAUCACAUUCAUUAUGUUCACAAUUCCGGAAUCAAAGUAGAAAUACGAGAAAGCGCUCCAGCGGACUCUGAUUCAUUGGGAAUUCUAUCUUCCCGCCUCAAUGAACAAGGUGAAAAGAAUAUUAAAUGAAUCAUUGAGUUGAGGCGGUGGAACCUAGGAGUGGGACCGGGAACAUGAUAGGCUUGAAUCUAAGAAGUGAAUAUAGUAUUGAAAGAGGCCCACGGAGCGGUGUCCGACUAUCCUACUAUCGAAGCCUUGAAGCAUGAGUCUUGAGGUUUUCAAAGUCUACUCAGAGGACGAGGUUGAAGUUUCAUAGGGAAAGGUUUCAUAACAAGCAGUUGUUUUCCGUAUCGAAUGCUCUUUCAUUCCUUAUUCGAAAGAAGGCAAAGAAAGUGGAAACUAAAUCCUUGGAUUCUUUCCCGCUUGAACCAUGAAAGGUUAGGCCUUAGUUACGAUCUCAUUCAAUGCCCUAGCAUACUCAAAGGUUCGGGGGCGUAGUGGAUGGAGCUAGAAGACUACUACUUGGACGAGGGAUUUCCUUUCUCUUAUUGUAAUACUCCUAACCACCCCUUUUUGAAUGGGCAGGCCCCUCUGGUCGAGUUUACCCUUUUUAUUCAGGCCUAUCUGCCUCCGUUCAUGAAGGACAAAAUCGGACUGAGCCCUUGUUCAUUGAGGCGUAUAAGCCCACGUAGCGGUGCCAUAAGACACGUCUGAAGGCGUCACAGGUCCGGAGGACCCGUCUGUCCGAAGGACGAGAUAUUUAUAAUGUUGAGAGAAAGAUUAGACUUUGUCAGGACCCUUAUUUCCAUUAUUUUUCACUUUCAAUAUUCUUGAGAAUAUUCAUUCAUCCGACAGAGCAAAGUUCAUCCAGAUCCCCAUAUGAAUUAGGCGAAUGACUGAUUUUCAAAGUCAGAGUUAUCCCUCAAAUUCUUUGAGCCUUUGCACUCAAAUUCUCUAAUGGAUAGUCCUUCAGACCGCUAGGAGUAAAGAAUAUUGUGUGGAACUGAACUAAUAGGGAAAAGCAUUUCCUAUUGAUUUGUCCCCUGGACUGGACCUAUUCUGAUUCUGAAUUAUCCGUCGCUACGUUGUUCCCAAGGACUAGCAAAAUCGAAAUAGCGAAAUUCUUGGGUCAUCUCAAUGGGUUCAGAAACCACACGUUUCUCUGGAUCAUCACAGCGUACUUCCACAUAUCCACUCAGAGGAAGGUCUUUUUGUAAUGGAUGACCCUCGAAACCAUAAUAUGUUGAUAUACGGCGUAGAUCCGGAUGAUUGAUGGAAGAAACACCAAACAUAUCCCAAACUUCUCGCUCCCACCGGCCGGCUGAUGGAAAUAGACUGACUACCGGAGAGAUUCGUGUUACUUCGUCUGCACUGGUUUGUACACGAAUGCGUGAGUUAUACCGAGUACUCAGUAAAUUAUAGGCCACUUCAAAUCUGAGUUUUCUAUAUAUAUUUAUAUUGAUGUUAAUAUGUUACCUUGUAAUUGGAAUGGUGAUUUGAAUAAUCUAAUAGGAUUAUGUGUUUGGAUCAAAAUAUGUUGCAAGAGAAAUAGCUAAAUGUGUGGAUUUAGUGACAAAGAGGGUAUUCAUGUGUUUAUUUUAGUUUUCUCAGUGAGGACUCGAUUUUUAGAAGAAACGACCACUGUUCGAAUCAUUCAAAACUUUGUUUCGAACAAAAAUUUUGGACUUUGUCAUUGUCCUCUUCACCGAAUGUGACAAACUUGAAGACAACGAUGAAACAUUGAAAGAUUACUUGGAUCGAAAAUGUCUUGUGGGGUUGAAAGAUACCAUAGCCGCUAGCAAGAACUGUUGCUUGGUUUUCAAUAACAAAAACCGAUAAUGAAACAAAGAAGAUUGAAUAAGUGGAUAAACUUAUAAAGAUGGUGCAUGAAGUUGUACAACAAAAUGAAGGAAAAGCAUACACUCAUGGCUUGUUUUCUAAUGUCAAGUUUGAGACCAACUUGCAAGAUGAUGUGAAAACCAAGCUUGAACACACAAUUACAGUUCAAAACACAAGCAAAAUUUAAAGCAUAACAAGGAGCACAAGAAGUUCAACAACAAUCUAUGGAUCAAAUUCGAGUCCUCAAAGACCAUCUAUGCAUCAAGACUUGAAAGGUCACUGUCACUACCAAUGCUUCCACAAAUUAUUCGUCAUGGUCGCUGCAUGAGAAAAGGUUGCAUUAUUGUAUGACUUUACUGUGCAUGCAUUCAAUAAAUAUGUACAAGUAAUUAGUAUAAUGAAUAUAUACUAAAUAAAAAUAUGAAAAAACUGUGAAAAAAAACUUAUUUGAUUAACUGCUAUAAAUUAAUAUUUGAAAAUUGGCAUGUGUUCUCGAAACUAAUAAAAGCAAGUUUGGAAAUGCCUUUAUUUUGUCUUUGUUGAGUGUAGUGUAAAUUGGCAAAUAUAGAAUGCUUAAUUAUGUUGUUAAUUAAUAAGAAAAUUAUUUUAGAAGUUUUGAUGAAUGUCCAACUACAUGUGGAAAGAAUUAUAAAGGAUUGAAAAAUGAUUCUAUAAUCUAGCCCAAACAAGAGGUGGGUUAUUAUAGCUCACUUCACUUCUAUUUAGUUUGGGACCCAAAUAGCCUCUUAAAAUUAGGUUAACUCCAUAACUAAUAAGGGUCUUUAACUCAUAUAGUCUAAAUUGCUAUAUGAUAUUACAUGAAUGAUCCAAAUUACUAAUAAAUUUCAUAAAAGUCCUAAAUGGACUAGUAUAUUACAUAAAUGUAGGCUCAAAUUACUUUAAUACCAAUUUAUAUUAUUUAAUUGAUUUAUAACAAAUAUCUAAAUGAAAAAAACCGUGGGAUAUAGUUUUGGAAAGAAGUGGGGUCCAAAUUAAUUUAAUAUCAACUUCUAUUAUUUAAUUUAAUUGAUUUAUAACAAAUAUCUAAAUGGAAAAAAUGGUGGAACACCGUUUUGGAAAUAAGUGGGGUCCAAAAUAAUUUAAUACAAAUUUUUAUUAUUUAAUUGAUUUAUAACAAAUAUCUAAAUGGAAAAAAUAAAGAGAUACAGUUUUGGAAAGAAGUGAAAAACUUUUCAUGCUUUCCUACCACGAAAAUGGUUGUCUACUCCUUUCAACGUGGAUUACGAUUUUUACUUCAAAAUUUUAGAGAGUUCGGAGGUGAAGAAGAAGACAGUCGACGACCGACAAAUACAAAACUUCUCGAACAUAAUCUAGUUAAAAACUUUGAAGUUAGUAUUGUAUAUAUUCAACACAUAUGAAACAUUAGAUAUAUUAUGUAUAUUUUAGACAUUCAAUUAAAUAGUCAAUCAAAUGAAAAUGUAGUUUUGAAUGUGAUACAUUUUAGGGUUUAUUGAGAUUUCGGCGGUGAAGAAGAAAACUUUUGAUGGCCAAAAAAUACAAAACUUAUCCGACAGAAUCUAACUAGAAAAUUUGUGCUUAAUAUUAUAUAUAUUCAAAACAAAUGAUUAGAAACAUUUAGUAUAUUAGGUAUAUUUUAAAUAUUCGAUUAAAUAGACAAACAAAUGAAAAUAUAUGAAACAUUUGGUAUAUUAGGUAUAUUUUAAAUAUUUGAUUAAAUAGACAAACAAAUGAAAAAUUAGUUUUGAAUGUGAUACAUUCUAGAGUUUAUUAAGAAUUCAACGUUGAAAAAGAACGGUCAUCCUAUCAAAAAAAUAAUAGAACUAUAUAUAUAAUAUGAGGUAUAUAUAUAUUAAAACAUAGAACAUAACUAUUAUAGAUUACGGAUAUAUUAAAGUAUAAUGUAAUCAAAUACAUUUAUAAAGGAAAAAUAUGUAUGUAUGAUCAUGUCGUUUACUACCGUUUUAGUAAUAUUUAUUCUACAAACACAAAUUCUGUAGGAAUUAUGUAUAAGGUAUUAUUGUAUAUAAUAUGAGGUAUAUAUAUACUAAAUAACAUGUAUGAAUUAAGUGUACAUUUUAUUAGUGAAAGGUUCUUAUAUCAAUUUGUUUAUGAUUUUUAUUUAAAUAUUCAUAUAUUAUGUAGUAAGUAAUACGUUAUGUUUGAAAUAAUAUUGAUUAUGUAUUAAAGUUGCCCAUUAGACAGUUUUUUAACAAAAUAUACCUAUUAUAUUAAUAUAGAAAAUGGGAGGAAAUCGUGCAACAUUAAAAUAGGAAACUUCUUUACCAUUUUCUCACUUUCCAUAUUCAACGAAAAGCUUGCCAUUUCGACAGUCAAUGACAUAUACAACAUAUUAUAUAAUGCGAUAAUAUUAUAAAACUAGUAUAAUCAUAAAUAAGAUGUGAUAUAUAUUUAAGGGAAAUAUUAAAAAACUGAUAAAUUCAUAAUAGAAUAACGUUAAAAUAAGGAGAAUAUUGUUAAUAUAAUAUAUAUACGCAUAUGAUAUACUCAUAAUGAACUAAUUUUAAAUGGGUAAAAUAACAAAUGACAUAUUUAUGUUAUUCUUCAUAUAAAACAUCAACUAAAAGUAUUAUAUCUCACGGUUAAUAUAUAAAACUAUUAUAAAUGUAAACAAGAUGUGAUAUAUAUAUAUAAUAAAUCACAUAUACAACCUAUUAUAUCAUGCGAUAAUAUUCUAAAACUAGUAUAAUCAUAAAUAGUAUGUGAUAUAUGUUUAAAGGGAAUAUUAAAAAACUGGUAAAAUCAAAAUAGAAUAACAUUAAAAUAAGAGGAAUAUUGUUAAUAUAUACUCAUAUGAUAUACUCAGAAUGAACUAAUUUUAAAUGGGCAAAAUAACAAAUGACUGUGGAUUUUAUCUUAUCUUUAGGUGAUGGACAAUUGUAUAUGACGGCGAUUUGUUAAGAUUCUGCAGCUUACGGUUAUGAUAAAUUUGAAUACAAAUUUAUAAAACAAUGUAAUAAGAAGUUCAAAUGAUGGAGAAGAAUAGCAAAAAACAGUUGUCGGCGAUGGAGAAGAUAAUGUAAUGGCUGCCAGAGAGAGUGAACAAUUAGGUUAAGUUAUAUUUUUAGAAAGAAUAAUUAAAUAGUUUAUUACAAAAUAAAGUACAAUUACAAUUAUUAUAAUAUAUUCUGAUUUAUAAUUAAUUUAAAAGAUACUUGAAAUUUAUUAACAUAUUAAGGUCUUUUGUCUAAAAGUUUCAACUAAUAAUAAUGAUAGUUCUCAUUAACCAAUUGACAAAUGAUUGAUAUUGUCAAAUGAUCGAUAUUGUCAAAUGAUCGAUAUGUGCAAGUGCACAUUUCAAUUAUAUUAUAGUAUAACGUUCUUAGAGAUCGAGCUAGUAUCCUUUUAAGAGGGAUCAAAUUAACAAAUUAAUUUAUUGAUUUUAGGAUUAUGAUGUGUUUUAAGGAUUAAAAACAAUGAUUAGAAACUAAUAAAAAGAUCCCUAAAAGACAAAUAUGAAAUCUCAAAGAAUAAAAAAUGCUCCAAAAUUGUUUUUGAUUUCACUGUUCAAUCCAUAAAAUCAUGAUGUGUAUAGGUUAUAUGAAAACUAGUGUCAGUAUGUGUUCAGAUGUAGGAACUAAUUAACUACAAGUUGUUGACUUUUGAAAAGAAUAUCUUUCCAUUCAAACAUAAUUGUUCCUAAUCUCUUCCAACUAAGUUAAAUAUUAUGGUAUUAAACAGAUACAUAGUUUGGUUGGUAGUUUCUCUUCAAAAUUAUUAUUUUGAGAAAACAAAUACAAUUUCUUUUUUAGGUAAUCCAAUAUCCUCAAGUAUAUUUAUAAAUAUGGAAAUAUUAUUUCCAUAUUAGAAGAGAUACUAAAAGAUCUUAUUACAACAUCAUUAGAGUCCCAUCAUUUUCUCUAAAUAUCUCUUUUGUGGCGAAAGAUUUGGAAUUGCACAUCAAUCAUUUUGGAGUGGGUAAUUGAUCACCCUAUUUUUCAAAAAAUAAGAAAGAUAAAAAAUAGUUAUUUUUUUAAAGAUAUAUUUGAAAGUGUUGAGUUUAUGGAAGGUAUUAGUACUUAUACAACCACAAAACAUUUGAUUUUUGUUAUCUAAAUUAUUUUAAUAAAAAUGUUUUUUUUUUUUUGAAGUUUAUGCUUAUUAAAAAUGCUUAUUUAAAAAAUGUUAAUGAAAUUUUAAAAAAUAAAAUCUAAUUAAACACUUCUGAGAUAGAGAGGUUUCCCUUGACUACCCGAGCGUAGAUAAACACUUCUGAGAUUUGGUUGGUAAUCCAAGUUCGUGUGCAGUUGAUUAUUUUUUAAAUUUUGUAUAGUUGAAUAAUAUUUGAAUUUUAAAUUUUCAUCUAUGUGAUAUUUACUCAUUUCAAACUUUUUGAAUAUGCAUGUUUAUUUAUUAUUCUGCCGUCUCUCUAUUGUAUUUUAAAAUUUAGAAUAUGUGUAUUUAUAUUAUUUGAAAUUGAAAAUUUAACUUUUGCUCUUAGAGUAGGCUUUAACUCUUUGUUUGUCCGUGUUGUAGGUGAGCGAGAAGGAAAAGUUCCAUUGUUUGAUUGAAUUGGAAUUGUUUCCUGCAUGGGGUGUCAUACAUAAUUCCACUUAUUACUAGUUGAAGGUCUUCUUUGCCUCUGUCUUCUUCCCCAUCUCCCCAAGUUGUUCUAACCUUUUUAUAUCUACCUAUUACAUGUCAAAAGGUUGUUUCGCUCUUCAAUGUUUUGAAACAAGUUCAUUAUGAAAAUCUCUCGCAAGCAAACGUAUGUGCAUUAUGAAUAAUUUCAUCUCAAAAAAAUUGUUUGAGAGGUUUCAAAAGUGUAUCGAAACUAAUAAUUUUAAUGAAUAAAAAAAUAAUUCUUCGUUAGAUUCUUACAUUUUAUUUCAACGAAUAAAAUUUAGGAAAAUUUUUAAAAAUAGCAAAUUUUACAAAAAUAUUUACAAUUUAUAACAAAUUUAUAGUCAUUGAUAUGAUAUAACGAUAGUUACUAAUAAAUAUUUUAAUUUAUUUUGUUAUUUUUAAAAAUUCUCAUAAAAUAUUAUAGUGAGGGAACAAUGAUGAAUCACAUAGUUUUUGUGGUGAUGUCGCUUUUUAUCCCUCUUUACAUUCUAAAAUCUCAAAUACAAAUCAUAAAACAAGUAGAUAUACAUUCAAUUAACAUGAUUUUGAUUCUAAUAAAUUAGAAAGACAAAAAUAACUAACUAAUUAUGGAAAAGUAAUAUUUUAACAUGAAUUAUUGAUUUUUAAUUAGAGGUAAUUUUAAAAUAAAUAAAAUAAAAGAAAAUAUUACAAAUCAAAUCUAAACUAACUUUGAUUUUACUUCUUUAAUUGCAAUAUAACAUAGAUACAUUGGCUAUGAAGUGCAAUUUCUUAUAUUAUAAUAUUUAAAAGAUUUAAAUUUAAAAAUAAAAAUAAGUAAUCUCAAGUCCAAUAUUGGACCUGUGGGGCUUAGCCCAUCAAUUUAAAAAUUCAAAAUGCACACUCAACCGUCACAUUUUCCUAGGAUCAUCCUAUUUAAUGCCCUUCUACUUGUCAACUCCAUCGAAAUCCUUCAUUUCUUGUGGCACCGUCUAAAAUUUGCUUCGAUUGAAGAAAUUUUGACGCCCAUGACAGCGUUGAAAUUUCUUCAAUGCAAACAAAUUUUUUAUCUUCCUUUCAUCGAGGAUUUUCAUACCAUGUGAAGGAGAGAUCAGUUCCAUCAGUUCCAAGUCGUUCGUGAGUCAUCUUCUUUCCUGUGUAGUUUUCAUCUCUUGAUUUUGGAUUGCUUGUUCAAGAUUUAUUUUCGAAUUUUGGAUUGUUUGCUAUUCGGAUAGGCAGAAGGUUUGCACGAUGAUAGAUCUGGAGUACCUGAAUCGUUUAUUGAUUCUGUAGUUUAAUCUUAUGAUUUUGGUGAUUUCGAAGCGUACAAUAUAAUCGUACUGUGUUAUGAAGUAAAUAAGAUUUUGUAGGGUUUUUGAAAGUUAAUUUAGAUAUUUCCUGCAUUUUAGUCUUGAUAGAUCUGGGGUACCUGAACCGUUCAGGUUUGCAUGCUGUGAUUGUGUUGUUCUUUUUUGAUUUUGGAGAGAGUCCUUGGGUAAUUUUGAGGAUUGUUCUUUUUUUAGUUUUUUUUGCAUGCAUUCAAACACACGCAUGGUUUUUAAACUGGGGUUCUUGAAUAUUUGUUGGUUUUCUCGAAUAUUUGCCUGUUUUUUUUUCUCAGAAGAAUUGAUCUUAUAUUUGUGUAUCUCUCUGUGCAACUUUAAUAUAAAGUUAUUAAGGAAGAAGAGAAAGGAGGAAGAAGGGAGAGAGAAAAGGUAGAAACGACCUAAUAGUAGGCAUGAGUAUUAAGAUGCAGCAGAGCCACCACUUAGUGGCGCUAAGGUUUAAUGAGCAAAUUGACAGUAGAAAAGGGUCCACAUCCAUACCUAAGUUACUAUUGCUCUGGGUUCUGUUGGUGGCAUUCAUUAGUAUGUUAAACUACAAAGAAAUGGAUGGGUGGGUGUUAACAAAGUUAGAAGAAAGUAAGUUCUGGGAAGUAUGUGUGACCAGACGACAAAGAUGCUUCUUAGUGUCAGUGUCAAACUAUGUCCAGGCUUUGGCCAUUCUCAUUUCCAUUUUCCAGUACUUCAAAAUCGUAUCAGCAAUUGAUCAGGAAAAUGUGUUUUGAUUUCUGUCUUUUAUUAGUCUCGGUUAGUUAGGCUUAAGAGUAAGGGAUAUAAUUCAUUUUUCUUGUUUCAGCUAGAAAUUACGUCGAUGUCUUGAUUUUUAGUUUUUUUAGGGCUGUUUGGUUGUUUUUUUAGGGGUGUUUGGUUAGUUAGGCCUAAGAAGUAAGGGCUAGUGAAAGAGAAGCAUUUGAUUGUCCUACAAGUAUCUGAAUCGCCAAUGAAAGCAGAGGUUAUUUCCUCUGAAUUUCCACGAAUUGUUCAGGUUUGGAUUCUGUGAUUGUGUUGUUCUGUUGUUCUCUUUUUUAUUUUGGAGUGUUCUAGGAAAUUUUGAGGUUUGUUUUUAUUUUUUUGGCUUGCCUUUAAUCACGCUCGUUUGGGAAUAGACAGGCUUCAGAGAAUGAAUCUCCUUUUUAAGGGUUCGUUGGGGAGCGAAGUGACCAUAUGGCAUCCCUUUCUACACCUGCUCAGUCUCUCUCUUGCCUUUUUCAUACUACAUAUUUUUGUUUCUCAAUUUAGUGUCAGUGUCAACCAUGUCUAUGCUUUGGCCAUUCUCAUUUCCACUUUCCACUACUCUAAAAAUGUAUCUGCAAUUGAUCUUAUAUUUGUGUAUCUCUCUGUGCAACUUUAAUAUGAAGUUAUUAAGGAAGAAGAGAAAGGAGGAAGAAGGGAGAGAGAAAAGGUAGAAACGACCUAAUAGUAGGCAUGAGUAUUAAGAUGCAGCAGAGCCACCACUUAGUGGCGCUAAGGUUUAAUGAGCAAAUUGACAGUAGAAAAGGGUCCACAUCCAUACCUAAGUUACUAUUGCUCUGGGUUCUGUUGGUGGCAUUCAUUAGUAUGUUAAACUACAAAGAAAUGGGUGGUGUUAACAAAGUUAGAAGAAAGUAAGUUCUGGGAAGUAUGUGUGACCAGACGACAAAGAUGCUUCUGCCUCAACUUAGUGUCAGUGUCAAACUAUGUCCAGGCUUUGGCCAUUCUCAUUUACACUUUCCAGUACUUCAAAAUCGUAUCAGCAAUUGAUCAGGAAAAUGUGUUUCGAUUUCUGUCUUUUAUUAGUCUCGGUUAGUUAGGCUUAAGAGUAAGGGAUAUAAUUCAUUUUUCUUGUUUCAGCUAGAAAUUACGUCGAUGUCUUGAUUUUUAGUUUUUUUAGGGCUGUUUGGUUGUUUUUUCAGGGGUGUUUGGUUAGUUAGGCCUAAGAAGUAAGGGCUAGUGAAAGAGAAGCAUUUGAUUGUCCUACAAGUAUCUGAAUCGCCAAUGAAAGCAGAGGUUAUUUCCUCUGAAUUUCCACGAAUUCUUCAGGUUUGGAUUCUGUGAUUGUGUUGUUCUGUUGUUCUCUUUUUUAUUUUGGAGUGUUCUAGGAAAUUUUGAGGUUUGUUAUUUUUUAGUUUUUUUGGCUUGCCUUUAAUCACGCUCGUUUGGGAAUAGACAGGCUUCAGAGAAUGAAUCUCCUUUCUAAGGGUUCGUUGGGGAGCGAAGUGACCAUAUGGCAUCCCUUUCUGCACCUGCUCAGUCUCUCUCUUGCCUUUUUCAUACUACAUAUUUUUGUUUCUCAAUUUAGUGUCAGUGUCAACCAUGUCUAUGCUUUGGCCAUUCUCAUUUCCACUUUCCACUACUCUAAAAAUGUAUCUGCAAUUGAUCAGGUAAAAGUGUUUCAAUUCUCUGUCUUUGGUUCAUCUCCGUUAGUUAGUCUUAAGAGUAAGGAGAUAAUUCGUUUUUCUUGUUUCCCUCCAUGUAUUGAUUUUUAGUUUUUUAGGGAUGCUUGGUUGGUUUGAAUGCACGAAACAUUUGCUGGUACACGAUUCAAACAGCUUGCCCAGUCAUGUUUUUCUAUUUUUUUUUUAAUAUUUUGGAAUUUUGCAUGUGUGAUUUCUGUAUAUAUUAUUCUUGCCCUUUUCCUUUAUCAUCAUUUAUUUUGAUUUUGGAGAGGUCUCUUGGUUAUUUGUUAUUUGCACAUAUACAAGGGUUGAAAAUUUCAAUCCCACCUCUCUUUUAUAUUACAUUCAUUUAGUUUUGGCUGUUAUCUAAUUGAACUAUUUGAUCAUCAAAUAAUUGUGUUACCUUUUCUUCUAGAUGUUUAGAUUCAUUUUUCUCACUCUUUUAGUUUUCUUAAUGUGUGACAGUCUUUGUUUUUUAUUGAACUAGUGUGUGGCAGUCUUUAUUUAUUGGUUAUCUUUAGUUUCACUAUUGUUCUUUUUUUAAUGUUUUCUUAGUUUUUAAUAAGUGUGACAAAAUAUGAAUUAAUUUUUUUCUUUGAACAAAUGUGGAAUUUAUUUUCUUUUAAUGUAGUUGUGUCCCCAAUAAAUUUAUUUUGGCGAUUUAACAAUCCAUCAUGUUCUUUUUCAUUUUUCUGUUGUAUUUUCUUCGGUUCUUUGUUGUGGUAUGUCUAUUUUUGAGACAUUCUUAAUUUAGUUUUAUUUUUUAGCUUCCUGCAUCAUUUUGUAUUAUGGAUUGUUAUGAAAUUUUGAGAUUAUGCUUUAUUUUGUUUUUUGGUCCUUUGCUGUGAUGUCUUUUGAUUAUUUCUUUUGAGUGAACAGUUCCUGUAAGAUUUUCUGCAUGAGAAUAAAUUGAUUAUUUAAUUUGGUCAAAGAAGUUCAAAAUUUACAUGUGAAAUUUACACUCAGUGGCUGUAAGGUUUAAUGAGAAAAUUGGAAGUAGAAAAGAGUCCACAUUAAUUCAUUCAGCCAAGAGGGCUUGGCAUCCUAAGUUUGCUCUGGGUUCUGUUGGUGGCAUUCAUCAAUAUGUUAAUCUAUUAGGGAAUGUAUGGUUAUAACAAAGUAAGAAGAAUGGAAGUUCUGGGGGAGUAUUUGUGACAAGAGGGCAAGGAUGCUUCUGCAUCAAUUUAGUGUUAGUCAAUCAUGUCUAUGCUUUGGCCCUUCUCAUUCCACUUUCCACUACUACAAAAAUGUAUCUGCAAUUGAUCAUGUAAAAGUGUUUCAAUUUUCUGUCUUAGGUUCAUCUCAGUUAGUUAGUCUUAAGAGUAAGGGAGAUAAUUCAUUUUUCUUGUUUCAGCUAGAUGUUACCCUCCAUGUCCUGAUUUUUAAUUUGGCUUCCUAAGUGUGCUCUAGGUUCUGUUGGUGGCAUUCAUCAGUAUGUUAAUCUACAGGUGAAUCUAUAGUUAUAACAUAGUAAGAAGAAUGGAAGUUCUUGGGGAGUUUGUGUGACAAGAGGGCAAGGAUGCUUCUGCAUUAAUUUAGUAUCAGUGUCAACCAUGUUUAUGCUUUGGCCAUUCUCAUUUCCACUUUCCACUACUCCAAAAAUGUAUUAUCUGCAAUUGAUCAGGUAAAAGUGUUUCAAUUUUCUGUCUUUGGUUCAUCUCAGUUAGUUAGUCUUAAGAGUAAGGGAGAUAAUUCGUUUUUCUUGUUUCAGCUAGAUAUUACUCUCCAUGUCUUGAUUUUUAAUUUUUUAGGGGUGCUUGGUUGGUUUGAAUGCAGGAAACUUUUGCUGGUACACGAUUCAAACAGCUUUCCAUGUCAGGUUUUUCUAUUAUUUUUCUUUAAUAUUUUGGAACAUGUGUAAUUUCUGUAUAUAUUAUGUUUGCCGUUUUCCUUUUUCAUCAUUUAUUUUGAUUUUGGAGAGGGUCUCUUGGUAACUUGACUUUUCUUUUAGUUUUGACUGUUAUCUAAUUGAACUAUUUGAUUAUCAAAUAAUUGUGUUACUUUUUGUUCUAGAUGUUUAUAUUCAUUUUUCCCACUCUUUUAGUUUUGUUAAUGUGUGACAGUCUUUGUUUUUCAUUGAACUAUUGUGUGGCAGUCUUUAUUUAUUGGUUAUCUUUAGUUUCACUAUUGUUCUUUCUUUAAUGUUUUUCUUAGUUUUUAAUAAGUGUGACAAAAUAUGAAUUUAUCUUUUUCUUUGAACAAAUGUGGAAUUUAUUUUUCUUUUAAUGUAGUUGUGUCCCCAAUAAAUUUAUUUUGGCGAUUUAACAAUCCAUAAUGUUGUUUUUCAUUUUUCUGCUGUAUUUUCUUUGGUUCGUUGUUGUGCGAUGUCUAUUCUUGAGACAUUUUUAAUUUAGUUUUAUUUCUUUUAGCUUCCUGCAUCAUAUUGUAUUAUGGAUUUUUUCGAAAAUUUGAGUUUGAUCUUGUUUUCCUGGUCCACUGCUGUGCAGUUUUUUUUAUGAGAUAUUUUUAUUUAGAUUUAUUAUCUUUUAGCUUGUUUUGCAUUUUGCAUUAUAGAUUAUUUUUUAAAAUUUUGAGGUUGUUUUUUUUCUUUGAUCUUUUGUUGCGGUGACAAUUUUAAUUUAGAUUUAUUAUCUUUUAGCUUGCUUGCAUUAUGGAUUGUUAUGAAAUUUUGAGAUGAUGCUUUAUUUUGUUUUUUGGUCCUUUGCUGUGAUGUCUCUCUAUAAGACAUUUUUAAUUUAGGUUUAAUAACUUUUAGCUAGCUUGCAUUGUGGAUUGUUAUGAAAUUUUGAGUUUCUGCUUUCUUUUGAGUUUUGGUGAUGCCUUUUUACGAGACAUUUUUAAUUUAGGUUAAUUUUUUAGGUUGCUUGCAUUUAUGGAUUGUUCUGACAUUUUGACUUUCUGCUUUUUUUUUAUGUCAUUUGUUGUGUGAUAUCUUUAUAAGAUAGAGAUAUUUUUAAUUUAGGUUUACUAUUUUUUAGCCUGCUUGCAUUUGGUAUCAUAUAUGAAUUGUUCUGAAUUUUGAGUUUCUUCUUUUUCAGUCAUUUGUUGUGCGAUAACUUUUUAUAAGACAGACAUUAAGAUUUAUUAUUUUUGGACUUGUUUGUAUUUUGUAUCACGGAUUGUGGUUUUUUAAAUUCAGAGGAGGAACUAGAAAUUGUUCUUGUGAUAUGUUAAAAUCUAGUUUACUGCAAAGAAUGAAUUCUAAAACAGAGGGUAUGAAUGUCGUCAAUAAUUUUUCUCCAUUUCUGCGUUGAGCAAUGUUUAGCUGAUAUGUUUGUGUAUUCUUUACAUUAGUGCAGCACCACAUGCUAAUUUAGGUGUGAAAUGCUAAUUUAGAUGUGAAACACUUCCAAAGAUGACGAGAAAUCAAAGAUUGUCGUAGUAAAAAACCUCACCAGUUUUUCCUUUCAGGUUUUUCUUUUCUUUUUCUUUAAUAGUUUGGAAUUUUGCUGGUGUGAUUUCUGCUUUUCUCUUAUCAUUUAUUUUGAUUUUGGAGAGCAACUUUGGUAAUGUUAAUAAUUUUUCUCCAUUUCUGCGUUGAGCAAUGUUUAGCUGAUAUGUUUGUGUAUUCUUUACAUUAGUGCAGCACCACAUGCUAAUUUAGGUGUGAAAUGCUAAUUUAGAUGUGAAACACUUCCAAAGAUGACGAGAAAUCAAAGAUUGUCGUAGUAAAAAACCUCACCAGUUUUUCCUUUCAGGUUUUUCUUUUCUUUUUCUUUAAUAGUUUGGAAUUUUGCUGGUGUGAUUUCUGCUUUUCUCUUAUCAUUUAUUUUGAUUUUGGAGAGCAACUUUGGUAAUGUUAAGGUGAUUUAAGAAAAGUUGGUUGUCCAAGAAUCAAUAUUUUUAUAUUACCUUAAAUCUUCCUAAGACAUGUUGGGUCUUUCUUUGGCCUUUGUUAGUGUCUUCUAUUAAGUCUGUUAGUUUCACUUUAGUUGGGUCUUUUUUUAAUUUUAUUUUAUCUUUUAAAUUCCAAAUCCUACUCAUUUGGUCAUGACGAUUGAAUAAUCAUUGUUAAAUUUAUUUCUUGUUGGGAGUGUAGAUUUUAUUUUCUUUUUGGCCUUUGUUAUUUGCAUCUAUACAGGGGUUCGAAAAAUUCAAACCCUUCCCUCUUUUAUUCGACAUUCUUUUAGUUUUAUUUGUACUAUUGGAUUGUUAAAAAUAAUUGUGUUACUAUUUCUUACAUUCCAUAAAGAACCCUUUCUGAUGGAUUAUUUCUUAUUGAACUGUUUUAAAAUUUUGAGUUUCUUCUUUUUCUUUUUUGGGUCCAUUGUUGGGGGAUGAUACAUCUUUAAUUUUUUUUUUUUUUUUUUGAUAAGAGAUGAUACAUCUUUAAUUUAGAUUUAUUAUCGUUAGCUUGUUUUGCAUUUUGUAUUAUGUUUUUUGAAAUUUUGAGUUUCUUCUUUUUCUUUCUUUGGUCAUGUGUUGUGCGAUGUUAUUUGCAUUAGGGGUGUUUGGUUGGUUGUUUUUUUAGGGGUGUUUUGGUUAGUUAGGCUUAAGAAGCAAGGGCUAGUGAAAGAGAAGCAUUUGAUUGUCCUACAAGUAAUAAGCUUCUCCUCAAUCAUUCAACCAUUUUUUUAGUAAAGAAAGAGGCUUCUCCUCUGGCAACCAAAGUCCGUCCCUCGUUAACAGGUAAGUCUACCUCAUUACUUUUAUGUCCUUCUAAUUAAGAUAUUUGGGUCAAUAUAUAUCAAAAUAAAUAAGAUCCAUCUUUGGUAAUUUUUAAAAAAAUUAAAUCUAUAAAUACUCAUUUCAUCUCUAAAAUUAUGUGAUUUGUACUUUCUAAAAUUCCCUCGAUGGUACUAAUACACUCUUAUAUUUGUAUUGUAAUUAUCAUGUCCUUUUUCUAUGGUUUUUUAAAGUUAAUUUAGAUCCUUAUUCGCUCUAGGUAUAAGUUGAAUGGAAGAGUUUUUUAGCCUUGAUGGAUCUUGAGUACCUGAAUCGUCGAUGAAAACAGAUUUUUUCUCGGAAAUUCCACGAAUUGUUCAGGUUUGGAUUCUGUAAUUCUGUUGUUCUUUUUUGAUUUUGGAGAGUGUCCUGGGUAAUUUUGAGGAUAUUAUUUUUUUGUUUUUUCGGCUUGCAUUUAAUCACGCGCGUUGGGGAAUAGACAGGCUUCGGAGAAUGAAUCACCUUUUUAAGGUUUCGCUGGGGAGCGAAUUGGCCAUAAGGCAUCCCUUUCUGUUCAGUCUCUCUCUUGCCUUUUUCAUACUAUAUGGUUGUUGAUCUGGGGUUAUUGAAUGAUUGUUGCUUUUAUUUUCAUAAGAAGUGAUCUUAUUUUUUGUCUCUCUGUGCAACUUUAAUAUGAGGUUAUUAAGGAAGGAGAUAAAGGAGGAAGAAGGGACGAAGAAAAGGAAGAAAUGACUGGAUUGUUGGGAUGGGUAUGAAGAUGCAGUAGAGCCACCACCUAGGGGCUGUAAGGUCUAAUGGGCAAAUUGAAAGUAAAAAAGAGUGCACAUCCAUUCAAGCUAAGAGAGCUUGGGUUCCUAAAUUACUAUUGCUCUGGGUUCUGUUGGUGGCAUUGAUUGGUAUUGUUAAUCUACAAGGGAAUUGAUGGUGUUAACAAAGUUAGAAGAAAGGAAGUUUUGGGCGUAUGUGUGACCGGAGCACAAAGAUGCUUCUGCAUCAAUUUACUGUCAGUGUUAAACUAUGUCCAUGCUUUGGUUAUUCUAUUUUCUACUUUCCACUCCUCUCGAAAUGUAUCAGCAAUUGUUCAUGUAAAUGUGUUUCGAUUUCUGUUUGAUACUUCUCAGUUAGUUAGGGUUAAAAGUAUGAGAGAUAAUUCAUUUCUCGUCUCAUAUAGAAAUUAUCUUGAUGUCUUGAUUUUUAGGGUUUUUUUCAGCGGUUUUUGUUUUUUUUUUUUUGUUGGAUUUUGGCUAGUUAGGCUUAGAGGUGCAAGGACUUGUGAAAGAGAAGCAUUUGAUUGACCAACGAGUAAUUAGUUUCUCCUCAAGCAUCCCACCACUUUUCUAUUAAAGAAAUACAGGUACGUCUACGCUAUUACUUUUCAUGUCCUUUUACUUAAGAUAUUUAUAUAAAUAUAUAUAAAAAUAAAUAAGAUCCAUCUUUGGUAAUUUUUUUAAAAAUCAAAUCUGUGAAUAUUCAUUUCAUCUCUAAAGUUUUGCGUUUUGUUACUUUUUAAAAUUCCCUCCAUGUUACUAUUACACUCCUAUAUUUGUGUUGUAAUUAUGAUGUCCUUUUUCUAUGGUCUGUUAAAGUUAAUUUAAAUCCUUUUUUGCUCUUGGUUUAUGUUGAAGAAAUGGAAGAGUUUUUUAGCCUUAAUAGAUCUGGAGUACCUUAAUCGCUCUUGCAUUUUGUGAUUCUGUUCUUUUUCUAUUUUGAAGAGUGUCCUGUGUAAUUUUUAGGAUUUUUAUUUUAUAGUUUUUGUCGCUUGCAUUUAAACACGAACUUGGUUGUUGAACUGGGAUUCUUGAAUAAUUGUUGGUUUUGUUUUCUGAAGAAGUGAUCUUAUAUUUGUGUAUCUCUAUGUGCAACUUUAAUAUGGGGUUAUUAAGGAUGGAGAUAAAGGAGGAAGAAUUGAGAGAGAAAAGGCAGAAAUGACUUAAUUGUUGGGAUGAGUAUGACCCCAUGUCUAGUAGUUCCCAAGUAUGAUAUAGGAAGGCUGACUGAUUAAUGGAACUGAUCUUGUUGCGGUCCGUUUUAGAGUCCGGAGGAUUUAUCCGUAGGACUAUCCAUAUGGAAAGAAGGGUCCAGGUUUCAUAAGACUCCUUCUACGCGGUCUUCGCAAUAUUCUUUGCACUGGGGGAGGGCUCAAAGAAUUUGAGAUUAGAUUGGAACUGAUUGUAGUAGGCGAAGGACGGAUAUUAUUGGAAGGCAAUCGCAUAUUGAAUUGCGCCUAAGGCCACUCCUAACUAUUAAUGGAAAGGACCCACGGAGCGGUGCAAAGAAUAUAUAGAAGGGCAGACAGGUCCGGAGGACCUGUCUGUCCUUCGGUCUUAAUACUCCUAACGUCGAAUAAGAAGCUGGAGGUUGGGUCCAGGUGCAAAGAAUAUUGUGUCCAUUAGAUCCAUUGAAUUAGGCGAAGGAUUUUAUCAAGCUUAGCUUUCUGGAUUCUUCGGCGGAGUGAGGCUUUCUCUAGUAGGUCUGGAGGCACAAAGAAUGAUCGAAGGCUCCAGACCAUAAAGAAGAGAGUCGGAGGACUUCCAUUGACUUUUUCUUCCUUUCACUUCUAACUUCAAACCUUUCAUAUUCAACCUUGAAAAUAAAGGAGGGAGCGGACUACGGAGGCCAUAAGUUUGAGUUCCUCAGAUGUAUAAAAACAAGUCCUCCGGACGACCUAUCCACUGAAAGUAGCUACGUAGUCUUGUCUCCUUCCCGCGUAGUGGGCAUUGACUUCUUCAUUGAUUUUCUUCUAUCUCCCACGUAGCGGUUGAAUAUGAAAGGAAGCCCACAGAGCUGAAGAUGGAGCGGGAUAAUAAAGAAGAAAGCUCAAAAGGAGGGAGCGGACCUCAAUGAACAAGGGGAGGACUCGUUUUCAUCCUUAUGGAAGAAAAAUCUCUUUUUUUUUAUCUAAAAGACGUAGAAGGAGGCUCAAUGUCUAAUCUUUCUCUCAAAUCAAUAUCCCCCAGUGCAAAUAUUCCAGCAAUAUUCUCAAUAUGAAAAGAGCCUUUCUUCUUUUCUUAGAUAAAUGCGCUUCGUAGAUUAUGCUGAAGGAGGAGUGGGCCAUGAUCUUUGCUCCUUAAUUUCCCUAAUGGAUAGUCAUCUGGACCUUUCUUUUUAGUUCUUUGCGCUCGUCAACGCAUAUUUCAUUGCGCCUUCGCCUUCAAUGAAAUCCAUAAAUAAAUAAGGGUAGAUUUCAGACUCAAGAGGAGGGUUCCUUAUCAAUAUCAAUGAGACGGAUAGGCUUUCUUUUACAUUCCACAGGUCUGAAGGACUAUCCAUAUUAACAUGUCUGUCCUUCGCCUAACUAGUUCAUAUAGACCUUUGUUUUUCUUCCGCAGUCACUAAUAUGGAUAGUCCGGAGGACCUCCUUCAGCAUAAUCUAUGAAUGAUCGGAGCAAAGAAUAUUGCGAAAAAGAAGAAAGGAGUGCAAGCGAAAAAUAAUGGAUUGAAUAGUCCUUCGGACGAACUACCGCACUUGGGGGAUAUUGUUGAGAAAGAAUAUUGAAAAAGAAUGAUCGAAGAAUAUUGAAAAAGGACGGAGGAUAGGCUUUCUUUGAACAAUGUGGAUGUAUCAAAGAUUCCACAGGUUAAUAUGGUAGAUUUCAGACUAGUCCUUCACCUUGGAUCUGGGGACUAUUCUCUGUUCUAAUAGACAGAGGAGAGGUUCAAAGAAUAUUGAGAAUACUCGUGCAAGCGCAAUCAAUGAACAAGGUGAAAAGAAUAAAAAAAAGGCGGUCGAUGAUCAGGAAGAAAAAGUCAAAAGUCUAUCCCAUCUUCUUCGUUAGGCGCAAAGAAGAAAAACAAGGUGCAAAGAUCUAUGGCCCAAUUAUAAGGGGUCCAGAUGCACCAUAAGACUGGUCCGAAGGACUAUCCAUAUUAACCGGAGUCUUCAACAAGAUUUCCAACAUUGAAUAUUAAGCUACUGAGGCCCAAUAUUGCGAAGGAAGAACUGCGCCAUAAGACAGGUCCGAAGGACUAUCCAUUAGGGAAUGAGACGGAGGUAACGUUUGGUUUUUUGGGAAACUUGUUGGUCGCGGAUUAGUGCGUUUUUUUUGGAAAGUAACAAUUCUCUUCAGUUUGGUUUCAGAAAACUUGUUGGUCACGGAUUAGUGCGUUCUGCGCCGCCUGGUGUCACAAACAUAUUUUUCCAAAGUGUGUUUACCUUUGGUUAUAUGCUCCGAUUACCCCCAGUUUAUCUCAUGUUUAGUUUGCAUAACUAGUUUAGCUGAUUGCUUUUCAUUCUAGGUCAUAAAGCUUGGGUGUGACGUUUCGGCAUUUUCAUAUGCAAGCCUGCCAGAGAGGAAAAUGUUCAAAAUGUACUAUAGGGGAGGCAUACCAGUUGAAUCCCCGCCCAAGCAUUAGUUGUACUCUUUGCAAGCAACCCUUUUUCCUUGCAAUUGACAGUCUUUAAUGCUUAUUGUAACGUCUAUUUCAAUGUAUUUCUUUCUUUCCCGUGUUUUAUAAAUAAAAUGUCCCUAAAACGCAAACGAAGGUUACGACAUACAUCGACGUUACCCACAACUCUUGGAUAUUGAUCGACUGACUUGUUCAUCGAGUUAGAACAAGUGCCGCACAAUCGUCCGUCUCGAGGUUGAAACGCUACGGUUGUGACAAGUGGUAUCAGAGCCAAAGUUGGCUGAGUGACAGUUUUGACAAAAAUAAAAUGUCGACUGCAAAACGAGCGAGCAAGACCCAUGAAGAACGGUUGGUGGGGAUCGAAGUGCAGAUGCUCCACCUGAUGGAAGUUCCUGAUUCCAUCCGGUUCUUGGAAUAGCGGCUUGAGGAUAUUGCCAAGAAAGCUGAUGGCAUUGAAGCCGUGUCCGGUCGCCUUGACGGACUACCCAUCCAAGAGUUACUGACUAGAGUCGACACUCUAGAGUCCCGAGUUAUGAGAACGGGAAAUGUCACCUACGAGCGUGGGGACAGUUCAUCGGGCUCUGUUGCCCAGAUGGAAGAACGAGUUAUGGAGCUUGAUAACUCGCAAAAGAACAUGUUGGAGAUGAUCAGCGGCAUGACAAAGGAUUUUCGAGCAACCCUCGAUGUCGUGAGGAAUGAGCUCGCAGAGGUAAGCACGAGGGUGAACCUUACUAUGCGAGCACUAGAAAAUCAGGCUCUAGCUGGAGGAGCCAUUCCUGUGGGCAGAAUCAAGAUUCCUGAGCCCAAGCCCUUCUGUGGGCGAGAGAUGCCAAGGCGUUGGAAAACUUCAUUUGAUGUCGAGCAGUAUUUCAAAGCCACGAACACAAUUACUGAAGAGGCCAAGGUGACGUUGGCAACCAUGCAUCUGACAGAAGAUGCGAAGUUAUGGUGGAGGUCCCGAUACAUGGACAUUCAAGAAGGGCAUUGCACAAUCGACACGUGGGAUGCCCUAAAAGGAGAACUUCGUUCGCAAUUUUCCCUGAGAAUGUCGAAAUUCUGGUCCGACGGAAGCUGCGUGAAUUGAAGCACACGGGGAACAUUCGGGACUACGUGAAACAGAUUGCGGGGUAAUGUUGGAUAUACGCGACAUGAUCGAAAAAGAUAAAAUAUUCAGCUUUGUUGAAGGGUUGAAGCCAUGGGCAAGGACUAAGCUAUACGAGCAGAAAGUCCAAGACCUCGUGUCAGCCUAUGCAACAGCUGAACGUUUGUUUGAUCUGUCUAAUGACGUUCAAGAGACAAGACAUCAUUGAAGCUCUUCACCUGGAAGAGACAGAAACAGCCGACUGAGUUCUCCCGAAGCUGUCAGUAGAAAUAAAAGUCCCGGCAGAGACCGCAAGCCCUUCCAGUCAAAUACGGGGAACACCAGGCAAAGGCCCACUAGUCAAAGGACCUCCCACACUCCUAUCAGUUGCUACAUUUGUAACAGGCCACAUCGGACAAGGGAAUGUCCGGAUAAAGCGGCCUUCUACGCCUUCCAGGCCUCUCUGGCUACAGACUUAGGUGACAAGUUGGGUCAACCAGAGAAUGAAGGUGGGUAGGUGGAGGAAGUCCAAAACGUUAGAGUAGGGGCCAUAAGACUCUUGUCGUUCCUUCAGAAUAAAGCAGGGGAGACAAGUGGUCGUACAAAAGGGGGCCUAAUAUAUGUGGACACCUGGAUCAACCGAAGGCAUGCAAAGAGCACUAUGGUUGACUUCAGUGCAACCCAUAAUUUUAUAACGGUGGCGGAAGCCAGACGAUUGAACCUUCACUAGAAGAAGGAUACAGGAAAGAUGAAGGCCGUAAAUUCUACAGCUUUACCCGUCGUCGGAGUAGUGAAACGAGCGGUGAUACAGUUGGAAAGAUGGAACGACCUUGUUGACUUUGUGGUUGUGGGCAUGGAUGACUUUGAUGUAGUUCUCGGAAUGGAAUUCCUUCUCGAACAUCAAGUGAUCAUGAUGCCUGCAGCCAAAUGUCGGUGAUCACGGGAUCUACCCCCACCAUUAUGCAGAUAGAACUCCGGCAACCCAAAGGAUUGAGAAUGGUCUCGGCCAUGCAACUGAGGGAGGGCCAUAUUCAGGAAGACACAAGGCGUGUCGUGGAGAGACGUUGUGAUGGGAAACAGGAUAGUUUGCCCAUGUCAGAAUCGCCUACGAGAAAUGAUCAUCGUAUGGCGCAAUCAAAAUCAUCUGGACUCAGGAGACAGUCAAGGAGACUGUCAGGUGCAGGAUCCACUAGACCUGCGAGAGAUCCGUAUCAAGCACAAGACUUCUUACGGAAGGAAGAGAAUGGGCAAUUGUGUGUCAACAACCGUGUCCUAAAGCAAGCCCCGAGGAGAGGGCCAACUUUUGAGUCCGUGAGUGGGACUCAGCCUGUUGAAGCUUACGCUAAGGCAUAUGGUCCUGUGUCAGGUGGCAUCCUAAUGCAGAAUAGACACUCUGUCACAGCUGAGAGUCAGAAACAAAGUGCCGCAGAAGGUAGUUAUACGAUGUUUGGAAAAGGAAUGCUGACCACGAUACGUAGUCUGAAGGAUGGAAGACAACAUUCCCAGGGGUCUACACAUGGAAGAGAGACGAACAACAUUGCGACCAACCGCUUUGAUACUCGGCCGAAGUGGGCUUUGAGUCAAGAAAAGUGGCAGAGGGACGUGUCAAGGGAAUCCUUGCAGAAAAACUCUGUCAUUGAAGUUGAUGUAAGUCUGGCGGAGACCAGUCAGGUGGAAGAAAAGAAUGGAGUUCAAUUGUGGAAGCUAACCCAAUCUUAUGUUAAUGCUGCAAUGAGUUCGUCAAUGGAUGGAAACCAAUUUGUGGGUGUUUGUGGCGGACAUUCUGUACAGUCCCGCCUUGUUGGUCCCUCCUGUGUUGGUAAGAAUCCUCAAGCUUGCAACAGUACCAAGAGGUGGAAGCUGGAGUCAGACAUCGUUCGGACCGAUCGAGAGGAAGCCUCGAAGUGGCCAGAAAAGUGGGCAGAUAAGAAGCAUCGCCUCCGUGAUUCCCGUGGGGGAGACCAGGUCAUCGUCAAACGGCGAUCUGAACUGACUCAGUUUUUGAAGAAGACUUCAAGAUCACUGCCUCGUGAGAGAACGCGAGGGACAAACAGAAGUUCAAGAAGUCCUUGCUAAAGAAGCAAGGAAAAGAAGAAGACCCAUGGGGGGAUACACAAGUUCGUGGUGAAGCAGAGGAGCCUCCUCAUGGAAGAAGCCUGUGGAAGACGUACAAAUCUUCUUAUAGAUUAUGUUGAAGGAGGCGGCANNNNNNNNNNNNNNNNNNNNNNNNNNNNNNNNNNNNNNNNNNNNNNNNNNNNNNNNNNNNNNNNNNNNNNNNNNNNNNNNNNNNNNNNNNNNNNNNNNNNNNNNNNNNNNNNNNNNNNNNNNNNNNNNNNNNNNNNNNNNNNNNNNNNNNNNNNNNNNNNNNNNNNNNNNNNNNNNNNNNNNNNNNNNNNNNNNNNNNNNNNNNNNNNNNNNNNNNNNNNNNNNNNNNNNNNNNNNNNNNNNNNNNNNNNNNNNNNNNNNNNNNNNNNNNNNNNNNNNNNNNNNNNNNNNNNNNNNNNNNNNNNNNNNNNNNNNNNNNNNNNNNNNNNNNNNNNNNNNNNNNNNNNNNNNNNNNNNNNNNNNNNNNNNNNNNNNNNNNNNNNNNNNNNNNNNNNNNNNNNNNNNNNNNNNNNNNNNNNNNNNNNNNNNNNNNNNNNNNNNNNNNNNNNNNNNNNNNNNNNNNNNNNNNNNNNNNNNNNNNNNNNNNNNNNNNNNNNNNNNUACACAUUUCAGUCUAACGCCCCGAAGGACGUACAUAUCAGUCUAACGCCCCGAGGACGUACAUAUCAGUCUAACGCCCCGAGGGACGUACAUAUCAGUCAAGUGUUCUGCAGAAACACAUAUCAGUCAAAUGCUCCCGAAGGUGCAAAAUAAAUUGGUGAUCCCUACAAGGUAAACAUCCCAAUACAACCUAACAAUUUAUCCCCUCAUUCCAUUCAACCCAUCUUUCAGUUACUUCAAAUCACAAAGUCCUUUCUUUCAACAUCCUAACAGUCAACUUAUUUUACUACAAUCAUAUGUCUGUCAAUAAAAUGCUAAUACAUCAGUCAAUCCACUAUACAGUCAAGUCAAUACACCCCUCAGUUCACCAGCACAAACCACAGUUCAGUAUAAUCCACAUCCAACCGAAACAAAUUCACUAGUUCACAUCCAAUCUUUAUACAGCACAAAUCUAUUAAUAUCAUCAUGUACACAUAAGCAUAAUUUCAGUCAUUCACAAUGUAUACUUUUGGCAAUCCACAUGCAAUUCACACAUCAAUGUAACAUAUAUAUGUUUCCAGUCAAAUACAACAUACACUAAACAUUUAGUCUGCAAUCAAACAUGUACAUCUUAAUCAUCAUCCAUACAGUCCAUCCAACACAAACUCAAAAACUUUAGGUGAGGUCCAGUAGAAAGUCCCUUACCUCAAAGUUAGGGAAGCUCCUUAAUCAACUAACGUCCUCGAAACAAUCCGAUAUAUUUGGCGAACUGAACCCUCAACAAUUCACAAAAUUGGUUGUGAAUUUAUAGGGAGCCCAACGUUACUCCCAACACCUUCAAGAACCAAUUAACAAAUUAGCUAAACAUUCCAACCAUAACACUUGAAACCACUUUGAAACCAAUUACCAUUCAUACUUAAGUUGUUACCAACAAAGCAACCUCGAUAAAAUUUGUAAAACAGAGACAGCAGCACACCUCAACGCACGACUGUCAGACUCGCAGCAAAAAUCCUAAGUGUGGGUCGGUCAGCGGUCGGCCAAAGGAGACGUGGCGGCUGCCUCAAAAUCGAUCAACGAUCUGACGCGGUCGGAGAGUCGCGCGGCAGUGCAAAAAAUAGAGGAGAACGGAAUGGGCGGCGGCUCGAAACAGAGGUUGCGCGGCAGGGCUCCACGAAGACAGAACCAGCAGAGACGGUUGCAGAACCGUGGCUUCGACGGAGACAAAACCGGCGGAGACGGUUGCAGCGGCGGUUACUGCGCGAACGGAGAGAAGGAAACGGAUGGGGCGGCUGGGCUACGGCGGGAAGAGAACGGAAGAGAAAGGAUCGGUGGCGGUUGCGGCUGGGCUGCGACGGGAAGAAAACGGAAGGGAGAAGAGAAAAGAGAAAGGAAAAGAGAAGAGAACGGGGGGGGGGGGGGGGGGGGUCGCGGCGCGCUUGAGGGAGAGAGAAAGAGAGAGUUUUUCUUUUUUUCUUCUUUCUUUCUUUAUUUUUUCUUUUUCCUUUUUAUUAAAAUUAAAUAUAAAUAAACAAAUAUAUAUAUCUCACGGUUAAUAUAUAAAACUAUUAUAAAUGUAAACAAGAUGUGAUAUAUAUAUAUAAUAAAUCACAUAUACAACCUAUUAUAUCAUGCGAUAAUAUUCUAAAACUAGUAUAAUCAUAAAUAGUAUGUGAUAUAUGUUUAAAGGGAAUAUUAAAAAACUGGUAAAAUCAAAAUAGAAUAACAUUAAAAUAAGAGGAAUAUUGUUAAUAUAUAUUAUAUAUACGCGUAUGAUAUACUCAGAAUGAACUAGUUUUAAAUGGACAAAAUAACAAAUGACUGUGGAUUUUAUCUUAUUUUCAGGUGAUGGACAAUUGUAUAUGAUGGCGAUUUGUUAAGAUUCUGCAGCUUGCGGUUAUGAUAAAUUUGAAUACAAAUUUAUAAAACAAUGUAAUAAGAAGUUCAAAUGAUGGAGAAGAAUAGCAAAAAAAAGUUGUCGGCGAUGGAGAAGAUAAUGUAAUGGCUGCCAGAGAGAGUGAACAAUUAGGUUAAGUUAUAUUUUUAGAAAGAAUAAUUAAAUAGUUUAUUACAAAAUAAAGUAAAAUUACAAUUAUUAUAAUAUAUUCUGAUUUAUAAUUAAUUUAAAAGAUACUUGAAAUUUAUUAACAUAUUAAGGUCUUUUGUCUAAAAGUUUCAACUAAUAAUAAUGAUAGUUCUCAUUAACCAAUUGACAAAUGAUUGAUAUUGUCAAAUGAUCGAUAUGUGCAAGUGCACAUUUCAAUUAUAAUAUAGUAAAACGUUCUUAGAGAUCGAGCUAGUAUCCUUUUAAGAGGGAUCAAAUUAACAAAUUAAUUUAUUGAUUUUAGGAUUAGGAUGUGUUUUAAGGAUUAAAAACAAUGAUUAGAAACUAAUAAAAAGAUCCCUAAAAGACAAAUAUGAAAUCUCAAAGAAUAAAAAAUGCUCCAAAAUUGUUUUUGAUUUCACUGUUCAAUCCAUAAAAUCAUGAUGUGUAUAGGUUAUAUGAAAACUAGUGUCAGUAUGUGUUCAGAUGUAGGAACUAAUUAACUACAAGUUGUUGACUUUUGAAAAGAAUAUCUUUCCAUUCAAACAUAAUUGUUCCUAAUCUCUUCCAACUAAGUUAAAUAUUAUGGUAUUAAACAGAUACAUAGUUUGGUUGGUAGUUUCUCUUCAAAAUUAUUAUUUUGAGAAAACAAAUACAAUUUCUUUUUUAGGUAAUCCAAUAUCCUCGAGUAUAUUUAUAAAUAUGGAAAUAUUAUUUCCAUAUUAGAAGAGAUACUAAAAGAUCUUAUUACAACAUCAUUAGAGUCCCAUCAUUUUCUCUAAAUAUCUCUUUUGUGGUGAAAGAUUUGGAAUUGCACAUCAAUCAUUUUGGAGUGGGUAAUUGAUCACCCUAUUUUUCAAAAAAUAAGAAAGAUAAAAAUAGUUAUUUUUUAAAAGAUAUAUUUGAAAGUGUUGAGUUUAUGGAAGGUAUUAGUACUUAUACAACCACAAGACAUUUGAUUUUUGUUAUCUAAAUUAUUUUAAUAAAAAUGUUUUUUUUUUUUUUGAAGUUUAUGCUUAUUAAAAAUGCUUAUUUAAAAAAUGUUAAUGAAAUUUUAAAAAAUAAAAUCUAAUUAAACACUUUUGAGAUAGAGAGGUUUCCCUUGACUACCCGAGCGUAGAUAAACACUUCUGAGAUUUGGUUGGUAAUCCCAAGUUCGUGUGCAGUUGAUUAUUUUUUAAAUUUUGUAUAGUUGAAUAAUAUUUGAAUUUUAAAUUUUCAUCUAUGUGAUAUUUACUCAUUUCAAACUUUUUGAAUAUGCAUGUUUAUUUAUUAUUCUGCCGUCUCUCUAUUGUAUUUUAAAAUUUAGAAUAUGUGUAUUUAUAUUAUUUGAAAUUGAAAAUUUAACUUUUGCUCUUACACUAGGCUUUAACUCUUUGUUUGUCCGUGUUGUAGGUGAGAGAGAAGGAAAAGUUCCAUUGUUUGAUUGAAUUGGAAUUGUUUCCUGCAUGGGGUGUCAUACAUAAUCCACUUAUUACUAGUUAAAGGUCUUCUUUGCCUCUGUCUUCUUCCCCAUCUCCCCAAGUUGUUCUAACCUUUUUAUAUCUACCUAUUACAUGUCAAAAGGCGGAUAAUUUCGCUCUUCAAUGUUUUGAAACAAGUUCAUUAUGAAAAUCUCUCACAAGCAAACGUCAAUGUGCAUUAUGAAUAAUUUCAUCUCAAAAAAAUUGUUUGAGAGGUUUCAAAAGUGUAUCGAAACUAAUAAUUUUAAUGAAUAAAAAAAUAAUUCUUCGUUAGAUUCUUACAUUUUAUUUCAACCAAUAAAAUUUAGGAGAAUUUUUAAAAAUAGCAAAUUUUACAAAAAAUAUUUACAAUUUAUAACAAAUUUAUAGUCAUUGAUAUGCUAUAACGAUAGUUACUAGUAAAUAUUUUAAUUUAUUUUGUUAUUUUAAAAAAUGCUCAUAAAAUAUUAUAGUGAGGGAACAAUGAUGAAUCACAUAGUUCUUGUGGUGAUGUCGCUUUUUCUCCCUCUUUACAUUCUAAAAUCUCAAAUACAAAUCAUAAAACAAGUAGAUAUACAUUCAAUUAACAUGAUUUUGAUUCUAAUAAAUUAGAAAAGACAAAAAUAACUAACUAAUUAUGGAAAAGUAAUAUUUUAACAUGAAUUAUUGAUUUUUAAUUAGAGGUAAUUUUAAAAUAAAUAAAAUAAAAGAAAAUAUUACAAAUCAAAUCUAAACUAACUUUGAUUUUACUUCUUUAAUUGCAAUAUAACAUAGAUACAUUGGCUAUGAAGUGCAAUUUCUUAUAUUAUAAUAUUUAAAAGAUUUAAAUUUAAAAAUAAAAAUAAGUAAUCUCAAGUCCAAUAUUGGACCCGUGGGGCUUAGCCCAUCAAUUUAAAAAUUCAAAAUGCACACUCAACGGUCACAUUUUCCUAGGAUCAUCCUAUUUAAUGCCCUUCUACUUGUCAACUCCAUCGAAAUCCUUCAUUUCUUGUGGCACCGUCUAAAAUUUGCUUCGAUUGAAGAAAUUUUGACGCCCAUGACAGCGUUGAAAUUUCUUCAAUGCAAACAAAUUUUUUAUCUUCCUUUCAUCGAGGAUUUUCAUACCAUGUGAAGGAGAGAUCAGUUCCAUCAGUUCCAAGUCGUUCGUGAGUCAUCUUCUUUCCUGUGUAGUUUUCAUCUCUUGAUUUUGGAUUGCUUGUUCAAGAUUUAUUUUCGAAUUUUGGAUUGUUUGCUAUUCGGAUAGGCAGAAGGUUUGCACGAUGAUAGAUCUGGAGUACCUGAAUCGUUUAUUGAUUCUGUAGUUUAAUCUUAUGAUUUUGGUGAUUUCGAAGCGUACAAUAUAAUCGUACUGUGUUAUGAAGUAAAUAAGAUUUUGUAGGGUUUUUGAAAGUUAAUUUAGAUAUUUCCUGCAUUUUAGUCUUGAUAGAUCUGGGGUACCUGAACCGUUCAGGUUUGCAUGCUGUGAUUGUGUUGUUCUUUUUUGAUUUUGGAGAGAGUCCUUGGGUAAUUUUGAGGAUUGUUCUUUUUUUAGUUUUUUUUUGCAUGCAUUCAAACACACGCAUGGUUUUUAAACUGGGGUUCUUGAAUAUUUGUCGGUUUUCUCGAAUAUUUGCCGGUUUUUUUUUCUCAGAAGAAUUGAUCUUAUAUUUGUGUAUCUCUCUGUGCAACUUUAAUAUAAAGUUAUUAAGGAAGAAGAGAAAGGAGGAAGAAGGGAGAGAGAAAAGGUAGAAACGACCUAAUAGUAGGCAUGAGUAUUAAGAUGCAGCAGAGCCACCACUUAGUGGCGCUAAGGUUUAAUGAGCAAAUUGACAGUAGAAAAGGGUCCACAUCCAUACCUAAGUUACUAUUGCUCUGGGUUCUGUUGGUGGCAUUCAUUAGUAUGUUAAACUACAAAGAAAUGGAUGGGUGGUGUUAACAAAGUUAGAAGAAAGUAAGUUCUGGGAAGUAUGUGUGACCAGACGACAAAGAUGCUUCUGCCUCAACUUAGUGUCAGUGUCAAACUAUGUCCAGGCUUUGGCCAUUCUCAUUUCCAUUUUCCAGUACUUCAAAAUCGUAUCAGCAAUUGAUCAGGAAAAUGUGUUUCGAUUUCUGUCUUUUAUUAGUCUCGGUUAGUUAGGCUUAAGAGUAAGGGAUAUAAUUCAUUUUUCUUGUUUCAGCUAGAAAUUACGUCGAUGUCUUGAUUUUUAGUUUUUUUAGGGCUGUUUGGUUGUUUUUUUAGGGGUGUUUGGUUAGUUAGGCCUAAGAAGUAAGGGCUAGUGAAAGAGAAGCAUUUGAUUGUCCUACAAGUAUCUGAAUCGCCAAUGAAAGCAGAGGUUAUUUCCUCUGAAUUUCCACGAAUUGUUCAGGUUUGGAUUCUGUGAUUGUGUUGUUCUGUUGUUCUCUUUUUUAUUUUGGAGUGUUCUAGGAAAUUUUGAGGUUUGUUAUUUUUUAGUUUUUUUGGCUUGCCUUUAAUCACGCUCGUUUGGGAAUAGACAGGCUUCAGAGAAUGAAUCUCCUUUUUAAGGGUUCGUUGGGGAGCGAAGUGACCAUAUGGCAUCCCUUUCUGCACCUGCUCAGUCUCUCUCUUGCCUUUUUCAUACUACAUAUUUUUGUUUCUCAAUUUAGUGUCAGUGUCAACCAUGUCUAUGCUUUGGCCAUUCUCAUUUCCACUUUCCACUACUCUAAAAAUGUAUCUGCAAUUGAUCAGGUAAAAGUGUUUCAAUUCUCUGUCUUUGGUUCAUCUCCGUUAGUUAGUCUUAAGAGUAAGGGAGAUAAUUCGUUUUUCUUGUUUCCCUCCAUGUAUUGAUUUUUAGUUUUUUAGGGAUGCUUGGUUGGUUUGAAUGCACGAAACAUUUGCUGGUACACGAUUCAAACAGCUUGCCCAGUCAUGUUUUUCUAUUUUUUUUUAAUAUUUUGGAAUUUUGCAUGUGUGAUUUCUGUAUAUAUUAUUCUUGCCCUUUUCCUUUAUCAUCAUUUAUUUUGAUUUUGGAGAGGUCUCUUGGUUAUUUGUUAUUUGCACAUAUACAAGGGUUGAAAAUUUCAAUCCCACCUCUCUUUUAUAUUACAUUCAUUUAGUUUUGGCUGUUAUCUAAUUGAACUAUUUGAUCAUCAAAUAAUUGUGUUACCUUUUCUUCUAGAUGUUUAGAUUCAUUUUUCUCACUAUUUUAGUUUUCUUAAUGUGCGACAGUCUUUGUUUUUUAUUGAACUAUUGUGUGGCAGUCUUUAUUUAUUGGUUAUCUUUAGUUUCACUAUUGUUCUUUUUUUAAUGUUUUCUUAGUUUUUAAUAAGUGUGACAAAAUAUGAAUUAAUUUUUUUCUUUGAACAAAUGUGGAAUUUAUUUUCUUUUAAUGUAGUUGUGUCCCCAAUAAAUUUAUUUUGGCGAUUUAACAAUCCAUCAUGUUCUUUUUCAUUUUUCUGUUGUAUUUUCUUGGUUCUUUGUUGUGGUAUGUCUAUUUUUGAGACAUUCUUAAUUUAGUUUUAUUUCUUUUAGCUUCCUGCAUCAUUUUGUAUUAUGGAUUGUUAUGAAAUUUUGAGAUUAUGCUUUAUUUUGUUUUUUGGUCCUUUGCUGUGAUGUCUUUUGAUUAUUUCUUUUGAGUGAACAGUUCAUGUAAGAUUUUCUGCAUGAGAAUAAAUUGAUUAUUUAAUUUGGUCAAAGAAGUUCAAAAUUUACAUGUGAAAUUUACACUCAGUGGCUGUAAGGUUUAAUGAGAAAAUUGGAAGUAGAAAAGAGUCCACAUUAAUUCAUUCAGCCAAGAGGGCUUGGCAUCCUAAGUUUGCUCUGGGUUCUGUUGGUGGCAUUCAUCAAUAUGUUAAUCUAUUAGGGAAUGUAUGGUUAUAACAAAGUAAGAAGAAUGGAAGUUCUGGGGGAGUAUUUGUGACAAGAGGGCAAGGAUGCUUCUGCAUCAAUUUAGUGUUAGUCAAUCAUGUCUAUGCUUUGGCCCUUCUCAUUCCACUUUCCACUACUACAAAAAUGUAUCUGCAAUUGAUCAUGUAAAAGUGUUUCAAUUUUCUGUCUUAGGUUCAUCUCAGUUAGUUAGUCUUAAGAGUAAGGGAGAUAAUUCAUUUUUCUUGUUUCAGCUAGAUGUUACCCUCCAUGUCCUGAUUUUUAAUUUGGCUUCCUAAGUGUGCUCUAGGUUCUGUUGGUGGCAUUCAUCAGUAUGUUAAUCUACAGGUGAAUCUAUAGUUAUAACAUAGUAAGAAGAAUGGAAGUUCUUGGGGAGUUUGUGUGACAAGAGGGCAAGGAUGCUUCUGCAUUAAUUUAGUAUCAGUGUCAACCAUGUUUAUGCUUUGGCCAUUCUCAUUUCCACUUUCCACUACUCCAAAAAUGUAUUAUCUGCAAUUGAUCAGGUAAAAGUGUUUCAAUUUUCUGUCUUUGGUUCAUCUCAGUUAGUUAGUCUUAAGAGUAAGGGAGAUAAUUCGUUUUUCUUGUUUCAGCUAGAUAUUACUCUCCAUGUCUUGAUUUUUAGUUUUUUAGGGGUGCUUGGUUGGUUUGAAUGCAGGAAACUUUUGCUGGUACACGAUUCAAACAGCUUUCCAUGUCAGGUUUUUCUAUUAUUUUUCUUUAAUAUUUUGGAACAUGUGUAAUUUCUGUAUAUAUUAUUCUUGCCGUUUUCCUUUUUCAUCAUUUAUUUUGAUUUUGGAGAGGGUCUCUUGGUAACUUGACUUUUCUUUUAGUUUUGACUGUUAUCUAAUUGAACUAUUUGAUUAUCAAAUAAUUGUGUUACUUUUUGUUCUAGAUGUUUAUAUUCAUUUUUCCCACUCUUUUAGUUUUGUUAAUGUGUGACAGUCUUUGUUUUUCAUUGAACUAUUGUGUGGCAGUCUUUAUUUAUUGGUUAUCUUUAGUUUCACUAUUGUUCUUUCUUUAAUGUUUUUCUUAGUUUUUAAUAAGUGUGACAAAAUAUGAAUUUAUCUUUUUCUUUGAACAAAUGUGGAAUUUAUUUUUCUUUUAAUGUAGUUGUGUCCCCAAUAAAUUUAUUUUGGCGAUUUAACAAUCCAUAAUGUUGUUUUUCAUUUUUCUGCUGUAUUUUCUUUGGUUCGUUGUUGUGCGAUGUCUAUUUUUGAGACAUUUUUAAUUUAGUUUUAUUUCUUUUAGCUUCCUGCAUCAUAUUGUAUUAUGGAUUUUUUCGAAAAUUUGAGUUUGAUCUUGUUUUUCUGGUCCACUGCUGUGCAGUUUUUUUUAUGAGAUAUUUUUAUUUAGAUUUAUUAUCUUUUAGCUUGUUUUGCAUUUUGCAUUAUAGAUUAUUUUUUAAAAUUUUGAGGUUGUUUUUUUUCUUUGAUCUUUUGUUGCGGUGACAAUUUUAAUUUAGAUUUAUUAUCUUUUAGCUUGCUUGCAUUAUGGAUUGUUAUGAAAUUUGCUUUAUUUUGUUUUUUGGUCCUUUGCUGUGAUGUCUCUCUAUAAGACAUUUUUAAUUUAGGUUUAAUAACUUUUAGCUAGCUUGCAUUGUGGAUUGUUAUGAAAUUUUGAGUUUCUGCUUUCUUUUGAGUUUUGGUGAUGCCUUUUUACGAGACAUUUUUAAUUUAGGUUAAUUUUUUAGGUUGCUUGCAUUUAUGGAUUGUUCUGAAAUUUUGACUUUCUGCUUUUGUUUUUUAUGUCAUUUGUUGUGUGAUAUUCUCUUUAUAAGAUAGAGAUAUUUUUAAUUUAGGUUUACUAUUUUUUAGCCUGCUUGCAUUUGGUAUCAUAUAUGAAUUGUUCUGAAUUUUGAGUUUCUUAUUUUUCAGUCAUUUGUUGUGCGAUAACUUUUUAUAAGACAGACAUUAAGAUUUAUUAUUUUUGGACUUGUUUGUAUUUUGUAUCACGGAUUGUGGUUUUUUAAAUUCAGAGGAGGAACUAGAAAUUGUUCUUGUGAUAUGUUAAAAUCUAGUUUACUGCAAAGAAUGAAUUCUAAAACAGAGGGUAUGAAUAUCGUCAAUAAUUUUUCUCCAUUUGUGCGUUGAGCAAUGUUUAGCUGAUAUGUUUGUGUAUUCUUUACAUUAGUGCAGCACCACAUGCUAAUUUAGGUGUGAAAUGCUAAUUUAGAUGUGAAACACUUCCAAAGAUGACGAGAAAUCAAAGAUUGUCGUAGUAAAAAACCUCACCAGUUUUUCCUUUCAGGUUUUUCUUUUCUUUUUCUUUAAUAGUUUGGAAUUUUGCUGGUGUGAUUUCUGCUUUUCUCUUAUCAUUUAUUUUGAUUUUGGAGAGCAACUUUGGUAAUGUUAAGGUGAUUUAAGAAAAGUUGGUUGUCCAAGAAUCAAUAUUUUUAUAUUACCUUAAAUCUUCCUAAGACAUGUUGGGUCUUUCUUUGGCCUUUGUUAGUGUCUUCUAUUAAGUCUGUUAGUUUCACUUUAGUUGGGUCUUUUUUUAAUUUUAUUUUAUCUUUUAAAUUCCAAAUCCUACUCAUUUGGUCAUGACGAUUGAAUAAUCAUUGUUAAAUUUAUUUCUUGUUGGGAGUGUAGAUUUUAUUUUCUUUUUGGCCUUUGUUAUUUGCAUCUAUACAGGGGUUCGAAAAAUUCAAACCCUUCCCUCUUUUAUUCGACAUUCUUUUAGUUUUAUUUGUACUAUUGGAUUGUUAAAAACAAUUGUGUUACUAUUUCUUACAUUCCAUAAAGAACCCUUUCUGAUGAAUUAUUUCUUAUUGAACUGUUUUAAAAUUUUGAGUUUCUUCUUUUUCUUUUUUGGGUCCAUUGUUGGGGGAUGAUACAUCUUUAAUUUUUUUUUUUUUUUGAUAAGAGAUGAUACAUCUUUAAUUUAGAUUUAUUAUCGUUAGCUUGUUUUGCAUUUUGUAUUAUGUUUUUUGAAAUUUUGAGUUUCUUCUUUUUCUUUCUUUGGUCAUGUGUUGUGCGAUGUUAUUUGCAUUAGGGGUGUUUGGUUGGUUGUUUUUUUAGGGGUGUUUUGGUUAGUUAGGCUUAAGAAGCAAGGGCUAGUGAAAGAGAAGCAUUUGAUUGUCCUACAAGUAAUAAGCUUCUCCUCAAUCAUUCAACCAUUUUUUUAGUAAAGAAAGAGGCUUCUCCUCUGGCAACCAAAGUCCGUCCCUCGUUAACAGGUAAGUCUACCCCAUUACUUUUUAUGUCCUUUUAAUUAAGAUAUUUGGGUCAAUAUAUAUCAAAAUAAAUAAGAUCCAUCUUUGGUAAUUUUUAAAAAAUUUAAAUCUAUAAAUACUCAUUUCAUCUCUAAAAUUAUGUGAUUUGUACUUUCUAAAAUUCCCUCGAUGGUACUAAUACACUCUUAUAUUUGUAUUGUAAUUAUCAUGUCCUUUUUCUAUGGUUUUUUAAAGUUAAUUUAGAUCCUUAUUCGCUCUAGGUAUAAGUUGAAUGGAAGAGUUUUUUAGCCUUGAUAGAUCUUGAGUACCUGAAUCGCCGAUGAAACAGAGGUUAUUUUCUCGGAAAUUCCACGAAUUGUUCAGGUUUGGAUUCUGUAAUUCUGUUGGUUCUUUUUUGAUUUUGGAGUGUGUCCUGGGUAAUUUUGAGGAUUAUUAUUUUUUUGUUUUUUUGGCUUGCAUUUAAUCACGCACGUUGGGGAAUAGACAGGCUUCGGAGAAUGAAUCACCUUUUUAAGGUUUCGCUGGGGAGCGAAUUGGCCAUAAGGCAUCCCUUUCUGUUCAGUCUCUCUCUUGCCUUUUUCAUACUAUAUGGUUGUUGAACUGGGGUUAUUGAAUGAUUGUUGCUUUUAUUUUCAUAAGAAGUGAUCUUAUAUUUUUGUUUCUCUCUGUGUAACUUUAAUAUGAGGUUAUUAAGGAAGGAGAUAAAGGAGGAAGAAGGGACGGAGAAAAGGAAGAAAUGACUGGAUUGUUGGGAUGGGUAUGAAGAUGCAGUAGAGCCACCACCUAGGGGCUGUAAGGUCUAAUGGGCAAAUUGAAAGUAAAAAAGAGUGCACAUCCAUUCAAGCUAAGAGAGCUUGGAUUCCUAAAUUACUAUUGCUCUGGGUUCUGUUGGAGGCAUUGAUUGGUAUUGUUAAUCUACAAGGGAAUUGAUGGUGUUAACAAAGUUAGAAGAAAGGAAGUUUUGGGCGUAUGUGUGACCGGAGCACAAAGAUGCUUCUGCAUCAAUUUACUGUCAGUGUUAAACUAUGUCCAUGCUUUGGUUAUUCUAUUUUAUACUUUCCACUCCUCUCGAAAUGUAUCAACAAUUGUUUAUGUAAAUGUGUUUCGAUUUCUGUUUGAUACUUCUCAGUUAGUUAGGCUUAAAAGUAUGAGAGAUAAUUCAUUUCUCGUCUCAUAUAGAAAUUAUCUUGAUGUCUUGAUUUUUAGGGUUUUUUUCAGCGGUUUUUGGUUUUUUUAUUUUUUUGUUGGAUUUUGGCUAGUUAGGCUUAGAGGUGCAAGGACUUGUGAAAGAGAAGCAUUUGAUUGACCAACGAGUAAUUAGUUUCUCCUCAAGCAUCCCACCACUUUUCUAUUAAAGAAAUACAGGUACGUCUACGCUAUUACUUUUCAUGUCCUUUUACUUAAGAUAUUUAUAUAAAUAUAUAUAAAAAUAAAUAAGAUCCAUCUUUGGUAAUUUUUUUUAAAAUCAAAUCUGUGGAUAUUCAUUUCAUCUCUAAAGUUUUGCGUUUUGUUACUUUUUAAAAUUCCCUCCAUGUCACUAUUACACUCCUAUAUUUGUGUUGUAAUUAUGAUGUCCUUUUUCUAUGGUCUGUUAAAGUUAAUUUAAAUCCUUUUUUGCUCUUGGUUUAUGUUGAAGAAAUGGAAGAUUUUUUUAGCCUUAAUAGAUCUGGAGUACCUUAAUCGCUCUUGCAUUUUGUGAUUCUGUUCUUUUUCUAUUUUGAAGAGUGUCCUGAGUAAUUUUUAGGAUUUUUAUUUUAUAGUUUUUGUCGCUUGCAUUUAAACACAGACUUGGUUGUUGAACUGGGGUUCUUGAAUAAUUGUUGGUUUUGUUUUCUGAAGAAGUGAUCUUAUAUUUGUGUAUCUCUAUGUGCAACUUUAAUAUGGGGUUAUUAAGGAUGGAGAUAAAGGAGGAAGAAUGGAGAGAGAAAAGGCAGAAAUGACUUAAUUGUUGGGAUGAGUAUGACCCCAUGUCUAGUAGUUCCCAAGUAUGAUAUAGGAAGGCAUAGAGUCAAGGCCUUGUCUGACUCUAAUAGAAGUAAGUAGCUAACGCAACGCAAUAUUCUUUGCACCUUCAGUCUGUGAAUUUGAGGUGUAAGAGUUUGGCCAGAGGAGCUAGUCUCGUAACUGCGGGCGCAGUUCUAGUUCUUUACAAGACAGAUGGGAACGGUAGCUAACAAGUGUGCCCUGAGUGGAAUCCUACCACUACUCUUUCUACUAUAUUGGCAGGACGGGUGCCAAGUUAUUAGUAGCUAGGCAGCUAAGCCAGUAGUAGUUCAGUUCAGGCGCUGUUCUCAAAUCUAGUUGACUACGUUGUAGCGUAGCGGUACGGGACAGGAAAAGAAUUGAUAGCGGUACACUGAACACAAAGAAAUUUGAUAGACAUAUGUUGAGAGUUCGACAAGUAGCACUGAAUCUACUAUCAGUAGUGAUUUAUAGAAGUUGACUCGCUUAAACGAAGAGAGUGAACAAAGCAUAGCGGAGUGAAGAGAGAAAUGGUUUCAUUAGAUAGCUCUCUCGAUGUCCUUGUUAUCUUUCCUAGGUAGAUUGUGACUUAUUCAUUCUUUCUCGCUGACUCUGGUUUCCCCGCCGUGGAUCCUUUCUCGGUUAGGGCCUCCCCUAUCCUUAUUCAUUGAUCGCUCUCUUUGCCGCGAAUCUCGGCAUGGUGGUCCUUCGCCUCGCAAUAUUCUUUGCUCCUCCUUCCUGGGCUUGAUGGGUACAUCAAGCAUAUCGGCAUCUUGCUUCUUUGGUGUGGUACACAUAUCUAUCAAUGAAAAGAAAGUAAUAGAAUUCAUUCCCGCAUACUCGCAUAUUGAAUUGCGCCUUCAGACCAUCAAAGAAAGGUCCAGGGUCUGGAGUCCGCAGGAUUUAUCCGGAGUCCGAAGGAUUUAUCCGUAGGACCAUCCAUAUGGAGGGAAGUAGUCCGGAGGAUUUAUUCGUAGGACCAUCCGUAAUUAACAGAAGUAGGACUAUCCAUUAUCCUUCAUCCGGAGUCCGCAGGAUUCUUAUCCGUAGGACUAUCCAUAUGGAAGUAGGACUUGUUUUUAACCAAUCUGAGGAACUCAAACUUAUGGCCUCCGUAGUCCGCUCCCUCCCUUUAUUUUCAAGGUUGAAUAUGAAAGGUUUGAAGUUAGAAGUGAAAGGAAGAAAAAGUCAAUAGAAGUCCUCCGUCUCUCUUCUUUAUGGUCCGGAGCCUUCGAUCAUUCUUUGAGCCUCUAGACCUACUAGAGAAAGCCCCACUCCGCGGAAGAACCUAGAAAGCUAAGCUUGAUAAAGUCCUCCGCCUAAUUCAAUGGAUCUAAUGGACGCAAUAUUCUUUGCACUUGGACCCAGCCUCCAGCUUCUUAUUCGACGUUAGGAGUAUUAAGACCGAAGGACAGACGGGUCCUUCUAUAUAUUCUUUGCACCGCUCUGUGGGUCCUUUCCAUUAAUAGUUAGGAGUCUUAAGACCUCAGUCCUAUCCAUAUUAACCCGCGCUAAGUUCCAUUAAGAGAAAAUUCUUUGCUCUCUGCGACUCGAAGUAAUAGUAUUCAACAAUAUCCCUGUCUUAUGGCGCCUCGCAUAAAUACGGCUUCGAUCAUUCUUUGAGCCUCCGUCGCAAGUCAAAUUCUCUAAUGGAUAGGCCUUCUCCUUCGCCUAUAAAUUCCCAUAUUAAGCUACGAAAUAAAGAAAGCACUACGCGGGAAGAACUGAUCAAUGAAAUUUGAUUGAUUGAAUUUCAUCAUAUCAUAUUUGAAAAAGAAAGAAUAUUGAGGUGCAAAGAAUAUAUAGAAGGCGCAAAGAUCUAAAAAGAAAGGUCCAGAUGACUAUCCAUAUUAACCCAGAGAAAGUUCAGUCAGUUUCAGUGGAAUAAAGGGAAAGCCUAUCCAACAACAUUUCAGUGGAAUAGGAGAAAGGAAGUCCUCCGCUCCGUUGGAGUUGAAUUGGUCCUACGGGAAGAAAAUCAAUGAAGAAGUCAAUGCCCACUACGCGGGGUUAAAGUGAAAGAGGAAAGCCACUAAAAACCUCAAAAUAAUACGGAAAGCCUAGCCUUCUACGGCCUCCAAACAAAAAAAGCUUUACUAGACUCAAAUUCUUUGAGCCUCCGGAGCCUCAAAAAUAUAGCUUAAAGGAAGAGGUGCAAAGAAUAUUGCGUGAUUGAUGCCUCCGUCUCUCUGAUUUAUGGUUAUGGUUCUCCUGAACCUACUCCCUACGGCAAGGCAGAAGACUGCCAAACAGAAGAAAGCCUAGGAGAAGACAACUCCUAGAAAGUUUAAAAGUGGAAUCAAAUAACUAAGAACGAAGAUUUGUUGGGAAGGAAAGCCUUCAUAAGUACUUUCGUCUUAUUUUUAGUCCUCUUUCAUUGAUCUAUCUUGAUGCCAAGAAGAAACUUCAGGAUUACUAACAAUGAACAAGGGAAGCACUACGCGGAAGUUUCAGUUCCUCAGUCGGAAUAUGGACCUCGCAUAUUUCAUUGUGCCUUCUCUCCUUUCAGUCGAGCCCUCAGUCCUAUCCAUCAGUCGAGCCCUCGGGGAGCCUUGAACUUCCUUUAACUGCUUUCCUAUUCCUUUCACUUUUUCUGACUUUACCCUCUCUUUAUUCCGCUCCGUCUUCUUGAAUGAAUCUCAAUUGCAGACUUCUACGUCUUCUGUUUUAUUUUAGUAGGCUCUCUUCUUUUUCAGACGAAGGAUUCUCCCGCUCCGUGGGGUCUUGGACGAGGAUUCUCCCAAGAACCUAACAAAAUACUGAAGAAAGCCAAUCUAGAGACUGAAUACGAGAAACUGAAAGGAGAAAAGCCUAUGAUUUUCAGCAAGCAUUCUUGGAAAGUAACAAUUCUCUUCAGUUUGGUUUUGGAGAACUUGUUGGUCGCGGAUUAGUGCGUUCUGCGCCGCCCGGUGUCACAAUCGUAGUCCUUCAAACAAGAUGUGAACGAUUGUGCGGCACUUGUUCUAGCUCGACGAACAAGUCAGCCGAUCAAAAUCCGCAAAUCGCGGACAACUUUAACACAUGCUUCAACCUCCCCUCACGUUCUUGGAAAAUAUUUUUAGAAAACGUGAAAGAUGAUUAAAUUGAUUGAAAACAUUGUUAAAACAAGCAUUGAAGACUGUCAAUUGCAAUAAGAAAGCAUAGGUUGCAAAGAGUACGACAAGGCUUGGGCGGGGAUUCAACAAGUAUGACUCCCCUAUAGUACAUUUUUAACAUUUUCAUCUCUGGCAGGCUUGCAUAUGAAAAGUGCCAAAACGUCACACCCAAGCAUAUCGACUUGAAAUUGAAAGCAACUACCUAAACUACAUACAAGACAUAAAGACAAGAUAAAUUGGGGCUAAUUGGAGCAUACGGCCAUAGGUAAACACACCUUGGACAAGUAUGUCCGUUACAUUCUCCUCCACCUAAACAGUUGACGUCCCUGUCGACUGGUGAAGCUUGAACUCCUCGAUCUUCUGCGCCUCGGCUUCUAGGUCUUCGACACGUUCCCAACUGGUUUCUUCCACAGGAAGGUUCUUCCACUUUACCAGGUACUCGUGGAUCCUUCUUGUGGGUCUUCGGCCCUUCCUCACUCGUUCGGUCAAGAUUUCUUCAACUUCUUUACUCUCCUUCUGGCUGAGGUUGAUGGCCGGUCGGACUAUGGCAUUACGUUGCAUGUCAUCAGGAUCUUGGUAGUAGGGCUUCAAAUUACUCACAUGAAUUACUGGGUGGAUUUUCAUCCAUGUGGGCAACGCUACUUUAUAAGAUGUGUUCCCUACCUUCUUCAGCACUUCCACUGGUCCCUCGUACUUUCUUAGGAGGCGUUGGUCCUUGCGUCCUCGGAACCGAAUCUGUCCUGGUCGUAACUUAAUGAGAACCUGAUCUCCGACCCGCAACUCUAGAGGGCAGCGCUUCUUGUCUGCCCACUUCUUCAUCCGCUUCGAGGCUUUCCCUAAAGAGGCUCGAGCGAUGUCUGUCGUCUGCUUCCAUUCUCUGGUAAAAUUGUGAGCUUGAGGGUUCUUCCCCGCAUAGGGGUGAUCAACAAGGUGUGGCAGAACUGGUUGCCUUCCGCAAACAAUUUCAAAAGGGCUCUUUUCAGUUGACGAGCUUGUCUGAGCGUUAAAACAAAACUGGGAGACAUCCAACAACUGAGCCCAAUUUCUUUGCCUCGCAGUAACAAAAUGGCGCAAGUAUUCUUCGAGCAUACAGUUGAACCGCUCGGUCUGACCGUCCGUUUGGGGAUGGUAACUUGAGGACACAUUCAGGCUUGUCCCUAAGAAAGUGAAUAACUCUGUCCAAAAGGUGCCAAUGAACCGUCCAUCCCGAUCACUCACAAUGCUUGUCGGUAUGCCCCACAGUUUCACAAUAUGUCUAAAGAAUAAUUGAGCUGUUAACUCCGCCGAACACUGCUUCGUAGUGGGAACGAAAGUGGCAUAUUUCGAGAAUCGAUCUAUGAUGACUAAUAUAGUCUCAUAGUCGCCUACUUUUGGGAGAUGGGUGAUGAAGUCCAUAGAAACACUCUCCCACGGUCUCGUUGGCACCUGCAGAGGUUCGAGAAGCCCAGCAACCUUUGCCUUCUCGACUUUGUCCUGUUGACAGACAAGACACGUCUUCGUGUAUUGCAUGACGUCGUCUCUCAUACGGGGCCAGAAGUAUCCUUUCUUCAGCAAGGCGUAUGUCCUCUGCCAUCCGGGGUGGCCGGCCCACAGAGUGUCGUGACACUCGUGUAGCAACUUCUUCCUCAGGUCUCCUCCCCUAGGGACAUACAACCGUCUCCCCUUCGUCACUAACAACCCAUCUUCAACCCAAAACUGCCUUCUUUUACCUGCCUCAGCUAAACUCAUGACACUCCAAGCCACAGAAUCCUUCUGCAAGAACUCCCUCAAGACAUCGCGCAUAGGGCCAUCAAUCUUGCUUGCUUAGAGAUGUGCUAACAUGCACAAAGCAGCGUGGUCGCCUCUUCGACUAAGCGCAUCAGCGGCCUGAUUGCUCACCCCCUUCUUGUGUUCAAACUCAAAAUCAAACUCAGCUAGGAAUUCCUGCCAUCUAGCUUGUUUUGAAGUCAACUUCGGUUGCGUAAAGAAGUGACAAGUAGCACUAUUGUCCGUCUUCACAACAAAAGUUGACCCCAAUAAGUACUGUCUCCAGGCCCUUAAGCAAUGUACUACGACAAGCAUUUCUUUCUCGGACACGGUGUACCUCCUCUCCGCGGCAUUUAGUUUCCGACUCUCAUCUGGACCUUUCUUUGGCACUGCGGACUACUUCGGUUAAUUACGGAUGGUCCUACGGAUAAAUCCUGCGGACUCCGGACGUAGGAUAAAUUCUGCGGACUCCUUCCUUCCAUAUGGAUGGUCCUACGGAUAAAUCCUCCGGACUACUUAGGUUAAUUACGGAUGGUCCUACGGAUAAAUCCUCUGGACUACUUCGGUUAAUUACGGAUGGUCCUACUUCCAUAUGGAUAGUCCUACUUGUAAUGGAUAGUCCUCCGGAUAAAUCCUGCGGAUGUAGGACCUUGGUUCUUUCUUUCUUUAAUGGAUAGUCCUCCGGAUAAAUCCUGCGGACUGCGGACGUAAGACCCUGGACCUUUCUUUGGCACUCCGAACGGAUAAAGAAAGGAUAAAUAAAGGCGCAAAGAAUAUUGCGAGAGCGGGAAUUACCUUUUCUCUUCAGGUUAGCUAAGAGUUGCCGGAGGCUUGAAGUCGGAUAAUUACUUUUACUUAAAGGUUUCACAAACCUGCAAAAUCUUCUCCAAAUUAGUGUUAGCGUUCUGAGUGCCAAGCAGUAUAUUUAAAAUAUAGAAAGAAGAAAAAUCCAUGCAAUCUAAGUACACUAAGAACCUACAGCAUCGUCACCGCUGCUUGGGAAGGUUAAUUCUUCUAACUCUGGUAUUAUCGUUGAACAAGCAGUUCACAUCCGACUGCCCGCGUAGUGGGGGAAGCUCGCUCGCUAACUUUGCACUUCGGCCAAAAUGCCGAAAAAAGGCUAAGGCCGAAGGAGGUCUGCUCCUUCGCUCAAGGAAAAAUUGCCCGAUUGGAUAUAUAUCUCGGAGCAGAGAGAGGAAAGGAUCACGGAAGCCUUAGUCUCAGUACGAAAGGGGCAAAAAGCUGGAAAAAGCAUACUGGCUUCACCUUGCCCUAGGAUGGGGUCCGUCGGAUCUUUUAAGACAUAGGCUUAAUGCUGAGACGCACGGGGAUAUCCAGUAAAGGAUGGAUAUUCAAGACAAGGACGAAGGCUCUCCGUCACGCAAGAUGAUUAUAAGUCUUAGGAGUGAACUUCCGCUUUACCCCUUCUCGGUUUACCCUUCUUUUAGGAUAGAAAAAGCCACUGCCUGUGUGACCACUACAAGCGGACGUGACGAGCGACGCAGGGCCACCCACGACCGCUAGCAAUACGAGGUAAAGCGGCCAGAAAGCAUACCAUAGGAUGCGUCUUGAGGGCAUUCACAUAAACAUUCUUCGAAUUAUUCACAUUCGACGGGAUGUUCUUAGCCUUGUCUCCAGGUGAAUAAUUGAAUCGGCACCGGCGCGAUCGGACCUAUUGCAGCCUUCGGUUGACUGGUGGCAUUCGAUGGUAUGCUUUGAGGCCUUCCCAACCCGCUCCGUGUAAAAGAGGUAGAAGGAGGCUCAAAGAAUUAUCGAAGAGCGAGACGAAAGAAAAUAGCGACUUCCAGUCGGUGAUGGGAUAUCUCAAUGUUAUCGUAGAUUCAAAGGCGCAAAGAAUAUUGCAUUGAGGCUCGACUGAAAGGAGAGGCGAAUUUGAGAAGAAAGAACUAUAUCGGAUAAAUACUCAACUGCCUCAGACGUCACUGGGACAAGAGCCGGAGAUUCUGAAACCUCUCGCAGCUUCUUUGCUUCCUCUGGUCUCGAUAUUUGAACCGCCUCAAUAAACAACAAAUAAGGGUCCAAAAAAUCAAGGUCAUCUGAAACCCUUUUUUUGAUGCGCCUCAGUCCUAUCCAUUAGAACGCCGGCCCUCACCCUUUUUCUUCUUAGUGCGCACUUGAGCUUUAGUCUUCCGAGUUCUCAAAUUCUUUGACCCUCUGUCUCAGUAUUCGGCAGAGAUGUUGAUGUUAACAAGAAAUGCAGGCUGAAUGCUGUAUGGAAGGAUGAUCAUUUUGGCUUCUUGUAGCCAUUGAUGCUGUCUAAUACUCGGAGAGACAUUGUUAGUAAUGUGACUUUGGACAAGGUUACUGAAGAUAGAACUAUCUGGCCUCAGGUCAGUUUUCAGUUGCUAAGGCAGUGAAGCUCUUUCAUCUUCCUGGUAAUACUGUCCCUUGGUUCAAGCUUCUUUGGGGUAAGAAGCACAUCCCUAGUCAUGCUUUUCUUUCCUGGAUGGCUAUGAAUAAGAGUCUGAGAGUCAAAAUGGCUAUGAAUAAGAGUCUGAGAGUCAAAGCUAAACUGUACAAUCUUUAAGUGCUUCCGUCUGAUUUUGAGGUUUGGAAGCAAAGAAGCAGAGCGGAGUUUGAUUCCUUAUAUCAGGAAAAGAUAUAGGAAGACUCCCAAGAAGAAGAAAGCCUAGGAGAAAGCAAAGAAAGAGUAAGGAUCAGAAAGCUCCUAACCCCUAUUUAUUUAUGGAUGUGAAUUGAGCGAAGGCGCAAAGAAUAUUGCGAAGGUUCAAAGAAUAUUGACUUGAUAAACCUCUAUUUAGCUUCUUAUAUCUGAAGACGAUAAAGUCAGAUAAUCAGCCUUCGGCUGGGUCGGAUCGUCCAUACCUAGUUGAGUAUCUUUGUCCGUCAUAACGAAGUCACUCUUUGAAAAGGGUCGGGCUUUGUUGGAGUUGACUCGGUGAGUACACUUUCAUCUUGACGAGAAGAAGCGCGAACAACAACUAUAUUAUUCAGCCAGAGACCUGAUUUACCCGAUGAGUGGAACGGCUCGACAAAAGUCUUAGGACUCGCGGACAGACGCGCCUCCUUCCUGCUAGAACUCAUAGGUCUACGCGGGUUUUUUAGGUAGCGAGAAUAGUGGUCCCAAACGGAAUAGAAGUACUUUUGAUUCACUGAAUCGGAAUCUUUGAAAGAAUAAAGGGGGACGGAGGAUCAAUGAAAUUUGAUGAUGAUGAGUAAGCUCUCGGUUUUCUUGCUCCUCUUUCUCCUCUUUCUUCCAUAUGGAUAGUCCUACUUCUAAUGGUUAUCUUUAGUUUUACUAUUGUUCUUUUUUUAAUGUUUUCUUAGUUUUUAAUAAGUGUGACAAAAUAUGAAUUAAUUUUUUUCUUUGAACAAAUGUGGAAUUUAUUUUCUUUUAAUGUAGUUGUGUCCCCAAUAAAUUUAUUUUCGCGAUUUAACAAUCCAUCAUGUUCUUUUUCAUUUUUCUGUUGUAUUUUCUUUGGUUCUUUGUUGUGGUAUGUCUAUUUUUGAGACAUUCUUAAUUUAGUUUUAUUUCUUUUAGCUUCCUGCAUCAUUUUGUAUUAUGGAUUGUUAUGAAAUUUUGAGAUUAUGCUUUAUUUUGUUUUUUUGGUCCUUUGGUGUGAUGUCUUUUGAUUAUUUCUUUUGAGUGAACAGUUCAUGUAAGAUUUUCUGCAUGAGAAUAAAUUGAUUAUUUAAUUUGGCAUCCUAAGUUUGCUCUGGGUUCUGUUGGUGGCAUUCAUCAAUAUGUUAAUCUAUUAGGGAAUGUAUGGUUAUAACAAAGUAAGAAGAAUGGAAGUUCUGGGGGAGUAUUUGUGACAAGAGGGCAAGGAUGCUUCUGCAUCAAUUUAGUGUUAGUCAAUCAUGUCUAUGCUUUGGCCCUUCUCAUUCCACUUUCCACUACUACAAAAAUGUAUCUGCAAUUGAUCAUGUAAAAGUGUUUCAAUUUUCUGUCUUAGGUUCAUCUCAGUUAGUUAGUCUUAAGAGUAAGGGAGAUAAUUCAUUUUUCUUGUUUCAGCUAGAUAUUACCCUCCAUGUCCUGAUUUUUAAUUUGGCUUCCUAAGUGUGCUCUAGGUUCUGUUGGUAGCAUUCGUCAGUAUGUUAAUCUACAGGUGAAUCUAUAGUUAUAACAUAGUAAGAAGAAUGGAAGUUCUUGGGGAGUUUGUGUGACAAGAGGGCAAGGAUGCUUCUGCAUUAAUUUAGUAUCAGUGUCAACCAUGUUUAUGCUUUGGCCAUUCUCAUUUCCACUUUCCACUACUCCAAAAAUGUAUUAUCUGCAAUUGAUCAGGUAAAAGUGUUUCAAUUUUCUGUCUUUGGUUCAUCUCAGUUAGUUAGUCUUAAGAGUAAGGGAGAUAAUUCGUUUUUCUUGUUUCAGCUAGAUAUUACUCUCCAUGUCUUGAUUUUUAGUUUUUUAGGGGUGCUUGGUUGGUUUGAAUGCAGGAAACUUUUGCUGGUAAACGAUUCAAACAGCUUUCCAUGUCAGGUUUUUCUAUUAUUUUUCUUUAAUAUUUUGGAACAUGUGUAAUUUCUGUAUAUAUUUUCUUGCCGUUUUCCUUUUUCAUCAUUUAUUUUGAUUUUGGAGAGGGUCUCUUGGUAACUUGACUUUUCUUUUAGUUUUGACUUGGGAACAUGUGCAUUGUGGAUUGUUAUGAAAUUUUGAGUUUCUGCUUUCUUUUGAGUUUUGGUGAUGCCUUUUUACGAGACAUUUUUAAUUUAGGUUAAUUUUUUAGGUUGCUUGCAUUUAUGGAUUGUUCUGAAAUUUUGACUUUCUGCUUUUGUUUUUUAUGUCAUUUGUUGUGUGAUAUUCUCUUUAUAAGAUAGAGAUAUUUUUAAUUUAGGUUUACUAUUUUUUAGCCUGCUUGCAUUUGGUAUCAUAUAUGAAUUGUUCUGAAUUUUGAGUUUCUUCUUUUUCAGUCAUUUGUUGUGCGAUAACUUUUUAUAAGACAGACAUUAAGAUUUAUUAUUUUUGGACUUGUUUGUAUUUUGUAUCACGGAUUGUGGUUUUUUAAAUUCAGAGGAGGAACUAGAAAUUGUUCUUGUGAUAUGUUAAAAUCUAGUUUACUGCAAAGAAUGAAUUCUAAAACAGAGGGUAUGAAUGUCGUCAAUAAUUUUUCUCCAUUUCUGCGUUGAGUAAUGUUUAGCUGAUAUGUUUGUGUAUUCUUUACAUUAGUGCAGCACCACAUGCUAAUUUAGGUGUGAAAUGCUAAUUUAGAUGUGAAACAAUUCCAAAGAUGACGAGAAAUCAAAGAUUGUCGUAGUAAAAAACCUCACCAGUUUUUCAGUUUUUCUUUUCUUUUUCUUUAAUAGUUUGAGUUUUUCCUUUCAGGUUUUUCUUUUCUUUUUCUUUAAUGGUUUGGAAUUUUGCUGGUGUGAUUUCUGCUUUUCUCUUAUCAUUUAUUUUUGAUUUUGGAGAGCAACUUUGGUAAUGUUAAGGUGAUUUAAGAAAAGUUGGUUGUCCAAGAAUCAAUUUUUUUAUAUUACCUUAAAUCUUCCUAAGACAUGUUGGGUCUUUCUUUGGCCUUUGUUAGUGUCUUCUAUUAAGUCUGUUAGUUUCACUUUAGUUGGGUCUUUUUUUAAUUUUAUUUUAGCUUUUAAAUUCCAAAUCCUACUCAUUUGGUCAUGACGAUUGAAUAAUCAUUGUUAAAUUUAUUUCUUGUUGGGAGUGUAGAUUUUAUUUUCUUUUUGGCCUUUGUUAUUUGCAUCUAUACAGGGGUUCGAAAAAUUCAAACCCUUCCCUCUUUUAUUCGACAUUCUUUUAGUUUUAUUAGUACUAUUGGAUUGUUAAAAAUAAUUGUGUUACUAUUUCUUACAUUCCAUAAAGAACCCUUUCUGAUGGAUUAUUUCUUAUUGAACUGUUUUAAAAUUUUGAGUUUCUUCUUUUUCUUUUUUGGGUCCAUUGUUGGGGGAUGAUACAUCUUUAAUUUAGAUUUAUUAUCGUUAGCUUGUUUUGCAUUUUGUAUUAUGUUUUUUGAAAUUUUGAGUUUCUUCUUUUUCUUUCUUUGGUCAUGUGUUGUGCGAUGUUAUUUGCAUUAGGGGUGUUUGGUUGGUUGUUUUUUUAGGGGUGUUUUGGUUAGUUAGGCUUAAGAAGCAAGGGCUAGUGAAAGAGAAGCAUUUGAUUGUACUACAAGUAAUAAGCUUCUCCUCAAUCAUUCAACCAUUUUUUUAGUAAAGAAAGAGGCUUCUCCUCUGGCAACCAAAGUCCGUCCCUCGUUAACAGGUAAGUCUACCCCAUUACUUUUUAUGUCCUUUUAAUUAAGAUAUUUGGGUCAAUAUAUAUCAAAAUAAAUAAGAUCCAUCUUUGGUAAUUUUUAAAAAAAUUAAAUCUAUAAAUACUCAUUUCAUCUCUAAAAUUAUGUGAUUUGUACUUUCUAAAAUUCCCUCGAUGGUACUAAUACACUCUUAUAUUUGUAUUGUAAUUAUCAUGUCCUUUUUCUAUGGUUUUUUAAAGUUAAUUUAGAUCCUUAUUCGCUCUAGGUAUAAGUUGAAUGGAAGAGUUUUUUAGCCUUGAUAGAUCUUGAGUACCUGAAUCGCCGAUGAAACAGAGGUUAUUUUCUCGGAAAUUCCACGAAUUGUUCAGGUUUGGAUUCUGUAAUUCUGUUGUUCUUUUUUGAUUUUGGAGAGUGUCCUGGGUAAUUUUGAGGAUUAUUAUUUUUUUGUUUUUUUGGCUUGCAUUUAAUCACGCGCGUUGGGGAAUAGACAGGCUUCGGAGAAUGAAUCACCUUUUUAAGGUUUCGCUGGGGAGCGAAUUGGCCAUAAGGCAUCCCUUUCUGUUCAGUCUCUCUCUUGCCUUUUUCAUACUAUAUGGUUGUUGAUCUGGGGUUAUUAAAUGAUUGUUGCUUUUAUUUUCAUAAGAAGUGAUUUUAUAUUUUUGUUUCUCUCUGUGCAACUUUAAUAUGAGGUUAUUAAGGAAGGAGAUAAAGGAGGAAGAAGGGACGGAGAAAAGGAAGAAAUGACUGGAUUGUUGGGAUGGGUAUGAAGAUGCAGUAGAGCCACCACCUAGGGGCUGUAAGGUCUAAUGGGCAAAUUGAAAGUAAAAAAGAGUGCACAUCCAUUCAAGCUAAGAGAGCUUGGGUUCCUAAAUUACUAUUGCUCUGGGUUCUGUUGGUGGCAUUGAUUGGUAUUGUUAAUCUACAAGGGAAUUGAUGGUGUUAACAAAGUUAGAAGAAAGGAAGUUUUGGGCGUAUGUGUGACCAGAGGACAAAGAUGCUUCUGCAUCAAUUUACUGUCAGUGUUAAACUAUGUCCAUGCUUUGGUUAUUUUAUUUUCUACUUUCCACUCCUCUCGAAAUGUAUCAGCAAUUGUUCAUGUAAAUGUGUUUCGAUUUCCGUCUUUGAUACUUCUCAGUUAGUUAGGCUUAAAAGUAUGAGAGAUAAUUCAUUUCUCGUCUCAUAUAGAAAUUAUCUUGAUGUCUUGAUUUUUAGGGUUUUUUCAGCGGUUUUUGUUUUUGUUUUUUUUUUUUUUGUUGGAUUUUGGCUAGUUAGGCUUAGAGGUGUAAGGACUUGUGAAAGAGAAGCAUUUGAUUGACCAACGAGUAAUUCUCCUCAGGCAUCCCACCACUUUUCUAUUAAAGAAAUACAGGUACGUCUACGCUAUUACUUUUCAUGUCCUUUUACCUAAGAUAUUUAUAUAAAUAUAUAUAAAAAUAAAUAAGAUCCAUCUUUGGUAAUUUUUUAAAAAUCAAAUAUGUGAAUAUUCAUUUCAUCUCUAAAAUUUUGCGUUUUGUUACUUUUUAAAAUCCCCUCCAUGUUACUAUUACACUCUUAUAUUUGUGUUGUAAUUAUGAUGUCCUUUUUCUUUGGUCUUUUAAAGUUAACUUAAAUCCUUAUUUGCUCUUGGUUUAUGUUGAAGAAAUGGAAGAGUUUUUUAGCCUUAAUAGAUCUGGAGUACCUUAAUCGCUCUUGCAUUUUGUGAUUCUGUUGUUCUUUUUCUAUUUUGAAGAGUGUCCUUAGUAAUUUUUAGGAUUUUUAUUUUAUAGUUUUUGUCGCUUGCAUUUAAACACAGACUUGGUUGUUGAACUGGGGUUCUUGAAUAAUUGUUGGUUUUGUUUUCUGAAGAAGUGAUCUUAUAUUUGUGUAUCUCUAUGUGCAACUUUAAUAUGGGGUUAUUAAGGAUGGAGAUAAAGGAGGAAGAAUGGAGAGAGAAAAGGCAGAAAUGGACUUAAUUGUUGGGAUGAGUAUGACCCCAUGUCUAGUAGUUCCCAAGUAUGAUAUAGGAAGGCAGAGAGUCAAGGCCUUGUCUGACUCUAAUAGAAGUAAGUAGCUAACGCAACGCAAUAUUCUUUGCACCUUCAGUCUGUGAAUCUGAGGAGCAAGAGUUUGGCUAGGGGAGCUAGUCCCGUAACUGCAGGCGCAGUUCUAGUUCUUUACAAGACAGAUGGUAAUUGUAGCUAACAAGUGUGCCCUGAGUGGAAUCCUACCACUAUUUCUACUAUAUUGGCAGGACGGGUGCCAAGUUAUUAGGAGCUAGGCAGCUAAGCCAGUAGUAGUUCAGUUCAGGCGCUGUUCCCAAAUCUAGUUGACUACGUUGUAGCGUAGCGGUACGGGACAGGAAAAGAAUUGAUAGCGAUACACUGAACACAAAGGAAUUUGAUAGACAUAUGUUGAAAGUUCGACAAGUAGCACUGAAUCUACUAUCAGUAGUGAUUUAUAGAAGUUGACUCGCUUAAACGAAGAGAGUGAACAAAGCAUAGCGGAGUGAAGAGAGAAAUGGUUUCAUUUGAUAGCUCUCUCGAUGUCCUUGUUAUCUUUCCUAGGUAGAUUGUGACUUAUUCAUUCUUUCUCGCUGACUCUAGUUUCCCCGACGUGGAUCCUUUCUCGGUUAGGGCCUCCCCUAUCCGUAUUCAUUGAUCGCUCUCUUUGCCGCGAAUCUCGUCAUGGUGGUCCUUCGCCUUGCAAUAUUCUUUGUUCCUCCUUCCUAGGCUUGAUUGGUACAUCAAGCAUAUCGACAUCUUGCUUCUUCGGUUUGGUACACAUAUCUAUCAAUGAAUAGAAAGUAAUAGAAUUCAUUCCUGCGUACUCGCAUAUUGAAUUGUGCCUUCGGACCAUCAAAGAAAGGUCCAGGGUCCAGAGUCCGCAGGAUUUAUUCGGAGUCCGGAGGAUUUAUCCGUAGGACCAUCCAUAUAGAGGGAAGUAGUUCAGAGGAUUUAUUCGUAGGACCAUCCGUAAUUAACAGAAGUAGGACUAUCCAUUAUCCUCCGUCCGGAGUUCGCAUGAUUCUUACCCGUAGGACUAUCCAUAUGGAAGUAGGACUAUCCGUAAUUAACCGAAGUUUGCACCUCUUGAUUAUGAAUCAUAUAUAUUGAUUUUGACCGGAGCAAAGAUCAUUGCCCACAGAGCGACGCAAAGAAUAUUGCGACCUGUGGAUUCAUUGAGGCGGUGAAGAAUUGCCAUUUUAUGAGCUUGUAAGACCCCUCCGGAGGAGAAGGAUAGGGGAGCAAGGUUCAAAGUGGUUUUCAAAGUCAGGGCUAUCCCUUACUAUUGAGGGCUUUGACCACCUAGACACUCGCCUACUCAGUCGCAAGGAUCAAAGAAUUUGAUUGACAAAGAAUAUUGCGAUUUUACCGAGUCCUUCGUCUCGCAAUAUUCUUUGCGCCUUCGGUGAGUCAGGUGUUAAUAUGGAUAAGUCCCUUGGACUGAUAGCGUCCAAAAUAGGCGAGGGCGGACGGGCUAUAAGUAGGCCGUUUGCUAUUGCUAUAAGGGCUGCUUGCCUUUAUACAGCUUGGCUUCGCUAUCGCUCAUGACUUGUAUUGUGGUCGGCCUAAAAAGUAGUCUUCCUACCAUAAAAAAAUGCCUAUUAUCUGGUUCGUUAAGCUUCGCCAAAAGCAAGACGAGGGCGCUUUGCUUCGUAGACAAGGCUCGUCUAGUACUUGACUUACGAGUUCGUGUAGGAUUUCCCCUCUCUCUCUAAAGGGGCUUUUAUGCACGGAACUCCUUGUCUACUAAAGAAGCGUUCGAGCGAGCGAGUUCAGCCUGAAAUUGAGUGGUCUCCCUCCUUUUCCCUCACUGAAAUAUUAUGUCUUUCAUUUCCACUUAAGCUUCCCCGCUUUGAGGGAUUAAUUGAUUGGAUACCUGAGAACCAUAAUCUUUCCUAGGAACUGCUUCUACGACGAUAGGCGUAAAGGCAUGAUUAAUUCCACAAAUCUCACUGCACUGACCAUAGUAAACUCCUUCUCAUUGUACCAAAAUGGAGAUCUGAUUUAAACGGCCAGGUACAACAUCACAUUUGACACCUGAGGAUGGUACAACCCAACUAUGAGGUACAUCAGCAGGUGUUACAAUAAUACGUAGAUGAGUUUUGGCUGGUAGAACCAUUCUAUUGUCCACUUCUAAUAAACGUGAUUGACCCAAUUCUAAAUCAUCUUCUGGAAUCGUAUAACUGUCAAAAGUGAGUGACUGUUCAUCGGAACUAUUAUAGUCAGAAUACUCAUAAAUUCGAUACCAUUGAUGUCCUAUAGCUUUGAUAGUCAUGGCUGGAUCUACUACUACCUCGUCCAUUUAGUAUAAAGAGAGCAAAGGAUGAUAUAACAAUGAACACCGGAAUGAUACUAGGAAAAAUGGUCCAAAGAAUCUCGAUAGUAGUUCCAUGAACAAUCCUUUGCGGUAUUUUCUUUUGAGAAUAGUGGAAAUGCCAUAAAGCGCGAACCAAGAUCCGUGAUACGAAAACAAAAAUCAGAAUGAGGAAGAAAAAGAUAUCGUGAUGUAAGUCUAUUAUUCCUUGCAUCAUAGGUGUUGCUGCGUCUUGAGAUCCUAAUUGCCAUGGUUCCGCUACAUCACAAGGAGCAAUUGUGAGGAAUAGCCAUUUGAGCACAAUCAUUUUCCAUUGUUUAUUCUUUGACCCGUCUGUCCUUCGGUCUUAAUACUCCUAACGUCGAAUAAGAAGCUGGAGGCUGGGUCCAGGUGCAAAGAAUAUUGCGUCCAUUAGAUCCAUUGAAUUAGGCGGAGGACUUUAUCAAGCUUAGCUUUCUGGAUUCUUCCGCGGAGUGGGGCUUUCUCUAGUAGGUCUGGAGGCUCAAAGAAUGAUCGAAGGCUCCGGACCAUAAAGAAGAGAGACGGAGGACUUCCAUUGACUUUUUCUUCCUUUCACUUCUAACUUCAAACCUUUCAUAUGAAACCUUGAAAAUAAAGGAGGGAGCGGACUACGGAGGCCAUAAGUUUGAGUUCCUCAGAUGGAUAAAAACAAGUCCUCCGGACGCUACGUAGUCUUGUCUCCUUCCCCACGUAGUGGGCAUUGACUUCUUCAUUGAUUUUCUUCUAUCUCCCACGUAGCGGUUGAAUAUGAAAGGAAGCCCACGGAGCUGAAGACGGAGCGGGAUAAUAAAGAAGAAAGCUCAAAAGGAGGGAGCAGACCUCAAUGAACAAGGGGAGGACUCAUUUUCAUCCUUAUGGAAGAAAAAUCUCUUUUUUUAUCUAAAAGACGUAGAAGGAGGCUCAAUGUCUAAUCUUUCUCUCAAAUCAAUAUCCCCCGGUGCAAAUAUUCUAGCAAUAUUCUCAAUAUGAAAAGAGCCUUUCUUCUUUUCUUAGAUAAAUGCGCUUCGUAGAUUAUGCUGAAGGAGGAGUGGGCCAUGAUCUUUGCUCCUUAAUUUCCCUAAUGGAUAGUCAUCUGGACCUUUCUUUUUAGUUCUUUGCGCUCGUCAACGCAUAUUUCAUUGCGCCUUCGCCUUCAAUGAAAUCCAUAAAUAAAUAAGGGUAGAUUUCAGACUCAAGAGGAGGGUUCCUUAUCAAUAUCAAUGAGACGAAUGGGCUUUCUUUUACAUUCUACAGGUCCGAAGGACUAUCCAUAUUUAUUAACCUGUCUGUCCUUCGCCUAACUAGUUCAUAUAGACCUUUGUUUUUCUUCCGCGGUCACUAAUAUGGAUAGUCCGGAGGACCUCCUUCAGCAUAAUCUAUGAAUGAUCGGAGCAAAGAAUAUUGCGGAAAAGAAGAAAGGAGUGCAAGCGAAAACUAAUGGAUUGAAUAGUCCUUCGGACGGACUACCGCACCGUGGGGGAUAUUGUUGAGAAAGAAUAUUGAAAAAGAAUGAUCGAAGAAUAUUGAAAAAGGACGGAGGAUAGGCUUUCUUUGAACAAUGUGGAUGUAUCAAAGAUUCCACAGGUUAAUAUGGUAGAUUUCAGACUAGUCCUUUGCCUUGUAUCUGGAGACUAUUCGCUCUUCUAAUAGACAGAGGAGAGGUUCAAAGAAUAUUAAGAAUACUCGUGCAAGCGCAAUCAAUGAACAAGGUGAAAAGAAUAAAAAAAAGGUGGUCGAUGAUCAGGAAGAAAAAGCAAAAGUCUAUCCCCUUCCCUCCGUUAGGCGCAAAGAAGAAAAACAAGGUGCAAAGAUCUAUGGCCCAAUUAUAAGGGGUCCAGAUGCGCCAUAAGGCUGGUCCGAAGGACUAUCCAUAUUAAUCGGAGUCUUCAACAAGAUUUCCAACCCUGAAUAUUAAGCUACUGAGGCCGAAUAUUGCGAAGGAAGAACUGCGCCAUAAGACAGGUCCGAAGGACUAUCCAUUAGGGAAUGAGACGGAGGUGAAAAGAAGAUUGAAUCUACCCCCGUGGAUAUUAUUGGAAUAUGACUUUUCAAGCGGAAAUCCCCCCUGUCCGCUUUAUAGAGUCCUUCAGACGUCCUCAGUCAUUUCCAUUAGUAGUUAGGAGCUUUGUUCGGUUAAUUACGGAAAGUCCUCCUUCCAAAUGGAUAGUCCGACUGAAAAUGGAUAGUCCUACGGAUAAAUCACCUAGACCUUUCUUUGGCACUACAGACGGAGGUGCUUCAGUUAAUUACGGAUGGUCCUACUUCGGUUAAUUACAGAUGGUCCUACUUUCAUAUGGAUAGUCCUUCGGAUAAGAAUCCUGCGGACUCCAGACUACUUCCCUCCAUAUGGAUGGUCCUACGGAUAAAUCCUCCGGACGUAGGAUAAAUCCUGCAGACUCCGGACUCCGGACUACUUCGGUUAAUUACGAAUGGUCCUACUUCCAUAUGGAUAGUCCUACGGAUAAGAAUCCUGCGGACGUAGGACCCUGGACCUUUCUUUGGCACUUCGGACGGUGCAAAGAAUAUUGCGGAUUUGAUGAGUGCAAGGUGCAAAGACUAUUGCGUCCCGGGUUAAUAUGGAUAGUCCUUCAGACCUGUUCGGAGGCGCAAUGAAAUAUGCGAGUUAAGGCUGAAUGAAUUAAGUGAAUCGUAUUUGAAAACCGGGAAGCCUUGAACUUCCUUGAACUGCUUUCCUAUUCCUUUCACUUUUUCUGUCUUUACCUUCUAUUUAUUCCGCUCCGUCUUCUUGAAUGAAUCUAAAUUGCAGACUUCUAUGUCUUCUGUUUUAUUUUAUUAAGCUCUCUUCUUUUUCAGACGAAGGAUUCUCUCGCUCUCUGGGGUCUUGGACGAGGAUUCUCCCAAGAACCCAAUAAAUACUGAAGAAAGCAUAUCCUGAGACUGAAUACGAGAAAUUGAAAGGAGAAAGCCUAUGAUUUUCAGCAAGCAUUUUUGGAAAGUAACAAUUCUCUUCAGUUUGGUUUCAGAAAACUUGUUGGUCACGGAUUAGUGCGUUCUGCGCCGCUCGGCGGCCACAUAGAAUUGAGAAAAGCCUAUGGUUGAGGCAGCAUUAAUUUAUGAAACUUUACACGUGGGAAGGGAUGACUCUUUCUAUUCAAACCUGUAAACAUAGAAGACCGCCUCAAUGAACAAGGGAUCAUUCACAUAGAAUAGUUAUGAACAACGAGAAAGGGAAUAUAAGGUUUGAAUUCAGAGGAAAGCCUAGCCUGAAUGAACAAGGUGAAAAGAAUAUUGACAGCUGCACUUAUGAGUCUUUCAGUUACCUUUCUGCCUCUUUAAAGAGAGUUCAAGGUUUUUUAUUAUUGGAAGAAUCAGAAUAAGAAGAAAAUAGAGGAAGACAGAGAGAAGAGAGCUCAAGAGGCGCAACGAAAUAUGCGUGAGAAGCGCAUUUCCUUAGUGGAAUACUUUGAGUAGUGGAAUACUUUGAUAGCGGAAUAAGAAGCUGAAGGCUGGGUCAAGACGAUCUUUUGAUCUAUUCUAAUGGUUCUAAUGGACAGUCCUUCGUUUUAGAGUCCUACGGAUAAAUCCUCCGGACUGGUCCGAAGGCUAGGUUCAUACGAAUAGUCCGGAGGACGGUUAGUUGGAGCCUUGUUUUUCGAAAUCUUCUUUGAGCCUCAGUCGUCUCAUUGAUAAGGACAUCUUUGCAAAUGAAGAGCGGGAGGUGCAAAGUGCGACUAUUACUUUGAAAAGAAUAGGAGCUCCGCGGUUUGAAUUGAAUAAAAAGGAUAGGCUGAAAUUCAAAGUGAAUAAGAGGAUAUUUUCAGACAUAAUAUCUAAAGUCAAUGACCAGGGGCUCCUAACCUCUGAUUUAUGGGGAGCCUACUACGUCCAUUAGUUCCGAACUUGGCUCUGCUCCUUCGCUUUUUCUCUUAUUGAUCUCUCUUGUAAUGCUUUCUACUAAGAAUCAAAAAAGCGCAACUUCUAUUUUGUGCGAACGACCUUGAUUAAAAAACGAUGCUUCCUUGGUCGUGUAGAUCAUGGAUUAGCAUUAUCUCAUUCCUACAAGCAAUCCCCCAUCCAGGAUUGGAAGAAGUGCUAUAUGAGGACUUCGAGAUCAAAUAGAAUAUAUUUCUUUCGAGACCUCGUGAGCCACUUAUUUCUCCGAAACAAGAGAGAAAAGUGAUUUUCCUCCUUUUUCUCAAUAAGUCGACGACCUUACACCAUUGGGAUACUUCUUUGAAACUAGAGUACAUAUAGGAUACAUCGGUGCUAAAACCUUUUCUCAAAAGAUAUUUCAAACUGUUGGGGUCCUUGCUCCGUAUGUUUUUUUCUCGAUGUGAAAGCAGUUGGUUCCGUAGUUCGAGAAUUCUACUGAUCCCAAGUACUCCAUCUCCAUCAUUGCAUAUGGGAAUAUAGAAAGUCAAGAAGAAAAGGCAUGAGCAGAAGAAUUGUGUGAAAUCAGUCAAUUUAUCCAAUUGAGGCAUUCUUUCUUUUUCUCAAGAAAAUUCCCUCUAGACAGAAAUCCUUCCUGUACGAGUAGUGAAGAACUAUAGAGAGCAGUGGUUGGUUGUUGACCAAUGGAAAGCAUGGGAGAAAGAAAGAUGCUGGCAAGGAAGCAUCAAAAUAGAUCAAUGAAAGAGGCUCAAAGAAUGAUCGAGGACCAUUUUAGUCCGACUAGAAACUAGGGAAACUAAAGACUAACGAAAUCUAGAUGAGAAUCCGUACAAUUAGUCUCGAGAAAAAGAAGAAAGCAAUAAAAAAAGUGAAGACAGAAAAUGAACCGAAAAUCUUCUUCUCUCAUAUUGAAUUCAUCCUUCUACGCAUCUCCAUGGGCUCGAUUGAGAGUGGAGGAGAGGACGGGAAGAAUGAGAAAAAUAGCAAGGCGAGAAGACAGGUCCGAAGGACUAUCCAUCAGGGAGUCUGGACCCCGUAGUUAAGAGCAAAGAAUAUUGUGAAAGAGUCAUGAUAGGUGCAAAUCUUCUUAUAGAUUAUGCUGAAGGAGGAGGCGCAAUUCAAUAUGCGAAAGUCAUGGUCCCUUUAAAGCAGACGUUAGGCGCAAAGAAAGAAGCUCAUUAACGAGAAUGAAAGAAUAAUUCACUCAUUAUAAAGUAGCAAGAAAUCAUGAAAAAUCAGUCAAAAUUAGACAAUUAUCGUAGAAUAUCAAUAUGAAAAAAAGUAUGAAAAAGAAGCAAAAAAGCCGGGAAAUAGCAAUUCAAGAAGAAAGCCUAGGACAGGGAAAAGAAAUGAACACUUUGAGUUUAUGGUCCGGAUACUGACAGGUCUAUUCUUUAUUCCGCUCCUAAAUAUGGAUAACCCUACUUCGGUUAAUUACGGAUGGUCCUACUUCCAUAUGGAUAGUCCUAUGGAUAAGAAUCCUGUGGACUCCGGACUACUUCGGUUAAUUACGGAUGGUCCUACAGAUAAAUCCUGCGGACUCCAGACGUAGGACGUAGGAUAAAUCACCUGGACCUUUCUUUGGCAAUGCAGACUACUUCGAUUAAUUAUGGAUGGUCCUACGGAUAAAUCCUAUGGACUGCGGACGUAGGACGUAGGAUAAAUCCUGCGGACUCCUUCCUUCCAUAUGGAUGGUCCUACGGAUAAAUCCUCCGGACUACUUCGGUUAAUUACGGAUGGUCCUACUUCCAUAUGGAUAGUCCUACUUCUAAUGGAUAGUCCUUCGGAUAAAUCCUGCACACGUAGGACCCUGGACCUUUCUUUCUUUCAUGGAUAGUCCUCCGGACAAAUCCUGCAGACUGCGGACGUAGGACCAUGGACCUUUCUUUGGCACUUCGGACGGAUAAAGAAAGGAUAAAUAAAGGCACAAAGAAUAUAUCGAAGCGAAGCGCAUUUAUCUAAGAAAAGAAGAAAGGAUAAAUAAAGGCGCAAAGAAUAUUGCGAGAGCGGGAAUUACCUUUUCUCUUCAGGUUAUCUAAGAGUUGCCGGAGGCUUGAAGUCGGAUAAUUACUUUUACUUAAAGGUUUCACAAACCUGCAAAAUCUUCUCCAAAUUAGCGUUAGCGUUCUGAGCUAGCCAAGCAGUAUAUCUAAAAUAUAGAAAGAAGAAAAAUUCAUGCAACCUAAGUACACUAAGAACCUACAGCAUCGUCACCGCUGCGUGGGAAGGUUAAUUCUUCUAACUCUGGUAUUAUCGUUGAACAAGCAGUUCACAUCCAACUGCCCGCAUAAUGGGGGAAGCUCGCUCGCUAACUUUGCUUUUCGGCCAAAAUGCCGAAAAAAGGCUAAGGCCGAAGGAGGUCUACUCCUUCGCUUAAGGAAAAAUUGCCCGAUUGGAUAUAUAUCUUGGUGCAGAGAGAGGAAAGGAUCACGGAAGCCUCAGUCUCAGUACGAAAGGGGCAAAAAGCUGGAAAAAGCAUACUGGCUUCACCUUGCCCUAGGAUGGGGUCCGCCCGAUCUUUUAAGGCAUAGGCUUAAUACUGAGACGCACGGGAAUAUCCGGUCCAGGAUGGAUAUUCAAGACAAGGAUGAAGGCUCUCCGUCACGCAAGAUGAUUACAAGUCUUAGGAGUGAACUUCCGCUUUACCCCUUCCGGUAUCAGGAAGCGAAGGGCAGAGAAAGCGAGCUAGAAAACAUAAAUCAAGGCGGUCGAUGACUUAAAAUAGGCAAAAAGAAAAGACAGAAAGCCUAUGGGUUUCUCGGUUUACCCUUCAAUUAGGAUAGAAAAAGGCACUGCCUAUGUGACCACUAAAAGCGGAUGUGACGAGCGACGCAGGGCCACCCACGAUCGCUAGCAAUAUGAGGUAAAGCGACCAGAAAGCAUACCAUAGGAUGCGUGCUGAGGGCAUUCACAUAAACAUUUUUCAAAUUGUUCACAUUCGGUGGGAUGUUCUUAGCCUUGUCUCCAGGUGAAUAAUUGAAUCGGCACCGACGCGAUCGGACCUAUUGCAGUCUUCGGUUGACUGGUGGCAUUCAAUGGUAUGCUUGAGGCCUUUCCAACCCGCUCCGUGUAAAAGAGGUAGAAGGAGGCUCAAAGAAUUAUCGAAGAGCGAGACGAAAGAAAAUAGCGACUUGCAGUCUGUGAUGGGAUAUCUCAAUGUUAUCGCAGAUUCAAAGGCGCAAAGAAUAUUGCAUUGAGGCUCGACUGAAAGGAGAGGCGAAUUUGAGAAGAAAUAACUAUAUCGGAUAAAUACUCAACUGCCUCAAACGUCACUUGGACAAGAGCUGGAGAUUCCGAAACCUCUCGCAGCUUCUUUGCUUCCUCUGGUCUCGAUAUUUGAACCGCCUCAAUAAACAAUAAAUAAGGGUCCAAAAAAUCAAGGUCAUCUGAAACCCUUUUUUUGAUGUGCCUCAGUCCUAUCCAUUAGAACAUCGGCCCUCACCCUUUUUCUUCUUAGUGCGCGCUUGAGCUUUAGUCUUCCGAGUUCUCAAAUUCUUUGACCCUCUGUCUCAGUAUUCGGCAGAGAUGCUGAUGUUAACAAGAAAUGCAGGCUGAAUGCUGUCUAAUGCUUGGAGAGACAUUGUUAGUAAUGUGACUUUGGACAAGGUUACUGAAGAUAGAACUAUCUGGCCUCAGGUCAGUUUUCAUUUGCUAAGACAGUGAAACUCUUUCAUCUUCCUGGUAAUACUGUCCCUUGGUUCAAGCUUCUUUGGGGUAAGAAGCACAUCCCUAGUCAUGCUUUUCUUUCCUGGAUGGCUAUGAAUAAGAGUCUGAGAGUCAAAGCUAAACUGUACAAUCUUUAAGUGCUUUCGUCUGAUUUUGAGGUUUGGAAGCAAAGAAGCAUAUAGCGGAGUUUGGUUCCUUAUAUUAGAAAAAGAUAUAGGAAGACUCCCAAAAAGAAGAAAGCCUAGGAAAGCCUAGGAGAAAGCAAAGAAAGAGUAAGGAUGAGAAAGCUCCUAACCCCUAUUUAUUUAUGGAUGUGAAUUGAGCGAAGGCGCAAAGAAUAUUGCGAAGGUUCAAAGAAUAUUGACUUGAUAAACCUCUAUUUAGCUUCUUAUAUCUGAAGACGAUAAAGUCAGAUAAUCAGCCUCCGGCUGGGUCGGAUCGUCCAUACCUAGUUGAGUAUCUUUGUCCGUCAUAAUGAAGUCACUCUUUGAAAAAGGGUCGGGCUUUGUUGGAGUUGACUCGGUGAGUACACUUUCAUCUUUACGAGAAGAAGCGCGAACAACAACUAUAUUAUUCAGCCAGAGACCUGAUUUACUCGAUGAGUGGAACGGCUCGACAAAAGUGUUAGGACUCGGGAUAGACGCGCCUUCUUACUGCUAGAACUCAUAGGUCUACGGGGUUCUUUUGGUAGCGAGAAUAGUGGUCCCAAACGGAAUAGAAGUACUUUUGAUUCACUGAAUCGGAAUCUUUGAAAGAAGAAAGAGGGACGGAGGAUCAAUGAAAUUUGAUGAUGAUGAGUAAGCUCUUGCUUUUCUUGCUCCUCUUUCUGAAGUUGCAAGAGGUUCAAAGAUCCUUAUCAAUGAUUGGAGCGGCUAUUUCGGUUGCAGACGUUGCUGUUGGAGUAGAAGCUGUAGCCCUUUUGGUGAGGUGCGAAUGCUCGACCUCGACCCAUUGGCAUUAGUUGAGGAUGCACCAUCCCUGAUUAUUUCUUAGGAGAAAGCCUCUUUCGUCGGGUUCAAGGGAAAAGACUAAGAAUGAGGUCCCCUCCCCCAGUUGAGGAACGAGGGCAAAAGCGAAGCCUAUGAAGUGAGUAUGAGCUCGCUCAACCCCCACGUAGCAAGAAUAGAACCAUCUUCUCUCUUUCAUGAGUAGUUCACUGCACUCAUUAGUAGCUGGACCAAGAGGUUAUUCUCUCUAUGAUCUCCUGGACUGGAAUAGGCGCUCUCCCCAUAGCAAGAGGGAGCUCGACGUAGUCGGUCUUUCGACAGUCAGUCAGUAAUUGAGAGAAGCAGCUGCCCGGGAGAGGGAGGUAUCGAUUAGCACGAAGAGAGGAUUAGUCGAAUCGACUGUAAGAAGAGGCAUCCGUUCUUGUGGCAGUAGCAGUUGCAGAAGUUGAAUCGUCAGUGGCUGUUCUUGUUUAAGAAAUAGCUGCAGCUAUUCCCACCAAGGCCUGACGAUAGGCUGAUUUCAGGAUUUCCUAUCCAUCCUCAAAUUCUUUGAGCCUUUGUUACAAGAAAAUACUCUUUAGUGACUCAAGAAUAUCCCUGUCUUAUGGCACCUCUCAUCUGGAGCCUUUGUUUUUGAAACAAGUCAAAUUCUCUAAUGGAUAGGUAUGAAUUCAUGAAUAUUGAAUUGAACCUACUAAAAUCAAAGGAAUAAAGAAAGAGCUCAAAAGGAGAAGUCUGAAACCUCAUCACCUACUCCCGGAGGUAAGGAACUGGAGGCAAGGUGAAAUUCAAUAUGACGAAGUCUUAUAGUUUGGUCUCAUCCCCCCAUAAUCAAGUAGCGUCCACUAAAAAGGAGCGGAGCGCGGAAGGACGCUACUUUUUAGACCAUACGCAAUUCAAUAUGCCUUAAAUGAAUCUACCCUUUUUAGACUCGACUACUCCGCUACGUGGGCUUACUAGUAAUGCUGAAGUUUCCUCCUUUUCUAGCUUUCCUUCUAAUGCCCUUCUUUAUGGUCAAGUGUAUGGUCACUUCCCCGAGGCGCGGAUCCCACUACACGGGAAUAUAUUAUGAUAUAAUGAACUAUCUUCUUUCUAAUAGCUGGUUUCAACAGCCACCGGGGAGGAGACAAGAACUCAAUCUACUGAAACAAGGGUUUCAACCACAGCGAGAGCAGACCUCAAAAAAAUAAGGAAGAAAAAGAUAAAGGCGCGAAGCGAAGCCUAUGAAGUCAUAAGGGCAAGGGCUUUCCGUGAACUUUCUUAUGAUGGGAAAUCCUUGUUUGCAUUUGCGAGACACAUUUCAUUCGUAGAAAUACCACUUCCUACUUCCUCAUCCCGACAAUAAAGAAAGCACUAUGCGAGACAAAGUAGAUUCCCAAACUCAAAAGGAAAGACUAAAAAUCAAAGCUCCAUAUGAGUUGAAUUGAGGUGCAAUGAAAUAUGCCUUUCAGCAGUGUGCGAAUUCGCUCUUUCGGCUGAUAACCUUUCGAUCCAGAAAGCACUAUGCGGAAGUUUCCCACUACGCGGCGCGAAGCGACUGCCCACUUUUUGAAAAGAAAUAAAGAGCGCAGAACAAGGUUCAGUUAAGCUUGAUAAAUCAGUCCUUCGCCUAAGAAUAAGGUUCAAAGAAUAUUGAACUCAUGAAAUCAAUAUCCCUGUCUUAUGGGGCCUUCGUAGCUUAAUAAUGGGGAUCUGGUUCAAUUAUAAGGCUCAAAGAAGAUUGAGAAAGAAUAUUGCAAAGUCAAGGCGACAAAGAAAAGGUGAAUAUGGAUUCGUACGAUUAGACUUGACUGAGAAUGGGAUUGCUUUAGCUAUCUUUUUUUUUCGUCUUUCAAGGUGGAAGCUAAAUCAGAAUAGUUUCUAGUUCAAGCCAAGCAAGCUAGGGUUGGUUCGUAUUGACAAAGAGCUGGAUUUCUGAACUUUCAAUGGGUAAUGGAGUACUUUCUUUGUCAAUCGAUGCUUAAUACUAUCUUUACGCAAAUAAAGGCCAAAGAAUGAGGCUAAGUCUUCUAUUUAGUGGUCUCGCAAUAUUCUUUGCACCUUGCUGAUCUCAUUUAAAAAAUGUUUCGCCUGCCUCUUCUUUGAUUCCGUGCACGAGUAAGUACCCGUAAAUCGUAAAGAAAGAGCGGGGGGGGGGGGGGUAGUUACCUGCUCUUUCAUCGAGAUUGGCAAAUUACGGUAGAAGAUAGAAGGGGUUCGAGGAUCAUAGUAUUUGAGCUUUGCUAUUACUUUCAUGCUCCUCUUAGAAGGAAGAUAAGCACGAUAAGCUGGCCUAUAUCAUUGCUUAAUUCAUGCUUUCUUCGUACUUUCGGAAAGAAAUCUCACUCAUAUGCUCUGUAGAUAGGAUUAUGUGUUUCAUGAGUCAGCAAGGUGCAAAGAAUAUUGCGAGACAGGCGCAAAGAAUUUGCAAAGGACUAUCCAUUAGGGGAGCUUGAUUUUGCUCAAAGAAUUUGAUUUGAGAAGGAGGUAAGAUAAUAAGUGGAAUGAGCCAUAGUCCCAUUAAAGCAAGAAGAUGGGAAUCGAGUCAUGGUCUCUUUACGUCUCGCGCGCAUUAUCCAUAGCUCUUGGUCUUCUGGUUAUGGGCUAUUCAUUUGAUGAAAGAAGUAGGAUCACGUACAGAUUGAAGUAGCUCGACUCUCAGAUAGAGGCGUCUUACCCAAAUUCCCCAUGAAAUGAGUCCAAGAAUAUCCCUGUUUUAUGGCGCCUUUCGCUCAAUAUCCUUUGAGCCUUCUAGAAACGAACUUUGCGACUGAGGACGGAUGCAAAUGUGCUUAUUUUAGGCUUUGCUUCUAAUAGUAGUAGUAAUGAGAUUUGUCGAAGAUUCCUUUCCGCAAUAUUCUUUGCACCUCAAAUCUUCUUUCUUUUUCAAAUAUUCUUCAUAAUCGUUCGGUCUGGAGGACUCGUCCAUCCAUUAUUACCUUUCUGUCGUAGCUUCUCAAAUUCUUUGACCCGUCCGGAGUCCUACGUCCGUAGGAUUUAUCCGUAGUCCGGAGUCCUACGUCCGUAGGAUUUAUCCGGAGGACUAUCCAUAUGGAAGUAGGUCGGAGGAUUUAUCCGUAGGACCAUCCGUAAUUAACCGAAGUAGGACCAUCCAUAUGGAGGGAAGUAGUCCGGAGGAUUUAUCUGUAGGACCAUCCGUAAUUAACCGAAGGACUCUAAAACAGAGCAAAGUUCAUUUAUAGGCAGACUCUCGGGAACUAACCUGCACGGGAGAGCAUAUUCACCGAUACCGGAGCCCCUCUCCCUAUUGUCGAGUCUCUUCGCCCCUCUCCUUUCAGUCGAGUUAUUUCAUAACCUCUGUAGUGCCCAACUCUUAUAGUGAGUUGCUUCGCUCCGAUCCACAGGCCCCCCUUCCUAAAGCAUUUUCUCUCGUACCAUAGGCUUUUCACUAGCCUAGGUCAAUGCCAAUAUAAAGGUGAUUGUGUACUAGAUAUUGUAUUUUCAUGAAGCUGUACGAGUCAAGGAUAGGUUUGAAUAUCUCAACUAGAAAGUCUCGGACUAACUCUUUCCAUAGCGUAGCCCACGGAGCGGGGAAAAGGAAGAUUUUCAGUAGUAGUCAAGAGAUCAAUCAGAAGGGAGCAGGAAGAAUGGAUAUUGUCUUCGAUCUUGCAAUAAAAUGAGUCAGACCAUAUGCAAUCCAGUCUCAAACAGAGAAUUAGUAAUCUGAGUCUCACGGGGAAUAGGUUGAAUAGUCCGGAGGACGGGGAAGACAAAGAAAAGAGAGGCUUCAGAGGUUCAAAGAAUAUUGACAAAGAAUAUUUCAUGAAUUGAGGUGCGGUAGUUCGUCCGAAGGACUAUGAAAUCCGUUAGUUUUCGUUUGCACUCCUUUCUUCUUUUCUUAGAUAUUCUGGGAUUGAACUCCGUCUGAAAUCUAGCAGAUUCAUAUUUAGCUUCUUUCAUUCUCGUUAAUGAGCACUUGAACCUGUCUUUCUCAGGCGCAAAGAAUAUUGCGAGAAGAGCAAAGAAGAGAAUGGCGAUUAGAAUUUGAGUCCUUUCAUACUUUCGUUGAAGAGAAGGAGGAGUUUUCUUCUUGUAUCAUAAUAGGAUAUUUUAGUAGAAUAAGAAGAAGAAGAAGAUAAGACUACGUAGCGUAGUGGGCUUUUCUUAUGGCAGAGCGGAGGAGUCCGACUAUCCACUGAAGAAAGUAGGAAAGCCUAAGGAACCUAAAAAGGGCUAAUAGGGGAAGGAAGAAAGCCUAUCCUUCCAGAAUCAUUGAGGACCGAAGGACUUCUUUAUAUCCCUAUUUAUUUAUUUAUGGGACUCCCAAAAAGAUUUAGUUCCAUAAAUCAGUCGGCUAAUAUAUAGGAUGAAAGUAGAUAGAGAGGAAAAGAAAAAAGUCGUCACUCUUAAGGAGUGCAAGAAGGAAUCUUUGAACCUUUUAUCCCGAUCUCUCUCCUUCUACAACUCAGUCGAGCCAAUAUUCAUUCUUCUUUUCGAGGGGACAUCAUGUCCUCUUAUCUUAAUCCCAUAAAUUAUUUAAGGCGAUACUGAAAGAAGAAAUCCAGCAACUUAAUCUGGCAGAGUCAAUUCGAGACUAAGACGAGUUGGGGUUUCGACCAUAGGCUUUCCUUCCAAACCUACUAUACUAAACCUACCCCCGGAGUCAAGGUGCGAAGUGAAGCGACUGCCCACUUUUUAGAAAUAAAGAGUUGAGAUAAUUCUUUUCACUCAUUGAGGUCGGCUAAAUUCAAUGGAUAAAGAAGUCCUUCGCUUCAUUCUAUAUGUCCUUAUCAAUGAGACCAUUAAUCAGUCCGAAGGACUAUCCAAAGAAAAGAAUAUCCCUGUCUUAUGGGGCCUCCGUAGCUUAAUAUGGAGCGCUCUGGACGAGUCUUAACUAAUACUCCCAAUCAAAGAAUUAUCGAAAGAAUGAUCGACGAGUCUUAUUCCACUAAAAUAGUAGUCCUUCGGAGCGGUCUUAAUACUCCUAAAAUCAAAGCUCCAGAUGAGUUUCAUUCCACUAAAAGAUGAAAGAAGGUAUCUCAGUUACCAAAGAGAAAGAGCUUCCACAAACCACUUCCACAUAAACUUCUGCUAAGUCUACUUCUGGUAUUGAUUCAACUUAGCCUUUAAUCAGAUUAGGACCUAGCUAGCCAACCUUAUUCCUUCCUCUUCCUUACUUUGUUCUCGCUUGCUUCGACAACACAUCUCUGGAUACUGGAUAAGAGAUCCUUUGGUCAAGCUGCAAGAGAAAGACUUCUUCCGAUCGAUCAGCUACCCGAUUCCUCCUUCCCCGAUGAUAGGGUUAGCGGGCCCGUUCCUCUCCUAUUGAAAAAGAAAGCGGAAAUCUUCCAGUCAGGAGUCCGGAGGAUUUAUCCGUAGGACCAUCCGUAAUUAACCGAAGUAGUCCGCAGUCUGGAGUCCGCAGGAUUUAUCCGGAGGACUAUCCAUAUGGAAGUAGGACUAUCCAUUAGAAGUAGGACCAUCCAUAUGGAAGGAAGUAGUCUGGAGUCUGCAGUCCGCAGGAUUUAUCCGUAGGACUAUCCAUUUUCAGUCGAACUAUCCAUAUGGAAGUAGGACCAUCCGUAAUUAACCGAAGGAGGACUAUCCAUAAUUAACCGAAGGAGGACUAUCCGUAAUUAACCGAAGUAGUUCGGAGGACUUUCUGUAAUUAACCAAACUUUGCGCCUAACGGAGGGCUCAAAGAAGAUUGAGAAAUCCAUAUUAUACGUCUAACGGAGGGUGAAAAGAAUAUUGAAUUUCAUCUUUUUAGUAGGAAAUAAACCAGGCUCAAUGAAAUUUGAGUUAAGGAAGUCGAGAAAUUGUUUUCUUUAGUUCUCAUCUCUUGAGAAAAGAAUAUGACUCGCCCUAGCCAUGAACUCUUUAUAUGGACCCUAUGAUAAAAAGAAUGAAAUCAAGAGACCACAUACUAAGAAAGAGAGGUAGCACUUGUGGGAGAGGUGCAAAGAAUAUUGCGAGACAGCUCGAGCAAAGGGAGUGGAAUCUAGCUAUGAGGACUCUUUGAGCUCUUCUUUGAGUCAGUGGCUGCCCUUGCAGAAGGAGCAGCGAAUUCCGUGGUUUCAGAGGUUUAUGUAGCAGUUCUUCUUUAAUAAGAUGCUUACUUUCUUUCGGGUAGAAAGGUUCACUCGUGAACGGUACACACCUCUUAUAUGAUGACUGGGGACUUUGUCCCUAAUUCUACGGAUUUCUCUUAUAUGAUCUUAUUCAUCUCCGUAUCGUUCAUAUAUUCAUUCUAUAAAAUCCCUAGCUGCCAAAGAUGGUCGAACUUGCCUCUUAAGUGGCGUGGGUCGAUCAUCUUGUUAACUUUUUACCCAGGAGUGGGGGGAAGAAGUUCAAGAAUAAUUUCUCUUCUUUCCUUGUCCCAGUUCUUAUUUCCACUUCUACUUAAGGCACCAUGACUGAUACGGAUGCAAGAACAUCAGGGCGAGCAGGGAAGAGGCGGAGGGAGUUUGCACUCUUUUCAUGCGGGUUUGAGUGAGACUGAUGCGCCCUAGGUAAAGCCAUUGCUUCCUCUUGUUCAUCACAUUCAUUAUGUUCACAAUUCCGGAAUCAAAGUAGAAAUACGAGAAAGCGCUCCAGCGGACUCUGACUUAUUGGAAAUUCUAUCUUCCCGCCUCAACGAACAAGGUGGAAAGAAUAUUGAAUGAAUCAUUGAGUUGAGGCGGUGGAACCUUGGAGUGGGACCGGGAACAUGAUAGGCUACUACUACAAAAACAGGCUCUCUUGAUGUUUGCAGUUUUCCUUUCUUGACGUUUUUUGAAAAAAACGUCAAGAAAGAUUUCAUUUUUAAUAAAAAACGUCAAGAAUUUUUCUCAAACAUCAUUCUUGACGUUUAUUAAACGUCAAGUAAAAUAAAUUUUUCCUUGACGUUUUUAAAACAUCAAGAAAUAUCUAUUAAUUUUUUGACGUUCUUAAAACGUUAAGAAGCAUAUGAAUUCGACAUGCUUGACGUUUGUUAAACGUCAAGAAUUUAAAAUUUUACUCGAUAUUUUAAAAACGUCAAGAAAUUCAUAAAAUAUUCUUGACGUUUUAAAAACGUCAAGAAUAUUUUUAAAAUUUCUUGACGUUUUUGAAAAACGUCAAGCAUUUAAUCGUAAAACGACGUUGUUUCAUUUAAGUACAUUUUCUCUUCUGUAAAACCUAAUUUGUCGCGCGUUCGAAGGGAAGCUUCUCCAGAACCUGAAGCUUUUGCAUUCGUCGUUCGUCGUUCUCCCCUUUCACCGUUCUCAAGCUUUCACCAUUCUCAAGCUUCCACCGUUCAUCGUUCUCCCUUCGUUCAUUCACCGCUCAGUUCAUCGUUCACCGUUCAUCGUUCACCAUUUGAAACUCGUACAGAAGCGUGAGCCAUCGGUGAUAAUGCCUCUGCCAAAGACUUAGGAAUAGACACAGAGGAGAGAGACCCUUUCUUUCUAUUAGAGAGAUUAUUCACGAGAUAAAGCCUACGGUCAACAAGAGAGAGCUGCUUACUUGCUAUAUCCCCGCGUUCUUGCAUGGCUCCCUCUAUUCACCUUCUUUGUUCGAAAACCCAUAACACAUUCACCUCUGUUCUACCGAAAAACCUCCAUUUGUCUCCAAUUUCUGUGUAAAAGGGAAGCUCAUGUUAUUGCUUACACUGAGAAGGUAUUGAAUUUUAAUUUUCGGCUCUAACAUUUUUCCUAAUCUACUUCUUUCUUCUUAUUUUCAAUUUUACUUACUUGUAAUCAAACUGUGUUACAGAUAAUCGAAGAAGGGAGUUUUCAAUUAAGAAAGUACAAAUCUUAUCUUUACCCUCUCAGAUCUAGUUUCACACACAUUUUAUACCUUGUUGUCUUAUGUGUUUCUUUUGCUUUCAAUUUGAUUAUCACUUGCUUUUCUAUCUUACCUGUUGAAGGAAAUUGAAGUAUGGGGCGUUACCCUUGUGUACAUUCUUUAGAUGUUAACGAAUAUUGGUUUAGUAACUGUUUAUUUAUAAUGCAAAUUGCUCUAAUAUUCAAUUAAUGGUAUUGGAGGAAAUCCUGAUAGAACCAUCCCGGCUUUGUUGGUUUAAUAACUGUUUAUUUAUAAUGCAAGUUUGAGCCUUCAAUUUAUGGAGAGGAACCUCCCUGCCUAUCUUCUGAGCUAAUAGGAUCAGUCUUUAUCUUUGAAAAUGAUACCACAUUAGAAAAGACAUUUGGACCUGUUGUGUUAAUUACUCCAAGCAUGAAACUUGUACUUGUACUUAUCUGAUUUUCUGAUUUUAUGAAUCAUUCUUUGUAUGAGUUUGACAUUAUUUUGCGUUUCCAAUUGUUUGACAGUGAUCAAUUGUUGUAGUUUGUUGAAGAUUAGGUGUUUUUAAGUUUGUCCUUCCACUUUAAUUAUCAAUAGUGACAAUAACUUUAUUUCUCAUUAGAUUUACAAUGAUGGAUAAAUCUUGGAUGCACAAGAGUAGAUUGUCUAAAGAUUAUGAGUUGGUGUGGAAAACUUCAUCAAAUUUGGAUUUUCUAAUACAACUAGCUCCUAUAUUCGUUGUCCUUGUUGGAAAUGUGGGAAUUGUGAAAAACAUAGUAGAAAGGGUGUUAGAGAUCACUUGUAUGUUAAUGGUAUUGAUGAAAGUUAUAAAAUUUGGUUUUGGCAUGGGGAAGAACUUCCUAACUCAUCCUUCUAUGAUGAAUCUUCAAAGUUUGACAUCCAUACAUGUGAAGAUCAGGAUGUUGGAAGUGUAAAAGAAAUGAUUGAAGUUGCUCAUGAGGAGUAUUCAAAAGACCCAACUGGAUUUGAGAAGUUGCUUAUUGAUGCUAAAAAACCAUUGUACGAAGGAUGCAAAAAGUACACAAAGUUGUCUACUCUAGUCAAAUUGUAUAAUUUAAAAGUUAGGUAUGGAUGGAGUGAUACUAGUUUUUCAGAAUUACUUGAAACUUGAAAUUCUGCCUACUACCAAUGAGCUCCUGAAUUCAUUGUAUGAAGCAAAGAAAACAUUAGGUGCAUUAGGAAUGGAAUACGAAAAGAUUCAUGCAUGCCCGAAUAAUUGUUGUUUCUAUAGAAAAGAAUUUGCUAAUGCAAUUGAAUGUCCUGAAUGUGGUCAAUCAAGGUGGAAAAACGUCAAGGAUACAAAUGAAAAGAGAAAGCAAAUUCCCUCUAAAGUCAUAUGGUACUUUCCAAUCAUUCCACGAUUUAAAAGGCUAUUCAGAAGCAUUGAAUGUGCUGAAAACUUGACUUGGCAUUCUACUGAAAGAAUUAAUGAUGGUAAGUUACGACAUCCAGCAGACUCUCCAGCAUGGAAGUUAGUAGACAUGAAAUGGCCAGACUUCGGUUUUGAACCCAGAAAUCUUCGUUUAGCAUUGUCAGCCGAUUGAGUAAAUCCUCAUGGUGACAUGAGUUCUAAAUACAGUUGUUGGCCGGUAGUGAUGGUUAUUUACAAUCUUCCACCAUGGUUGUGUAUGAAAAGAAAGUACAUGAUGCUAUCAAUGCUAAUUUCAAGACCAAAACAACCAGGGGAUGACAUAGGUAUAUACUUAACACCACUAAUUGAAGAUUUAAAACUUUUAUGGGAAAGUGGUGUUGAAUGUUAUGAUGCUUAUCGAGAAAAACCAUUCAACUUAAGGUCAGUUUUGUUGUGGACAAUCAAUGAUUUUCCUGCAUAUGGGUAACCUUAGUGGAUGUUGUGUGAAAGGGUAUAAAGCAUGCCCAAUUUGUGGAGAUAAUACAAAUUCUAUAAGGUUACAGUAUGGGAAGAAAAUGGCAUACCUUGGACAUCGUAGAUUUUUGGCACGAAAUCAUCCAUAUCGACGACAAAAGAAGUCAUUCAAUGGUAAAAAAGAACUUGAUACAAUUCCAGAGCCACUUUCUUGGGAGGAUGUGUAUUUAAAAUUGAAAGAUCGGGAAUUUUCUAGAGGGAAGAAGAACCAUAAGAAACGGUUGAUGAACAGAAGUGACAAAAUUUGUUGGAAUAGAUUAUCUUCUUUUUUUGAGUUGCCAUACUGGAAGGAUCUUCAUGUUAGACAUUGUUUAGAUAUGAUGCACAUUGAAAAAAAAUGUUUGCAUGAAUAUCUUAGGUACACUUUAACAUGGAAGGAUCUUCAUGUUAGACAUUCUUCAUAUUCGUGGGAAAAGUAAGGAUGGAUUGAAUGCUAGACGCGAUUUAGUUGAUAUAAAACUUCGACCAUAGCUUGCCCCUAUCAGCAGUGAAAAGAAAAUAUUCAUUCCGCCUGCGUGUUAUACUCUUACAAAAGAUGAAAAACGAUGUGUUUUGAAGACUUUGUCAGAAAUAAAGGUUCCUGAAGGUUACUCUUCCAAUAUUAGAAACCUUGUGUCAAUGACAGAUUUAAAACUUAAUAGUUUAAAAUCUCAUGAUUGUCAUGUGCUCAUACAAUAGUUGUUUCCCAUUGCGAUAAGAUCAGUGCUACCGAAACAUGUUCGUUAUGCUAUAACUAGGUUGUGCGUCUUUUUCAAUUCUGUAUGCAACAAGGUAUUAGACGUACAACAACUAGACAAGUUGGAAGAAGAUAUUGUGGUAACAUUGUGUUUGUUUGAAAAGUAUUUUCCCCCUUCAUUCUUCACAAUCAUGAUUCAUCUCACAGUACACAUAGUUAGAGAAGUCAAACUUUGUGGCCCUAUAUAUCUUCGAUGGAUGUAUCCCUUUGAAAGAUUCAUGAAGGUCAUUAAAAACUCUGUGAGGAAUAGAUAUCGUCCAGAAGGUUGUAUUGCUGAAAGUUAUUUAAUAGAAGAAGCUGUUGAAUUUUGUACUGAUUUCUUAUCUGGAGUAGAUCCCAUUGGACUUGGGACUCGCAAGUCACAAGACCAUUUAGAUACUUCAAACAUUGGUAGACCAUUGUCCAUGGGAGUUCCUUUCAAACCUCAACAAGAACUUCUACAUCAAGCUCAUCAAUAUGUUUUGGAAAAUACAGUCGAUGUCCAACCAUAUACAGAGUAAGUUUUUCUUGCUUUCUUGAUUGUUUUAUUGACUUUUAUAUACUUAAUCUAACUAUAUUACAAUGUUUGAAUUGAUGACUACAAAGAAAACAUAUGAAGGCUUUGCAACUACAAUAUCGAAAUAAGUCUAGAAAUCAAAAAUGGCUUCAAGAGGAACAUAAUCGAACUUUUAUACAUUGGCUACGGGAAGAGGUAUAGUGCUGAACAUAGUAAUUUAGUUACACAUGUUAUGUGUCCAAUUUUAAAUAAGAAUUAUCAUGUUAUGUAUCAACUGAGCUUGAAGUUGGAAAUGCUGGAGUUUCAGAUAACUUACGAUAGAUUGCUCAUGACCCUCAUCCUUUUGUUAUUAGAUAUAGUGGUUAUGCAAUCAAUGGAUGUCGCUAUCACACACAAUCUUGUGAUAAAGAACGAAGUGUACAAAACAGUGGAGUUAGCUUAGUUGCAAAAACAAUGCAAGUGUCUAGUUCUAAAGAUAAAAAUUCGGUCAUCGGAGAUAUGUCAUUUUAUGGAGUCAUACAAGAGAUAUGGGAACUGAAUUAUAAUACGUUUAAUGUUCCUGUGUUUAAAUGUGAUUGGGUUCAAAACAAUGGCGGUGUUCGGAUUGAUGAACUUGGUUAUGUUUUAGUUGAUUUGAAUAGAGUAGGACACAAGUCAGACUCCUUCAUACUAGCAAGUCAAGCAAAACAAGUUUUUUAUGUUGAGGAUCCAAGCGAUGUUAGAUGGUCAGUUGUGCUUACUCCACCACAAAGAGACUUUGAAGAUAGAUAUAACAACGAUGAACUUGGUGAUACAAUACUACAGUGUGAAGGAAUACCCAAUGGUAUGCCAGAUGUUGACUUAAAUAAUGACUUGGAUGACAACAUCUUAACAUACGUACGAGCAGAUUGUGAAGGCACAUGGAUACCUACAUAAUAUUAUAAGGUUUUGUUUUACUGUUCUCAAACUAAUAGUACCAUUCGUUUAUUAUGCUCAUUCAUCUCAAUUAAUUGAUCCGUUUUUAAUUUUGUUUAAAACUUGUAUACUAUGCUAAUUGUUUCUUCAUUUUGAUUGGCAGCCUUUGAUUCAUACAUCACAUGGAUAACUUUAGUGAUGAAGAAGCUGGUGUUGAUGAGUUGAAACCAACAUUUGGAAUUGAGGAUGAUGAACAUCUUGGUACUCAAAAUGAAACCCCAAAGCAGAUAUGUAGACCACGAGGACCAAAUAUUAUGUUCGAUAUCACUCGCAUUAGAAGUUUGGGAGAGAAGAAAGUGGUGAUGUACAAUGAAGACGGAGUACCCAUUGGUGAGAAUGGAGCAAAGUUGAAGUCUUUCAUAGGAUCUGCGACACAUUAUCAUGUCCCGAUCACAUAUUCAUCCUGGAAAAGUGUGCCGGUAGAGCUGAAAGAUAAAAUAUUCAGUACGGUUGAGGUAUAUAUAUAAUUUCAAUGUGCUUAUAUUGAUAAUGUUCCUGAUGUAUACUUUAUUAAUCACUUUUAAAUAUUUAGGCCGCAUUCGUCAUUGAUCCAAGAUCUAGGAAAAAUAUUAUCCAAACUGCUGGCAUUUCGUUUCGUCAGUUUAAGUGUUGGCUAACAACAAAAUAUAUUAUGCCACAUAAGGAUGAACCACAACUCCUACAAGUUCCACCAGAAAAGUAUUCAUUCAUUGAUCAACAUCAUUGGGCAGAAUUUGUAAGGUCUAGAUUGUGUGAAACGUUUCAGGUAUGUUACUUUCUCAAUAACAAAUAUAUUUGUAAGGUUUAGAUUGUGUGUUACUUUCUCACUAACAAUAUUUUUGAAAAAUAGGAAAAAAGACUUCUGCAACAAGAUAGACAAUCUAAGAACAAGUAUAACCAUAAGAUUUCGAGGAAGGGUUAUGUCAAUCUUAUCGAGGAAAUGGUAAGAACUAAUUUAUUAAGUUUAUCAAACUUUAUCAAAGGUUGUUCUAAUCUUAUUAUGGAUUUGGAAUGUAGAAAAAGGAAGGUUCAAAUCAACCAGAGUUGGAUCAAGCCAUCAUGUGGAAGAAGGCUCGAGUUAACAAAAAAGGGGAGUAUGAGAACGACGACGUUCAACAAGUUGUCCAUAAAAUUGUAAGACUUUUUGUAUAUUGAACAUUUGAACUAGAUUUGUUUUGUUUACACAUUUCUAUAACGUAGAUUGGUUUUUGUUUUAGGAUGAGAUUUCAAUGAAUACGUCUUCAUCGUCUCAAAAAGGACACUCUUCUAACGAUGUGUUAACCCAAGCAUUGGGUACAAAAGAGCAUCACAGUCGUGUUCGUGGGGUCGGUGGGUAUGUUACUCCUACCAAUUACUUUCAUUCUGUAAAAAAGACAUCUAAACGUGAGGAUGAGAUUAUACUUGAGAAUAAAGAACUUCGAAGGCGUGUAAGCGAAUUAGAAGCACAUAUCCACUCAAACUUGUCUAGACCAUUAUCUGAACAUGGUGGCUGUUCGAAGCCAAAUAUCUUAGAAGAGAGUGACUCGAUGAAAAUAAUCAAAGGGAAGAGUAAGUUGAUGGAUACAAUCGAAGGAAAAGAUGUGGAGGAGAUAAAUGUAAAUGACGACAAAGUAGAGUUGGACAUCUUUAAGGUAUGCAAUCGAUCCUCUAAUAAACUCAAAUUCUUAAUAUUCAUAUCGUAUUGAAAGUGAAUUUUUUUCUUGAAUUAGGAGAGAGCCUUAAUAAAAAUGCCUAAAGAAAGAGAGGUUGUCUGUGAAUCGACGUCAGUUUUGCCAAUGGGAAUGAAGUUGAUUCUCAGAUACGCUGAGAAGAUAAUGGAGAAAGAUUCUAGUAUCACUAUUCCACUACCUGUUGGGAUUUUUGGUAUUAGUCAAAAGACUUCUAUUCUCCGAGAGGACAUCAUCGAUCUUUGUAACAUGAAUGAGGUCAAAACAUUUACAUUGGUGGCCUAUAUGACGUAAGUCAAUUUCAUUUCUUUAGAUCUAAAUUUAUGUAUCUCGUUUACAAGUUUAUAAUAUUUUGUAGGUACUUGUAUUCAUCUGUUCUUGGUUCGAAGGAAAAUAUACAGUACGUCUUUGUAGAUCCGUCCCUCACCUCUGCCGGACACUCGCAAGAAUCUCGAGUUCGAAACUUACAGUAGAUUGAUGGUCUCAAAGAUUAACAAAAUAGUUCUUGCUCCUUAUAAUCCUGGGUAAGUCAAGUUAUUUUAUUACUUGUAUUGCAAAAAACUAGUACUAAUAUUUUGUAUAAUUAGGGGUCAUUGGGCACUCCUGGCCAUAAAUGUGUAUGAUGAUACAGUAUUUUACCUCGACUCACUAAGGACAACAUCGAAGUCAACUAUAAGAUACGUCACUGACACGUAAGUUAAUCUAGUAUUUCAUUUAGUGUUGAUUCUUAUAUGCAUGUACACAAUAUUUAAACUAUUUGUUCAAUCUUAUCUUGUCAAAACAGAGCAAUAACGAUGUUUCAGUCACAAAAGAACAUUAAAAAAAGUAGAAAACAAACUUUAUGGCGAACAGUAAAGACAAGUAUCAACUUUUAAAGUCAUUAUAUUUUUGUAGACUACUAGCAAUUAGGAUUACUUUGUUAUUCAAAUUUGUUGCUUUUAUAUAGUGUCCACUACAAGUCGGGAGUACUGAGUGUGGAUACUAACGUGAUGAGGUAUUUGAGAGAAAUUGUGACUAGGGGAAGCAUUGUCAUAUUCGAUGCGGUAUGUUAUAUAUCAAACUAUUGGUUUUGUGAGUUAAUUGGUUUAUUUGUAUAGUCAGUUAAUUCAUUUAAUUUAUUUUGCAUGUAUAUAGAUUGAUACACGAAGAUCAUACUCACAGGCAGAACUAGACGAGGUGCGAGUUGAGUUAGCUAUCUUUUUGGGUUCUUACAUAUGAUUAUGACCAAUAUUUUGUGAUUCUGAAGUAGGAAAUUUUUUGUUGUGCCGCUUCUUUCUGACCUUAAACUUUAUGUAUAGAAACUUUAGCUGAUAAUUCUUUUGAAUUGUUCAUAUGGAGGGAGGUUCAUUCGUAUAUACUUUUGAUUAUUGUUAUAGCUAGCAUGUUUUGUGACUUUCUAAGUUGAUUUGGAUUCAUGGCAAUGUAAUGCCAUAUGAAAUCUAAUGUAAAGCCUAUUUCAUUAUGUAUAUGUCAAGUCUUAGAAUUGAAUAUAUAUGGUGAAUGGUUUUAUUUAUAUAUGUUUGAGAUUUGAAACUAUAUUUGAUGAAUAUCAAAUAUCUAUGAAAUUGUUGCUGGACAAUUACAGAACAAUCAUCUUUCCAUUACAGCAUAAUUCAAUUACAAUUUCUUUUUUUAAAAAAAUUAAAAAAUGCUUGACAGUUUUAAAAUGUCGUGAACAAUCGCAAGCUUGACGGUUUUAAACUGUCAUGAACAAUUGCAUUUUUUACGGUUGACAAAUGUCAAGAACAAUUACAUUCUUGACAGUUUUAAAAUGUCAUGAAUAUUAAAAUUCUUGACGGGUUUAAAAUGUCAUAAACCAGUUCAUCCUUGACGGCUUUAAAAUGUCAUAAACAAUACCAGUCUUGACGGUUCUAAAACAUCAUGAACAUAAGUAUAUUUGACGUUUAUAAAACGUCAACGUUCACUAUUCUUGACGUUUAAUCAACCGUCAAGAACUUUGCCUUUCUUGACGCUGGCUUCAACGACGCUUUUAAAACCGUGAAGAGAGCCGUCUCUUGACAGUUUAAAACCGUCAAGAGAGUCGUCUCUUGACAGUUUAAAAACGUCAAGAGAGCCUGCUUUUGUAGUAGUGGGCUUGAAUCUAAGAAGUGAAUAUAGUAUUGAAAGAGGCCCACGGAGCGGUGUCCGACUAUCCUACUAUCGAAGCCUUGAAGCAUGAGUCUUGAGGUUUUCAAAGUCUACUCAAAGGACGAGGUUGAAGUUUCAUAGGGAAAGGUUUCAUAACCAGCAGUUGCUUUCCGUAUCGGAUGCUCUUUCAUUUCUUAUUCGAAAGAAGGCAAAGAAAGUGGAAACUAAAUCCUUGGAUUCUUUCCCGCUUGAACCAUGAAAGGUUAGGCCUUAGUUAAGAUCUCAUUAAAUGCCCUAGCAUACUCAAAGGUUCAGGGGCACAGUGGAUGGAGCUAGAAGACUACUACUUGGACGAGGGAUUUCCUUUCUCUUAUUGUAAUACUCCUAACCACCCCUUUUUGAAUGGGCAGGCCCCUCUGGUCGAGUUUACCUUUUUUAUUCAAGCCUAUCCGCUUCCGUUCAUGAAGGACAAAACCGGACUGAGCCCUUGUUCAUUGAGGCGUAUAAGCCCACGUAGCGGUGCCAUAAGCAGGUCCGAAGGCGUCACAGGUCCGGAGGACCCGUCUGUCCGAAGGACGGGAUAUUUAUAAUGUUGAGAGAAAGAUUAGACUUUGUCAGGACCCUUAUUACCAUUAUUUUCACUUUCAAUAUUCUUGAGAAUAUUCAUUCAUCCGACAGAGCAAAGUUCAUCCAGAUCCCCAUAUGAAUUAGGCGAAUGACUGAUUUUCAAAGUCAAAGCUAUCCCUCAAAUUCUUUGAGCCUUCGCACUCAAAUUCUCUAAUGGAUAGUCCUUCGGACCGCUAGGAGCAAAGAAUAUUGCAUGGAACUGAACUAAUGGGGAAAAGCAUUUCCUAUUGAUUUGUCCCCUUGACUGGACCUAUUCUGAUUCUGAAUUAUCCGUCGCUACGCUGUUCCCAAGGACUAGCAAAAUCGAAAUAGCGAAAUUCUUAGGUCAUCUCAAUGGGUUCAAAAACCACACGUUUCUCUGGAUCAUCAUAGCGUACUUCCACAUAUCCACUCAGAGAAAGGUCUUUUCGUAAUGGAUGACCCUCGAAACCAUAAUAUGUUGAUAUACGGCGUAGAUCCGGAUGAUUGAUGGAAAAAACACCAAACAUAUCCCAAACUUCUUGCUCCCACCGGCCGGCUGAUGGAAAUAGACGGACUACCGAAGAGAUUCGUGUUACUUCAUCUGUACUGGUUUGUACACGAUGCGUGGGUUAUACCAAGUACUCAGUAAAUUAUAGACCACUUCAAAUCUGAGUUUUCGAGAGGGAUAAUAAACUCCGCAAAUAUCGAUCGAAACUUGAACCCUUGUAUAGGUAUGCUAUUUGAGAAAGCACAACAAUUGAAAUAGGUAGUCCGUAUUGGUAUCCGAUCUAUUCCCAUGUUCUGAUCUUUCUCUUUUUUUGACCCAUUUCUUGGGGACAGUCUCCCAACUAUAUUUGAAAAUGGAUUGGUUAUCCAUAAGGCUCAAAGAAUUUGAGUCUAGUUCCGCUUCUUUCAAGAAAAAUGAAGAAAGACUUGUCGGAAAUCGCCGGUUGGGUUGGUCCAAGCAAGAAAGGCAUGGGAGAAAUAAAGAAGCAUGCAUGAUUGAAGCUUCAAAAUCCACUUUUCUUUUUGUCAUAGGUCAGGCAAAGUUUCUUUUUUCACCGCAAUAUAAUAUUCGUUCUUUUGGGGUUAAUGCUCUUAAUGGUGAAUCGAUCAUUCGAUAUCCUUUGCCUUAUUAGAGGACGACGAAAUGGAAGAAAAGUAAUGAAACCCGCGAUGGCUACUGAAUAACCUCCUUUGACUUUCUCAAUAAUAAAGCCUUUUGACUUUUUGAUUCGUUUGCCAAAUCUUGUUAAGUUCCAUCCAAGCUCGGUUUUGUCUGAAUCUUCGUGGAAGAAGAAAAAGGGGUUCACCAGCCACUACAUCUGUGGAUCCCACCAAAUAAUCAUUCAACCUGGAGAACCUCGCUCUUUGAGAAGUGAUUCGCCGGCCACUAGAUCGAUGAAGAAUCUCUCCAAAAUUUUCUUUUUGAGAAGUGAUUCACCGGCCACUAGAUCCAGGGAUCCCACCGCGGAGUGGGUCACAAACCUGUCGGCUCGGUUGAUUGGAACUCCUGUAGGCUCAUCUUGCAUACAAAUGAUGAGGGUCCCAGGUCCUGCAUCCACCAUGAACAUUUCUUCCCUGAAGCGUAAAACUGAAGAUUGUAAGGCGUUUACACUACAUAAGAAAAAAACUCGAAUUAGAUCUUGGAAAUCAUAUCAGAAAAUCAAAAUAGAUGGGAGUCAAGAUAAGCUUUUUUUUCGUCCUUCCUCCUCCCUAAUGGAUAGUCCUUCUUCGCAAAUUCUUUGCGCCUCAAUAUUCGAGCAAUAUUCUUUGCGCCUCCCGCUCCUUCUUCUUCUUUCUGGGAGUUCGAAGGACCGCUAUGUGGGCCAUAGAUCUUUGCCCCUUCGAUGCAAUAUUCUUUGUCAAUAUUCCAUCAAACAAAGGUCCAGGGUCGGAGUGCCAAAGAAAGGUCCAGGGUCCGAAGUCCGUAGUCCGCAUGAUUUAUCCGUAGGACCAUCCAUCAAAGAAAGAAAGGUCCAGGUGAUUUAUUCGUAGGACCAUCCGUAAUUAACCGAAGUAGUCUGGAGGAUUUAUCCGUAGGACCAUCCAUAUGGAACGAAGUCGGACUUUCUGUAAUUAACCGAACCUGACACCUCUUCCUAUUAUUGAUUAGAAGGAUCCAGCAGCCUCACCCUAGUCGAAAGAGUUGAACUACUAAGCUAAGCAGUAGUUGGGGAACUCGGUAGAAACUAUUUGUCGCUUCUCCCUCCUAAAAGUAAAAAAGACCUCCUUUUAAUCCUCGACGUACUAAAUGAGAGCGAAAUGCUCCACCGGACAUACCAGCAAGACUACCCACACUUAGUAAAGGAGGCAGAAGCCUCCCCCAAUCUCUCAUGAAAAUCCCCGGUUAAUAUGGAUAGGACUGAAGGCGAGACUGGUCCUCCGGACUUGUUUAAGGGAUAGGUCAACUCAUCUGGAGCUUGAUUUUUCAUUGAGGCAGUUCUUGCUUUAGUGGUUGAGAAAGUAUCCAGGAGCCAAAAACUGAUAUGAGGUGCAGGAGUUCAGGAUCGGAAGCCUCUCACUGAAAUAGUAAGCGAAGCGCCCAAUUCAAGGUCUGGAGGUGUGCAUAGGUUGAGCUUCUAGGUAGCUAUAAGGCGCUUUCAACUCUUAGGGCGUGUCUGAACCUAGGAGUGGGGAAUUGAGUCCCUCUACAAACAAGGGAAAAUACUCGCCACGGGCCAUGAAAUAUGAGAAUCCCGGCUGGAGACUAGAAGAAAGCCUAUCUCCGAAAAUAGUUCGAAAACUUCCCUAAUUAAGCUACGGAGGACGCUCAAUGCAAUUUGAGUAAGGAGAGGAUCAAAGAACAAGAGCGGGAAGAACUGGAUAUUGUAGAAAGAGAUAUUAUAGGAGUUGACGGCUCGCCGACGAGAUGUUUUUAGAGGGAGAGGCGCAAAGUUCUAAUGGAUAGUCCUACGGACCCAUUGGCGAGUACUUUUUAGAGGAGAGGUGCAAAGUAUAUUGCGUCGUCGUAGCUAGGAUCAAAGAAGAUUUCGAAAUUGUCCUACGGUCCGAAGGUGAAAAGAAGAUUUCCAGAAGGCAUAAAGAGCGAGGAGAAAAGAUCUAUGGCCCACGUAGCAGGAUAUUGUAAGAAUAUUGUCGGACUACCGCACCGUGGGGGAGUCAGAAACCGCAUCUUUGCAAAUUCAGAGCGGUAGAAAGCAAGGAAGAGAGGCCAUUCUUGAGCAAUCGUCUACACUCCUUCCAGAAGAAAUGUGUGGCAAUACACCACUCCUUAGACAGACCAUCAGUCAGUGAGAAGAUCAAAGAAAGAGCGAUCGCAUCACUGGCAGGCUUUCGUCGGCCUUCUGCCAGGAAAAGACAGUCUCACAAGAGCAGAGCAAAGGAAAAGAAUCUUUGAAUCUUGUCUAUUACUCUUGUGAUGAGAUCUUAUUCAUUACUCUUUCUAUUCGAUCUUCUUAAAUGUAGCGUAGAAGUGGAUUCGAACCACCUAGAAUUAAUAGGAAAUUCUAUAUCUUAUACUGAAAGGAAAGGAAAAGCGUUUUCAUUUAAGAAUGCAUCUCGUUCUAUCUUGAUUUCUUGAGUUAACCCACCUAAAAGGGAUUGUUGUAAUUCUGGUUUUACACGACUUGGAAUGACUCUCAUAUUUAGAAAUUUUUUCUAGUGGCAUUCGAUCACAUAAUCCAUUGACAGCAGCAUAAAUGACUAGAAUUUCUUUUUCAAUGUUUAGUGGUGCAUAUUGUGCUUGUUUCGAGACUUCUGUAAGCCUUGCACCUCUAUUGAGUAAUGCCUGAGUCCGCCGCAGCAUCAAGGUCUGACCCAAAUUGAGCAAAGGCGGCGACUUCGCGAUAUUGUGCCAAUUCAAGUUCUGAACUACUGCAGACUUGUUUCAUAGCUUUCAACUGAGCGGCAGACCUGACACGACUGACGGAUAAGCCGACGUUAAUAGCAGGUCUAAUUUCGCGAUAAAAGAGCUCUGUUUCCUAACAGAUUUGUCCAUCAGUAAUAGGGAUCACAUUGGUGGGAAUAUAGGCCGAUACGUCUCCAGCUUGUGUUUCAAUGACGGGUAAGGCAGUCAAGCUACCUGCACAUGUCUGGUCCGAUCGUUUAGCAGCUCUUUCUAAGAGACGAGAAUGUAAAUAGAAAACAUCGCCUGGGAAAGCCUCACGGCCUGGUGGUCGGCAUAACAAUAAUGACAUUUGUCGAUAUGCCACCGCCAGUUUACUAAGAUCGUCAUAGAUUAUUAAUGCGUGCAUUCCAUUAUCGCGGAAGUAUUCCCUCAUGGCACACCCAGAAUAUGGGGCCAAAAAUUGAAGAGGAGCAGGAUCCGAAACGGUGGCUGCUACAAGAAUUGAAUAUUCCAAAGCAUUCCCUUCUGAAAGAAUUUGAACUAAUUGUGCCACAGUGGAACGCUUUUGUCCAAUCGCUACAUAGACACAAUACAAUGUCUCACUCUCAGCCCUUGAGUUCAUUUGCUUUUGGUUUAAUAUGGUAUCGAUAGCUAUAGCAGUUUUUCCAUGUUGUCGGUCCCCAAUUAUAAGUUCUCGUUGGCCACGCCCUAUAGGAACCAGGCUAUCCACCGCUUUUAACCCUGUUUGCAUAAGCUCGUGCACUAAUUUACGUUCAAUAAUCCCAUGGGCUUUCACUUCGACACGUCUUCGCUCGUGAUCGCUUAGAGCCCCUCUUCCAUCAAUAGGUACUCCCAAGGCAUCGACCACACGCUCGAGCAUAGCCUUUCCCGCAGGAACAUCCACAAUCGAUCCAGUGCGCUUGACAAGAUCUCCUUCUUUAAUAGCGGUAUCACUACCAAAGACAACAAUCCCUACAUUCUCAUUCUCAAGAUUUAAGGCUAUUCCUUUGACACUGCUGGAAAAUUCCACCAUUUCCCCAGCUUGAAUCUCCUUCAAUCCAUAAACUCGAGAAAUCCCAUGUCCUACAGAAAAAACUCGACCCAUCUCAUCCACUUGAAUAGAAGUGUUGAAGUUCGUAAUUCUACCUUCUAAGAAAGUUGUUAGUUCCGCUGCUCCGGGAGAGAAUUCCACGAUUCAAUUUCUUUUUGGGCGUCCAGGGAGAAUGUUGCUGCUCAGAGAUGAGAUCCCGCCCAGAUAAAGAAAGAGAAGAGAAAUCUCUCAUCUCAAAAAGAAGGAAUGAGAAAGAUAAUGAUAAUAUAAUCGAGCGGCCAUAAUCCGCUCCUCCUUAUGGAUGUUCUUGUUGGACGCUAUGGAUUCAAUCCAGCCACAGGUUUCCCUACGGCUACUAAAAAAAAGGAAUAAGACUCCACUCCGUUGGAGUUGAAAUGGGGGUCAGAAUGAAAGGGAUGGAUGAGAAAGCGCGUGCUCGCUUCUUCGACCCUUAUCUUGCGCAUCUCAUCUCUUAUUCAUAUCCUACUCUAUAACUGUAUUCAUCUAUUCAUAAUCGCAAAGAAUAAAAGCUAGUUAUCGUCUGCAACCGAAAGGACUGAUAGUUCUUCCACAACUAAAGCUAAGCGAUCCUUAUUCUCGGAUCCCUCUCACCUUUCUCCUCUCCGGUCGAGAUAUUCUAACCCCACGGAGCGGUAGCAUCAUCGGUUUUCAAUCUUUAGAAGUUCCUGCCCCCGUAGCGGUUAUGGAGUCUCUUUACCAUAUAGCUCUAUCAUACGACCAAUAGGUGUUCACAACACUAUAUUACGGGAGAGGAAUCAUUCUUCAACCGCUUCUCUUGAGUCUUAUUCCACUAAAUUAACCACCCACCAGGUCUCAUUCCCUCUUUGCCAAGGAGGGCCUCCAACUCCUAAACCUACGGCAAGGAGGCUCCUUCUUCAGACACUCCCAUAGGCUUUCUCUUUCUGGGAGUUUUUAGGAUUGAGAUUUCUCCUUUCUGUACUUUCAUCCUAUCGAUAGUCGGACUUCUAACCUCUACAGUCAGUCCUUCGAACCAGAUGCGUGAAGAAGAAAAAGAAGGCGCCAUAAGACAGGUCCUCCGUUUUAGUGUCCUUCUUCUUCUUUUUGGGAGUUCUCUUUCGGUUAAUUACGGAUGGUCCUACUUUGGUUAAUUACGGAUGGUCCUACUUCCAUAUGGAUAGUCCUCCUUCCCUCCAUAUGGAUGGUCCUACGGAUAAAUCCUCCGGACUCCAGAUAAAUCCUGCUGACUGCGGACUCCAGACUACUUCCUUCCAUAUGGAUGGUCCUACGAAUAAAUCAUCCGGACUACGAAUAAAUCCUGCGGAAUGUGGACUCCGGACUACGGAUAAAUCACCUAGAUCUUUCUUUGGCACUACGGUUCAAAGAAUAUUGACAAAGAAUAUUGCGAGGAGCAAAGAUCUAUGGCCGGGUCCAGAUGACUAUCCCCCACGGUGCGGUGCAAAGAAUAUUGCGAGGCCUUUGGGACUUUAUCAAGCUUAGCUCGAGUCUGCACUUUUUUUAGCCUCCGGGUUAUUGGAGAAUGGAGAAGGAAAGGGCUUUUCUAUGGAAGACGGACGUUCUCGAUUCGAGUUCUUUUAGUUCAGAAUGGGACUAGCACACCCUCAGAAUCGGUGUCCGAAUUGAAUCUUGCCUUCCCCAAAUGUACCCGAGAGAAAAGAUGGAAAAUGUCUCAAAAAUCCCUCAAUGAAUCUGCUCAAUGACAAAGGCUCAAAGAAGAGAAGAUUGAGAAAGAAUAUUGAAAAGCGCGUAGUGGGUUUUGUCCAUUUUCCCGGUUAGGUCAUAGACCGAAUUCAAUGUCUUAAGCAAAUGAAAACCAAGAGCUUGAAUUACUACUUAUUUAUUAGAAAAUCCACCACAGAGCUUGAAACUUAUCUUAUUAUAUAGAAGAGCUUGAGAAAGUCUUUUCAUACUACUUAUGAGAAAUGAAUAUCGGAUUAUUCAAUAAUCUUGAGCACUUGUUCAUUACUACUUAUAUCUUUUUUUAUCUGAUGAAAGAAUAUUCGCACUUCUUCAUAUCUUCUUAUAUGCGGGACAAAGUCGACAAGACGGGAUCCAUCCCUGGAAUCUGUACAAGACCAGAAUCGUCUUGCGCUUGAAACUCGAAAUCCUGGUCCAAGCGGGAAGGUUCCCUGCUCAUGAAAGGCAUCGCUCAAUGGUUUCAAUCUAUUCCUUUCCACUUGAUUUACGAGAAUGAAAGAGCUCUAACCGACGGCAACUGAAAAAGAAAAAGCAAGAGCUUCAUCCGCAACAAGAAGAUUGACGGAUCUCUCUCCCUCGGGUGCGGGUGGUCGCCUUACUCCUCUACCGACUGAAUACCGCCUCAAUGAACAAAGGGCCUCUACAACUCACUUGAGCCUUUCGCCUCCACCUCGACGUCCUUACGCCUAGUUUAGUUUGUCCCUAGCCUUUUUUGUUGGGAUCCCUCCUUUCUCCCCGAUCGGAUACUGUACGUACUCUACAAUAUCCAUUCUUCCCGCCGCAAUAUUCUUUGCGCCUCCAAAACGCAAUAUUCUCAAAUAAAGGCUGAGGACCGCUCCUACUACGUCUGAAAUCCAUAUUAUGCGCCUAACUCCGGCUCAAAGUAUUUGAGAAGAGACAUUCUUUCUUUUUUCAUUCCACUUAUUUUUUUUCUAGUCGGACUCUACCCGCGGAGGACUGAUUAAUGGAACUAAAACCCGCUACGUGGGCAUUGAAGGACCUCCAGCGCAAAGAAGAAAGAUAUUGUAGAUUGGGAGUGAGUCCGUCAUUGCAAGAACUGUUCUCAUCUCGGAACUCUGAUAAUCAUAUGAGGAGGUUUAGGAUACAUAAGAAGAUAAUAGGGACCAUUUCAGCAGGACUCGGAUUUCGAUUCUGUUAAGCCGAUGCGAUGUAGUCAGGACUCGCCUAUUUAAGCCGGGAAUCAAUCGAAGCGGGGAAGAAAGCCAAAGGAAUCGUCCUCAGCAGUUCCGGUCGCAGUUGUGGCUGUAUGAGCAGUCUUCAGUGGCCCUGAGUAAAGAAAGAGGCCUAAGCUAGAUUGAGUAAAGAAAGAGGCCUAAGCUAGAUAAAGACUAUAAAGCUCUUCUGGGCUUGAUAAAGGCACUUUAUUACUUUCUAAUAUCAACUUAUUAGAUUCGCAGAUUUCAGUCAUAAAAAAGAACUUGAUAAACCACUUUCAUAUUAUUAUAUCUUCUUAUUUCUUGAGCAGAGCUUGAUAAACCACUUAUAUAUUCUAAGAUCAACCACUAUUUAUCGCUUCGUCAUAUUGAAUUUCACCUUGCCUGAAUUUUUCCUAAUAAAUGAGGGAUUGGCCUUCAUUCUCGGGUCGGAUCGGCUGAUAAGUCAUCCAAAUGGGUUUCCAUUUUCUUGGAAAGGUAGAGAAGCCCACGGAUUCAAUAUUCUUUUCACCUAUUGGCUCUUUGAACAUGAAAUUCGUCAACUCUCUCCUUCUCAAAUUCUUUGAUCCUCAGUCCUAAUGGAUAGUCCUACGGAUAAAUCCUCCGGACCUGUGGGAGGACUCACAGCGCAUGAAGAUGCGAGGAAUAUCAGCGAUGGAGCUACUAGUGGACUUUCUAGAAAAGAGAGGAAGGCCAAAGGACUCCAGAAAAAUCAAGCUCUAGCCCACUACGCGGUUUUUAUUCCACUUUUUCUCGAUUGGCUGAUUUCACUCCGUAACCCACUACGCGGUAAAAACAGCAAAUUCUUUGCCUCUGUCUUAUCCGCUUCUUUGAGCAAUAUGAAAAGCUCCUUGCUAAAUAAAGAAUGUCAUCUUCUCAUAUUUCAUUGACCGUUAGGCGCAAAGAAUAUUGCGAGACCGGAGGACUAUCCAUAUUAACAUUAACCCAGAGAUUCAGAGAGCUAUUAUUUUUCUUUUGAAAUAGUGGGACUGAUUUUGAUCCAUAUGAAUGAGGCAGAUCCCCAUAUGAAUUAGGCGGAGGACCAAACAAAAAGAAAGAAUGUCCUGUCUAUUCAAAGAUUCAUACUAUGAUUUUGGUUUUUUGAACCGAAGGACUUCUUUAUCAAGCUUGUCUGAACAAAGGCUUUCUGCUCGAGCCGCUUCUUUGCUGAAGUUUCCUACCUUCUCCGCCAUUAUGGAGGGAUAAGUUCCAUAAAUCAGUCCGACUAUCGAUGGCCUAGACUGUUGAAGGAGAUAGAUCGAAAUGGUCAAUUUUGAAUCGCUGUAGCGGUCCUCGAUUUCUAGCCCUUGCUUACUCUAAGAUAGAAGGCAUCGAUUCUCUUUGCACAGGUAGUUAAGCUCACAACUAUGAGAGUUCUUGGAGUGAGAGCUUUGUAUACUCUAUUCCUUUUCAACUUCAUUGAUCUGAAAGAAGUGAGAGAAGAAAGCUACUGGCACACUCUAAGGCGGGAAAGCAUUCUACUCCGUACCUUCGGGUUCAUUAGCGGUGAAAGCCCGCAGUAUCCGCCAAGCCAGUUUCAGUUGAUUCUCUUGCAAUGAGAGUUGGAGAAAAGAAAAAGGUCAAGUACUUCCCAAUCAUCACUAGCGCAGCAGAUUGCGAUUGACUUUGCCUUUGUAGCUUCUCAAAGAAAAUUGAGUUUAAGCCACGGCGCACUUGGCAGAGACGCGGAGUCCAGGACCUUGCCACAGCCAUUUCAGUAGCUGAGUCCUUGAUAGAGUUCAAGAAGCCUGAGUUUUCCAAAGCCAGCAAAGAGAAGGGCAAGGGAAAGAGUGGGGGAGGCAAGUCAGAAAAGGCUACGAUAAAGGCAAAAGCAAAGGAGGCAGUCCUAGCAAGGAGCAAGGACAAGAAGAAGGAUGGGGAGCCCAUCAAAUCCUUCAAUUGUGGACCCCACUCCUCCUUCAGCAUAAUCUACGAAGCGCAUUUAUUUAAGAAAAGAAGAAAGGAGUGCAAGGCGCAAAGAAUUUGCGGCACUGGGGGAUAUUCUUGAGAAGUCUGGAUUUUCGGCGCUACGAGGAGACGAAGAUGGGAUCAAGUUCGAUUUUUCAUGCUAUACAGGCCAAAGUUGAAGUGCCCAAGGCAGCAAGGAAGGGACCCUUCUAUGUAGAAGGCAAACUAGGCAACUACACAGCCAUGGUGGACACAGGGGCUACCAACAACUUUCGAGAGGAGAAGGAAGCUGAGCCUUUGGGCGUAAAAUAGAUCAAGGAGCCUGGAUGGCUCAAGGCAGUAAAAAACUCAGGGCCUAAAUCCAUCUUCGGAGUAGCUCGUGGCGUGAACUUGGGGCAGUGGAGUGGAGAGAUUGACUUCGGAGUUCUACGGAUGAUUAUCCCAUUGUGCUUCUUGGCAUUGAAUUUUUAGACCAAGUAAAGGCAGUACCUAUUCCUUUCAGCAAGAGUUUGUGCAUCUUGGAAGAAGGCCAUCCUUCCAUGGUUCCGUUAGCACGAGAGUCUAGCCUUCAAGCAAGGCAAAUUUCAGCAAUGCAGCUCUCAAAGGGAUUCAAGAAGGCGCAGCCCACCUUCCUAGCAUGCCUCAAGGAGGAAGGAGUCCUCGAGCCAGCAAGGAACCUGCCCUCAGAGAUCUUGCCUAUCCUAUAAAGUUGAAAGGAUGUUAUGCCAGCUGAAUUGCCUAAUGCCGCCUCAACGAGAAGUGGACCACUGAGCUUGUGCAAUUUUUUGCCUCCAGCAGCUUCAAAUAAAAGGUUCAAAGGAUCAAAGUAUUUGAGCUUUGCGCCUAUCUCCCUCUUUCAUUUUGUACACGAAAAACGUAUAAACAGAAUGUAAAGAGAGUUCAAAUAGAGUGAACUCCGAAACAAGAAAGAAGAUAAGAAGACCUCCUCGAGUCGAGCCUUUUCCUUUCCUCUCACUCUACAACUCACUCGAGCUUAGCUCUGAUCAACCCCACGAUUAUUAAGAAAGGAGAAAAGAAGAAAGCCUUCUCACCUUGUUCAUUGAGGUCUGGUCUCGCUUCUGAUCCUGAUCCCAGGGAGAAUAUUCCAGUAAAUAGGGUAGGGUAGAAGGUUGGUCCUUCUUGCUGUAGGGGACAUUCAGUUCAGCCUUUGAUUUCAGAUCUAAAUAAAGAAGGCAAAGUUCAGCAAGAUUGCUCAUCAAUCAAUAAAGAACUCGAGGGCUACAGCUUGUUCUGAAAGGGAUGCCUCUCCUUGAGCUGAGCCUCUCGCCUGGGCCUCUGCUGAACUGAUCGCUGCCUUUACUCAUACGAGUAGAUACUUCCCUCUCGUCAGACUCCUCGUGGCUUUGCCCGUCCGACCUCUAGGGGUGAGUUUGCUCUUUGUCUGGGGAUGAUUUGACAACAAGACUUUCAUAUUUCCAUGGGGAAAACCUACCGCUACGUGGGAAUUGACCUGUCGCGGGGUUACUCAUAGCCCCAAAUAGGCUCCCUGAAAGAUAAGAUAAAGGUGAGAAGGCUUUCUUUCGUAUUAUUUUGAGGUUUGGAAGGUUCGCCUAGGGAUCAGAGGUCUUCUUCUAAGGAGGUAGCAUUUCUCAUUUAAGAAGGUAGCCAUGGAGGACGAGGUAUUCACAUCCGUGAGUCCGUCCGCUCGAUCCGUGCUUCGUCGGGAAUGAGCUAGAUCGAGCCCUCGGCCUCUAGAAAGGUUAUGGAAGAUAUCAAAUUCAGUAAUUGCAUCAAAAUCGUUCCGGAGAAGAAGGAGUCGAAAUUGAGUCCUCAUUCGGGGCUAAGCGAAGACCCUUGUUCAUUGAGGCAGUGGCAGCCGCUCUUUCUUCAGUAGAGUCGCUGUGGAAGAAAGAGAUGUAGCAUUCUCCGGGAAGAGUCAGCGGUUCUUCAUUGAGGCGGUGAGAAGGCUUGACCCACCGAGAAGGGAAGGAGUGGCUUAGGAAAAGGAGUUUCAUGGGUGCAAGGGCUGUAGAUUCCAUCUGGCGGCCUUGAAAGUUCAAUUUCUCAUUCAACUUAUUAGCCGACAAAGGAAAAGAAGACAUAAAGGAAAGCCUAAUCUCUUCUUUAUGGGAGUCCGACGCCGACUAGAAACUGAAAGUAGAAAAAGGCAAGGGAGGAUCCAUGAAAUAUGAUUGAUGCCUUCUACGGCCAGAAAUAAUAUAAUAAUGGCUUUUAUGAAAGCCGGUAAAGGUAUGGUUAGUAUCAAGCGAUGGAUAACUUUCUGAGAGUGAGACUUUCCAUUUUCUUGUUCACUUUCUUUCUUUAUGAACUUCUAGAAUGUGGAGUAUAUAACGGAUAAGAAAGACAUAAUGACUCGAGUCAGACUUUCAGUGCUCAUUCGAUCUUGAACUAGGUUUUGACAUAGGCGCUGGAUGGAAAGUUUCAAAUCGUUCUUCUCUGUCUCGGAAGCUAGACCUGAUUUAGAUCUUUCCCGAGUUGGAGAAGCUAGAAAGGUAAGAGAGAGCUCAAGCGAGAACUAUCUAUUCUCAUAUCGUAUUUUCACAGUUCAUGGAGUCCGAAGGACUUUCCAUUAGUAGUUAGGAGGAAAGAAUAUUGCGGAAAAGAAUCAAGGAGCGCAACGAGGCGCAAAGAAUAUUGCGACCUGCCGGAGGACCGGUCCCGAUCGGCGUGAAUAUCGAGACGCUGAACUUUUAUGUGACCUUUCAAAGUCAUCCCCUGACCCUUAUCGCAUCUCUCACUCCCCUUCUUUCGGGGUUGACUAACCGCCACCAAUCCGAUCUACCGGUUCAGAAAAUUGAUGUGAAAUUCACUUGACUUCGCGAUGCCACCAACCGAACCAAGGGUUGGACCUAAGUGAGAUGUGGUGCAACUUGAGAUCUUGUCACGAUCUGAUUUACGCAUCUAGUAGACAUUUCCCUUGGUAGAGAAUAACGGAUGUGUACGGCCGCUGUGAUCAGGCCUUGGUCUUUCGUCUUGAAAGACCCACAGCAGAGGUUGAAGCCACACGGGCAGUGCCUUCUUCUAUCUUAGCGUGGACGGUAACCGGGAAAGUGCGAUUUCUCACUUUUCAAAUGUGUCACUUUCCCUAACCUCGUUUGGGGCCCUAAGGCUACCACCUACUAUUUAGUCUUACUAGACUAGCUCUAGACCAACUAAACUAGUAGGCAGGCCUUCCCCAGGCCCGUAAAGGUUGAAGUUACCCUUUUCCGAAUAGGUUACUUAUAAAUAUCUCCCCUCCUUCUCACACAAGGCAGUCGGACGUAGAAUGUAAUUCCAGAUCAGAAUUAGAGACUAUGUGGCUGGCCACCUUUGGUUUUGCUCGGCAAUGGAGCUUUUGCUCGGUCGAGAACGCGAACAAGAUUCGCUUACCAAUAAUUAUCCGACUCAGUAUCCGAGUGGGAUGCUCGGACCGAGAAAAGGGUAUCGUCACCGUGCAAGGAUAUACCUCUUCUCUUUGACACUUGGAAUUCAAAAAUCAGCCCCUGCACAUCAGUGCCCUCCCGAUAUUAGUAUUAGAAAUGAGUAAGGUUUAGUUCGAUAGAGGUCUAGCUCGAAAAGGGCAGCAAGAUCUGAACUGCUUAUUAAUGAUAAUCCAAUCCGUGAAUCCCAAUCCGUAUUUCUUUAUGGAGCCUUUAUAUAAGGGGUCGGAAAUAUAAAGAAGGAAAAAGGGCAAGGUGCAAAGAAUAUUGCAGAGAGAAGGAAUCAUGGGAUUUGACUUUAUUAAUUAAGCUACUGAGGCCCAAAGUCAGCCUACGGAGCGGGAAGAAAGAAUAUCCUUAGCUGUCGUGAGAAGGAUCAAAUAAUUUGAAGAGAAGAAAGGCGCAUAUUGCGACUAUUCUUUAUUUAUUGAUUAGACCAAUCCCGUAAAUUCUCUCUUUAAUAAUGAGUUCACUUCUUUAUUCCACAGGUUAAGCUAUUUUCAAAGUCAGAGUUAUCGCAAUAUUCUUUACGCCUCGCAUAUUUCAUUGCGCCUUCUUCGCAAAUUCUUUGCGCCUGUCUCUCAACAACAGUUCUUCCCUCUUCGACAGGCUCAAUGUAAUAUGAGUUGCCUUUCACUAAAAGCAUUAUUAUGUUCUGACGAGCCGUAUUUUUUAGUCGUAGGCCUCCAUAUUUUUUCUUUUCUCAGAAUGCAAAGAGAAGCAUCAGAUAGGCUUAAUAUAAUAGUAGGUUCUAUUGCGUUUUCCCUUCUUUUUUGUUGCAUUUUGACCAGCUCAGAUGGAUAAAAACAAGUCCUCCGGACGACCUAUCCUUAAGCUUGAUAAAGAAGUAGGAUCAUGAAUUCCUAAAAAAGCCCUAUACAUUCAUUUUGAUGCCAUUUUGAUGCUCCCUGAUUUCGCAUAUUUCAUUGCGCCUCUAGAACCUCAAAAUAAUACUGAAAGCCUAUCUCAAAUUCUUUGAGCCUUUGUCUCCCUGCUUUUGUCUUUUCCCGCUACGUGGGCAUCGACUCCUUCAUUGAUUUUAUGACUUCAACUUCAGGAGACAAAGCGAGACCUUUUUCGAUAAGAUAAGAGAACUGCUUUUUUCGGAUAAGUUGUUGCCGCUCUUUAGAGCUCUUUAGUCUCAUCCCUACCAAAGAGGAUCUCCUCGGGGCGAGUGACUCAAAGAAAGAAGGCCCAGCGACUGCCCUCUUUGACUUGAAAAAUGAAUCCCUUAACCUAACCCAUCAGGUCUAGGGCACUACGAGUGGGUUGGAUAGAAUCUAGGUUUUUGCCAGCGCUUCCGCUUUUUUCAAUGCCUGUCCAUUUCCUCUUGGGGGCUGGGUUCUUAGGAAGUGAGCUCGAAAAGGGCAUCCAGACGAAGCAAAGAAAAGAUCUGGAAAGAAAGAAGAGAUAUAUAUCUGAUAGUUGCGAACCACUCUCCCAAUCAAAUAGAGGACGAGAGGGAGCUCAAUGUGAACUAUAAGUCAACUCAUGGAUUGCCUCACGUGAGGAUGAUGCCCUUAAUGAAAUGAAAAGGGAGGCUAACCCCUGAACUUGGGGGAAGGCAGGCCUAGAACCUGCACAAGACGACUCCACCAUUUAUAGCAUUUCUAGUUUCAGUCAAGCGCUUCCUUGAAGAAGAUAGUUUCUAGCUGUCCAAGCGAACUGAAGAAGACCCUAGGAUCAACCCCACGUAGCUGUUUUGGCUGGAACACGUUCGUCGCCGGACAGCCUCUAUUCGCUCUCUCCCUGGUGUGGGUCUACCCUGGUCUUGACUAGCAUUGAUGUUGUUGAACUGGGGUUCUUGAAUAAUUGUUAAUUUUGUUUUCUGAAGAAGUGAUCUUAUAUUUGUGUAUCUCUAUGUGCAACUUUAAUAUGGGGUUAUUAAGGAUGGAGAUAAAGGAGGAAGAAUGGAGAGAGAAAAGGCAGAAAUGACUUAAUUGUUGGGAUGAGUAUGAAGAUGCAGCAGAGCCAUCACUCAGUGGCUGUAAGGUUUAAUGGGCAAAAUGAAAGUAAAAAAGAGUGCACAUCCAUUCAAGCCAUGAGGCCUUAGAUUCCUAAGUUACUAUUGUUCUGGGUUCUGUUGGUGGCAUUCAUUAGUAUUGUUGAUAUAAGGGAAUGGAUGGUGUGAAGAAAGUUAGAAGAAAGGAAGUUCUAGGCAGUAUGUGUGACCAGAAGGACGAAGAUGCUUUUGCAUCAAAGUCAGUGUGUUAAUCCAUGUCUAUGCUUUGGCCAUUCUCAUUUCUACUUUUCACUACUCGAAAAAUGUAUCAACAAUUGAUUAGGUAAAUGUAUUUUGAUUUCAUUUUUGAUACGUCUCAGUUAGUUAGGCUUAAGAGUAAGGGAAAUAAUUCAGGCUUAAGAGUAAGGGAAAUAAUUCAUUUUUCUUGUCUCAGAUAGAAAUUACCUUGAUGUCACAAUUUAUAGUUUUUUUUAGGGGUGUAUGGUUGUUUUUUUUUGGGGUGCGUGGCUAGUUAGCCUUAAGAGUAAGGGCUUGUGAAAGGGAAGCAUUUGAUUGUCCAACAAGUAAUAAGCUUCUCCUCAAGCAUCUAACCAUUUUUCUAGGAAAGAAAGAGGCUUCUCCUCCGGAAGCCAAAUUCGUCCCUCGUUAACGGGUACGUCUACGCUAUUACUUUUCAUGUCCUUUUGUUUAAGAUAUUUAUAUAAAUAUAAAUCAAAAUAAAUAAGAUCCAUCUUUGGUAAAUUUUUAAAAAUCAAAUCUAUAAAUACUGAUUUCGUCUCUAAAAUUUUGGGUUAGGUUACUUUUUAAAAUUCUCCCAUGUUACUUUUACACUCUUAUAUUUGUAUUGUAAUUAUCAUUUCCUUUUUCUACCGUUUUUUAAAGUUAAUUUAGAUCCUGAUUCGCUCUUGGUUUAAGUUGUAAGGAGUACUUUGAAUCGUCGAUGUAAGUAGAGGUUAUUUCCUCGGAAAUUGCACGAACAGUUCAGGUUUGCGUUCACUGAUUGUGUUGUUCUUUUUUGAUUUUGGAGAGUGUCCUGGGUCAUUUUGAGGAUUAUUACUUUUUAUAUUUUUUGGCUUGCAUUUAAACACACACAUGAUUGUUGAACUAGGGUUCUUUUAAAUGAUUGUUGGUUUUUUUGUUCCGAAAAACUGAUCUUAUAUUUGCGAAUCUCUAUGUGCAACUUUAGUUUGAGGUUAUUAAGGAAGGAGAUAAAGGUGGAAGAAGGGAGAGAGAAAAGGUAGAGACUGACUUAAUUUUUUGGUUGAGUAGUAUGAACUUGCAACAGAGCCACCACUCAGUGGCUAUAAAGUUUAAUGGGCAAAAUGAAAGUAAAAAAGAGUGCACAUCCAUUCAAGCGAAGGGGUUUGGAUUCCUAGGUUAUUAUUGCUCUGGGUUUCGUUGGUGGCACUCAUUAGUAUUGUUAAUCUACAAGGGAAUGGGAUGGUAUUAACAAGAGUUGCAAUAAAGGAAGUUCUGGGUAGUAUGCGUGACCAAAAGACAAAGAUGCUUCUGCAUCAAUUUAGUGUUAGUGUUAAACCAUGUCCAUUCUUUGGUCAUUGUCAUUUCUACUUUUCACUACUCGAAAAAUGUAUCAGCAAUUGAUCAGCUAAAUGUGUUUCGAUUUCUGUCUUUGAGACGUCUCAACUAGUUAGGCUUAAUAGUAAGGGAGAUAAAUAUGAUCCAUCUUUGGAUAUUUUUUAAAAUAAAUCUAUAAAUACUCAUUUCAUUUGGAAAAUUCUUGGUUUUUUUCUUUUUAAAGUUCUCUCCAUGAUGUUACUAUUACAUUUUUAUAUUUGUAUUGUAAUUAUCAUGUCGUUUUUCUAGGGUUUUUGAAAGUUGAUUUUAGAUCCUUAUUCACUCUUGGUUUAAGUUGAAGGAAUGGAAGAGUUUUUUAUCAUCGAUAAAUCUGGAAGACUUGAUUCGCCGAUGAAAGCAAAAGUUCUUUCCUUCCAAAUUCGACGAAUUCUUUAGGUUUGCAUUUUGUGAUUGUGUUGUAUUUUGAAUUUGGAAAGUGUCAUGGGUAAUUAUGCGAAUUAUUAUUUUUUAGUUUUUUUUGCUUGCAUUUAAACACACAUGUUUGUUUAACUGGGGUUCUCGAAUGAUUGUCGGUUUUUUUUUUUCAAAAGUAGUGAACUUAUAUUUGUGUCUCUCUCUAUGCCACUUUAAUAUUAGGUUAUUAAGGUAGGAGAUAAAGGAGGAAGAAGGGAGAGAGAAAAGGUAGAAACUGACUUAAUUGUUAGGAUGAGUAUGCAGAUGCAGCAGAGCCACCACUCAGUGGCGGUAAGGUUUAAUGGGCAAAUUGAAAGUGAAAAAGAGGGCUUGGCUUCCUAAGUUUGCUCUGGGUUCUGUUGGUGGCAUUCAUCAGUAUGGUAAUCUAUUGGGAAUGUAUGGUUAUAACUUAUAACAAAGUAAGAAGAAUGGAAGUUCUGGAGGAGUAUGUGUGACAAGAGGGCAAGGAUGCUUCUACAUCAAUUUAGUGUCAAUGUUAACCAUGUUUGUGCUUUGGCCAUUCUCAUUUCCACUUUCCACUACUCCAAAACUGUAUCUGCAAUUGAUCAGGUAAAAGUGUUUGAAUUUCUGUCUUUGGUUCAUUUCAAUCAGUUAGUCUUAAGAGUAAGAGAGAUAAUUCAUUUUUUUGUUUAAGCUAGAUAUUACCCUUCAUUUCCUGAUUUUUAAGUUUUUAAGGGGAGUUUAGUUAUCUUUUUAAGCGGGUUUGGUUGUUUUUUUUUUUGGGGUGUUUGGUUGUUGUUUUUAGGGGUGUUUGGUUGGUUAGGCUUAGAACGGGCUAGUGAAGGGAGAAGCAUGAAAGUUUGGGGGGAGUAUGUAAAAGUGUUUCAAUUUUCUGUCUCAGGUCAGUUAGUUAGUGUCAAGAGUAGAGUAAGGGAUAUAAUUCAUUUUUCUUGUUUCAGUUAGAUAUUACCCUCUAUGUCUUAAUUUUUAAGUUUUUUUUUUAUGGGGUCUGGUUGUUUUUUUAGGGGUGUUUGGUUGGUCUUUUUUAGGGGUGUUUGGUUAGUUAGGUUUAGCAAGGGCUAGUGAAGGACAAGCAUAACAAGUAAUUAAUAAGUUUCUCCUCAAUCAUUCAACCAUUUUUCUAGGGAAGAAAGAGGCUUCUCCUCCCGCAACCAAAGUCCCUCCCUCGUCAACAGAUACGUCUACCGUAUUACUUUUCAUGUCCUUUUAAUUAAGAUAUUUAUAUAAAUUUAUAUAAAAAUUAAAUAAUAUCUAUCUUUGCAUAUUUUUUAACAAUUAAAUCUAUAAAAUUUCAUUUUAUAAUAAUAUCUAUCUUGGCAUAUUUUUAACAAUUAAAUCUAUAAAAUUUCAUUUUAUCUCUACAAUGUUUUUUCACUUUUAAAAUUUCUUUCACGUUACUAUUAUAGUCUUAUUUUUGUAUUGUAAUUAUUAAUAAAAAUUUUAAAAAAAAAUCUGUUAAUAAAUGAAUGUCAACUACUAGAAAAAGUGUAUUUGAUAAAACUUUUAAAAUAAAUUUGUUGCUAGUAAAAAAAAAAUUUGUUUCUUUCCUUUUAUUGAAACCAAAAGUAAUAAUGAAACCGAUUGUUGUUUAUUUUUUUCUCAAUUUUUGUCCUUCAAGUUCUUUUUUUAAAGAAGAAAUAAUAGCAACAAUUUCUAUUAUAGUUAAAACUUUCAUAAAAUAAAUCUUGAAAUUCUAACAUAUAAUUGGCAAAAUAAAAGAAAUAGAAAUAUGAAUUGAUUAUUUCUUUAGAGUUCACAGUUCAGGUAAGAUUUUAUGCAUAAGAAUAAAUUGAUUAUUUAAUUUGGUCAAGAUGUUCAAAAUUUAUCUGUGAAAUAUACACUCAGUGGUUGUAAGGUUUAAUGAGAAAAUUGAAAGUAGAACAGGGUCCACAUUAAUUCAUUCAAGCCAAAUAGGGCUUGGCUUCCUAAGUAUGCUUCGGGUUAUGUUGGUGGCAUUCUUCAUUAUAUUAAUCUACAGUGGAAUGUGUGUGUUUCUUGGGGAGUAUGUGUGACAAGAGGGCAAGGAUGUGAUAGGCCUCCGUUAGUCUACCAGUACACUAGGCGGAAGAAAUAGAAUAAUAAAGUUAGAAGUUAGUUAGACGUGCACCUGUUGAGCACGUGAUUAAUUAGUAGACGUGCACUUGAGUAGCACGUGGAGGUUAGGAACGGGGGGGAGUAGGUACGGAAAUCAUGAAUAUAUUGAAUAGGGUAGUGGGAAGGAGAGUUAGUUAGGUUUUGUGUUGAGUGAAGUUUUUCCUCUGUUCAUCCUUGAAAGAUAAGGUAACAGAAGAGUGCAUUUUCUACAUUGUAACCAUAGAACAAACUCGUUCUACAUUCAAUAAACAAGUACUAUAUUCGUACCAAUUGGAUUCCAUCAAAUUGGUAUCAGAGCGUGAUCUUGGAAUGAGUAAUCGAAGAUGGUGCAAACUAGUUUCAAAGAGAAGAUGGAGUCGUAUGACCAGGAAAUUCAAAGCAUCAAGAAGGAGAUGAGUAAAAUACCAAUUAUCGAAAAUACGUUGAUCGAAAUAUCAAAAAACAUGGAGAAGCAGAAGCAGAUGAUGUUACAUAUCAUGGAAUCGGCAGCACAGGACUGUUCCGUGAUGAGUGAGAAGUUGUGCGAGAUAUUAAUGCAUAAUUCGACGGGGAAGAACGUGAUCAAAGGUGAAGGAUUUUCUAGCAAGGAAACUGAAACAAGAAAAGAAGAGAGGAGAUGCCAAUAUUCAAUGGAGAUGCCAAUAUUCAGUAACGAUCGCAACAAAUUCAAUGGAGAUGCCAAUAUUCAAUGGAGAUGCCAAUAUUCAGUAACGACUUCAGUAACGAUCGCAACAAAUUCAAAAAAGUGGAGAUGCCAAUAUUCAAUGGAGAUGAUCCAGACUCUUGGUUGUUUUGAGCAUAGAGGUAUUUUAACAUUCAUAAACUUACCGAGUAUGAGAAGAUGACUGGGUCGACAAUUAGUUUUGAAGGAUCAACAUUGAACUGGUAUCGUUCUCAAGAAGAACGAGAAAAAUUUAUUGACUGGCCAAAUAUGAAAGAGAGAUUGCUGGUGCGAUUUUGAUCUGUGAGGAAAGGAUCCCUGUAUGGGAGAUUUUUGCGGAUUCAACAAACGGCAACGGUGGAUGAAUAUCGAAAUUUAUUCGAUAAAUGGGUGGCACCUCUGUCGGAUCUUUCAGAAAAAGUGGUGGAAGAAACCUUUAUGUCAGGGUUGAAGCCGUGGAUACAAGUGGAAAUGGAUUUCUGCAAACCUCAAGGGUUGGCCCAAAUAAUGCGCAUCGCGCAUAAGGUAGAGAACAUAGAGGAUAUUCGUCGGGAAACAAAAUUGCCCGGCUAUUCUGGAGAGAAGACGGUGAGUUCGUAUAGUUCUGCUAAAACUAAUACCAAUAUGAAUGUAGGAGAGAAUAAGGGGGGAGGAAAUUGACCGAUGAGAUCUAUUACAUUGCGAGGAACAUCUAAAGAGGAAGUACGGAAGGAAGGGCAGACGAAGCGUUUGUCUAACGUUGAAUUCCAGUCAAGGAAGGAGAAAGGAUUGUGUUUUCGUUGUAAUGAAAAGUACUCACACGAUCACAAAUGCAAGAUGAAGAAACAGAGGGAGUUGCGAAUGAUUGUAGUGAAAAAGAAAGGUGAUGAAUAUGAAAUUGUCGAAGAAGGAGACACUGAUCGAGGUGAAUUGAAUAACCUUGAAGUGGCAGCAGAGAGUUUGGUGGUAGAGUUUGUAAUCUAGAAUUCAGAGAAGUAUCUGUCUUAUUAUAUUUGAGUCAAAGAAAUGUUACAUAUUUAUAUAGAGAAUAAACUAAACCCUAGAGACUAUGUAAAAAUUACAAAAAAGGACAUAUGUAUAUAUAUAUAUCAUAACACUCCCCCUCAAGCUGGAGCAAAUAUGUCGAUCAUGCCCAGCUUGUUGCACAUAUAGCUUAUCCUUGUUCCAUUUAAAGCUUUAGUUAGAAUAUCUCCCAAUUGUUCUCCAGUCUUCACAUAUCCUGUGGACACUAACCCAUCUUGGAUUUUCUCACGAAUGAAGUGACAAUCCACCUCAAUAUGUUUAGUUCGUUCAUGAAAUACUGGAUUAGAUGCAAUAUGAAGUGCAACUUGAUUAUCACACCAUAAUUUAGCUGGCACGGUAAUACUGAAGCCUAUCUCAGAUAAUAGUUGGUGAAGUGCAACUUGAUUAUCACACCAUAAUUUAGCUGGCACGGUAAUACUGAAGCCUAUCUCAGAUAAUAGUUGGUGAAUCCAUACUAUUUCACACACAAAUUGUUCCAUAACUCUAUAUUCUGACUCAGCACUCGAACGAGAAAUAACAUUUUGUUUCUUACUCUUCCAUGAAACUAAGUUUCCACCUACAAAAACACAAUAUCCGGAAGUUGAUCUCCUAUCCUCACGAGACCCUGCCCAAUCAGCAUCAGAAAAACAUUCAACUCUCGUAUGUCCAUGAUCUUUGUAUAGGAUCCCACGUCCAGGAGCAGCUUUUAGAUAACACAAAAUCUGCUCUACAGCAGCCCAAUGAUCCAUGGGAAGACAUGAAUUGACUUACAACACUUACAAAUAUGCAAUGUCUGGUCGAGUCACUGUUAAGUAGCUUAACUUCCCAACUAAUCUCCUAUAUCUCUCAGGAUCUUUACAUAAUUCUCCUUCUUUAACAAGUUGCUGAUUUGGCAUCAUUGGAGUGCCACUUGGUUUGGUGCCUAAUUUUUCUGUUUCAGACAACAAAUCAAGUACAUAUUUUCGUUGAGACAAAUAAAUACCUUUCUUGCUUCUCAUCACUUCAAUGCCCAAAAAAUAUUUCAAUUGGCCCAAAUCUUUUGUAUAAAGCUGACCCUAAAGGAAAGUUUUCAGAGACAAAAUAUCCAAUGCAUCAUUUCCAGUAAUAACAAUAUCAUCAACAUAUCCAACUAGUAGAACUAUACCCUUAUCAGAUCGGCGAUAGAAAACUGAAUGAUCAGAUGUACUCUUCUUCAUACCAAAGCAUACAAGGGCUUGACUAAACUUACCAAACCACGCACGAGAACUCUGUUUCAAACCAUACAAAGAUUUUCGAAGGCGACAUACUUUAUCACUCUCCCCUUGAGCAACAAACUCUGGUGGUUGUUCCAUAUAAACUUCCUCUUGAAGAUCACCGUGAAGAAAAGCAUUCUUAAUGUCAAGUUGAUGCAACAACCAUUUAUUGGUAGCAGCCAUGGAAAGAAAAAGGCGAAUGAAAGUUAACUUGGCAACCAGAGAGAAUGUAUCUGAAUAAUCAGUUCCAUAGAUUUGAGCAUAACCUUUGGCAACAAGGCGAGCCUUUAAUCGAGCCACUGUUCCAUCAGGAUUCGUCUUGACAGCAAACACCCAUUUACAACCAAUGGCCUUCUUUCCUACAUGACGAGAUACCAAAUCCCAAGUACCAUUAUCAUCUAAAGCAGUCAUCUCCUCAAUCAUUGCAUUUUGCCAGCCAGGAUGAGACAAAGCUUCAUGAACAGAGUUAGGAAUAGAUGAGGACUCAAGAGACGUAAUAAACGCAUAUGUGGAGGGAGAUAACUGGUGAUAGGAAAUAAAGGAAGAAACGGGGUAAGUACACUUGCGUUUACCUUUGUGAAGAGCAAUGGGAAGAUCAUCACUUGGCUCUGGAUCACAUGAUGAAGGAAGCAUUGAUGGAGGACAUGAGUCUGAAGGUUAUGGUAGAGGUCGUCGGGAGUAGACUUGAGAAAUCAACGGGCGGGAAGGAGACACAUCAGUAGACAAGGAUGGUGUGGGAGAGGUAACCUCAUAUAUAAAAUGAUUGUCAUCCUCCCCCUGACACGAACUCGAUGGUGAUGAAAUAAAGGGUGUCUCCUAAAAAAAACAUCAGGCGAAACCAGAUACCUUUUAAGGGUAGGACAAUAACAACGAUAACCCUUUUGAACACGUGAAUAACCCAAGAAGAUACACAUCAAGGAUUUGGGAUCUAACUUAGUAUGAUGAGGAUGAACGUCACGAACAAAACAGACACAACCAAAUAUCUUAGGAGCAAUAGGAAACAAAUGCUUGGUAGGAAAAAGAACACGGUAGGGAAUCUCACCAUUAAGAACAGAGGAAGGCAUUCUAUUAAUCAAAAAACAAGCUGUAGAGACAGCAUCCACCCAAAAGGUUUUUGAAACAUGCAUUUGAAACGAUAAAGCACGGGCAGUUUCAAGUAAAUGCCUAUUUUUCCGCUUUGCAACACCAUUUUGAGAUGGAGUGUCAGCACAGGAAGACUGAUGAAUAAUGCCAUUUUAACACAAGUAAGAGCCAAGAGAAUGAGAAAAAUAUUCACCCGCAUUAUCAGUACACAAAGUUUUGAUAGAGACAUUAAACUGGUUUUUUAUUUCAGUAUGAAAGGCACAAAAAUGAGACAAUAACUCAGAAUGAUUUUUCAUUAAAUAUAACCAAGUUAGACGAGAAUGAUCGUCAACAAAAGUAAAAAAAUAACGAAAGCCUGUUGAGAUACAACUGGGCACGAACCCCAAAUAUCAGAAUGAACUAACUCAAAUGGAGCAAUUGCUCGUUUAUCGACUCGAGGACUCGAACUAAGACGAUGAAAUUUUGCAAAUUGACACGAAUCACAAUUUAAAGAGGACAAAGACCUAAAUUCUGGAUAAAGUUUCUUCAACACGAACAAAGAUGGAUGACCUAAACGACAAUGGACUUCAAAAGCAGAGGGAACGACAGGACACGCCACAACUUGCGAUACUUGAUGAUCAAGGAGAUAAAGGCCUCCUGACUCAUAUCCUCUACCAAUAAUCUUCUUCGACACACGAUCCUGAAACAAGCAAUAACCAGAAAAGAACAUGACAACACAAUUUAGGUCAUGAGUAAGUUGACUAGUAGAAAUUAAAUUAAAGGAUAAGUUAGGCAAAUGUAACAUAUAAGAGAGAGAAAAGGAUGGGGUAAGGUGAAUAGUGCCAGAGCCAAUAAGAGAAGAUGUGGAGCCAUCGGCCAAUGUAACCGAUGGAAAAGGGGCAGGGGACAACGAUCUAGAAAAUAGGUGAGAAUUAUCUGUCAUAUGAGCUGUGGCACCAGAGUCUAUGACCCAUUUGGUAGAUGAAGUAAGAAGACACUUUGUAUUACCUGGGUCAACAGUGGAUGCAAUCGGAGUAGAGGAAGAUGACGCUUGUAAUGACUCUUGGUAAUUCUGAAACUUAGCAAACUCAUCUGCAGAAAUAGUAACUGACGCCUCUGGUAUAUCACAUGUGGAGGCUAUCUGAGCAUGUUGAGAUCGUUGACUAUUCUUAUAUAGCAAUUUCCGACAAUCACGUUUCAUAUGGCCUGGCUUACGACAGUAGUUACAAACAAUCUCUACAGACUCUGGUUUUCGAUGAUCAGUACUAUUCCUCUGAGGUGCCCAAGGGUUAUUGUUCUUGCUAAAGAGAGCACUACUGGGUUGAGGAAUAGACACACCAGUCGGAGAGCUUUCAAUGCGAAGGACGCGAGUGAAGGCAUCAUCUAAUGAUGGAAUCUUGGAGUUAGAGAGAAUCUGUUUCUUUGCCAUUCCAAAUUCAGGUAAGAGUCCAUUUAGGAAAAUCAUAACAGCCAUCUUCUUUCGUUGAACUUGUUGAAUUUUAACAUCAGGACUAAAAGGUAACAACAAGCCAAGCUCGGCAGUGAUCUUCUUAACCGCAUAAAGUAGCUGAUGACAGACUCAGCUUUCUGUUCCGCACGAAAAAAUUGCAUACAAACUUCAAACAUUCUAUGCACUUGCUUUUUACCUGAAUAUAGAAAAUCCAAAAAUUCCAGAAGUUCUUUAACAGACUCACAGUGAUCAACCAAUCCAAUUAUCUCACUCUCAAUUGAAUUCUUGAUCUGAAGAUAUAAACGGGCAUCAUCACGAAUCCAAUCCUUCUUCUGCUUUGCAUCUUUUGGGGGAUCUUCUGUCAUAUGAUCAUCCAUAUCAGUACUUUUCAAAUAAAAUAAAAUUCUCCGACGCCAAUCGUAAUAAUUAGAUCUAUUUAACUUAUGUUCUGUGAUCUUAGAGGCCAAGGGAAUAAUGUUGGAGAUUACCAAAUUUUUUAUGUCGGCCAUAUUAAAGUCACACGUUGAUUGUAGCCACACGAACAAAGAGAAAAUCAAUCCAAACAGCUGCAAAAUUGGAAAAAGACCCAAAACCAAUCGUGUAACCUUCAGUUUUCAUUAAACCCGAAUGUUAUUUGAUAGACCUAAUGGUAUAGACUGACAGGAAACAAUGGUUCGAGACAAGCCCAGAAGACGGAAGACAAAUCGGACUUCUCACACGCUCUCACGCGUGGCGCGUGGGUAAAGGCGACGAUGAUUCCGGCGGCGCGUGACGGUCACGUGCGGUGUUUUCCGGCGAUCGGCGAAGACAGACUUGGGCGGACGGAGGUGGUGCUUCUUAUGGUAUGGGUGGUGUCGAAAAAUGGUCAGCGGAAGGUAACCUAAACUCAAACCUAAUGGAGGAGGAAGCUAAUGGUCAUUCGAAACCCUAAUGGCUCUGAUACCAUGUAAUCUAGAAUUCAGAGAAGUAUCUGUCUUAUUAUAUUUGAGUCAAAGCAAUGGUACAUAUUUAUAUAGAGAAUAAACUAAACCCUAGACUAUGUAAAAUUACAAUAAAGGACAUAUGUAUAUAUAUAUAUAUAUCAUAAAUGAGUUAUCCAUUAACUCCGUCGUAGGAUUAUCCAAUCCUGGUACUAUGAAGGUAAAAUGGUUGUUACAAGGAAAAGAAAUUAUAUUAUUAAUCGAUUGUGGAGCCACACACAGUUUCAUUUCGGAAGAAUUAGUAAAAGAAUUGUAACUAGAGAUUAAAGAGACUUCAAACUACGGAGUCAUCCUGGCUUGGGUACGGCAGUGAAAGGGAAGGGGAUUUGCGAAGCUGUUGAAUUAAUGCUAGGAGAGUGGAAGGUAGUAGAUGAAUUCCUACCCUUGGAGUUGGGAGGGGUUGACGCCAUACUGGGAAUGCAGUGGUUGUAUUCCUUGAGAACGACGGAGGUGGAUUGGAGGAGUUUGAGACUGACAUUGUCAAAUCAGGGCAAGAAAAUAGUAAUUCAAGGAGACCGGAGCCUAACCAAAGCCAUAAUUAGUCUUAAAAAGAUGAUGAAGAUGAUGGGGGAGAAGGAUCAAGGUUUCUUAGUGGAGUGCAGAGCAUUAACCAAAAGUAAGUACUUUGGAGAGGAGGAUUUGUGGGAUGAAGAGUUAUUAGUGGCAGUGAUACCCAAAAGUUUUGAAGAUGUUUUCGAGUGGCCUGAAACCUUGCCACCAAGAAGGGCAAUUGAACACCACAUCCACUUAAAGAGGGGUAGAUCCAGUGAAUGUGAGGUCAUACCGUUACGCAUAUCAGCAGAAGAUGAAAAUGGAGAAGUUGGUAGCGAAGAUGUUAUCUUUAGGGUGAUUAGACCAAGUACCAGUCCUUAUUCAAGCCCUGUGUUGCUAGUAAGAAAGAAAGACGGUAGUUGGCAAUUUUGUGUAGAUUACAGAGCUUUGAAUAACGUGACUGUACCUGAUAAGUUUCAUAUACGAGUAGUUGAAGAAUUGUUUGAUGAAUUGAAUGGAGCUACCAUGUUUUCUAAGAUUGAUUUGAAGGCUGGCUAUCAUCAAAUUCGCAUGUGCCCAGAGGAUGUGCAGAAAACUGCAUUUCGAACCCAUGAAGGCCAUUACGAGUUCCUAGUCUGCCAUUUGGUUUGACUAAUGCUCCGGCAACGUUUCAAUCCUUAAUGAAUGCGGUGUUUAAGCCUUAUCUAAGGAAAUUCGUCCUAGUCUACUUUGAUGACAUACUGAUUUACAGUAGUGAUUUGUCAACUCAUUUGGACCACAUGAAGGUAGUGCUGGAGAUUUUGAGGAAGAAUGAACUGUAUGCAAAUAAGAAGAAAUGCAGUUUUGCGAAGUCCAAGGUAGAUUAUUUGGGCCAUAUUAUUUCAGGAGAAGGAGUAUAGGUUGAUCGUGAGAAAAUAAGGGCAAUCAGAGAAUGGUCAAUUCCAGGGAAUGUGAGGGAGGUUAGAGGGUUCCUUGGCUUAACCGGUUAUUAUCGGAAGUUGUGCAACAUUAUGGCACAAUUGUAGCACCGUUAACCCAGCUAUUGUAGAUUGGAGGGUUUAAAUGGACUGAAGAAGCUCAUGGGUCUUUCAUGAGGUUGCAACAUGCCAUGAUGUCUCUCCCUGUCUUGGCAUUGCCCGAUUUCAGCAUACCAUUUGAGAUUGAGACAGAUGCAUCGGGGUAUGGCUUGGGGGCUCUGUUAGUGCAGAAGAAACGACCUAUUGCUUAUUACAGCCACACUCUAGCAAUCAGAGAUUGAGCUAAACUGGUUUAUGAGAGGGAAAUAAUGGCAGUAGUCAUGGCAGUACAAAGAUGGCGUCCAUAUUUGUUGGACAAGAGAUUUGUGGUGAAAACUGACCAAAGAUCACUCAAGUUUCUAUUGGAGCAAAGAGUUGAUUCAACCUCAAUACUUGAAAUGGAUUUCUAAACUGUUGGGUUAUUCGUUUGAGGUAAUAUAUAAACCAGGCCUUGAGAAUAAAGCGGCAGAUGCUUUGUCGAGAGUGCCUCAUGGGGUGCAUUUGAAUCAGUUAACUGGCCCAAAUAUAGUAGAUAUUGCUAUUAUCAAAGAGGAGGUUGGGAGUGAUGAGAAAUUACGGAAGAUCAAGGAGGAAUUGGAAGCUAAGGGAGCAGGACAAGAAGCCAAAUUUUCACUAAAGCAAGGAAUGCUGAUGUACAAAGACAGGAUGGUAAUUUUGAAAAAUUCUAAGUUGAUCCCUACAAUCCUUCACACUUACCAUGAUUCUGUUUUUGGUGGACCUUCGGGGUUCUUGCGAACUUAUAAAAGAUUAACGAGAGAAUUGUAUUGGGAGGAGAUGAAGCAAGAUGUUAAGAAAUAUUGUGCGGAGUGCAUUAUAUGCCAGAGAAAUAAGACGUUGGCAUUGUCACCAGCUGGAUUGUUGACUCCCUUAAAAGUACCUGGAAGAGUAUGGGAAGAUAUUUCCAUGGACUUCAUUGAGGGGUUACCGCAGGCUAAUGGAUGGGAAGUUAUACUCAUGGUGGUUGACAGCUCCAACAACUAAAGCAAAGCAAUAGACGACCUGCUCAUACCAAAUAUUCCACUCGUCCUAGGGCUACCGCCUCAAUUCACAAGGUUCAAAGAAGAUUAAAUCGGUUUAGAACUACUAUUAGCAAGAAUUGCCUUACGAAUCACGUUUCUCUUGCUCUUAAAAACCCAAUAUUUAGGGCUCUUCUGUUUCACAUUCUUCCCUUUUUUCUCUCCCCAUGACACGAUAUUCAUCUUUCACUUCUCUUUUCUUUUUCCUCAAACCUUUUUUUCUUAACCUUUUCUUUCUCUUUUCCUUUUUCUCUCUUAUUAAAACUCGUUUUAAAGCUGUAUAUCUUCUCAUAAACUCCUACCUCUAUUCUCUUUCUAAAAACCUUACUUUAAAAUCAUGGUUGUUGCUAUUGUUGUUGUUAAUAAACAAGAUCAUGUUGGAAUUCUUUCCUUUUUCUAGGUCUUUUCCUUGUUAGAAUCCUAGAAUAAUUAUGGAAAGAUUAUGGGAAUGUAUUCCUUAUUUUCCUAAAUCUUUUCCUUUUUUAUUCCAUUGUGUACUCUAUUUAUUCUCCCUUGUACCUAUUGCUUUAUUCAUUAGAAAAUAAUAACAACAAACAAUCGUGGUUUUUCUCCCGGUACUCGGGUUUCCACGUAAAUUGGUGUGAACUCGUUGUCUCUCUUUUCAAUAUGGUAUCAGAGCGGGACAAUGAAAACACCCUAGAAACCCAAAAAAACCAAACCACUUAUGAAAAUCAAACAGAAGGGACAGCCAUCAAUUUUAGUGCUGCCGUAGCCGCUGCCGUCGAUGCUCGGAUGAGUGCUGCCAUGGACGAUUUAUUAAGCCGGCUACAGAAAACGUCAAAAAAUAAUUUUUCGUCAUAACCGCAGUCGCCCGCGCCACCGCCGGGCCACCACGUGCCACCAUCGGACCACCACGCGCCUGGUUUUCUUCCUCAGAUGGCGCCGACCAUCCCAUCUGUCCAACCCUUUUCUUCAUUCGCGGCCUAUAUUGCUCCCCAUGCCCCGAUUUAUGUUCUGCCAUCUAAUUCCAAUCGGCCACCACCGAUUCUGCCGUCAAAUCUGUAUGGCCAGCCACCCAAUGAUCCUAGCUACCAUCCCGAUGUUAAAAACUCUCAAAUUCACUCAACAUUUGAGGUUGGUGAAUCUUCGGCAUAUUCCAACCGUAACGUGCAAGCUUCCUCGGGAAUAGUUCAUCAACAAUUGGAAGGGCUUCGACAACAGAUAGCAGCACUUGAGGCUACCUUAGGGACGACAUCCACUCUACCGAUGUAUUCUGAGAAUCCGGUAAACUCGUUCCCUAAUGUAUCCUCUCCUUAUGUGACUAAUACGGUGGCUCAGUCUUCCAUGUAUCAUCUUUCAGGAGAAAAGUUGAAUGGCAACAACUAUUUCUCAUGGUCUCAGUCAGUAAAGAUGGUCCUCGAAGGACGACAAAAAUUUAGCUUUCUGACAGGGGAAAUACCUCGCCCCCUACCGGGUGACCCACAUGAACGAUAUUGGAAGGCAGAAGACUCUAUUCUUCGAUCCAUAUUGAUCAACAGUAUGGAACCUCAAAUUGGCAAGCCGUUAUUGAUUGAUGCAACAGCCAAGGAUAUUUGGGACACAGCCCAGACACUUUACUCAAAACGUCAGAAUGCCUCUCGUCUAUACACGCUGAGAAAGCAAGUUCAUGAAUGCAAGCAAGGAACCAUGGAUGUCACAUCCUUUUUCAAUAAGCUUUCUCUUAUAUGGCAAGAAAUGGACCUAUGCAGAGAACUAGUCUGGCGUGAUCCCACUGAUGGUGUACAGUACUCGAGAAUUGAAGAGAAUGACAGGAUUUAUGACUUUCUUGCUGGUCUUAAUCCUAAGUUUGAUGUAGUUCGAGGGCGUAUACUAGGUCAAAGACCGAUUCCCUCCCUGAUGGAAGUUUGCUCUGAAAUCCGCCUCGAGGAAGAUCGCACAAGUGCUAUGAAUAUUUCCGCAACCCCUACUAUUGACUCUGCUGCUUUUAGUGCAAGAUCUUCUAACAGUAGCAGUGACAAGCAUAAUGGAAAACCAAUUCCUGUCUGCGAGCAUUGCAAAAAACAAUGGCAUACCAAAGAACAAUGUUGGAAGUUACAUGGUCGUCCCCCAGGAAGUAAGAAACGCCCUUCCAACGACAAACAGAACACAGGGCGGGCGUAUGUGAGUGAGUCUGCUGAACCUCCUCAACAAUCCGAUCCACACAAAAACCAAACUGAUCUCAGUCUUGCCACUUUAGGUGCCAUUGUCCAAUCAGGUAUACCUCAUUCCUUCGGUCUUGUUAGUAUUGAUGGGAAGAACCCCUGGAUUCUGGAUUCUGGUGCCACAGAUCAUUUGACUGGGUCCUCUAAACAUUUUGUGUCUUACAUUCCUAUUACAUUCCUUGUGCUGGGAACGAGACAAUUAGAAUUGCAGAUGGCUCCUUGGCCCCCAUUACUGGAAAGGGGAAGAUUUCUCCCUGUGCAGGGCUCUCCUUACAUAAUGUUCUGCAUGUGCCCAAACUAUCUUAUAAUUUGCUUUCGAUAAGCAAGAUCACUCAUGAGUUAAACUGCAAAGCAAUAUUCUUACCUGAUUCUGUCUCUUUUCAGGACUUGAGCUCGGGGAGGAUGAUUGGCACUGCCCGGCAUAGUAGGGGACUCUACCUCCUUGAUGACGAUACCUCUUCUAGUAGCAUUCCUAGGACUAGUCUCUUAUCUUCCUAUUUCACUACUUCUGAACAAGAUUGUAUGUUGUGGCAUUUUCGUUUAGGCCACCCUAAUUUUCAAUAUAUGAAACAUUUAUUUCCACAUCUCUUCUCUAAAGUUGAGAUGACUACCUUAUCUUGUGAUGUGUGUAUUCAGGCCAAACAACAUCGAGUCUCUUUUCCCUCACAACCAUACAAACCAACCCAACCCUUCACUCUUGUUCAUAGUGAUGUCUGGGGACCAUCCAAGAUAACAACCUCAUCUGGAAAACGGUGGUUCGUAACCUUCAUUGAUGAUCAUACCCGUCUUACCUGGGUCUACCUUAUCACUGAUAAAUCUGAGGUUUCCUCUAUGUUUCAAAAUUUCUAUCACACCAUUGAAACACAAUUCCAUCAAAAAAUUGCUAUUCUUCGGAGUGAUAAUGGUCGGGAAUUCCAAAACCAUAACCUUAGUGAAUUUCUUGCUUCCAAGGCGAUUGUUCAUCAAAACUCGUGUGCCUACACUCCUCAACAAAAUGGAGUGGCCGAGCAAAAAAACUGUCACCUUCUGGAAGUAGCCCGUUCCCUUAUGCUUUCUACUUCCCUUCCUUCAUACUUGUAGGGAGAUGCUAUUCUUACAGCAGCUCAUUUAAUCAAUAGAAUGCCUUCUCGUAUUCUUCAUCUUCAAACUCCCUUAGAUUGUCUUAAGGAGUCCUACCCAUCGACUCGUCAUGUUUCUGAGGUUCCUCUUCGUGUGUUUGGGUGUACCGCUUAUGUCCAUAAUUUUGGCCCUAAUCAAACCAAAUUUACCCCUCGGGCUCAGGCAUGUGUGUUUGUUGGGUAUCCCCCUCACCAGCGUGGUUAUAAAUGUUUUCACCCACCAUCCAGAAAAUACUUUGUCACUAUGGAUGUUACUUUCUGUGAGGAUCGACCCUACUUUCCCGUUAGCCAUCUUCAGGGGGAGAGUGUGAGUGAAGAGUCUAACAACACCUUUGAAUUCAUCGAACCCACUCCUAGUGUUGUGUCUAACAUCAUUCCUCAUUCCAUAGUCCUACCCACAAACCAAGUCCCCUGGAAAACGUACUACAGGAGGAAUCACAAAAAGGAAGUCGGUUCCCCUACUAGUCAGCCGCCGGCUCCAGUCCAAGACUCUGAACCUCCUCGAGAUCAAGGUAUGGAAAACCCUACUGAACCCUGUACUAAGAAUAUGAUAAGUGAGAAUGACAGGUCUAAUGUUGCUGUUCUUGAAAACGUGGAAGAAAAGGACAGUGGUGAUGAGAUUGAGGUCAGAAUAGAAACCCGUAAUAAUGAAGCGGAACAGGGUCAUACAGGAAAAUCAGAUGAGUAUGAUUCCUCUCUUGACAUUCCCAUUGCUCUGAGAAAAGGCACCAGGUCUUGUACUAAACACCCCAUUUGCAAUUAUGUUUCCUACAAUAGUCUCUCUCCUCAGUUCAGAGCUUUUACAGCAAGCCUUGACUCUACCAUAAUACCAAAAGAUAUCUACACUGCUUUAAAGUAUCCUGAAUGGAAGAAUGCUGUCAUGGAAGAGAUGAAAGCUCUUGAAAAGAAUAGUACUUGGGACAUUUGUACUCUACCUAAGGGACACAAAACUGUGGGAUGCAAAUGGGUGUUCUCUCUCAAAUACAAAGCUGAUGGUACUCUUGACAGACACAAGGCAAGGUUAGUUGCGAAGGGAUUUACUCAAACCUAUGGUAUUGACUAUUCAGAAACUUUUUCUCCAGUUGCUAAGUUGAAUACUAUUAGAGUUCUGUUAUCUGUUGCUGUGAACAAAGAUUGGCCUCUAUAUCAGCUGGAUGUUAAGAAUGCCUUUUUGAAUGGAGACCUCGUAGAGGAAGUCUACAUGAGCCCUCCGCCUGGAUUUGAAGCCCAGUUUGGUCAGCAUGUGUGUAAACUCCAGAAAUCUAUAUAUGGUCUGAAACAGUCUCCCAGAGCAUGGUUUGACAGAUUCACUACCUUUGUCAAGUCCCAAGGGUACAGGCAGGGACACUCUGAUCAUACUUUAUUUACAAAGGUUUCCAAAACAGGAAAGAUUGUUGUUCUAAUAGUUUAUGUGGAUGACAUUGUUUUGACUGGAGAUGAUCAGGCAGAAAUCAGUCAACUAAAGCAGAGAAUGGGCGAUGAGUUUGAAAUCAAGGAUUUGGGAAAUUUGAAAUAUUUCCUUGGAAUGGAGGUGGCCAGAUCUAAAGAAGGUAUCUCCGUAUCUCAAAGAAAAUACAUCCUUGAUUUGUUAAUCGAGACAGGUAUGUUAGGAUGUCGUCCCACUGACACUCCUAUUGAAUUCAACUGCAAACUAGGAAACUCUGAUGAUCAAGUUCCAGUUGAUAAAGAACAGUAUCAACGCCUCGUGGGUAAAUUAAUUUACUUAUCUCAUACUCGUCCUGAUAUUUCCUUUGCUGUGAGUGUUGUCAGCCAGUUUAUGCAGACCCCUAAUGAGGAACACAUGAAAGUUGUCAACAGAAUCUUGAGAUACUUAAAAUCAACACUUGGUAAAGGGCUGAUGUUUAGAAAAACAGACAGAAAGACCAUUGAGGCAUACACUAACUCGGAUUGAGCAGGAUCUGUUGUUGACAGAAAAUCUACCUUUGGUUAUUGUACCUUUGUUUUGGGCAAUCUUGUAACUUGGAGGAGUAAGAAGCAAAGUGUUGUGGCCAGGAGCAGCGCUGAGGCUGAAUACAGAGCUAUGAGUUUAGGAAUAUAUGAGGAAAUUUGGUUUCAGAAAGUUUUGACAGAUCUUCAUCAGGAAUGUGAGACACCAUUGAAGCUUUUCUGUGAUAAUAAAGUCGCUAUUAGUAUUGCUAACAACCCUGUUCAACAUGAUAGAACUAAACAUGUUGAGAUUGAUCGACAUUUUAUCAAAGAAAAACUUGACAGUGGGAGCAUAUGCAUUUCGUACAUCCCUUCGAGUCAACAGGUUGCUGAUGUUCUUACCAAAGGGCUUCUCAGACCAAACUUCGACUUUUGCGUUAGCAAGUUGGGCCUCAUUGAUAUUUACGUCCCAACUUGAGGGGGAGUGUUGAAACUCUUUCCUUUUUCUAGGCUUUUUCCUUGUUAGAAUCCUAGAAUAAUUAUGGAAAGAUUAUGGGAAUGUAUUCCUUAUUUUCCUAAAUCUUUUCCUUUUUUAUUCCAUUGUGUACUCUAUUUAUUCUCCCUUGUACCUAUUGUUUUAUUCAUUAGAAAAUAAUAACAACAAACAAUCGUGGUUUUUCUCCCAGUACUCGAGUUUCCACGUAAAUUGGUGUGAACUCGUUGUUUCUCUUUUCAAUAGAUCAUUUGAAAUUGCCCUCUAAAAACCUUACUUUAAAAUCAUGGUUGUUGUUAUUGUUGUUGUUAAUAAACAAGAUCAUUUGAAAUUGCCCUCUGGUGUCGAUUUCAUCCCACGGAUGAAAAACUCAUUUUCAUUACUUGUUUGAGAAAGUUAUGGAUAGUAGUUUCUGUUGCGGAGCAAUUGGUGAUGUUGAUCUUACAAAUUUGAGCCUUGGGAUUUGCCUUGUAACUAACCUCAACAACCUCUCUGUUUUCUUUUUCCAAUUUAUUUUCUCCUGAUGUUUCUUUUAAAUUUGGAUGAUUUAGGGUUCUCAGGGAAGGCGAAAAUGGGAGAAAAAGAGUGGUACUUUUUUUGUGUUAGAGAUAGAAAAUACCCUACUGGAUUGAGGACGAACAGAGCAACUGAAGUUGGGUACUAGAAAGCUACUAAGCUACUAGUGAGGGUGUUAACAAAGCCAUCAAAUUUACACAAACUAAAAACAAAGCCAUUAACUGUCAAUCUUAUCAAUUUAGCACCAUACUAAAAAAUCCACGGUAACAAAAAUGAACGCAUCAACAAAAAUGACUAUGAAAACCUGAUUUUAAGGGAGAUGAAAAUCCACAGAGACAUACCAUAUUUUGACUUGCUGGAGAAUCAAGAAAUAGAGGAAAAAAAAUACAUACCUUUAACCUAAGCACGAAGGUGAAAGAGGAACGGACAGUCGAAGAAAGACAAUUAGUCAAGAGAACAGAGAUAUAGACGGGGAAGAGAGAAGAGGAAAGAAGUUGUACGAUGAAAUUAGAGAGAAGAACUUCCUGUGAUCUUCAUUAACCACAUACAACAAUGCCAAAGGAAUCCUUCGUUAAUGAAGAUCACAGGAACAUUGUUGUGCAAUGAGAUAUUUUUAGUUUAGAUUUAUUAUAUUUUAGUUUGCAUGCAUCAUUAUUCUUCUGAAACUGAGUUUUUUUUUUAUCUGAUGAUUUUUUAUGUGACAUUUUUAAUUUAGAUUUAUUAUUUUUUUUUUAGCUUUCCUGUAUUUAGUACUACUAUGAAUUGUUUUGAAAUUGUGGAGUUUUUUUUCCUUUGUUGUAUUUUAAUAUCAGUAGUAGGUUUUCUUCAAGAUAUUUUUAAUUUAGAUUUUUAUACAUUGUUUUUUGAAAAUUAGGGUUCAUUCUUUUUCUUGUUCUUUUUUCAUUUGUUGUGGGAUGUUUUUUUUAUGACAUUUUAAAUUUAAAUUUAUUAUCUUUUUAAUUCCUUGCAUUCUGGAUUGUGAUAAAAUUUUGAGUUUCUUUCUUUUUCUUUUUUUUGCCAUUUGUUUUGUUAUGUUUUUUUGAAGACCUUUUUAGUUUUGGUUUAUUAUUUUGGAGUUUGGUUGCAUUUUGUAUUAUAGAUUAUUUUGAAUUAUUUAGUUUUUUUUUUUUCAGUCUUCUAUUCUACGAUGCCUUUUUACGAGACAUUUUUAAUUUAGAUUCAUUAUUUUUUGGAUUGCUUUUAAUUUUGAAAUUUUGAGUUUUUUUCUUCUUCUUUUUUUGGUUAUUUAUUGUGUGAUGGUUUGUACUAGACAUUUUAAAUUUAGAUUUAUUAUCUUUUUAGUUUGCUUUUUUGCAUUAUCAAGUCAUUUGUUGGGUUUAUUUUUUAUGAAAUAUUUUUAAUUUUGAUUUAUUAUUUUUUUAAUUUGCUUGUAUUUGGUAUUAUGGACUGUUUUAAAAUUUUGGAGAUUGUUCUUUUAAAAUUUUUGAAUCUGUUUUUUCUUUUUUUUUUUUAUUUGUUUCGCUAUCUCUUUAUCAGACAUUUUUAGUUUAGGUUUAUUAUUUUGUAGCUUGUUUGCAUUUUGUAUUAUGGAUUGUUUCAUUUUAUAUUAUGGAUUGUUUUGAAUUUUUUUUCCAUUGGUGUACGAUAUCUUUUUACAAUACAUUUUUAAUUUAGAUUCAUUAUUUUUUAGUUUGCUUGCAUUUUGAAAUUUGAAGUUUUUUUUCUUCGUUUUUUGGUUCUUUAUUGUGUGAUGGUUUGUAGGAGACAUUUCCAAUUUAGAUUUAUUAUCAUUUUAGCUUACUGCAUUAUGGAUUGUUAUGAAAUCUUGAGUUUUUUUCUUCUUGCUUUUUUGUUUUUUGGUCCUUUGUUGUGUGAUUUCUCUUUAAUGGAACAUUUUAAUUUGUGUUAAUUAUUAAAAAAAAAAAAUUCUUUUGUAUGGAUUGUUAUGAAAAUUUGAGUUUUUUUUGUUUUUUUGUUUUUUCUUUAAUAUCUUUUUAUGAGACAUUUUAAAGUUAAAUUUAUUUUAGGUUUAUUGUUUUUUAGUUUGCAUUUUUGCAUUUUUGCAUUAUUGAUUAUUGAUUAUUUUGUAGAAUUUUGAGUUUUUCUUUUUUAUUUCGUUGUGCUAUAACUUUAUAUGAGACAUUUUAAAUUAAGAUUUUUUUACUUUUUAGCUGGUUUGCGUUUUAUCUUAUAGACUGUUUUUUUAAUAAUUUUGAGUACUUUUUGUUGUCUUUUGUUGUGCCGUCUUUUCAGGACGUUUUAAAUUUAGUUUUAUUAUCUUUUAGUUUGCGUUUUGUAUUGUAUGGAUUCAUCUAAAAUUUUGACUCUCUUCUUUGUCUUUUUCUGGUCAUUUAUUGUGCCAUCUCUUUUAUAAGACAUUUUUAUUUUAGAUUUAUACAUUUAGCUUACAAUAUUUGAAAUUUGGAGUUUGUUUUGAUAUUUUUACCUUUUGGUAUUCUUUGGUUUUUCUUUUAUUUUGUUUAAUGGGUGAAUGUUUUUCUUUGAACAGAUGUGAAAUUUGUUUUCUUCUAAAAUUUUGACUCUCUUCUUUUAUUUGUUGCAUUUUCUUUGAAACUUUACUAUGUCAUCAGAUCUCCUUCUUGUUUCUCUGUUUUUUAUGUUUUUUUUCAUGAUUAUGGAGGGUGUUCCUUUUUAAAUUCGAGUUAAUUUAAGAAAAAUUGGAUGUUUGGGAAUUUUAAGAAAAAUUGGAUGUUUGGGAAUUAAUUUUUCUAUACUAUCUCAACUGUAAUAGAAGACAUGUGUCUUUUAGUUUCAUUCUCGUUGUGUGUCUCUCUUUUAUUUUUCUUAUUUUAAAUCUUGCUCAUCUUGUUAUGACACUAUACAAUCGUUAUUAUAUUUAUUUCUUGUGCGAAAUCUUUUUAGGUGACAUUUUUAGUUUAAAUUUAUUAUAUUUUAGUUUACAUUUUUGCAUUAUCGGUUGUUAUAAAAUUUUGAGUUGUUUUUAUUUGCCAUUUGUUGUGCUCAUUUUUUAAUGAGAUAUUUUUAAUUUAGAUAUAUUACUUUUAAAUUUGCUUGCAUAUGGUAUUAUGGAUUGUUUUCAAAUUUUGGGUCUUUUUUCUUUGUUGUGCGAUGUUGGAUGUUCUUUUGGCUUGCAUUUAGCUUCCUAAUUUAGACAUAUUUUGUUUAUUUACUAUCUUUUUAAUUUAGAUUUAUUAAUUUUUAGCUUGUUUAUUGUUUUUUGAAAUUUAGGGUUUUCUUCUUCAUCUUCUUUUUGUUCUUUGUUGUGCAAUCUCUUUUAACAAGAUAUUUUUAAUUAAGAUUUGUUAACUUUUAGCGCUUGCUUUUGUAUAUAGAUUGUUUUUUGGAAGGGUUUUAUGCUUGUUCUCUUUUUCGGUCCUUUUUUUAUGGGACGAUUUAUGUCUUUUGAAUCAUUGUCGUGUGAUUUCUCUUUAUGAGACAUUUUAAGUUGUUUAUUAUUUAGCUUGCAUUUUGUAUAUUAUAGACUUUUUUUGGAAAUUUUGAGUUUGUUUUUCCUUUUCGUGAUGGUUUUUCUGACAAAUUUUUAACUUAAAUUUAUUAUCUGGGAGUAUUAAGGAGUUUUGAAAUUUUGUGCGUGUGUGUUUUUUUUUUUUUUUUUUUGUCUUUCGUUGAGUGAGACUUUUUAUGAAACAUUUUUAAUUUAGAUUUAUUGUUUUUAAAUUGACAUUUUUUCUGUGUCCAUGGUUUGUUUCAAUCCAUUUGUUUUGUCCCUUUUUUUCUUUUAUGCAACAUUUUGUUUCACUUUUUGUAUAUAAUUAUAGAAUCUUUUUACUAUGCCUUCUUCCUGCGAGUCUCCUAGUUUCACUUUAGUUACUGAAGAUUUCAUAGCAGUUAUUUUAGUUUAAUCUUUCUUUUAGUUCUAUUUUAAUUUGAUACAUUAUCCUUCACAUUACCCAACUCUUUCUGUUCUAUUGACAUCCAAUCAGUUAUUGGAAAAGGAUCAAAAAUGGUAAAUUUGACAAAAUAUUUACAAGUUAUAGCAAAAUUUCAGAUUCUAUCAGAGACAUUCAUAGCCAAUAAUUGAAGGAUAUCAUUAUUUUCAAUUUUGCAAUUUAUCAUUUUCUUAAUUAAUUAGUUGGUAUAUUGAAUUUGUAAGUUUGCAUUUUUUUUCAUUAUAUUUUAGUUUGCAUUUUUGCAUUAUGAUUGUUUUGAAAUUUAUUUUUGAUUUAUUUUCCUUUCAACUUGUUUGCCUUUUUCACUAUGAAUUGUUCUGAAAUUUUUAAGGCCCAUUUUUGUCCCUCAGAUUUGAGAGAAGUGGAGUGGCUAUACUCCAUGUUUAAUUUGGCUCACAAAUUACCAUAAUCCUAGAAUUAGGUUUUUGGUUCUUCCUCCCAGUCGGUCGCAAACUCUUCUCCACUCCUCUUUGUCACUAUUCCUUCGAAAACCUUUUUCCACUCUUCUUCGUCAUUGUUCCUCACUCCUAUCCUUUCCUUUUUUUUCCCUUCCUCAAAUCCCUCAUACGUAUGUAUGGAGUGGGUGUGUCUCAUGAUGCCUAUAUAUGGAGAACUCCUGACGCCAACAUUCAGAGUUGUAUAUGAUAUGUCGACGCUGAAUUUCUCGAUGUCAAGGCCUCUCCGGAUGCUUUUUAUAUAUCUCUCGACAUUGCGAAAAGAUUUCCAAUUUCCUUUUGUGACAUUUCCUUUACAGCAUAUGCUACUUUCUGCGUCACACUCCUUUAACUGUCAUAUCUCUUUUUUCUUGGGAUUUUUGGGUUCUCUAUCGUGCAUAAUCUUUAGCUUUAGGUUUAUCAUUUGGUAGGUAAUGUCAACAUCAUAAAUUAACAUAAUUGAAGUUCAUCCUCAUCACAUACAUUGGGGAUGUAUAUUGUUCGAGAAUAUUGUAAUUGAUUUUCAUUUCAUCUUUUUGAAAAUGUUUAUUUAUGUCCCUCAUAUGUUGUUGAUUUUCAUUUUAUCUUUCCAAAAAUUCUCUUACAUACUACCACUACAUGAAAUUGGAGUUUUUUCAACGCAGAAAAUGGCAUCGGGAUAACGAACGUCGUAAAAAAGGGGUUUUGUCGACAUAGCGAGAACAGUGUCAGCAUUGGUCUUCAAUAACGACGUCAGGAGACAACGUCACAAAAGAGGGGGAAACAGUGACGUCGUUUAUGAAGUCAUGGAAGCUUUUUGUUUAAAAAAUAUUCUUUAGUUUCCACAACGUCAUGCACGUCCACAUCGUCGUUUCUUCCCUAACGGCAAUAUCGUAAAGGACAGCAUCGGUGAAGCCCUAAAAAUUAUUAAAAUUGUAGAUUUCUCGCGACAUCUACUGAAGUUGCGUCAUCAUUGGCCUAUCUACAAUGACGCACGUUGACCACGUCAGUAAAGGUCUAACCUUUAAAUCACUAUGAAACCUUUUGCCGACGUAUUAGUCGUUGAUGUCAUCAAAAGUUUGAUGAUUUUAUUGAUUUGGAAAAGGUAAUGUUGGCGUCAUAAGUGACACAUCGUCAUUAGGUUAGCUUUUAACAACGCAACCACUUACAGCGUCGUUAAAAGGUGGGUUUUGCGACGUUUUUGUAGUGCGUCGCGAGAACUCUAGUUGUUUUAGUUGUGUUCACAUAACACAAAACCAAAGUGAAGAACCAAAACUAAGAAGAAGAGAAAAAAGAAAGAGGAGAGGGAGACGUCACCAUUGUUGUUGUUUUCGUCAUCGAUAAUGUCGUCGGUCGUUGUUCGGCACUGUCCGUCACACCCAUCAACCUCCUAUCUGAGCCUUAGUUCAUCAUCUCUACUGGUAAAAAUAUUUAUUUUUCAUGUAUAUUAUAUGUGUAUUAAUGUAUGUUUAGUUGUGUAUAUGUAUAUUGUAAAUUGUCAGCGUAGAUUGUAUAUUUUUUAUAUAUGUUUGUUAUUAAGUAUAAUGCAUGAAUAUGUUAAAUUAAAUUGAAAUUGAAGUUGAAAUUGUUGUUGUAGGUAUGUUUAUGGUAGAUUGUAAAUUAAAAUUGUAUAUUGUAUUUAUGUUUUAUUAUAAAUUGUAAAUUUUAUAUCAAUUUGAAAUUGUUAUUGUAUGAUUUGUUUCUUAUAAAUUAUAAAUUAUAAAUUGAAAUUUUUGUAUGAAUUAGUUAAAUUGAAAUUGUAUAGAGGGAUAAUAAUUAGUGAAAUUGUGAUUUUGGUUGUCGUAAAGAGAUUUAAAUAUAUUGAAAUUGUUAUUAAGAAUUAUCUUAGCCCUUAGUUUAUUAUAAUUUAGUCAAGUGUUAGGUUGCUACCAACACCUGUUAGAAGUAUUAAAUAGAUUUUUUAGUUUAAACUUUAGAUAUAGUGAAAGUUGAUAUAUUGAAUAUUUGUGAGGUGUGAUUUAUUCAUCGUGGAAAUUUAGCAUUUGAAAGAAUAAAUCACUACGACAAAAAUGACAUUUUAUGACGGUUAAUACAAUCCAAAAUUUAAAAAUGGAGAAAAAAUUGUGACGGAAGGUCAAAACACGUGUUUUUGACGGAAAAAAACGUUUUUGGAUUCUACGUUUUGGUGACAGUUAUUUAUGGUACAAUGUAAAAAUAUUAAAUAAUUUUAUUUUAAUAAAAUUUAUUAAAAUAAAAUAUAAUAUAUUUCUAAUUUUCUCUUUCCCUCCCUCUCCAUCUCCACGAAAGAAAUUCCUUCUCUCCAUAACUCGUUUCGGUCAGCCACACAAAAACGCACAUACUUCUCAUCGGCUGAGGGCGACCCACGAAAGUUGACGACGACCACGAAAGUUGAGGGUCAGCCAUACAGAAGUUCUUCAGUGACCCACACCAACUUGUACCGCCCACGCGAAUGACUGUUGGUGACCGACGACAAACGACGGUAGGUGUUCCACGACGGUCGGAUGUGUUACCAAUCGCUCCCUUCGUAGAUAUAUGGCCGAUCCAUCAAUACUGAAAGCCCUAAUUUUUUAUUGGGGUGGAUUUGAUAGCAAUGCGUAUUCCUUUCCCCACAUUGAGCGGUGGCAGAAGAAAUUGAGGGUACAUAAGAAGAUUUCUCUGAUUCGUAUACCUCAUCUCUCUUUUCCUCUUUUUGCUUUCUUCUCUUUCCAAUUUCCGAGUAUCUGUGAAAUAGGAAUAGUUGGUGAAUUUUUUUUCGCUCCUCUUUUUUGUGUGGUGCUAUUUUUUUUUUUUUUUAUUGUUAGUGCAUUUCUGGUUCUUGUUUUUCUAUUUUGCUAGAAGUUGAAAUCAAUGUUGUUUGUAAGGAUGAUAAGCUUCAGAAGGAGAGAGUUAGUUCCUUGCGUGGAGUAAAACUAACAUUGUUGGUAGAAUUAUAAGCCAGGUUUAUUUCAUAUGUAUGUUUAUGUAGUCUCUUUAAUUUAUGUCUUUUAAAUUCCUUUGUUAUCAGAUCAAACAAGGUUAAGGUUCUUCUGUGUAUUUUCUUGGGUAUAUAUUGCAGAGAACAAAUUUAAUUUCUUUAUAUCGUUUAUUUAUUGUGUUUUUAUCUGUACUUCCAACAUAGUGUAAUUGAUGGUUAAGUCAUUUUUGUCAUUCCAAUUUUCACUGUAGUAAUAACAGUGAUUUUAAUGUUUAUAAGAUAUAUGAUAUCUGGUAUGUAAGUUACGUUCUCAACAUUGGAGUUGUUAAGACGAGGCAUGACAGUGAAAACUGGGGUAUGUACUUAGUUAUAGUUGAUAAUUUUUUUUCAACUGAGACCUAGGUACGUAAACAUCAAUUUUGCUAGAAUUAGAAAUGAAAAUUUGGUUUUUGAUUCCACUUUACUCAUUCAUUGAGGAAGAAGCUAGUCAUGUUGAGGGAUUUAGUUGGAACUAUCUUUUUCUUGUGUGUGUUUGUCUGUUGAGUAUAAGUUUUGGUAUAAAAGAGGUAUUUUAACUUUUGUAUUCUUCUUCCUUUGUAUGCUGUCAACUGCGUUGAAGUAGUAAGGCAAGUUUUUCACGGCGCAGGAAACAAAUAAGAGCCACCAGAAUCUUUUUCCAAAAUUAUUUAUUGAUUUUAUCACAUGUGAAUGUAUAUAUGAUCAUAUGUACUCUUAACUUUUUUUAUAGCCACGUAGUUCCCUUUAACUUCUCCUAUAAAUAUGUGCACCAAUGAAGAGGCUUAAAAUCCACCAUAAGAGAAAAAAAAAAACAAGAAAAUAUUCGAUUCAAUUCAAUUAGGUACGAGAUUAAAAGAAAGAUAAUGAAUAGUAGUUGUCUGCAGAAUUGGCCAGAGCCGGAGGUGUGCGUGUGCAGUCGCUGGCAGAGAGUGGAAUAAGUAAAAUUCUUUACAUCUCUGUCUAUCUAAAUAUUUUUCUUGUUCUCCAUUGAUUUUUUUUUUUUUUGGGUGGGGUGCUAGACUUGAACAUUAUUAUAUUUAUCUAUUGACUUUUCAAUUUGAAGAAUGGAUUUAGUAUAGAUGAAGGAUGAGUUCUCCAUUGAUUUAGUAUAGAAGGGAAAGUUUCCAUAUAUGGUUUCUCCUUUUCAUUUUCUUCAAUUUUUCAAGGGAAAACUCACAAAUCAUUCUUGGUAUGCUAAGAAGAAAGCCUUUUGCUAUGCUAAAAAAUAAAAUAAAAUAAUUGUUUACAACAUCUUCCUAAUGUGAAUCUACAUUUUCCAUUUUUUUGUUAUUCCUUAAGAACUUGCUUGAUGUUCUCGAAUCAGUGCUCAACCAUUUUUUGUUCAUCAUGAAGGAAUAAAUUCAAUUGUUAAAGAUAAAGAUCUGUUUGUUUCUUUGUUCGUUUGUUUUUUUAAUUGACGUGAUCUAGAGUAUUUGGUAUGAAAGAAAUAAGAUGUUUUUUUAAGAAUAAAAGGGUUUCUUGGGAGGAAAGCUAAGGUGCAUAUGACCUUUAUCUAAAGCUUAUUGAUAUUCAGUUUUUUAGUUUAAUUCCUGUUGGGUAAUUUGCUUUUUUUUUUUUAAUGUAAUUUUUAGUUUUGGUCUUGGGCUUCCUUGUUUCUAGUUACUGCUACUAAUAGUUGUCUUCAGAUUGUAAAUUUAAUUAUCGAUAAGAACUUUUUUCCCCUCUUUUUUACUUUAUUUGAUUGUUUUUGUUCAGAAUGAUUUCUUGCCAAGAACUGCCACAUCCGUCAAUCUUUUGGUAUGUGUCACUUUUGAGCUAACUUUUUUGGAUCUAUAACUAUUCCAUUAUUGUUGAUGGGUCCAAGGUUUUUUUGCAUUCUCAUCAUUGUUUGCAACUGGAUGCGAAAAAAGUAGUAAUUUUGACAAGUUGCUAUUUCAUUUUUUGUUUAAACAUGGACAUCCCUUACGAGUUACUUACAGCAUCAAACGUGUAAGAUUUAUGAUCGUGAACAUAGGGAAGGUUAGCUCUAACCAUUGAAAUAUUUAGUGUAUUGAAAUUGCUAGGAUGCCACAGUUUUUUUUUUCAAAGUUGCCUUGUUAGAAUUCUAAAAAUCAAAUGGUUUAUUUUGAUAUUGUUUGUAGAAUGAUUGAAGUCAUAUUAGAUUGAAAGCUAAGUGAUUGUGUAGAUAGCGAGGUGAUCAUUGAAGGUUGAAAGCCAGGUGAUCAUUGAAGGUUGAAGGUUGAAGGUUGAAGACUGAUAAUGCGUUCAAGAUUUCUUAUUUAAGUCUUGAAUUUGGAUCUUGUUUCAUGUACUCUUGUAAAAUAUAUACAUAAACACAAUAUUAAGAUUUCAUUUUGUGUAUGCACAUGUAAAAGAUAAAUAUUAUAGUUUCUAAAUGAAUAUUAAUUUUAUUAAUUUGUUGGAGUGAAAAAAAUAUUUAUCUAUACCGACCAAUAUCAGUUUAUAAAAAAUGGACAAUAAUGCAACAAUUAAAUAAAAAUAAAUUUGUAAAAAUGGACUAAAAAUCAAAGCUUUAAUGUCGUUUUUAAACUGACAUUGUUGGACUUUUUAAUGUCGGUUGUAAGGGCAACCAACACUAAAGAUCUUAAGUAACACCAUAAAAAAAGUCAGUUUAAAAAUGACAUUAAUGCCCAAUAAUGUCGUUUCUAAACCGACUUUAAUGAGGUCUUUAAUGUUGUUUUUAAACCGACAUCAGAGAAAAAACGACAUUAAAGCCCUUUAAUAACGCUAGCAUAGAUGUCGGUUGCCAACCGACACUAAAGGCCAUUAAUGUCGGUUUUAAACCGACAUUAAAGGUCAAAUUUCUUGUAGUGACAAUUCAAUCUCACUAGAUGUACCUUUUAGUUGAUGCUUGUUUUUCAAUCCAAUCAUGAUAAUAAGUAUUGUAACACAUUAACACUAGGUCUACUGUAACACAUUAACACUAGGUCUACUGUAACACAUUAACACUAGGUGUACUGCAACAACUGUAACACUAGAAAUUAACAACCUUAUAAAAUGAAUGACAAAAUUCAAAUGAAGUGUUUCAACUUGAUUUUGGUAGUUCUUCACAGUUCAUUAAGAAUGUAGAGUGAUGCAAAAUGAUGUACUAGGGGAACGUAGCUUUCUAAAGCAUGGAGGAUCUAUUAUGAAACCUGGUUUGUCCAUAUUAUACUUUAUGGUACUAUUUCAAACUUUCUUCUUUUCAAUUUUUAUAGCACCACUUUUAUUUCAUUUCUUAGGCAGUAGAUUCUUUGUUUCAUUGUUGCCUUUUUAGAGUACAGUUUUCAUUAAUUUUCUUUGUUUAUUCUUCUUUUGUUCUGUCUUUUUCUCUUUUAUUUAACUCUCCUAACAAUUGUGGAUUGUGUUUGUGUAUUUGGUACUUUUUUUUCUUUCUUUCUCUAUUUUGUUCAUAUUCUUGGUAUAAUGUAUUUGAAUUGUGUUUGUGUAUUUGGUACAUUGUGUUAUGGUAUUGACUGAAGACAUAUGUUCUGUAUGUGUCAUUUUCACUGUUUUUUUAUUGUGUUGGGAGGGGGCUGGAACGAAGGAUUGGGAGGGGGGCUGAAAUUGUUAUCACAAAAGUUUGGGCACUCUAGUUAUUUUUCUAUAAUCUCAAUAUUGUUUUUUUUCAAUCUUACAUCAAUGGUAAUGUUCCUUAAUUGCCUUUAAAUAACUUUAAGUAGAACCUCCUCAUAGGUAAUGUUCUCUAAUCAUAUUGUAAAUGAGAUUUUGUUUUCUUACUAGGUUUGGAAUAAUCCAUUUGGAGCAUUGAAGCCAAUUUGGAGCAAUUGAUUGAUAUAACAUCUUUUGUAUGGUUGAUAGCAAACUCUUGCUUUCAAUGUAUUGAUUUUAGGCUUCUUGCUUCCAAUGUCAAUGUAUAUUUUUUUUUCUAUGGAAACUACAUUUGAACUAAACAAAUGGUUAUUAAUCAAUGAGUGUGUAUGAAUACUACAAAGUGUAUCAUUAUGUAUAUAUAUUAAAGUGUUGACUUAUUGUUUUCAUAUGAGUGUGAUGUAUUAUUGUUAUUGUUAUUGAAGUUUUUAGUGUAAUGGUUUAGCGACAAAAAAAAACAAGAAUUGAGGAAUACACAACACGAAAAAAUAUCAUAAUAUACAAAUUCGUAACAUUUUUUUUAUCGUCAAUAUCGAAACAAUGAUAAUUAAAUUUUAUAAAAAUUGUUACGAUUGGUCUAUCCAUGACAAGAAAAAAAUGUCAUAAUAUAUUAAUUCGUGACAUUUUCAUAACUGUCGUCAAUAUCGAAUCAAUGACAAUUAAAUUUUACAAAAAACUUUCACGAUUGGCAUAUUCUUGACAGUAAAAAAAUGUCAUAAUAUAAGAAUUUGUGACAUUUUUGUAACUUUCGUAAAUGUGUAAAUUGUAACAGUUAUUUGUUGUCAUAAAAUACUAAUUAAUGACAUUUAUUUUUUGUCGUGAAAACGCAUUUGUGACAGUUUUUUAGAACUGUCAUAGAAGAACUUUUCACGACAUGCAAUAUUAUGACUGUAAAUAACCGUCACAAAUUUUUUCCAUGACAAAAAACAACGGUCAUCGUAGACCACUUUUCUUGUAGUGAAUAUAAGACUAAUUACACGUAUUUAUGUUCUAGGUCUUUAACGAUAGACAAGAGUUGGAUGAAACUUAGGAAUAAGUGUUAUCCGUUGAGUAAAGAGAGGAAGUUUUAAUUUUUAGAAGUUGUCAAGUGUUAUCUGCUGAAUAUUUCUGCCAAAUAACCCUUUCUAUUGUAGGUCUUUUGGACCCACAAGCAAUGAUCUACUAAUCUUUUCUCAAGGAAAAAUUUGGUGGUUCUUGGGUGUGUCUAAGAGGGUUUUCAUAGUGGUCCUCAUCCAUUUGAUGGACUCGUGUGUGAUGCAAGAGAGAAAGACUUGUACGGCCCAAUUUCAGUGAUGAGAAGCUUGAGAUCUCUAGCUCUUUUUGUCUAUUGAUAUCAUGAAGUCUUUCUUUUCAAUGGAACAUGAUCGGGGGAGUUGCUUUAUGAAAGCCAUGCGGUAGAGAGAUGAAAGUACUGAAAGAGGAAGGGACAAGAAAAAAAGAAAAGUACCUGUAUUUGAAGGGUUAGAUUCUGAGGUGGUUGAGUGAUGUUAAUGCUAGCCGGAGUGUUUAUUGGAAGUUCUGAUGAAGCUGAUACAUUCUUCCAAUGCCUCCGUUCCUUGCCCCUUACUGUUUACCUCCAUUUAUUAGCAUAUUUCAAAAUUUCAAAAUUGAAACAUACUGUGUUGCCAUUUCCUACUUUGUGUCCUCAUCUUUUCAAUUCUAUCAUUCACUUCUCUCUUCAAUUUUUAUAUACCAUCUCAACUGUAAUAGAAUAAUAGAAUACAUGUGUCUUCUAGUUCUAGUUUCAUUACUGUUGUGUCUCUCUUUUAUUUUCUUAUUUUUAAAUCUUCCUCAUUUUGUUAUGAAAUUAUUCAAUCAUUAUUAUAUUUAUUUUGUGUGCAAUGUCUUUUUAAAAGAUAUUUUUAGUUUAAAUUUAUUAUCUCUUAGUUUGCAUUUUUGCAUUAUCGAUUAUUCUGAAAUUUUGAGUUUCUUUUUUAUUUGUCAUUGGUUGUGCUCAUUUUUUACGAGAUAUUUUAAAUUUAGAUGUAUUAUUUUUAAAUUUUGUUUGCAUUUGGUAUUAUGGAUUGUUUUCAAAUUUUGAGCUUUUCUUUCUCUGUUGUGUGAUGUUUUUUUUUUUUUUUUGCUUGCAUUUCACUUCCUAAUUUAGACAUAUAUUUUGUUUAUUGAUUAUAUUUUUAGUUUAGAUUUAUUAAUUUUUGGCUUGCAUAUUAUAUAGAUUAUAUUGUUUUUUUUUUAAAUUUAGGAUUUUCUUCUUCUCCUUUUUUGUCAUUUGUUAUGGGAUGUUUUUUUACAAUAUAUUUUAAUUUAGAUUUAUUAAUUUUUACGCUUGUAUUUUGUAUAUAGAUUGUUUUUGAAAUUUAGGGUUUUCUUCUUGUUCUUUUUUUGGUCCUUUGUUAUGUGAUAUUUUUUAUGAGACGAUUUAUGUCUUUUGGUCCAUUGUUGUGUGUUUUCUCUUUAUGAGACAUUUUUAUUGUUUGUUAUUUAGCUUAGGACUAAUUUUGAAAAUUGAGUUUUUUUUUCUUUUUUUGUCCUUUGUUGUUGUGUGAUGGUUUUUAUGAGACAUUUUUAAUUUAAAUUUAUUAUCUUUUAGUUUGUUGCUUCCAUUUUGCAUUAAGGAGUUUUGAAAUUGUGUGUGUUUCUUUUUUUUCUUUUUUUUUUUGUCUUUUGUUGUGUGAGACUUUUUAUGAAACAUUUUUAAUUUAGAUUUAUUGUUUUUAAAUGGAAAUUGUAAUGACCCAACUUUUUUAAGUAAGUCGAGGUCAUUAAUUUUUAACAAAUAAAAGACUUUGAUUGAUAUAAAACGAAACGUAAGCUAAUUUAAAAACAUCUUUAAGUCAGGCAUGAUUUUCAAACAUUCAAGAAAACAUAAAAAAAAUACUAUUUACAAUAAACGUUUGUAAACUAAAUUUCAAUUCAUCUUAAACCUCAGAAGAACCCAUAAGCGAAAGCAAAUAACACGUUUCCUAUGGCAAUCACGCUUCCUUCCUGCCCCUCGCCGGUUUGCCGCCUUUAUUACCUUUGCCUGAAAAUUAAACAUAAGAAGGGUGAGUAUUUAAAUACUCAGUAAGAGACCCUCUACUGGUCCCGUCAGGGGAAAAUAAAUUGUUAACGUUCUAUUGGGACACCUUGUACAGUCGCAGUCUUGUGACCCCAAGGAUACACAUCUCAGUCUAACGCCCCGAGGGACGUACAUAUCAGUCUAGUGUUAUGCAGAAACACAUAUCAGCCUAAUGCUCCCGAAGGUGCAAAAUAAAUUGGUGAUCCCGUGGGACACCUACAAGGUACACAUCCCAAUAAAACUAACAAUUUUCCCCUCAUUCCAUUCAAUCCAUCUUUCAGUUACUUCAAAACAUAAAGUUCUUUCUCUCAACGUCCUAACAGUCAACUUAUUUUACUUUAGUCAUAUGUUUGUCAAUAAUAUACUAAUACGUCAGUCAAUCAACUAUACAGUCAAUACACCCCUCAGUUCACCAGCACACCGUCGCGUAACGUACACCCAAUCUAAACGAGAAUCACAAGUUCACAUCUACAUCUCAUACAAACACAAUCUACAAUCUUCGUCCUGUCCACAUACACACACUUAUAUAUAUGUUCCAUGACAAUCACGAUAUACAUUCGACGUUAAGUCUACUUCAAUUCAUAUGCAUUCAUAUAUAUUUUCAGUCAAUCCACAGUAUACAUUCAACACACAUACAGUUCACAAUCAUAAUUGAGUCCAGUAGAAAAUCCCUUACUUCGCGAAACUAGUUCCAACUAGAAUCAAUUGUUUGCUGCGAACCCAAGGAAUUCAAACGUUACCUUCAACCUAUAAUCGAACAGUAAACGAUUUCUCCAACCAAUUAGUCCAGCAAUAUUACUUGAGUUUAUUUUGGAAACAGUUACGAAUUUCAUAACUUCAAUCUUACCAAUCAGAAUUUCAUAACUUCAAUCUUACCAAUCAGAAUUUAAUGACUCGUGGCAAAGCAGGAACGACACCUAACGACCCAAUCCUGCAGCAGGACGAAGGAGGAACUCCACGCGCAGAAAGUUGGAUCUGGGGUCUUUAGUUCGGUUCACGGCAGGUGUUAUUCGCGGAAGAAGUCGAGCAGUAGCUUUGCGAAGAGACGACGUGCGACGGAGAGACCGUAUAGAGACGGACGGAGAGUCACACGGCAGUGCAGACAACGGAGGAGAAGGGAUCGGCGGCGGCUGGCUGAAAACAGAGGAGAAAGGAGAGGAAUGGGCGGCGGCUGGCUUGGACGGCGGUUGUGAGCGGAGGACGUGGCGGUUACUGGUUCACGCGGCGGCUUUGGCUUCGACGGAGACAGAGCAAGGACGCGGAAACGGUUGCAGCGGCGGCGAGGCUGGGCACGGCGACGCAGAUCUGGACCGGGCAGCGGCGGAAGAGCAACGGCGCGGUCUUGCUUUGCGAACGGAGAUGGAGACGGCAGAUCGGGCGUUCGGCUUCAGUAGGGGAGACGCGGCGGUGAGGCUGGGUUUGAUCGGAGCGGAGAGGAGAAGAGAAGAUGGAGAUGGCCGGCGGCGGUUGCUGCGCGAACGGAGAGAAGGGAGAUGGGAGUCGCGGCGCACGGGGAGGAAGAAGAAGAGAGAAAAUAAAAGAAAAAGAAAAAAAAUAAUAAAAAAUUUCUUUAUUAUUUUUUUAUUUAUUUAAAUUAAAAAAUAUAUAUAUAAAAAUGAAAUAAAAUAUAUAUAUAUAUAUAUAUAUAUACCUUUUGGUUUGUCCCAAUACAUUUGUUUUGUCCCUUUUUCUUCUAUACAACAUUUUUUGUAUAUAAUUGUAGAAUCUUUUUACUAUGUGUUUAGUUUCACUUUACUUACUAAAGAUUUCAUAUCAGUUAUUUUAGUUUAAUCUGUUAGUUCUAUUUUAAUUCGGUACAUUGUAGUUCACUUACUCAACGCUUUUUGUUCUAUUGACAUCCAAUCUAUUAUUGGAGAAUUGUCAAAAAUGACAAAGUUGACAAAAUAUUUACAAGUUAUAGCAAAUUUUCAGAUUUUAUCAAUGACAUUGAUAGGCAAUGAUCGAAGGAUAUCAUUAUUUUCAAUUUUUAAUUUUAUUAUUUUCUUAAUUAAUUAGUUGGUAUAUUGAAUUUGUAAGCGUACAGAUUUCUCUAAAAUGUUUCUUUUUUUUUUUUUUUGCUUUUUUUAGUUUCAUUUUUUCUUUUUUCUCUUUUCUUUUUUUGUUCUUAGUUGUGUUAUCUUUUAUAUGAGUCAUUCUUAAAUUUAGUUUUGAUUUAUUUUCCUUUCAGCUUGUCUGCCUUUUGCACUAUAGAUUGUUCUCAAAUUUUUAAGGGUCAUUUUUGUCCCUCGGAUUUGAUGGAAGUGUUGUGCCUAUACUCCACGUUUAAUUUGGCUCACAAACUACCCUAAUCCUAGGAUUAGGUUUUUCAUUCUUCCUCCUAGUCGGUUGCCAACUCUUCCACUCCUCUUUGUCACUGUUCCUUCGAAAACCUUUCUUCGUCAUUGUUUUUCACUCCCAUCUUUUCCUCUUUUUCCCUUCCUCAAAUCCCUCGUAAGUAUGUAUGGAGUGGGUGUCUCCUGAUGCCUACAUAUGAAGAACUCCUGACGUCAGCAUUUGGGAGUUGUAUAUGAUCUGUCGACGCUGAAUUUCUCGAUGUCGAGAAUGCCUCUCCGGAUGCUUUUUUUAUAUCUCUCGACAUUGGGAAAAGAUUUCCAAUUUCUUGUUGUAACAUUAUCUCUACAGCAUAUGCUAAAUUCUGCGUCACACUCCUUUAACUGUCAUAUCUCUUUUUUCUUGGGAUUUUUGUGUUUUCUACUGUGCAUAAUCUUUAGCUUUAGGUUUAUCAUUUGGUGGGUAAUGUCAACAUCAUAAAUUAACAUCCUAUUUGUAGUAAAAUUCAACUUCAUCCUCAUCACAUACAUUAGGGAUGUAUAUUGUUCAAGAAUAUUGUAAUUGAUUUUCAUUUCAUCUUUUUGAAAAUGUUUAUUUAUGUCCCUAACAUAUUUUGUUGAUUUUCAUUUCAUCUUUCCAAAAAUUUUCACUUACAUACUACCACUAUAUGAAAUUGGAGUUUUUUCGACGCAGAAAAUGGUGUCGGGAUAACGAACGUGGUAAAAAAGGGGUUUUUCCUACAUAGCAAGAACGAUGUCAGCAUUGGUCUUCAAUAACGAAACCAGGAGACAACGUCGCAAAAUAGGGGAAAACAGUCGCAAAAGAGGGGGAAAACAACGACGUCGUUUAUGACGAAGUCAUGGAAUCUUUUUGUUUAAAAAGUAUUCUUUAGUUUCCACAACGUCAUGCACGUCCACAUUAUCGUUUCUCCCCUAACGACAAUGUCGUAAAGGAUAGAUCGAUGAAGCCCUAAAAAUUAUUAAAAUGGUAGAUUUCUUGCGACAUGAUCUACUGAAGUUGCGUCAUCAUUGGCCUAUCUAUGACGAUGCACGUUGACCAUGUCGGUAAAGGUCUAACCUUUAAAUCACUAUGACAAAACCUUUUGCCAACGUAUAAUUAGUCGUUGAUGUCGUCAAAAGUUUGAUGAUUUGAUUGAUUCGGAAAAGGUAAUGUCGGUGUCAUAAGUGACACAUUGUCAUUAGAUUAGCUUCUAACAACGCAACCACUUACGGCAUCGUUAAAAGGUGGGUUCUUGCGACGUUUUUGUAGUGCUUCGCGAGAACCCUAGUUAUUUUAGUUCAGUGUUCAUAUAACACAGAACCAAAGUGAAGAACCAAAACUAAGAAGAAGAGAAAAAAGAAAGAAGAGAGGGAGACGUCGCCAUUGUUGUUUUUUUCGUCAUCGGCACUGUCGUUGUCUGUCGCUGUCCGUCACACCCAUCAACCUCCUAUCCGAGCCUUAGUUUAUCGUCUCUACUGGUAAAAAUGUUUAUUUUGCAUGUAUAUUAUAUGUGUAUUAAUGUAUGUUUAGAGUUUAAGGAUUGUGUAUAUGUAUAUUGUAAAUUGUAUGUGUAGAUUGCAUAUUGUAUGUAUGUUUGUUAUUAAAUAUGAUGUAUGAAUAUGUUAAAUUAAAUUGAAAUUGAAGUUGAAAUUCUUAUUGUAGGUAUGUUUAUGGUAGACUGUAAAUUAAAGUUGUAUAUUGUAUUUAUGUUUUAUUAUAAAUUGUAAAUUUUAUAUGGUAUUGUAUUUUUAUUAUAAAUUGUAAAUUGAAAUUGUUAUUGUAUGUUUGUUUCUUAUAAAUUAUAAAUUGAAAUUGUUGUAUGAAUUAGUUAAAUUGAAAUUGUAUAGAUUGAUAAUAAUGAGUGAAAUUAUGAUUUUGAUUGUCGUAGAGAUUUAAAUACAUUGAAAUUGUUAUUUAUUUAGAACUAUCUUAGCCCUUAGUUUAUGAUAAUUUAGUCGAAGUGUUAGGUUGCUACUAAUGUAUAUUAGUUGGUUAGUUGGAAGUGUUAGAUAUAGUGAAAGUUGAGAUAUUGAAUAUUUGUGAGGUGUGACUUAUUCAUUGAGGAAAUUUAGCAUUUGAGAGAAUAAAUAUAAGACUAAUUACAUGUAUUUAUGUUUUAGGUUUUUAACGAUGGACAAGAGUUGGAUAAAACUUAGGAAUAAGUGUUAUCCGUUGAGUAUAGAGAGGAAGUUCCAAUUUUUAGAAGUUGUCAAGUAUCACGUCGAUGAGUACGGAUGGAUAAGAUGUUCAUGCAAGAGAUAUAUGAACUCGAAUUGGAACUCAUUAAAGGGUGUGGAGAUAUAUUUAUUAACGAUUGGAAUAUGCCCCUCCUACACAGAUUUGGUGUAUCCUGGAGAGCUAAUGAACUUGUAUAGAGGUAUAAAAAUAUUUGAUGAAGAAACUAGUAAUGACCUUUUCCAUGAAACAACUAGCAGUGACUCAUUCCAUAAAAUAACUAGCAGUGACUCAUUCCAUGAAACAACUAGCGGUGACCCAUUCCAUGAAACAACUAGCGGUGACCCAUUCCAUGAAUCAAAUAGUCGUAAUCCAUUUUCUGAAGACAGUGAAAUGUUGGGUAUGUUGCGCGAUUUACAAGUGACGAUUGAACAGGAACAAGAAACGGUAGAUGAAGGUUGGACAAUGACAUGCCAUUAAAUAGUAGAAGAGGAAACGACGAAUAUAUUUCAGGAGUUAUUAAACCAAGCACGUCGUGAGCUACUCUGGCUGUUCAAAAUUUUCAUCCCUUAACUUUUUGGUUACGAUGAUGCAUGUGAAAGUUAUCAACGGUUGGAGCAACAAGUCCUUUGACAUGAUGUUAAAGAUAAUAAGAUGUGUGUUUCCAAUAUGUAGUACCAAUGUCUCUAGCUCAUUCUACGAGGCUAAACGAAAAUUGGGUGACUUGGGCUUGGGUUACGUGACUAUUUAUGUCGUAAGUACAACUGUGCCAUUUUGCAUCGUUGUAGCCUUCGCUGACGUGAACAGCAUCUGGCGACGCGUGGCUGUGUCGGAAAAAACCACAUUUCUUGUAGUGUACACUAGAACAAAAGAAAUUCAAGUUGCAAUGAUUGAACAAAUUUCAAACCUCUGGUAAGGCUCCUAUUUCUCUCUACUUUAUUUUACUUCUGGUGCUAGAAUUGGUAUGCUUUCGUUAUUUAUCAACUUUGGUGUUAAAUUUUAGUCAUUUAGAUUUGCCUAAUAUUUUUUUUCUUUGAUCUUUUUCAGGAUUCUCCAUUUCAUAACUCUUUUUGCAUGGUAAUAUGGUUGCAAUGUUUCAAUGCUUGUAGUUAUGUAUUUAAGAAACUUUUGUACCCAAAUGGUUUACUUGUACACUUUUUUCGUGCAACUUUUUUUUUUUUUUUUUUUUUGCAUUGAAUAUAUUACUCAUUUUCUUGAAUGAUCACUCAAUUAGGGCAAUCAUGUUUUUAACUCUGAACAAUUUAAUGUGAAAUGUGAUGUGACCUAAGUUUCAAAAAUGUCUUCGAAAAAAUAUGUUAGGAAAUACUUGGUUAAUUUGAUAACUUCAAAAAUUACUUUGCAAAAAUAACUUAGGUGUAAAUAAAGAAAAACUAGUUUGCAAAAAUAUCUUAGGAAAAGUUUCUUUUAAAAAUAACUUUGGGAAAAUUGUGUUUCAAAGUUACUGAUUAAACAUCAAAAAAUUAAUUGUGUUUAAUUUAGUAAAAAUGACGAGAGAGAAAAAAAAGCACAACACAAACAAAUAAACAUAAUAAAAAUGAUGUUUGGUAAUUAGGUUGGUAGUGUUUUCAUUCAAUCAACUUUUUUUAGCUUUUAAUAUAAAUUUUAAAAGAAUAAUUUUUUCGAAAAGCUAAAUUCUUUUUUAUUGAAAAUUUCUUUUAAUUAUGAGAAGAUUUAUCUCAAAAGAAGAUUUGAAGAACAUACAAAAUUAUUGUAUCAUGUAAAGAAGAGAUUUAUCAUGCAUAUUUUCAAAGAAGAAAAUCGGUAUCAUAACUAUAGGGAUUUUGUAUGCAAUAUUGGGGUUUUUUUUUUUAAAUAGAAAAAGUUGAAUAAUUUUUAUAGUUUAUAAAAUUGAACUAUUAAUAGACAAAUUUCAUUACACUUUCAUACAAAUAUUUUGUCAAAUAUUUUAUUUUUGACAAUUUCUCUACAAUGUUAGACUUUAUAUCUCACAAAUCUAAAUAUCACAAUUUGCAAAAUGUUUGAGUUUUGCAGUAUUUGAUAAUUAGGUCGGUUGUGAAAUCAUGAAAAAACUUGUAUAAUUAUUUUUAAAAAUUACAAAAUUAGUAACCUUAUAACUUUUUUUAAAAAAAAUCAAUAUCAACAAAAUGAACCUUUACAAAGCAAUGAAACAGAACAUUAAAAUAAAAUGUAGUAAUUAAACUUUCUCCUAAAAUUAUUUACAUGACAUGUUUACUUACAAAAAAUAUAAUUGAACUGGUGAACUUGCGUAUGGAGGGAGACCUUUCUUCUUCUAAGAUAUUCUCUCGAAAAGUGAGAAAGAAUCAAAAGCAUGCUUAUAAAGGCUUUGAAUGGGACCAUGUCCUUUACUUUGAGUCGAUAGCGAAAGCUAGUCCCCUUGUGAAUUGAGAGGUAGUGAGUUUCUAAUGGUUCCACAAUAACUUUCUACAAUACUAAAUGUAUUCACAACCUUACAACGUCAGUUACUCAAUGAUCACAAGAGCUAGGGUACAUAUGUCUAUCGACUGUAGGCAUUGAAUUAGGCAGUUAGCAUACUUCCCAUAAUCCAUGAAUUUGACCUAGUUUGUCGUCAAUGUACUAGAAGAUGUUUCAUCAUUCUAUAUCAUCUACUUAGGACCUUAGUGGAUUAACGGGAACAGAAGUCAUAGAUGUCAAGGAGAUGGUUGUCAUGUUUUUCACAUAUUAGUAUUAGCGCACAACAUUGAGAAUUGAAAAAUUCAAAGAGAGUUUGUAUGGUCUGAUAUGUGAGAAAGUUUUUAAGCAUUUCAACAUGCCCACUGGCACUCCGAUUAAGAAAAGUCAAGCAGCUUCUUUGCUUUUUCUAGCUUCCUCAAUCAGUUCAGCUCUCUAGCUUACUCUUCUGGAAAACUAGCUCAACGGAUCAUGUGGAUCUAGCAAACUCUGCCUGAUUCUUAUUCACUGCCUAGCGCCUUAUUCAUACUCUUUGUUUCUUCAUGGAAGAGCUGAUCGCUCACUCUUUUAUCGGGUAAUCGGGUCAAUGAGAAUAAGAGGUGCCUAUCACUAUAAGAAAACGGAGUUAUCUCAACGCACAAAAAUGCAUCGGGAUAGCCAAAUUAGGGAAACAAAGCUCACCCCAAUGCUGUAGAUUUUGUGUCGGUCGGCGUAGUCCUCUGCCCCGACGUAGUGUUGAAGAUGUUGGACAACAUAACACUUUUCCGUUGCAAUGCACAAAAAUGUCGGGGAAACAUUUUGUUUAAAUAAUAUAUAUUUUCUCUAACGCCAUGAAAGUACACGUUGAGGAUGCCCCAACUAUGACCGAUGUGGAAGUAUGUGGCGUCGAGAAAAAUAGAAAUUAUUUUUUUAAUUUAUGAUUUUUCUGACGUUUACAUGCAUGGCGUCGAGAAUUGGUCCAAUUAUGCCAACAUUAGUGUUAACCAUAUCGGGAAAAAUUUAACCUUUAAAUUAUUAUUCAACCUUCACUACUAACAAAACAGGCUCUCUUGACGUUUUUAAACUGUCAAGAGAAGGCUCUCUUGACGGUUUUAAAACCGUCGUUGAAGCCAGCGUCAAGAAAGGCAAAGUUCUUGACGGUUGAUUAAACGUCAAGAAUAGUGAACGUUGACGUUUUAUAAACGUCAAGUAUACUUAUGUUCAUGACGUUUUAGAACCGUCAAGACUGGUAUUGUUUAUGACAUUUUAAAACUGUCAAGGAUGAACUGAUUUAUGACAUUUUAAACCCGUCAAGAAUUUUAAUAUUCAUGACAUUUUAAAACUGUCAAGAAUGUAAAUGUUCUUGACAUUUGUCAACCGUCAAAAAUGCAAUUGUUCAUGAUAGUUUAAAACCGUUAAGCUUGCAAUUGUUCAUGACAUUUUAAAACCGUCAAGCAUUUUUUAAUUUUUAAAAAAAAAAGAAAUUGUAAUUGAAUUAUGCUGUAAUGAAAAGAUGAUUGUCCUGUAAUUGUCCAGCAACAGUUUCAUAGAUAUUUGAUAUUCAUCAAAUAUAGUUUCAAAUCUCAAACAUAUAUAAAUAAAACCAUUCACCAUAUAUAUUCAAUUCCAAGACUUUACAUAUACAUAAUGAAAUAGGCUUUACAUUAGAUUUCAUAGAUAACAUUUUUACAAAGAAACUAAGUGUAGAAAAUCUAUCGAAAUUUUCCGAAGGGACAAAUACAAGCAAAAUAGAAACUGAACGUGGGUAAUAUAUUUUUACAAAGAAACUAAAUACAACAAGGUUAUAUUGUCAUGAAUAACAAAAUUACAAUAAAUCUUGUCACUAACCAAACAUCAAUCACUUGCUUCGUAGCUUCAUCACUACAAUGGAUCGAUCAGAAAAUAGCUUCAAACACAUAAGGCCAGAGUCUGUAAAAAUAAAAAUAUAAAAUUAAGUACCAAUAAAAUCUCCAACACUUGGUGAAAUUAUAAAUGUUCAUUAAAAUAUCAACUAAAAGGAUAAGUUCAAAAAGAUAAAUUUAGGGUACUAUUUAUUCUUUUUAACAUAUUCUAAACAUAUAACAGAGAAAAGUUGACAUAAAGAAAUGGAUUUAGUAUACUGACUAAAAUAAAAUAGCAUGCAAUGCUUGUGAAAUAGUUGAAGCAGCCUAAAAAAUCACCAUCAAAUCAACAAACUUAAAAAUUCAAAUCAGUGGAUAAUUAAGGUCAGUUGAAUAUUGGAAAAAUAAACAUUAGAAAGAUACUUUAACAGCAAAACCUAUUGUAUGACCAAAUAAUACGAAUAUGAAACCAUUCAAACAUUCAUGAGUGUCUUGGCCAAGUAAUACGAAUAUGAAACCAUUCAAACAUUUUUUAUUCCAUUAGAAAAUAUUAGCAAACAUUAGCACUGUUAGAAGUUCAAAGGUAGAGAACUUACUGUAUGACCACAUGCAAAAGCCAUGUCCUUUGGGUUUGUGAGGCAUAUGGGGCAGACCUUGAACAAGAGACAUUUAAUUAAUAAUUUAUAUUAAUGAAGUCAUGAAACAAAAGAGAAAUUUCUUUUGUUUCAGUAGACAAGGCUCUCACAACUUGUUGCCUUAAUCAAUCUUAAACCCCAGAUUUCAACAAAAUUUUCCUAGAGUAAUUGUAAAGCCACACAUGUUUGGUUCUCUCAUUCUUAGAAAACUCCAUAAAUAAAAUAAAAGCGAAGUUACCGAUUCAGAUGAGGAACUAUGUUUUUCAGCUUUUGCAUUCUCCAAAAUUUGGUUUGCAACUGCAUUGUCAUAAUUGAUGACUUCAGGAGGAGGAGGAAGUGGCCCUGCACUUUUUCCAUAUACAGAUUCUCUCCUGCAUAAUAGUUAGUGUGUUAUUUUUCCAAACCCAAAACAGAAAUUGUUACGAAAUCAACAAAUAAAGAAAUCAUCAAAUCAUUUUUCUACUACAAGCACCCUUUUACAACGCUUUUGAGCUCCCAUAGAAAUCAUCAAAUCAUUUUUCUACUACAACUAAGAAAUGAUACGAGAGAGUUCACAAGAUGUAAUCCAAAUGACCAAUUACAUAUUAUAUACACUUCUCUUAAACAGACGAGUCUUGUUUCUUUACAUCCACUAAUAUCACAUUUAAUCCUAAGAAUCUUGUUAUCUAUCAAACAAACUCUAACCCAACAAUCCAAGACAUCAUGAGGCAAUAUGACAUCAAGAACCAAGUCAAAAUUGAACUAACGUUACACUCACAUCCCAAUUGCAAAACUUUCCAUCGAAAACUGACAAAGAAAUAUCCUCGAUUGAGAUUUCGAUUCAUGUGUACAAUGAAGACAAAGGAAAAUUCGGACAAGAGAAAAGGGAUAAGACAAAUAAACAAAUUGACUUCUAAGUAAUGAGAAACAAGAAAACAAAAAUAAUGAAAAAUAAAAAAGAUGCUCAAUUAACACCUUUUGUAAGCACAACUUAUAUUUACAACUUUUACUUGAAUAGGAUUUGUUUAUGUUGUACUAGUGUGUCCUUGAAUUCUAAAAAUAUAGCAACCCAUGUUCACUAAGGAAAACAAAAACACAUAAAUACAUCAAAAUAUCAGUAAGUUGAGUCACAAUCAAAAAUACAUUUGAAAAAUGGAAACUCUAAGUUGAAGAGAAAGAUCAAUUUCUUUAAGAGAGAAGAACAAUACCUCACAGUGGCCAUGAGCUGUAGAGUAAUGGCCAUUUUGAUAGGUUUGUUUGAUUAUGGAUAUUGAAGUAGAAUGGAAGUUAAAUUUCAUCAACCCAACAUCAUAAACAAAAAUAUAUCAAUAUAGUAAACAAAAUACCUUUCGUUUAAUGGAUACUGAAAGAUGACUCCACCCUGAAAAAUUGUACAGGAAAAAAAUUGCAUGAUAUAAAAAUUGAAUGCAAAAAAUAUAUGGACAAACCAUGGAAAACAAAAGAGAAUUUUCGAACGAGAACCGAUCCAACCUAAAGUAAAGUAGUAAGAAAACAACGCAUCAAUUUUUAACAAGAGGCGUUUUGGAUGAAUUCUUAUGAUUUCUACUUUCUUUUUCGGAUUGUUUUUCAUCAUCUGAAUUUAAUUCCUCAUCAAUUGGAAAGCCUCUAAACCCAGAAAAAGGGUCAACAAAAUAUUUAUAAAAAAAAAAAAAAAAAAAAAAAACUCAUCCCUUUCUGCUCUGCUCCUUCUAUUAGUCAAUCUAGCCACUAGAACAAAUCACCCUAAAUUGGAUUUUGAAAUGAAAUUGCCCGAUCUCCAUCAAGGGGGGUUUCACCCUAGCCAAUGCGAAGCUCCAAUGCCUUGACGCCAGCCGAGUUCGAGAGGUCGAAGAAAUCCGAUGGACGGAUUUGGAAGGAGCGACAAUAAGAGAGCAGAGAUGGAGAUGACGAUUGAGAGGAACCAAAAGAGAGAUGGAGAUGAAAAUUGAGAGUGUAGCAGAGAUGGAGAUGGCGAUUGAGAGGAACCAAAAGAGAGAUGGAGAUGAAAAUUGAGAGUGUAGCCGAGAGAGAUGGAGAUGCGAAUUGAAAAGGCAACGACUGAGACGGCGAUUGAGAGUGCAGCGGCUGAGACGACAAGUUCUGCAUCUUCGUGCGUUUUGAUUAAGGGAAGGAACGUGUUUUCAUCCUAGGGUUUUAGAAAAGAGAAAACGGACUUAAUUGAAACGACGUCGUUUUAGUACUAAAUUCUUGACGUUUUUAAAACGUCAAACAAUUUUUACAAUAGUCUUGACGUUUUAAAAACCUCAAGGAUUUUUUUAUAAAUUUCUUGACAUUUUUCAAAACGUCAAGGAUUUUUUUAUAAAUUUCUUGACGUUUUUAAAACGUCGAGUAAAAUUUUAAAUUCUUGACGUUUAGUAAACGUCAAGCAUGUCGAAUUCAUACGCUUCUUGACGUUUUAAGAACGUCAAAAAAUUAAUAGAUAUUUCGUGAUGUUUUAAAAACGUCAAGAAAAAAGUUAUUUCUUCUUGACGUUUUUUGAAAAAAACGUCAAGAAAGGAAAACAGCAACCGUUAAGAAAGCCCAUUUUUCUAGUAGUGCUUUCACAAUGCAAUAACUGAGACGUCAGGAUUGGUCAGUCUAUGAGUUGUUCUCAAUGCCAUCACCGUCCACCAUCUCCUUGCCCACUGCCAUUGUGUUCCACCGCCUACUGUCCUCCUUUCGUCAUUGCAUUAUGUGGCCGCCGCCUCUACAUUUUGGUAAAGAUAUUUUUUGUUUUUUUUUUCUCUAAAUAAAUGUAUGAUUUUGAAUUUGAAUUUGUUUCCAUGAAUAAAGUAUAGAUUGUAUAGAUUGUCACUGCCAUCAUCGUUGCAUUAAAUUGUGGGUAUAGAUUGUAUAUUGAAAUUGUUGAAAGUUUAUGAAUUGAAUUGUAUAUGGAUCGUUUAUGAAUUAAAGUAGAUGUAUAAAUGGAAUAUUGAAAUUUGUAAUAGAUUAGGGUAUAAAUUAUUGAAAUUGUAUGUAUAAAUUGAAAAGAUGGAUUGAAAUUGUGAUUGUUAUAGAGGGGGACAAUUGAAAUUAUAUUUAAAUGUAUUGAAAUUGUUGAAUUGAUGAAAUUUAACAAUUUUAAAUUGUACUUCAAAAUUUUUAUGGAUUUGUUGUGGCUAUAUCUUGCAAUUAUACUGGCCUGUAGUUUUUUAUUUGUGAUUAUACUUUGUUUGUUGGAAUUAAGUGUUAGUUAGAAUUAUGUUAGCCUUUAGUGGUUUAUAAUUGGAAGUGUUAGGUAGCUUUUAAAGCUUGUUAGUUGGAAGUGUUAGGUAGCUUGGAAAGAUUGAAGUAAUUAUAUGUGAUUAGGUUGUUCUAUCUGCAGUUAUGGUAAUUUUUUUAGUUUAAACUUAGAUGUAGUGAAAGUUGGAAUAUUGGAUACUUGUGAGUUGUAGCUUAUUCAUGGAGCAACUUUGAACAUUUGAAAGGAGAAAUAUAAGAGUAAUCAAACCUAGCUAUUAUGGUUUUUAAAAAUGGACAAGGGUUCGAUGAAACUUAGAAAUAAGUUCUUAGUUUAAGUAUAGAGAGAUCUAGUCUCAACUUUUAGAGGUUGUGAAUUAUCACAUCAAUGAGUAUGCAUGGAUGAUAUGCCGGAGUUGCAUAAGCAAAAACACGAAAAAAGCAAUUGAAAGAUAGAAGAAAUGAGAAAGAUGAAUGAAGAACUGACUUGGACACAAAGAGGACCUUGACUCUAUUGCAGUGGUUAUUUUUCAACUUUUAAGUUCUUUAAUUUCUUAUCAUUGAUACAUAUAUAUUCAUGGGACAAGUAGAUUAUAAAAUUGUCACCUAACAUAAAUUAUUUUAAAAAAUAUUAUAUUUAAAAACAUGUUAAAGAGUGAUUUCGUAUACGAAAAAUAGACAUAGAAAAAGUGAUUUCUCUUUCAAAGCUCCAACGAUAAAGUUAAAGAGGAAAGGGUAUAAAUUAGAAUUUGACAACUCUAACUUUUAUUCUUUUUGCUGUUCUUUAAGGGCGUGAGAUCCUGCUGGGUCCAAAAUUAAUGAGCUUUGGGCCUCGAAGCCCAAAUAUAAAUCUCCAAAGUUUCCAAGUUCUGUAGAAUGGCUAAAAUCACUAAGGUGUACUUUAAUUGGCCUAAUCCUAAUCGAAUAUGCAUCAAAAUAAGACUAAAAUGUUGAGAAAAUAGAAAAACUUAAAUGUUGAGAAAAUAGAAAAACUUAAAUGGGAAAUUGAAUCGGCGUGUUUUGUGAAUAUUAUAUAGUAAACAUAGUAGGUUGUUUUAAACUUUUACAAAUAUGAUAAAAAAUUUACUUUUUAAAAUACUAUUUACUUCAAAUUUGUUAUUAUUCUUAAACUAUUCUUAAACUAUUAUUCAAUAACUUAUUUCGUAUUUUCCUUUUUAAUGUUUUAACCAUUCUUUAAGUUUUAUUUAUUGUUUUUUUUCCCUUGGUUUUGUAGUGGGUGAACUACUAUUAUGCAACCAUAAAUUCUUCUGUUUUAUAGUACUAAUUUUGAUUUUAAGAUAUCAAUUAAUACAUUAAUUGCAAUAUAAAGGAAUGUGAUGGUUAUUAGAUAUAGUAGUGUGUUGAUAUAAUUAUUAUGUGAUUUUCAUUUUUUCAAAUCUUAUACAAUUUAUUAUAGUAUUAUUAAGUAUACGAAUGAUAUUAUAUCAUUAUAUAUCACAUAUAUAAACAACAUAUUAGUAAAGUAUAUCAACAUAUCAGUAAAGUGAAUAAUUAUGAAGUAUAUGAAUCAAGUUACAAGUGUACAAUCGAAAGUGUAUCAGUAGAACUUCAAAGCAUAUCAACUGUAUUUAAUCAAUUGAGUGUAUCAGUGAAGAAUACUAACUUUAUAUGUAGUACACCAAGUGUAUCCAACAUAUCACAUGUAUCUAGCGUAUUCAUUUUUAUUAGUAUACUAGUGAAGCAUAACAAGUUUAUUAGAAGUGCAUUAAGUGUAUCAAGGCCUAAAGAAUAUCAAGUGUAUAGAGAAGAACUAAGUGUAACAAGGAGUAUUAGGUGUAUCAAAGGGUAUCGAAUGUAUCAAAGAGUAUCAUGAUGUAUCAAGUGUAUCAACGUCAUCCAAAAGGUAUCAAGAAGUAUCAAAUGUAUAUCGAGUGUAUCGAAUGUAACAAGGAGUAUUAGAUGUAUCAAGGGAUGUUAGAUUUAUCGGAUAUAUCAAAUGUAUACCAAUAACAAGCAUUUGUGAUAUUUUACAUCUUGUAUAUGUAGGUUGAGUUUUGUUUUUGUCAUUUUCGUAAAGAAUAAAUGUGUAUGUUAUGGACUUAAUUAUUAUAACUUGUUUUGUCUUUUUUAGGAGUGCCCAAAAUAAAUUUGGUUAAGUUGUGAUUUUUCAUUUUUGCAAUUAUGGUACUAAAGUAAAAUAAAAUAAGAGAUUGUAUUUUGCGUUACUUUCAAAUUCACAUCUACAUUACAUAUCAUUAUCUUUAUGGCCCGUCCAUCCACAUUCCAUUCUUUAUAAUUAAUAUGCCAUCCUUAUUUGAAAACAAACCAUAUAUUAUUUUAUAUAUAUAUAUAGACACCUUCUAUUAUUUCUCUCUUCUUUCGGCACUUAAAAAUUAUUUGUAAUUAAAUUAAAAUUUGGAACUAAUUUAUGCCCAAAGUUUUUAUUUCAUUGGACUGAACUCUUUAAUUUAUUUCUUUUUUUUUCCUAACAAUUUUCCAUCGUUGCUUUGAGGAAUACUUUAGUCAACUGAUUGGUAAAAAAGCAACAUAAAUAUUAUAAAAGUGAUCACAAACAUACAAAAAAAAGUUUUUCUUUUUUUUAUCGUAUUUAAUCCACUAGAGUUGUGCUUGAUUGUGCAAGAAUGCAUGUGAAUUAACAACAGAUAAGCCUAAACUCAAAAAAAUUCGAGUUUUAUUCUUUAAGCUUCCACGAUACGAGAGUACUUACUCAAAUAAAACAUCACUUUUUCAAUUCAUGAAAUUACCCUAAAAUUCGUAAAAAAAAACACGUAAAAAGUUGAAAUUCAUCAACCAAGGAUGUAUGCGCAAUAUAAUUUGCAGACCCAUAACCCAACUCCAAAAAUUGAUUAAAAAUAAAAGAUUUGAGAGUUCAAAUAACAAGAGCAAUCAUUGACCAAUAUAUACAUAAUUCAUAACAAGAUCAACUCUAUUUUCGAAAGUUCCUUUUAAGACAAAAAAAGAAAAGAAGAAAAAAAAAGUCUCUUUCAGGCUUAAAGGUAGUAUUUAGGAUUGCAAGUAUCAUUUCUUUUUUUCUUUUACAUUUUUAAAAAAAUAUGAUUAUCUUAAUUAUUCAUUUAAUACAAUGUUAUUGAAAAUAAACAUCAAAUAAAACCUUAAACUAAAAAAAAUCAUAUCACCAAGAGCACUUUUAACUUAUCUUUUAACCAAUUAGCAUGUAUACCAUAAAAUAUAUUAAACAUGUAAAUAAAAAGUUGAUCACAUAAAAAAAUAUCAAUAAUUAAAUAAAGUUGGAUUCAUAAUUAGUAUUUGUAAGUAUUCUAUUUACAAUCAAUUCUACAAGAAUUGAAAGUACUUACACCUAUUAAAAUUUUAUGUGAGUGUGUGAUCCACGUUGUUCCCUUUUGUCUUUUUUUAAUGGAGUUGGUUAACAAAAUGGAAUUUUCUAAUUUAAAUAAUAUAAUAAAUGAAGAUAUAUGUAAAUAUUACGUAAUUGUACAUUAUUAAAUUCAACAUCUUAAAGUUCUACACCUAUUUAUAUUAAUUGGUAUAAUAAAAUAUGUCAUUUUUUAAAAGUUAAAUAUUUGUAGUUAUUAUAUUACUUCCAAAAUAACCAUUAAAGAAACUUAUCCUAAUCGUGAGAUAACUUUUUCCAUUUUGAUAUAUGACGCAAUAUAUAUAUUUUUUAAUGUUUGGGUGAACAAAAGCUAGCAUAAUUAUUUCUAUUUCUUUUUUAGAUGACCAGCCAACCAAUUUCAAGCAAAAAAUAUAUAUAUAUCAAAUAAAAAUUAUUAAAUUAUUUGCUUAAUUUAACUACAAUUACUUACUAUUAUAUAUAUUUAUAUACACACUUUAUUAUUGUGCCUCCAAAUCCCACUUGAUUUUAGUAUUUAAUACUUUUCAAAUGCAACUUUGGGUUUGUCUACUUUGUCGCACUUAAUUUGAAUGUGGAAUGAUUUCUACGGGAGAAUGAAGACAAAAGAUGAAAAAGAGAAGUAAAAUAUUGCUUCUAUCUUAUUAAUUAUGUGAUAUAAAUAUAUGUUUAUAUGUACCUGCAUAUAUACAUAUAUAUACAUACAUAUAUACCCUUUGUCUUGUAAAAAAUUAGUUAAUUGUUCGUUUAAAAAUAUUCAAUACCAUAAUGGAGGGAAGAAUGCGGACUUUAAUUAGUUUGAAACUAGGUCUCAAUCAUAUUGUAAAAGCGAAUGAUUUUUUUUUACCUCUGAUUUUUUUGUUAAAAGAUAAAGUCAAGUUAAAAGAGUGUGGUCAUUUGUAAAGGUAACAAACCAACACUUACUAGACAAACCUCACACAUCAGUAUAAAUUAAGUAAAAAGGUGAAGAAGCUGACUUGUAUCAAGAUCUUUAAAUAAAUUUGGAAACAAAUACUUCAAGUAAAAGAAAUUUGGAUGUCCUAAUCUACGUUAUAGUUUCUUUAACAGAAGAAUAACAUACACUACUUAUGCCCUUGAGUUAAUUAUUUUGGUUAAAUGAAAAUUCAUCAAAGUAAAUAGAGACCACCAAUAAAGGUAACAUUGUUGUCAAAAGAAUAGUUCAUUUUCCUGCAAUGGUGGUGAAACUACUAUCAGUAAUGCAAAUUUGUUCAUUGCAAUAUACAAGAGAGUAUGAUUCAAGAAGACAAAAGAUACUAAUCAUAGAGAAAGGAAAAACAAAAAAAUAAUAAUGAAGAGAAUCGUCCAGAGGUAGAAUGCGACUGAACACGACGAAAGUAACUCAGAGUACUUGAUCGAUCAGCGAAAAGAAAUGUUCCCUUGAUGACCCACAAAAAGGAGCAAAAGAUAGUUAAACUCGAUUUUGACGGCAAUUUGGAUGACGAUUCCGGUGGAGAAGUGGUGACUGGUGAUCACUGAAAGACCAAUGACAACAGUCAAAGCAACACAAACUAUGGUUUUUUAAGUUUUGAGAAAAAUAGGAUUUUUAGGGUUUCACUUCUCUAAUACCAUAUGUAAAAAUGUGCUUUCACUUAUUUUUCUUAAAAAGAAAGAGAGUUUGCAAAAAUAGCAAAAAAAAAUUAUGAUAAUAGAUCUCAUGUCACUUACAUUUUCUAAAUUGUAAAAAUAGUAAAUCUAAAAGCAAAUUAUCGUCUGAUAGAACCAAUUACUAGUCAUAUUUGCUAAUUUACAAUAUACAAAAAAGAAGUGUUAUAAGUUGUUUUUUCUAAAAAAAAUUGUCAUCUAGUGUAAUUUUUCUAAAAAGAAAAGAGUUUUUUUUAUAGAAGAAAUACCCAAUACAAAUUAGAAAAAUACAAAAAAAGAAGAAAAAACACAAAUAUAUCUUAAAUAAAAUGAAAAUAUAUAUAAACAAAAAAUGAAGUAAUCAACAAGAUAAGUACAUAUACAUGGUAUAUGUGUAAUCUUUCAAAGUUAGUAGAUAGUGUAAUACUUCAACAUUACGUGUUUUUAUUUUUAAAAUUUUGCUAAGACUUCAUCUUGCACAGCUCAUGGUAAACAAUUGAGAUAAAAACUUUAGGGGAGAGAGAAAAUAAGAUUUUUUUUAAAAAAAAUAGUUAUCAAACUGUAGUUUUGAAUUUUUAAAAAAGUUAUAAAAAUAGUAAAAUGGAUAAAAUAUUUCCGAUAAAAAAUAAAGUGCAUGUUUUUUAGUGGUUUUGUAUGGAGAGUAAAUAAUUUGUCUUUUUAUUACUUUAAAGAAACCAUUUUAAAAACUUAUUUUUAUUUUAUAAUUUAUCUAAAAGUUCCACUCUUACUUUAGGAAAUUAAAUUACUAAGAAAACAAGAUGAAAUAAGUUUAAUUUUCAAAAAAUAAAAAUACAAACAAAUACAACUCCUUGAAAUAAACAUUUGACUUUUUAUUUUUAAAAAUCAAGUUUAUACUUCCAUUUUCAGAAUUUUCAUUUGUUAUUCUUGUUUUACUAAUUAUUUUAAAAACUAAGUUUUAACUUGUUUAGAAAAACUAAAUUUAAAAAACUUUUUUGUUUUAAAAUUUAGUUAAUAAUUCAACUAUUUUACUCAUAAAAAAUGUAAAUUAUUGUAAAAUAAAAUGAAAUUAAUUUUAAUAAAAAAAAAAACAAAUAGUUAACUAACUUAGCCUAAAUGAUUAGUAGGACUUCUCAUUAAAAAUCUAUCUAUUUGAUAAAAUUAUCUCCUCUCAUCCUUAUUUAUGUAUUGCUCCUACUUUAAAACUAUAUAUAUAUAUAUAUAUAUAAACAUACCUUUAUAAAACUUGUUUUAUGAUAAUCUUUUCUUUUAAAAUCAAAAGGAUAAUUAAUUUAUAACAUUUGUUUUUUUUAUAUAUAUAUUCUUAAAUUCAACACGAGUUUAAUUUUAAUAAACUUCAUGAAGUAAUAUAGUUGUUUUCUUUGUAUUAUAUGAGAGUACAAUUUUAAAUUAAAAACAAUGGGUUAGUAAAUUUAACAAAUAAAAUUUUGAAUAUAAAAUAAUAAAAAAAUAAAAACUAUGUAUUCAAUCAAGAUCAUCUCAAUUUUAUUUUUUAUUUUAGCUUCUCAUUUUGAAAUUGAAAAUCAAAGAAUUAAACAAAUUGUAGCUACUUUCCAAAAAAUUUACGACAAUAUUUUACAUUAACAAACAAAUUUAUUAAUGAAACUAUGUAAACGAUAUGUCACACACCAUACAAUAUAAAUUUAAAAUAAAAGAGACCAUUUGAAAACCAAAUGAAUGCAACUAUACAUUUGGAUAAUUAAGGAAAGAAUAAUAUAUUUGUGGGUUAGAGACUAAUGUGAUUAACCUGAUUUUCCAUGGUCCUCAAAAUGUUUAUUAAAAAAACAGCCUAAAUAGGGUCAACCAACCAAAUAAAUUAUUUUAAAAUUGAAAAAAAUAAUAUUAAGAUGUCAUAUUUCCCCAUUUGCACUCAUGAUUAAGAAAAUCCAAACACUACAUCCCAUUGGUGAUUUGGGGUUCUUUUAUGUCCCUAUCAGAUUCAACAAAUUGGCAAUCAAAUUUUAUAAAAAUACACACAAGUGGGUUUUAUUAUUGUUAUUUCUUCUGUCACACUUUAGUAUAUAUUGGAAUUAUUUUAAAUAUUGUAAAAAAAUAAAAUAAUUUUUCUUUUCCUAUUUCAAGAUUUGAAACUAUACAAAAUAUAUAAUGUUAGGUUUGAUACUGUUCCUAGGUCACUAUAUAAUUCGUGUUCCAUUACAUGACAGAACAAAAUAAAUAACAUUAAAUAAUCGAAGAUCUUUUUUUUUUUCUUUCUUUUUCUAUUCUCAAUCAACUUGUUUUAUCCAUCAUUAUAUUUAUAACUAAUUCGACACUUUGAAUAACAAAGAUUAAAGUAGAUCAAUAAUUUUUUAAUUAAAAUUAACUACCCUGUUCUUUCUAAAAUUAGAACAUUAUCAUGGAUCUUUUUAUAAACUUUCCAAAAGCUACCAUUCCAAGUAGAAACAAUGUUUCAGAAUUUCACGUACAAAUUGAAGUAUAAAAUAAUCUAUUUGUACUUAUCUAGAACCAAAAAAAAUCCUAUCUCGAAGCCAUCCACGAGGUUUUAUAGUAAUCUAUUAGUUUUGAAUCAUUUAUCAUGGUUCUAAUUAGAUAAUAUUACAAUUAUUUUCGUACAUACCCAAAUAAACAAAAAACAAAUUACAAAUAUAACAAAAAUAUAUAUAUCACAAUCUAUUUGUAAUAUAGACUAGCAACUAUAUGUGUUUUAGACUUAGAUACACAUAAAUAAUAGUCUAUCGUGAUCUAUCGUAUAUAAGUUGUAAAAUUUCACUAGUUGCAAAUAUAUUUUUAUAUAUAUGUAUAUUUAGUAGUAGAAGUGUUUGGGAUAUGGUGUUAAGAAUUACAAGGUUGUGUAUUAUUUGUAUAGAAUAAAAUUUUCUUUAUAUAAACAAUAGUUUGGUCGGUGAAUUAAUCUUCCAAAAAGUUAUUUUUAGUCGCUAAAUUUGUUUUUAGAAGAAGAGCUUUCAAGUAUUUUUAAAAUAUAUAACAAAAAGGGGACCAUAGAUGAUAAAAAACUGUAGUGAAUUAAAGGGGUUAAAAGAAGAAAGAACCCGUCCACAAACACUAAAACCAAUUCUAGAUAACCUAAUGCACAACAAAUGAUUUUUUUUAUAAGCUUUAAUUUUGGGUUGUUGGAUCAAGCAUAUAAGAGAACAGAGAAGGAACAAAUUUGUUUGGAGUACUCUUGCAUGAGAAAAGUGAUCAUCAGUAGAUGUUAUAUCAUUUGUGGAGAUAGAUGCAGGGAAGUCAUGUUAUUCUUAUCAAAGUUUUCAUUACAGAAUUUUUACCUCCUUAUGAUAAUAUUGAGUUGGUUAUUAUAGUUUAUGGGAUUAUAAUAGUGUAUGUUUGGGGUGUAGGUUAUUUUAGUCGAAUUUAUUUCUUAAAUUUCGCACAUAACUCAACUUAUUAAAUCAUAUGGGAUAAAGUUCAAGAAUAAUGUAUUUCCAAACUAGCGUGAUAAAAAUAGGGUAGAGAAAAAGAAUAAACAAAAUUGGGAUCAAAGUUAAAACUAUUGUAAAAUAUAUAUGGGGUAGUUUAGGUUAAAGAGCAAAAUCGUAUACUUGGUACAUAAGUUCUCUUAGUUCGGUUGCAGUCUAUGUUGUUAGCCACAUUAGUGUGCAUGAAAUGCUAAGACCAAAGUCAUGUAUCGAGUAUACUACUAACAACUCAUAUACCGAGUAUAUUCCUUUACUUUUAAACAGGUAAUACCUCUAACAAAAAGAUACAAUUGAUAUUAGUGCAAGUUUACACUAAACACCAAUAAUAUACGAAGGCAUGUUUGGUAGAAGUUAUAGAUUCUAUUUAUCUUUAUUUUGAUUCACUAUAUAAUAAUGAAAAGACAAUAUUUAGAUUUUGUCAUUCAAAUUUGUACAACUUUUUAAAACAAACAUAUAUUUUAUAUUUUCAAUCUAUCUUAGUUUUGAAUUUGAAAUUUUAAAGUUGGAGUUAUAUAUAUACUAAAAAGAUAGUAUUCUAAGUAAUAAUCAAUCCUAAAGAUUUUAUGUAAAAUGAAGGGGAUUUUUAUAAAAAAAAAUUGUCAAGUUGUAAGAGAAGAUGUCAAUGAUAGGAUAUUCAAUAUGCAUAUAUUCAAACUAUAUGUCAGCCAUAUAUAUGAAAUUACUAUCAAUAUGUGUCUCACAAUUAUUUAUUGCAGUGAAUUUUAUUUUUCUCCUAUUCCACAUUUUCCUUUCCGUGUUCAAUCUUUGUAUUAAAGUAUGUUUUAGCUUAUGAAAUUAGUCCUAUAUUAUUUAUAUGGUCAAGGUCAAUUUUUACCUUUUUCCUAUGAUAAUUUUUUAAAAAAAAUAUCUCAUUUCCAAACCUAUACUACACAAGUCGUAAUAUAAUAUAAUAUAUUACUUUCAACAGAUCAGGUGGAAAUCAGUUUCAUGUCUUAAACUCAAACAUUUCAUUAAUAAUAUCAAGAGUGUUUACGUGUAAUUAACAGUAAAACUAAAAAAAAAAAUAGAAUUUGUGGUAGGGAUGAUGUGAUUAAUAAUUCACUUUUAAUAGCUAAAUAAUAAGUUAAUAACAAAUAAAUAGAUUAACAAGAGUUAUGAUAGGAAAAUAACAGAAUAAAUAUUUUAAUUCUAAUUUUUUUAUAUAUAUAAUAAACUUCUAUAAGUUUUUGUUGGCAUCUGGGAAGAAAACUUAGAUUUGCAUCGUUCAUAAUUGUUUUUAAUGAUAGAAAAUGAUAAUUAAUAAUUGAUAAUAUAAAAGCAAGUUGAAAUAAAAGUAUUAAACCUUAGGGCCGUCGUCCAUGAGGAUUGAGUCUGUCUAGUAAACGCUCACAACAUAUAAUAUUUAAUUUUUUUCAAGAAAAAAAUGCAUAUAUAAUAAUUAGUUAAUUAAAGAGUAAGUCCAACAUGAAAUAUGGAGGUCUUAAUUUUACAUACUUUAUAUCUAUAAAGUAUCAAUCUUGAUUAAUAUUUUAAAAAAAAUAUAAAAACAAAAGUUUAUAAAAUAGUAAAUAUAAAUUUUAUCGUUUUCAAAUAACCGAACCAAAUCCGUGUAUUAUUUAUAUUAUAUUUAUAUUGAUGAUAUUUAUGUUUUUAUUGAUUUUUCUAUGAUAUAAAUAAAAUUAUUGAUAAGUCUCUCAUAUUAAUAACAAAUUUAUGAAAAUGUAAAAAUAUUGAUAUACAAAUAUUUGCAUGUCAAUAAAAUUUUAAGUCUACGAUGGCAAACAAUAAUUUCCUCAGCUCUUAAUAUUUCACAGUAUCAUAGAUUAUCUAAAGGAAAACUUUUGUACCUAAGGUCUAUAAAAACGAGUAAUAUUAAUGAAUAAUUUGAUCAUAUCAAUUAUUAAUUGUUUAUACUAUAUGUUUAUUAUCCAUCUCCAAGAUAUAAAAAUCUUAAUUAUAAGAAGUGUAUUAGAAAUUUAGUUGGAGUGAGUUUUAAAGUUUGUUAGAUGACUAGUUGAUUAUGUUUAGUUGACAAUUUGAAUUGUAUCUAACGUUUUUAAAUUCAUACACAAUUUAACAUAUAUGAGGUUAGUAUUUUUAUUAUUAUUAUUAUGAUAUGGUUAGAAUUUAACAAAAAGAAACAACAAUUUUAUAUUUUUAUUUUAUUCAGAUUCGUUUUGUAUUUUAAGUUUUACAGUGAAAAAUUAUAUUUAAUAUAGAUAAAAACGUUUAGAAAUAUAAUAUGUAGUAUGCAAUAAUGUAUUAUAAAUUAUAUAACAAUCCUACAAAAGGACACUUAUGCAAAAUAAUUAUUAUGUUCACAUUUAAAUUAAUAAUAGCUAUUCUCAACUAUAUUUAAUGGUUCAGUACUACUUAAAUAUAAUAUCUAAUAAAUUUUAAAUAAUUGUUUAAACUAGAAUUCAAAUCGCGUAUAUAUAUUUGAAAGAGAAGAAAAACUGAAAGAUAACAUUGAGAGUAUUUUCUGAUAUAUGAAUAAUAUUAUCAAAAAAAGUUUAAAAAAAUUGUAGUACCUAAUAAAUCAAAUAUAAGCUCAGCUCAACGAAUUGAACAUGUUGUCUUCUUGAAACAAUUUUACUCGCACUCUAGUACUUGAAUUCUAUUAUUAAUAUAAUUGUCUCUUAGAAAAAAAUAAAUUAACUUUUUCAUGGAAGUAGCACCCCGUCCACAAGAUUUAAUUUGAACUAUACUUUGUGGAAAUAAACCAAAUUUAAAUAAAGUUUACAAAAGGGAAGAAAUGUCUAUGAGAGAAAUCAUUGUGGAAAAUUUAUUUUUAAAAAUAACUUGAAAAAUGUGAAAUUUUCUAAAUUAUUUGUGGUCAUUCAAAUAGUCUCGUCUCUUCUUUAAAAUUGGCUAUUUUUUAGAAGACAUGUUCAUUCAUGAAAUAAUGCAACUCUAGAUGUAUAUGACCUUAUUCCAACAGCUUCAUAGAUAAUUUUGGACUUAAGAUGAGUGAACACCAAAAAGGAAAUUAAAUAACAUUGAGGGUAAAACUAUGUAUAGCAAAAUUAUUUUCAAGCUCAAAAAACACAAAAGACAACCUAAAAAUCUCAAAUAAGAUUAUAAGAAAGUACAUGGUCGACUAACCUAAUUUCCCUUCUAGGUUAAGGUUGAGGUCGAGGUCGAGGUCGACCCAUGUUUUACAAGACAUGCUUCUUCCAGCCCCUCAAUUCUCUCUCCAUGUUAAUUGGCGGUCAUGUUCUAUCUUUUUAAUUCUAACAUGAGAAAGACUAAGAAGAGGUUUAAGUAUAAACAUAGGAAGUUACAUCAUCCCUACUAAAUCUAAGAUAAACUAGAAACAUGCAAAUGUGAACAACGGUUGGAAUGCAAGAAGAGGGUUGAUUUGGUCAUUUGGCUCCAUUGAGGACUAACUAGCCCAUCAAUCAACUUGCCUCAUUUUUAAGCAUGCCUUUUACAAGCCCACAAUUAGAGGUAUGUUUGGGUCAUUCGACAAAAAAAAGAAAGGCUAACCUCCACCUUGGAGGUUGAGGCUAGCUAGCCUUCCUCAACUAGUUUUCCUAUUUAAUUAAGCUCAAUCCAACAUUUUUUUUUAUCCUAUUUAAAAAGAAGAAAAGGAAAAUCUAAGUUUUAGCCCUUGUUCGUAUCUAUAACAUUAUAUCUUCAUGGUUAAGUAUUUUCUUUCAUAAACAGUUGUUCUAAUCAUUGUUCUGAAAACUAACUUAAGCAUCAAAGUGUAGUAUAUAUAUAUAUUUGUGGUAAGCACCGCAAUGGUUGUUCUAAUAGUUUUGCAAGUAAUAACUUAUUUCACGAGAUGCAAAUUUGUUGUCAAAAGCACAUGAAAUUCAAAUGAUUAGUACAUUUAUUUUGCGGUCAAUUUUUGUCAUCAACGAUAUAUAUAUAUAUAUAAGAUUUUCUCUCAAAAUUAAUUGGCAGUAAAAGAGUAACCAAAUGGAAGAUUUUAAAUUUAGAUCUCAAAAAAAAAAAAGAAACUAAAAAUAAUUUGAUAGGUUGAAGAUGCAUGUUAAAAAAAUGAAGAAACCUCAUAUAUUUUAGGUUAGUCAAAUGAGAUGAAGGUGCAUAUAAUCAACCACAUUUUGUAGAACUAUAUUAGCGGGUUGACUUAAGCUGGAAAGCUUUGGUAUAUGAGUAAAAACUAAAGGAGUUGAAAGUACUUUCAUAUGUACAUAUAAAGGAUGAGUACUGUUCCCUAUAAUUGAGGCAAUAAUAAAAGUUGCUUUGAAUAUUCAAAUUGGAAUAUGCUGGGUUUGGACCCAUUAUUAUCCCCAUCUCUUCAACUUGCACUUACUUAAAUCAAUUCCUAAUUUUCUUAAUUUAAUUUCCCUUUCAAAAUCACAACCCAAUUUAAAAUUUUAAAAAAGAAAAAAAGAAAAAGAAAAAGAAACCCUACUCCCUAAGCUAGCUAGACCCAUGUUUCUUCACAUCAUCACUAUCGUCACCAACUUGCCAAAGAGGGGACCUUAAUCAAUUUCACGAUUCUUAUAUAUAUAAUCUUAAUUUUGUCAUUAUGUGCUUCAUUAUUUUUAUUUUCUUCUCACAUUAACCUUCAUUUAUCACAUUAUUCUCUCUUUCUACAUUCCAUAAUUCUCUUUUCUUUUUUUUUCCCAUUCUGCUUUUUUUCUUCUCCCAAGACCCCAUGGCUGGGAAGCAUGGAGAAGUAAUAACCUUUUCUCUAAAUUUCUCAUUUCAUUUAUGCAUUUGCAUAUUUAGCUUCUUUUUUUUUUUGAUUUUUUUUUUCCAUAUCUCUUUUAAAUUUUUAGGUCAUGUGGCCAAGAUUAGUUGCUAAUAAGAUUUUGAAGAAGAGAUUGGGAAGCAAUAACUUUGUGGCCGAUAUUCCAAGUAACAAUAAUAAUUCAGAGGCUUUGCUUGAAAUUCCACUCUUUGCUCAAUCUUCUUCUGUCCCAAAUGCCUUCUAUAAACCUCCAACCCAAAAUUACAAGUAAUUAACAAUAAUUAAUCUCUUUUUUUAUAUAUAUAUAUAUAUAUAACUCCCUCUUUUUUUUCUUUAAUAAUUUUUCAUUUCAAUUUCAAACUUCUCUUUCUAGGGUUUUUGUUAGUACAUGGAAUGUUGGAGGAGUUGCACCAAAUGAUGAUUUGGACAUGGAGGAUUUAGUGGAUAUUUCUUGUGACAUCUAUGUUUUUGGGUAAUUUCCUUUUCACUUUUGGGGUAAAGUCAUUUAUGUAAUUCUGUUUAUUACCUUUAUGAAUAUAUAUUACUAAAUUAGAAUGAAGUGUAUUAGUAAUGUUUUUAAUUUGUUGGUGUUAAUUUAAUUUUAUAUAUAUAUAUAUAUAUGCAGUUUCCAAGAAAUUGUGCCGUUGAAAGCCUCAAAUGUGUUUGGAUCAGAGAAUAGAAAAAUAUGUUCAAAAUGGAAUUCAAUGAUAAGAGAAGCAUUGAAGAAGAAAGUGAAACAAAACUUCAAGUGUAUAAUAAGCAAACAAAUGGUUGGAAUAAUGAUAUCAAUAUGGGUUCGAAGUGAUCUUCAUCCAUUCAUUCGAAGUCCAAGUGUCUCUUGCAUUGGUUGUGGCAUUAUGAGCUGCCUUGGCAACAAGGUAUAUCCGUAUGCAUAACACUUUUCUUUCGUAACAUUUUUGUUUCUAAGUUUUCUAUGAUAAUAUUGCUACUUUUCUGUCUAGCUUGUUUUCCUAAUAAUAAUCAAAAUUAACAAAAAAAAUAAAAUAAAAUAAACAAAAUACAUUUUGUUAACUGUAUUUUGGUUUUUGAGUUUUAGCCUCAAAUCCUUAGUAUCUAUAAAUCAUUUGUUUGUUAUCUAGUUUGUAUUAAGAAUUCAAAACUCUUCUACUAAAAAAAUAUAUAGUUGUUAAAAAUUUGUUUUUUUUUUUUUUUCCUUUUGGUUUCAUUUAAUUCAGGGAUCAGUAUCAGUUAGAUUUCGAUUGCAUGAAACAAGCUUCUGUUUUGUAUGCACUCAUUUGGCAUCCGGUGGUAAAGAAGGUGAUGAAAAGAAUAGAAAUCAAAAUGUUUCUGACAUUUUAUGUCGCACUACCUUUCCUAAAGGCCCUUCUCUUGAUUUGCCUAAAAAAAUUCUCCAACAUGAGUAAGCUCUAUCUAAAUUACUUCUCUUUUUUUACCCUUUUUUUUCUUUUAACUAUUCUUCUUUUUUUAAUAUUGAAUAAUGAUUUUCUAGUAACCUAUAAUUUUAGUAAAACUAGGGUUAACUUAGAUCGAUUAAAAACAACAACAUUAAACUUAUUCACAUGUUGUUACGUGAUAAUUUAUUUAUAUUCUUUUUUAGAAAAAUGCGACGUAGGAAGAAUAUUAAUUUUCUCCGUUGGAAAAACGUUGUUUAAUAUUACGUUAAUGUUGUUGGUCUUUCUUUUCUUUUGUAUAACUCUAAAAGACAAGUUUAGACAACUAUUUUAUUUGGGUUUUGUUUAUUAAUUAUGAUAUAAUAUUUUUUAAAGUUAAAUUUGAAAAUCGGAAAAUGAUCCAAAUAUUAACAACUAUCAAAACUAUUAGAAUACUAAUACUUACCAUAAUUUGACCACAAUAAUAUUUCUUUUUGACUUGGAAACAAUACAAUAACAUAUUCUUUAUUUUCUUUGCAAGGUUGUUUAUCAACCGUAAAUAAUGAUAGAUGCAUAUAUUUAUAUCAAUAUUUAUUAUUAUCAUUGUCUAUCGUCGAUAGAUAAUAACAACAAUUUUACUAUUUAAAACAAUUAUUCUAGUCUACAAGUAAUCAAGUUUCGAUAAAUAUAAAUAGACACACAGAUAAUAAUCUACUUUUGUCUAUUGUGGUUCAUAAUAGAUAGAUUGUGAUAUUUUAGUAUAUUUUGUAAAUAUUUUAGUUAAUUUUGAUAUAUUUGAAAAAAUAUUUUUAUAGAAAUAUAUUAUCGUUUUAAAAAAUUAAUUUAUAUAUUUUGAUUUCGUAUCAAUAUUUGUGAUUAACAUGUUUAAAUAUGUGAAAAUAUACAUAUUUGUCAUGUUUCAAUAAUGUAUUUAUUUUGACUUAAACCCAAAUAACAAAAGUGAAUUAGGUUAGUGUAAAUCAUGAAUCUAUAGAGAACCAAAAAAAUAAGUAAAUAAGGGAUUUGUACAUUAUAUUUUACAUAUACAUGAAUUAAAUUUAUUAAUGUAUGGUUGACUAAUUAAGUAAUUAAUUAGUCGAAAAAUAGACAAUUACUGAUCGACAAACUCCUAAAUUAAAGCGACAAACUGCAUAACUGGGAAGCUAAUUUAUUCAAAAUUAAGUCAUAAAUAAAUCUUUGGUCAGCUUCAUUAUUGCUGAGGUUGAAAUUGUCUUCAUUCCUUUGUAUUUUCUACAUAUAAAUAUUAUCUUCUAAGUCCUACUCAAAAAUCUUUCCUUAUAUCGCUUUUUUUCUUAUUUUUAUUUGGAAAAAAACUGAAAAUUUUAUAUCAAUCUUCCUACGUUUCAAUGAAUUUAUAACAUCUAGUGGGAAAUUUAAAUUAAUUUGUUAGAUUUUGUGAAGAUUGAUUGAAGCACCAUGAAAAAUGGUGAUUUAAUAUAUGGUGAAAAUAUUAUAUUUUGAUUGAUUGAUUGAUUUUUUUUCUUCUUUUUUAUGAAUUAUUUGAGUUGACUUUUGAAAAAUAAUUUAAAAUUAAAUUGAGUGUAGUUAUCAAAAUUUCACACCGUUCUAUCUACAAUUCUAUUUACAUCUCUACGUGUCCAAAGAUUCUCCACAUUGAAAGUUACAUUUAAUUUUAAUGGUGAAAUGUGAAAAUGAAGCAACAAAAUUUACACAAUUGUAGAUAAAAUACUAUGUAUUUACUUGGACACUUUAUCAAAUAUUGAGGAAUGAGACAUCAUUUUUUUUUUUUAAGAAUCUAAUAAAUAAUUGUGGAUUUAUUGAUGUAUUUGUUUUAAAUAAUGCAGCCGAGUGGUAUUGCUUGGGGACUUGAAUUAUAGAGUUUCUCUACCAGAAGAAACUACGAGAGUGUUGGUUGAAAGAAAGGAUUGGGACACUUUAUUACAAAAUGAUCAGGUAAAUUUCAAUUUCAUAAUACUAAAUUGCAAAACUAUAUAGGAGUUUUAGAGUUAAAUGAAGUAAUAUUGUAAAUUAUACAAUUGUGAGAAAAAUGUUUAAUAUAGAUAUAUAUAUAUUUGUUAAAUUAAUGUUAUGUUUGAUUGGGUAUUUGGAAAUGAUAAAUGAAGCUAAAGAUGGAGAUGAUGGAUGGUGAAGUAUUGGAAGGAUGGGAAGAAGGGAACAUAAAAUUUGGGCCAACCUACAAAUAUUAUAGAAACUCAGAGGCUUAUUAUGGAAGUUUGCAUGGCCUUAAAUCUGAAAAAAGGAGAGCUCCUGCUUGGUAAUUAAUAUUUACUCUCUUUUCUUAUAUUAUAUUCCAAUCUUUUUCUUUUUCUUUCUAAUUAAAAAUAUAAUAUAAUAAUAAUGAAGAAAAAUUACCACUCACCUACAAAAUAUUUAGAUAUAUAUCCAAAUUUAUUUUGAACCAAUUUCUUUUUUAAACUCCAAUUAUUUCUUUUAAUAUUUAGGGUUUUUCUUUUAAUAAUAAUAAAAAUAAUUGUUUUAACAUUUCAAACUUUAUCCACCAAAUUAAUACUUUAACCUAGUUUUCUAUAAUUUAAAAUUACAAGUUUUGUUUGAAAAUUCAGGUGUGACCGAAUUUUAUGGAACGGCAAGGGACUAAAACAAAUAUCAUACAAUCGAGGGGAAUCAAAACUAUCAGAUCAUAGACCUGUAAUGGCUGUUUUUACGGCAGAAGUUGAUACCUUAACAAGCUUGAAAACUUUACGUAGUUACUUUUUAUCAAACAGAUUUGAACAACUAAAUAAUUCUACUACUCCAUUUGUCGAGGACCAAGAAGAGGACGAGUACGAAGACGAAGAGAUGUUUUCUACUGUUAAUUUCAUAUGUAAGAAUAAAUCAACCUUUCAAGACCAUCUUAAAUGACGUUUAAUUGAAAAAGGAAGAGAUGUUCAAUUAUUAAAUAUUGUGUACUGUGUAACAUAUAUGAUAGACGUACAAAAAUUAGGUUAGAUUUAGAUAUUAUAUUUCUUGAGGUUGAAUCGAUUGUAUAUUUUUUGGUUAGUUUUUUCUUUUAUUUAUAGCUUUUUUGAGCUCUUUCUACACUGCCCCUUUUUAUAUAAAGAUGGACUUGAACUUGCGAAUCAAUGCUUCUUAAUUUUGUGUUCAUGAAAGAAUUGUUUACUCUUUUGCUUUUGCACAAAUUUUGUCAUUUAAGUUUAGAAGCUCUAAGUUCUUUAAUUCUCAUAUUCACAUUAAGCCAUUGAUGUCAUUAUCUUUGUUCCAUCAACAUUCAAAGUCUUAAUUGGUUCAAUUCUCUUGUAGCCAAUUCUAGAGCCAAUCUUAAAUCUCUUAAUUUUGCUUUUGAGUUUAUUCUUCCAAUUUGCCCAAUUAUGUAUUCAAUAACUAAUUCAGUUUGCUCACAAUACUCCAACUUCUACCAAAUAAUCAAAUAUUUGUGCCAAAUUUGUUAAUUAAUUAUUAAACUAUCAAAUAGCACACAAAGUGCACUACCACUCAUAGCUACUGUUUAAACUUUACAAAUGUUUUUGAUUGAGUUUGUAAAACUUUAUCAUUUUAUCUAAUAGGUCAUUGGCAUGUAUGCUGUAAAUUUUUAAAAGGUAAUCGAUUAGUUUAAUAUAAAAUUCAAUAAUUGUAUGUUUGUGAGACUCUAAACUUUCAAUUUUUGUAAUGACUAAUAGAUUAAUGAUCUAUUGAAUACAAACCGAAGAUUUUAGAGUCCUAAUUAAUAAACACAAACGGAAUGUUUUAAAACAUAUUAAAGACUUCUUGAAGUUUAGAAAUUUUUUUUUUUAAAAAAAAUAAUAAUAAACUUGCAAUUUAAACAAUAAUUUUUUUUUUCUUACUUGAACCUAACUCAAUCAGUCCAAUGAUGUAGAGUGGUAAGCCAAAUCUUUAUCCUAUAGGGUAAUUUGAACCUAAAGUGAUCACCAAAGAGCAUAGCAUUAUUUGUUGAAAGCAGUCAAAUUUUGGUAAACUUGGACAUGUAGAGUGGGCCUUCAAAAAAUCACAAAGGCCUAUGAAUUAAUUAUUGGGCCUAACAAAGAAUAUGAAAAUAAAACUAAAAGUUUGGAAGAAGAAAAGUUGUGUGGGCCAAGGCUAAGAUUGUAAGAGUUGACAAGAAUGGUAAUAGGCAAAGUAGUAUGGGAGAAAGUGAGAAAAACAUAUGUAGCAAUCACGUCCAAUACAAAACUCUUCCAUUUUACUAAUGAUAAACUAUAUUAUUGAAAAGAGUAUAUUGAUUAUAAUCUAUUAUUUAUAGAUUUUAUCAUAUUUGCACCAUUUUAAAAUAAUGAUAUAUAAUCAUUCAAGUAAAGUUGCACUAUUUUAUUUUUUAAAAAAUUAACAUGAAUAAAAGACUCACUCAACUAUUUGAAUCACCACAAAUAAUAUAUAUUUAAAUAUGCUUCAUGACCGAAUUGCUUUUGAGAAAAAAAAAAAUAGCCAUCAUUUUCUCUCCUAAAACAUUUUUUUUUUCUUUUUUAAAAAUUUGUUAAAGUUCAAUUUAUCUUCACAAAACUUAGUCAUUGGGUAUUGUAGAUGAAAUAAUUUGAGUAGGUGAAUUCAUUGAGUUGAAAGUCGUUUUGGUAUAUACCCAUUUAAAAUGAAGUUGGAUUUGAGAGGUAUUGGAGGCCGUGUGAUGUGGAUCAUGUGGCCCAACACAAACCAUAAAAUGUCAUCUUCCGUAGUACAGAAAGGGAAGUGUAUAUGAGAUAUACAGGAUCAGUGCCACCAUGGAAUCUGAUCUUCAUCAAUAUCCCUAAAGUUUUUCUUUCUCUUUUGUAUUUUAAUUUUCGUCGGCGGAAUGCAAGCUGUAUCCAAACCUUCCAAACAUUAGGUCCUACCAAAAAGUUUCCAUCUAUACUCCAUUUUCCAACCCUUUCCUCAUCAUUAUACUCGUUCUAAAAAAGUGUUACUUUGACCUCUCUUUCAAUUUUUUCUAUUGCUUUUUGUUUCUUUGUAAAUUUUUUUUUCACCAAUCAAAUCUUUAAUUACUUUUUUAGAAAAAUUCUUUAAUACCAAGGUCAUCAUACAAUAAGUUAUUCAAUUCCAUUAAUUACUUUAAGAAAAAAUGUUACAAUGUUUCUCCAAUAUAUUCUUUAGAAGAAAUAUUAUAAAUUUGUGCAAGUUUUAAUUUUGAGUGUAAAAUAGGGUCUUUAAUGACUUUUAAUUGCUCUGGGUAUCGCUAAAAACCACCAACGCUAAAUGUACAAAUUUGUCUAACACAAAAAAUUGGUGUGUGGGGUCUUUGUAGUCUAAUACAUUACAUAAAUGCUUAAAUACUUCCAUAUAAUCUUAAAAAGUUUGUAGACUUCCUUUUAAAUUAAUUAUAUUUUAAUUCAAUAUCGACAUCGGUUUCAAAUAUAUUUUAUGAUCUAUUUUUACAUUUCAUCCUCUCUAAUUUUUUCAUGUUUCAUCCAUCUUUAUUUUGUUCCGUUGGUUUACUUUUUCUCAUACAAACCAUAUUUUGUGACAAAGUAUAAUCUUAUUAGUUCAAUUAUUAUAGGAUGUUUGGCUCACUAAUCAUAAGUCAGGUUAAAUAAAUAAACGUCAAUAAUAUUUACAAAUUUUGCAUUUAAACACAUUGUUUAUAAAGAAACUUCAUCUUUCCUUCCUAUUUAGAAACACUAAUACACACGAGUUAUCAUUUUGUUUUAAUAUCCACCUGUUAUAUUUGUUCAAAAAAAAAAAAAAACAAACUUCUACCUAGAGCAAAAAGUGAAAAAAAUUGUUUACUUACUAAAAUUGAUUCCAUUAUUAUCUUAUUAAAAUUUAGUUUUCAAUUUCAAUUCUUUUAAUUAAUUUCAUUUCUUUGAAGACUUCAAUCUUAGUUUUUUUUUCGUAAAAAUAUGUUUUCAAAAUAUCGGUUUUAGUAAUAUAUUUUAUUUUAGAUAUUUUAGAAAGAUGUAUUUCUAAUAUUAAUAUUAAAUUUUAGUUCCCAAUUUCGAUUCUUUUAUUAUUAUUUUUUUCAUAUUUCAGUUUUCGUCCUUUUCUUUAAAAAAUGUUUUUAAAAUAUCAGUUUUAGUAAUAUAUUUUAUUUUAGAUUUUCUUAGAAAGAUGCAUUUCUAUCGUUAAUAUUAAAAUUUAAUUUCUUUCUUUUUGCAAAUUUCAUUUUUCAUCUUUUUCUUGAAAAUGUGUUUUAAUAUUUUAAAUAAUAUUUAAUUGGUUUCAUUUCGUUUUGUAAUGAGUGACUAAACUAUAUAUAUGAUUUUAUUUAAUUAAAAAUAUUAAAAACAAUUAAAUAACCUAAAAAACAAAAGAAAAUAUUGGUGUUAUUAUUUGAAUAAACUUACACAUGCACAACAUGCUUGGCCACUUAUAUUAUGACAAAUUAAUGAAAGUAAUGUACUUUGCUCCAAACCUAAACUAUCCUAUUUUUAAAGAUAGUUUAGACUUCAAUCCUAUUUUAUUUAUUUUUUUCAAUAUAUCCUAUUUUGUAUGUAAUUUGAAAACAAAACAUUUUUUUUUCAAUACCAAUUGUAUUUACUUGAACUAAGAAUUUAUUUUUUAAAAAAUAGAAAUUUAUUAUUUUGUAAACUAAAAAUUUAAAAGAUCGCCUCCACUAUCUUUUAAAUGGAGACCUCAUAACCCUUGACAAAGAGUGAAGAGCAAUGUGAAAAUUGAUGAAAAAUGUAAAGACAAAAGGAACCUAAACACUCCCUAUGCAUAACUCUUUUUUAAAAUAUAGAGAUUUUUUAGUAUUAUUUUUCAAACUCCCAUAACUAUACUCAAUAAUCCUAUAUUAUAAUUUUAAAAAACGAAAACACAACAACGGUUUCUUUUGUUUGUUUUUGAGUUUGGAAUUAGCUAAACAAUAUCAAAUUGCAACAUAUAUAAUUACAAUUUAAAUAUAAUAAUUAGUUUAUUUUUAUAAAUAUAAUAAAUCACUAAAAUAUUCGGUGUCCGGUAAAAAAUAAAAAAGGCCUAUUAAAUUGAUCAUUUUUUAAAAAAGUUUCAAGUUUGUCCUUCUUUAUCUUUUGUAUUUUUUUCUUUUCUUCCCCAUCUUUUUUCUUCUACUUUAUGCAAUACUUUUUCUUUCCUUUCUUUCCAUGUUUUUUGUCUUCUUCUGCAUUCUUUAAAAUAUUUGCUCUUUCUUUCCAUAUUCCUAUUCUCCAAUUUUUCUUUUGCUUUUUAUCGACUUAUAUUGGAUGUCAAUUAAUCACGAGUGUACCUUUCAUCAUGGGUUCAUGAGUUUUUUUUUCGAAAUUAUUUUAAAUAUUUUGUUCCAUUGUUAAAAAAGACUCGUCGUGAUUAAAUCUUAAAUUUUGUGAUUAAAUCAUAAGUGUGAUCAUGUUUGUAUCUUGAUGGUUGCGUAUAUUUUAUUUUAAAAUUUUAAAAUAUUUUGAUUAUCUAGAACAACAAUAAUAUCAUUAAUAAUGAUGGUAUAAUGUAUAUGGGGAAGUUAUUGUGAGAUGUAAGAUAGUGUGCUUAGACUUAAGUUGAAUAAGUAUUAUAACCUUUUUGGAUUUAUUGAUUUUUAAUGGUUAAAAUUAAAUCAUAUAAAAAAAUAUAUAUUCAUUACACAAAUGAGAAAACCCUAUACAACACAAAUAUAGUAUUAUAUUAUAUGUUAAAAAAUCUUAUUUAGAAAUUGAAAACAAAUGUAAACACAUUAGGAGAUUAACAUUUUUGGUAUAAAAUAAUAAUGGGAGACAAUGAUGAGGCAUGUGUGUGUGUGUGUCAUUAUUAUUUGGUUGAAGUGGAUAAGAUUCAAGAAAAAUAAUAUAAAGAAAGAUUAAUGUUGUUGAAACUAUAGAAUAGAAUCCCAAGUUACUGCCAUAUUCACAAAAGUACAACAAAAGAGAUAAUUAGAUUAUUGUACUCUUUUUUGGUGUGAGAAUUUAAGUCAUUACUUUCUUCUUUUUAUGUCUUUUUUGCUUCAUUAUCAAAAACAACACUUUCAGAUUUGUCAAUUCUUUUCUUACAUAUCCCAUAAAAUUAUUGAUAGUUAUAGCAAUUAAAAUCCAUCUACUCUAUCCACGUAACAAUAAGGCUCAUCUUAUGCUUUUUGUACAUUCCUUUUUAAAUGCCUAUAUAAUUGAAUGUUACCUAAUAAGUUUUUAAAGGUUUCAAUAAUGUGUUUUCACUCAUAGAUUGCAAUAUAUAGGUAAUGGUAAAAUGGGAAGAAAGCCAUGUGUUUGUGGUUUUUAAUUUAGAAUUAGGUUUUAACUUAGUCUCAUCUUUAACCAAAUUCAGAAAAUCAAAAUUAGAAGAAGAAAAAACACACAUUCAACUCUAUUUGAAACGCAAUUAAUAUUUUAUUCCUAUUUUCAAAUUUAACUAUAAAUUAUUAUUCUCUGAAAAAUGACCUAUUUUAUGUUAUCAAUUUUUUGGAUUGAAAGAUCUAAAUUUUAAAUGACAUAGCUAAAUUAUUUCUGAAAAUAAUAUAUCUUAACGUAUGUGAUAUCAUAAAUUAAUAACUAUAUAAAUAUAUAACAUCAAAAUGUAUUUAUAAACUAUUUGAUGUUUUAUAUUUAGCCCACUUUCUAAAUCAAAACUCAAUUUAAUAAGUCCAAAGAAAAAAAACAACACUUUGGACUAUUGAAAAAAAUAUAUAAAAUAUUGCAAAAUUUAUUUAACUUUUUAUAAUUUAUAUAUGUUUUUGCGGGUAAAUACUUUCAUAAAUUUUUAGAAAAAAAAAUGUAAAUUUGAUAGUUUCCUAUUAGUAACUAUUUUGUUUUAUAAUAAUUUUUCUUACUCAUGGUUUUCAUAUAGUUUUCUAUUAAUCUUGAAUAGUUCCCGACCAAUUUUAAAAAACAAAAUCAAACUCUUAAAACUAUUUUCUAAGAUGUUAGUAUGAUUUUAAAAACAGUUCUAUAAAAUGUGACGGGUUAAAUUAGUUAUUAUAUAGUCUGUGGGUUGCGACAAUAUGUAUAUGGAUGUUACAAAUUAUUUUAGUUCAAAUAGAAAAUAUACAGCGAACAUAGUAGAAGAAAAAUAAUGGAUAGAAAAUAGUAAACACCAAUAAUAAAAAGAGAUUUCAUAUAAUAUAAUUGUAGGUUACAAAUAAGAACAAUUGUAAAUAUACCAAUCAAAGUUAAAGUAUAAGCAUAUAUAACACAAUGCAAAAUAAUUUGCAAAUAUAGCAAAGAUUAAAUCUAGCUCUCAGAGGCAACUGGUGAUAUAUCAUAUUACUAGUCUAUUCCACUAUAGUGAUUAUUAAUAAUAGAAGUAUAUCAUCGAUAGAUUUUACUAUAUUUGUAAUUUUGUAUAAAUGUUUUUAGAUAAUUAAGUACGCAUUAAGUGGUACACAUUGUAAUUACGUUGUAGUUAUAAACAACUCUAUUGUAUUUGUAGUUGUAGACAUGGAGUAAGGUAGUCCACCCCCACACCUUUUAAGUUUAGGGCUCAGUUAACCUAAGAUCUAACUAACCAAACAAAUAAAUAGAUAGAUGAAAGUGAUACUUAUAACCCUAAUUUUAAAAAAUCAAAAAUCAAAUGUACGAAAUGGGCCCUUACUAUUUGGUUAUUUUAGAAAAAUUAAAGCUUUUUCAUAUUUAUAAAGAACAUAUACACACAAUUCUACCAUCUAAUAUCCAAAGUGUUUUUCUCAGUUUUCUAAUUUACGUUUCUUUAAUAAAAGUGAAAGGGAGAAAACACAAAUAUUUCAUAAACAAAAAAAUAAAAAAUAAAAAUUAUCUUUUGAUUUGUAAAUAUGUAAAAUGUUAAGCAUGUAAUUCUUUAAGUUUAAUUAAUUUUAAUUUGAUUUAAAGAGCUUUUCCUAAUACAAAAAACUUAAGAUUGGAACAUUGUUUCAAUAUGGUCUCUAGCUUUUAAGAUUUACUUUUAACUUUCACAAAUGAACACAUUUUCUGUUUAACUUAAUAUCUAUUAAUUAAUUUAAAAUUUUAAAAUAGUUGAGAUUAAUUAAAUUAUACUCUUUUUCGUUGCUAUUAAAAUUCUAAAGUUUUAGUUCACUUCAUAACUGUUUUUAACAAAUUUAUAUACAAAUCCAAAUUAAAUAUUAUUCUUAAUGAAUUUGUGUACAAAAUAAAAUUAGUGAGAAAACCUAAUGCUAAAAAUAUAAACGUUCAAAUCUAAAAAUUAAAUUGAAUAUAAUUAAAAAUUUGAAGAUAUAAUUAUAUUAUUUUAGAAUAAAAAAAAAACAAAAUUUUAUAACCUAUAACAAAAUUUUAGAUGGUAUAAUACUCAUAUCCUUCUAUCAAUAAAAUUCAAAAUUUUACUAUCAAUAUUUUAUUUUAUUUAUAUAUUUUUAAAUAUAAAUAAAGAAAGAAAAGUUGACAAAAAAAAAUAUUUUAAAAAAAGUAAAGAACCAAAUAUUAGGAAACGUGAUUUGUCAUUUUCUUUUUAAAUUAGUAAUUAUAAGCAAAAGGAAGCUUUAAAUAUAAAAUAAUAGAAUAAUAUAAAAAAUAAAACGUAGGUGAGAUAUUUUCAUAUGAAAAUAAAAUGGAAUUAAAAGAGAGGCGACAAAAUUGGGUUGGAUUGAUAGCAACCAUUUCCCAAUUCUUUCACCCACAAAAUUAAAUUUUGUUACUUAUUCUUUCAUAAUAUCUCUCUCUAACCUCUAUUCCGUUCUUGAAACCUAUAUUCUUAGUCUUUCAACUUUUAAAAAUAAAGUCCAACUAAUUUUUAAAACAAGUAUAUAGCAUAUAUAUGGUUAACCUUUAGGAAAACAAAAAUAUUUGAUGGAUGAAAAAUGGCGAUAAACAACGACAAGCUAACACAUAAUAUUUUGUUUGACAUCAUACAUGAUAUUUUAUGUAAAACAUGUUAAUGAGAAUAUAUGAUAUCAAACCGACAAAUAUCCACUACACAUAUCAACAUUCAACGUUUUAAUAUGUAGUAAUAACAAAGUAUAUAACACUAUUUUUAUAUCUAACUAAUUAAUAUAAUAUAUUUGAGUUGAUACUAGCUAGUUGUUUGAUUUGCAAUCUUUUUCUUUUGAAUAAAUGUUUUAUAAUUUUAGAUCAUAUUUACUACGGUAAUUACUUUUCUAUUCUUAUUGUUAAAGAUUAUGAAAGGAUAAUUUCUUUUUAAUUGGUCACAAAUGUAGAGAUUAUUUAGAAUGACUGUAUUUAUUAAUUGUUACUCUUAUUAUGAUCAUUAUUAUUCUGUUUUCUAUACCAUUUCAAGGAAAAGCUUACGAAAUCAAAGUCAACUUUGCAUGAACAAUAAAUAACUUUGACAGAAAUUAAAAACAUAUUUAUAAAAAAAAAAAGGAAAAGAAAGAUCCAAAAAAAUCCAAUCAAUUAAAUAAAAAGAAGAAGUAAAAUGAAGAAAUUAUUAGACAUUGGCUAUUGGCCUUCUUUGAGAUUUGUGUGAUGUUGGGUUACCAUCAAUAACUUCAAAUUUGUUGACUUGAGUUGACUACUCCCAACUUGUAGUGAGUGAGUCUCUUUUCUCAAAAUUAGCUCACUUUUUGGUUUCAACAAAGUGAAGCCUCUCUAGGUAAGAAUUUGUGAAUCAAAACUUCCAAAAUGAGACAUCAGGGAGAUCAAAGGGAUGCAUUAAUUCUUAGUAAAAAAUAUGAUUAUAAAAUAAUUUGGUUUAAGACCAAACACUCUUAAAACCAGCUUUUAGAAAUGUGAACUAUAGAGUUUAAUGGUUAAUCUCUCCCUAAUUUGUAUGAGAAACUUUGUUCAUCAUCUCCAACGACUAAAACUAACCAACUUUCAACCACUCACCUCUUACUACUAUCGUUGAUCUACUUCGUCGAUCACCUCCAACAAGCUUCUCUACUCACUACCUUUUGUGAUCGCCAUUGACCGACCUUGGUUACCACUGUAACGACCCAACUUUUCUAAGCAAGUCGAGGUCGUUAAUUUUUAACAAAUAAAAGACUUUGAUUAAUAUAAAAUGAAACGUAAACUAGUUCAAAAACAUCUUUAAGUCAGGCCUGAAUUUCAAACAUUUAAGAAAACAUAAAAACAAUACUAUUUACAAUAAACGUUUGUAAGCAAAAUUUCAAUUCAUCUUAAACCUCACAAGAACCCAUAAGCGGAAGCAAAAACACGUUUCCUAUGGCAUCACGCUUCCUUCCUGCCCCUCGCCGGUUUGCUGCCUUUAUUACCUUUGCCUGAAAAUUAAACAUAAGAAGGGUGAGUGUUUAAAUACUCAGUAACAGACCCUCUACUGGUCCCGUCAGGCGAAAAUAAAUUGUUAACGUUCUAUUGGGACACCCUGUACAGUCGCAGUCUUGUGAUCCCGUAGGAUACACAUCUCAGUCUAACGCCGUAGGAUACACAUCUCAGUCUAACGCCCCUCAUAUCAGUCUAGUGUUCUGCAGAAACACAUAUCAGUCUAAUGCUCCCGAAGGUGCAAAAUAAAUUGGUGAUCCUGUGGGACCCCUACAAGGUACACAUAUCAGUCUAAUGGAGAUGGCCGACGGCGGUUGCUGCGCGAACGAAGAGAAGGGAACGAAUGGGGCGGUUGGGCUGCGGCUGGGCUGCGGCGGGAAGAAAACGGAAGAGAAAGGAUCGGCGGCUGGGCUGCGGCUAGGCACGAACGGAAGGAGAAGAGGACGGGUGGGGCGGCGGUUACUGCGAACGAGAAGGAGAAGAAACCUGAUGGGGGUCGCGGCGCACGAAGGAAGAAGAAGAGAGAAGAAAAAGAAAAAGAAAAGAAAAAGAAAAAGAAAAGAAAAAAUAUAUAUAAAUAAGAAUUUUCUUUUUCUUUUAUUUUUAUUUAAAUUAAUAAAAUAAAAAUAUAUAUAUAUAAAAUAUAUAAAAAAAAAUUGUAAAAUAUACAUUUUUUUUUUUCCUUUGGGGCUUUACAACCACCCUACCUCAUCAUCUUCGACAACCAUUGCCAACCGAUUUUAGCCACCACAAAUUCUGAUAUAGUAAUAUAAGAUGAAUAAAUAUAAUUUCAAUAUAUAAUAAACCAAAUAAAUUCUUUUGAAAAAUAGUUGCGAAAACACGAAAAGUUUUGAUCAAAAGUAUUUAAAUGAAAAUGAAUUUUUCAAAAACAACUCUAAUAGUUGUUUGGUUUUCUGUGAGGAACGUGUUUGUUUAUUAAAUCGUUUUUUAAUUAAAAAAUAUAUAUAUAAUCUACUAACAACAAAAUUCAUUACAUCUAUAUUUUUUUAUAUAAAGUUAAAUAUUUUAUAAUUUUUUCUAUUUUCCUUUUAUUUUUUUCCAAAAUCUUUUUUAUUUUUUCUUCUUCUUGUUUUUUCAGGUAUCAAUUGAGUUAAGCUCAUGUUGGCUGUUUUUUUUAUUCACUUCCAUUAUAACUUUAAUUUACUUUGUAAUACUUCAUUUUCUUUUCUUUCGAGGAAAAUAUGUUUUUGUUGUAUGUAUUUAAAGUUUAAUUUCUAUUAAAGGUUUGAAAUUUAAUUUUUAUUUUCAUCCCUAGAUUACUUUUAAAUUAUUUUUUUUCAUUAUUUUACCUUUUAACAUUUGAAUUUUGUUUGAAUUUAAUUUGGUGUGUAUUGGAAGAUUUUACAUUUUUAAUAACUUUAAUAUUUUUAUUAAAGAUUUACUUUUAAAUAUUGACGCUGAUUGAUGUUCAUGUCUAUUAAUUAAUUUAUAUAUAUCUAUAUAUAUAUUUAUUUAAUUAUUUUAAAUUUAUUUAACCGGUUAGUGUAACGAAAAAUGAGUAUUUAAUUAAAUAUAAAUCUCAAAAUUCAAAGACUAAAUUUAAAAAGGAAAAAGAAACAAAACUUUAGCUUUUCUUUUCUUUUCUUCUUAUUUUUCUCUCUCCUUUCCAUUUAGUUUUAGUCUUAUUAUUAUUAUUACGCUUUUUAUUCUUUUUUAGCAAUAAACUUUUGUUUAUUAUAUUUUCUACUUAUAUUUCCAUUAUUAUUUCACAGUAAGGUUGUUGAAUAUAACAAAAAAAAACUAUAUAUACAUAUUCUCUCUUUUUAAAGUUAAGGUUGGUUGAUAAUUAAGAAAAGAUGGUAACCAUAUAUUCGUACUAAUCUAUACAAAUUGUCAUCAUUUUAGAUGAUUGGACUAAAAUAAGAUAUAUGACAUUGCAUAUCAAACUUUUAAAGAUAAAAUUUGGAUAAAAACUUUCAAUAUCUAACUUAGAUUAAGUUUGAGUCCACACAAUUUUAAACUCAACAUUUUAACUCUUGAGAUUUCAUAUAAUCUCGUUUUUAUCUUUACUAAUUAGUACAAAUAUUUUUUAUCAUGAUCAUAAACAUAUUUGUUCGCAUGAGAUUUUCGAAGAAAUUUAGUUCGUGGAGUCGAACUUGGAGUUGAUGCUGUAUCUUUAUUGAUUUGAUGCGGUGCGGUUCAAUCUCUAGAAUUUGAUCAUUUGAUUCUCUCUCGACUGGAUGCUUACGCUUGAUUUGGAGGAAGCGGAGCACGUGAUGUUCUUGAAGUUUGAGUCUUGGAAGAAAGCUUAUUCAUUCAAAGAAGCUUCAAUCUUCGAGGAUGGUCGACUUCAGGAGUUAGGGAGUCUUCUAGCUCUUGGGAGAAGACUCUCUGAACCUUUUGGAGUCAAAAUUUUCCAACCUCUCCAAAUGAGGAGAAUUCCUCUAUUUAUAGAGUUCAUUGAUGGGCUUAAACCUGGUUGGUCCAUGGACCAGACCCAUGCGCUCAACCAUAUGAAUUUAGGGUAUAUUUAGUUUUGGGCUCAAUUAAGCUUAUUUUUUAGUUUAAUUGAACUUAGUCCAAGUAAAUAAUAUUUAAUUGAACCAAAAUCAUUAACUUAAUCUAACUAUUAACAUAAAAACAUGUGGCAUUAUUAGAAUGGUCAAUUUAUGUUUUUCAAUUCUUUAAUUUGGGGCACAUGUCGAUUUUAAUUAGUCCCAAAUUUAAUUAUUUGUAUUUUCAUCAAUAACUUAAUAAAUGAUGUGGCAAUUUGUGAUUGGUUUCAAAGUUUCUUAUUCAACUAUAUUAAUGUGUAUUAAUAUAUGGGUGUGACAUGGAAAUACUUUACUUAGAAGAAAAAAAACAAUAGUAAGAAUUUAAAAAACUAUUUAUAUAUUAAACAAUUAAAAAAUAAUUGGGUGUAAUCAUACCAGCACCAAUGCAUUAGUUUCCAUUAGAAUAAUAACUCUACAGUCAAGCGUGUUAGAGUGAGAGUAAUACUAAAUUGAACAAUCUUUUAGGAAGUGCUUCUGUUGCACCCAUUUUAAAAUAUAUAUUUAAAAAUAACAUAAAAGUAAUAAAAAGAUUAUUCAUUUUUUUUUAAAUCUAAUUUUAUCUAUGAUAUUUUUUUUAGCAAAAUAAAUAAAAAUAUUUAUAAAAUAUAGCCAAACUUUGAAAAUCAUCAAGAGACCAUCCUAAACUUCCAUACAUAUUUAUAGUUUACAAUAAUAUAUAAACAUACCUAUAUGUGUUUAUUCAUAUUCUAAAAUUUUAAUAUAUUUUGGGAAUGUUUUAUCAGUAAGUAUACACACUUUUUUUAAUUAUACAAACAAAAAGGAAUUUAUUACUGAAAUCCCAAUAAUUAUAUAUAAUAUGUAUAGGGUGUAGCUAGGGUAAGCACAUUACAUUGUAGAUAAUGACAUUUAAAUUAAAUCACUAUACUUUUUCUUUGUUUUUCAAAUAAUAUUUAGCUGUCUUAAUGUAUUUAUUUUAAAAAAAUUUCUAGUAAUUAAAGUCUCUUUAAUUAUAAGUUUGGUUAUUUUGUUUGAUAUGGUGGUUGAUUUGAGUUAUUGGUGAGAAUAUAAUAUGGAUAUAAUUAGGUCAAAUUGUGUAUGUAACCAAACUUACAUAGAAAUGCAAUGCUUUUGAAUGUAUUAUUAUGCCUUAACUAAAUCUAUAUUUUUGAAUAAAUCUUAAAAAAUGUGUUGGCCAAUUAAUAAUAUAAUUCAUAACCAAACAAUCUCUAAUAAUUUAAUUAGCUUUCAACUACUAUAUAUCCACUUGUAAAGUUCAAUAGUAGGAGCUGUCUUCCUAACACACAACCUAAUUUCAUUCUCUUUAUAUUUAUCUAAUAAAUAAUUUUAUAUCAAGUUUAUAUUUUAUCUCUCUCCCCUUCUCCAGAUUUUCGAAAGCACUUUCUGAAUUUUCGUGAAUUGCGUGGAUAUGCAUAAGUAUAUAAGCAAUUUUCUAUUCACUUUAGCUCAUGAAAACCUAUGAUAUUACUGGAGACAUAUACUAUGAUGUGAUGUUAAAGUAACCGCCUAAAAUUGAUUUAAUUAAGAAUUGAUUUAGUUGAUUUACAUUUAGUCAUUCAACUUAAUAUUCCAUACUUACAAAUAUUAUAAUCGCACUUCCAUAGUUACAAAUAUUAUAAUCGCACCAAAAUUUUUAGCAUAUAUAACAAAAUUUUGAUAUAGUAUCGUCAUUUAAAAUCUUGGAAAUAAAAUGUAAUAUCAACAUAUCUAUAUUAUUUUAGAUAUCUCGUAUAUAUAAAUAAAGCUAAAUUUAAAAAAGUUACAAAAUAAUCAACAAUCAAAAUAUAAAUACUAAUAUAAUAAGAUUAGAAAGUGAAUAGAACUUAGAUAUUAAUUUAUAAAUGAUUUGAUUUACGAGAAUUAUAUUCUAAUAUUGAUAUUUUAUCCAAUACUUGUUUCUUGUUAUAUAUUUCUCGUUUUCUUUAGCUUAUCUCUUAAAUAAUAUACCAUAUAUUUAAAUAGUUCAACUAAUUGGGAGGUCUGUGGGAAAAGACAUGUCAUAAUCUAAAACAAACACAAUGUUUUAAACUUAUAAUAGUAGAAAAUUCAUCCAUUUUAUAUAAGUUUGAUGAUUUCAUUUGUUUUUUAAAAUCUAAUUUAUGCCACAAUUAUAAGUUGGUUCAAUUAUAAAACUUCUAAAAGUUUUGUUUAAUUUUCACGGUCGAAAGUUGAAGAUGUAAUUGCGAUUUUGUCAAAUCAUUUAAAGAAAAUAAAAUUAACAUAAUAAAAAAGAAAUGUAUAGUAAAAUAUAAAUUGGAUAAAAAAUAUAGAAAAUAGACUUGUGUCAAUAAAACUUAUAUAAUAUGAUAUGAGGAAAUUCCUACUUACUAAGAAAGCAAAUAUGGAUUGAAGUACUAUUCUAUUCUAAAAAUAGAUUUAGACGUCCAUUUCAUCCCAUUUAAACUACUAAAUUAUUUUGGUGUUAAUUUUAGCUAGGCCUAUAUAUAUAAAAUUGAUAGUCUAUAAAAGUAUGAUUCAUAUGGGUGAUAUGAAGUUCCUACUCAACAAUCAAACAAUAUGAGUGGAAGUAUUGUUUCAAAAAAUAGAUUUGAUCAAUAAUUGAUUUCUAUCUCAUUUAAACUAAAAGAUUAAUCCAUUGUUAAUUUUGGCUAGGCCUAUAUAUAAUUAAUAAACAUAAUGCAUCCACCCCAUCACCUAAUUCCUAUUACAAGUUGGCCUUUCUUGCAUGGGGGGCUGUUUUUUCUUUGGUAGAAAUUAAAAUUAUAAAGAAAAGACUUUAUCUAGGCAAAGAAUUUUCAAGAAAUUAAAAAACAUUUAAAAAGAAAAAAAAUGUGUCGAGAAAUAUUGAAGAUUAGAAAUAAGUGAUCAUUUGGAGACCAAUAUUCUCAAAGAAAUAAAGUAAGUUUGAGAAAUUUCUUUUUAGUUUCCAAGCAACCAAACACGUGUGAUAAAUAUGUGUGGCAAAUAGAAAUAGAUUAUUAUUAAUAAUUAAUUUUUUGAUGCCAAUUAAGCCUUCAUUAUCUUUCUCUAUCAAACCUUAAUUAAAUAUGAUUGACAUCUCAUCUACCAAUCUUAAACUUUCUUCCAUCUUCAUAAUGAAGCUUUUUUUAAUCAUCAAUUAUUAUUUAGUUGGGUCGUGGAUUUGGUUCAUACCCAAUUUUAUUGCAACAACAAUAUAACAAACUUCCUUUUCAAAAGCAUUUAUAUUAUCUUCUACGUUUUUUUUUUCUUCAAAAAAAGAGAGUAUCUCCAAGUACAUGAAUGCAAAUGAUCACAACAUCAAGAAGACAACGUCAUGAUGCUAUUGCAAGUGAAAAAAAGCAAAAUAAAGAUAUUAGUAAAAGAUACAUAUGUUCAAAGAGUCAUGUUAAUGUUGACUCAUGUUUUUCCUUCUAAAUUAAACCUUUUGUCUAAUUGUGUUUCUAUAAGAGUAUUUAUUAUUUUAGCAUGGGCAGAACCAUGAAGAAGAAUAAGCUUUUAGAUUAUUGUAUAAUUUUUUUCUUUUUCUUGAUUCUAGUCGAGAGUUCUCUAGUGCAAUUUGUGAGCCUUUUCUUGGAGACAAAUAUGAAAAAAAAACAUUUUUGAAUCUCGAUGGAUUGUAAACCUUUUUUUUCUCUUUAUAUAUUUGAAUGAAACCUAUAUAGGCAUAGAAAAUUGUUCAACAUAGUCCGACAUGUAUGAAUAUAUAAUUCCAAUUAUCUUUUCUUAGUUUAUUUUGAUUAUUGUAACAUCUUGAAUUUAGAAUGAAAACGUGAAUGAAUCGAGAUCAUAUUUGAAUUUAGGAUGAAAACGUGAAUGAAUCGAGAUCAUAUUCGAAAAUAUAGUUAAGAGAAAGUUGAAAAAAAGAUUAAUCCUUAUACUAACAAAAUACGUCUUCCUUUUAGAUGGCUUAAUCGAAGAAACUUUGAAACUAAUGGUGCUUAACUUGUAGAGCAAUUAUACAUACUGAGUGAUCUUAUGAAAAUUUUCUCAUAAAAUUCAAUUAGAUGUCGAGUUUAGAUUUCAAAUCUUGGAUCUAAAGUGUUACAAAAUACAGUAUCAACAUAGGAAUCCAUUCUAAAGGGUGAGUUAACCAUUUCGUUAUAACUUAAUAUACAAAAAGAAAUUAUAAAUAUAUAUAUAAUUGAAUAAAUAUAAUAGUCAAGAUAUAUAUGUAUGAAAUAGUAUAUAGGAUGUAACCAAAUAUUUUCUAUUUUAUUUCAACUUUUUAUAUUUUACAAAACUAUAUUAUCAAUAUAUAAUGAGUACGUUUAUAUUUUAUGGUUUAGGUGAUAGAGAUGAUAUGAAAUAAUGUGUAGAUAUUAAAUUAAAAUGUGUAAAGUUUGAUAUGCACUUAUACCCAUUAUAUUAAAAAUGGUUGGGGAAAAGAUAAAAGCUACCAAAGACAUAUGUGUGUAUAUAUAGACAAAGGGACUAUAGCUGGCCUUGAGAAAUAUAAAGGACCCUACCAAUUCUUUUUCUUUUUUCUUUUUGAAAUAUUAAUAAAUAACAACAAUCAUAGAAGGGAAAGAUGCCCACUUCAUUAAUUGUCAAUGCAAAAUUUUCUUCCCAAUGUCCAUUGCUUCACUCUUUUUUUCUUUUAAAUUUUAUUAUUAUUGUCUUUAUCAAGUAGGUGAACAAAAAAUAUUGGAGAUAUAUAUAGUAAAAAAGACUAAUCUUAAUUAAUAAUUAUUGUCAAAUCAUGAUUAUUUGGAUCAAACCUAUAACCAAAGAGUUCAUAUAGGAUAAAACAUAUUUUCAAACAUAGCCUAAACAACACAAAAAUAAUAACAAUAGCCUAGCUUGAGUUCUACAUAGUAACACAUGAAUAAAAGUGUAAGAAUUUGGUUUAUAUGAAUAAGGCACAUAUUACUUCUUUUAACCUUUUUGAUAGAUUUUUUAGAUGUGUGCCUUUUUAUAUUUAUAUCGAAAAAAUAUCCAAGCUAAUAUACACCAAGCUAUCACUACCAUGCAUUUAUAUUUUUCAAAUUAAUUUUCAACCAUUGGAUGCAUGUAUAUUUAGUUUUGAAAAUACCCAAAUGUGCAAUAUAGGAUUAAUGGAAACUUUAGGAAGUGAGAGAGAUGGGUGUGUUGGACAGAUGAAAUGUCACAUCUUAGGGGAAAUGUAGAGGCAAGUUGUGUGAAGGGAAAGGUUAGGGAAAGGGGGCCAACAUAGCAACAAAAUAAGAAAUGCCUUAUCAAAUUUAACCUAGUUUUUUAAGUACUUCACCACUAAAUUUAGGUCUUAUCCAAUAAUUAUUUGGAUUUUCAUUUGAUUUUUUAUGUUUUAGUUGCCUACUUUUUAUGCUUGAUUUUAGAAUUUGAGAUUUGAUUGAGAAAUUUGAUGUUAUACCUUAGAAAAAAAAAUGUUAUGUUUUUCUAAUUUCAAAAUGUUAAGAAACAAAUAGUUUACAGAGAUUAAGUUAUUAAAAUUUACUAUAACUGAACCAUUUGAUUGUACUGAUUUUGCUCAAUUAUUGCAUAUGUUUAGUCCAUUUUUUUCCUUUUUCAAACAUUGAACUCAUUUCAUCUUUAUAUAUAGAGAGAAAUCAAAUGUUGCAAAAUGAUUGCUAUGAGAAUCCAAUGCAAAAAAAAAAAAAAGGGUAUUCUUCAUUUUGAAGGUGAGGUAGAUUAACACUUCAAAUUUUGAAACAUAUGUCUAUUAUAUUCAAUAGCAUAAAUCAAAAUUGUUAAAUGUAAGUAACCUACUAGGUUCAUAUAAACUAUUGAGAUCACUGUUUAAUAUCAAUUUGUUUAAUAUCUCAAUUAAGGGAAAAAUCAAUCUAAUACCUUUGUAUUUUGUUGGUUGAAUUGAUUAAUAUCUCUAUGAGGCCUAUAUAUAGAUAGAAAUAGAAACUCAAGUUGACAUGACAAAGUUGACGAAACCUAUGUUUGACAAAGAACCACCUUAGAGAGUCUAGAGUGAAACUUAAAGUGAACUCUUGAGUGCGCCUAAAAGUAACUCAAAGGAUCCAUGAGAGCCUAGAUUGGAUUUAAUUAAAGGACCCAAACAGAAGCUUGGAGGUUGCUUAGAGGAUUCAUGAGGAGCUAGAGUGAACUUAGAGGACACACGUAGAAGCAUAGAGACUGCUCAAAGAACGCAUGAGGGAGCCUAGAGAACUAAUAAGGAAACCUAGAGGUAGCCCAGAUGACUCAUAGAUGAGUCUAGGAGGGAGAGAGAACCCACCAAUGCCUUAAAAAGGCUUAGAGGACCUAAAAAGGAUUCGUGAAAAGGAUUAGAGGAACUAAGAGCUAAGGAGCUUAGAGAGAGUUGGAGAGGACCCACAAAGGAACCUAGAAGUAGUUCAAAAGAUCCUCGAGAGAGCAGAGGAAGAAGCCUUAAGAGAGAUUAUAAGAACCAUGAGAAAUUAAGGCCUAAGAACACGUUCAUAUUGAUAGCACUGAUAAUCUGCGUUUUUGUGACAACUCCAUGACUUAGUCCUAUAGUACCUUCGCGCGAAUAUAAAUUCGUAACUUUAGUUUUUAGAACAUAUCUUUUGAUUUGGGAAGUUAUUUUGGACGUAUGACCACUAGUUUUUCUCACUUUUCCGUCCUCUAUCUAUGUAUUGCAUUGAAUUUUAGGUUUACUUUUUUUUUUUUAUCUAUUCUAUGUAAUCAAGCCAAAACGAUGCAUAUCUCUUUCUUUUCCACCCGCUUUUUUUAUUUGGUUUAAUUUAUGUGCAUUUCUAAGUUCCUCUCCCAAUUUGUCAUAAUUAACUUAAUAACUUUUUAUUUAUAUAUAUAUAUAAAUAAAGCUUAAUAACUUUCUUUUAGGGAAAGGGGAAAAUUUCUUUUCUUUUGUCCAAUUUUUAUACCAAUCCCAUGUGCAGCGUUAUAACUUUGUCUCUCAUUUAACCCAUAAACAAACGUAAAAAGUUGAGAAAUUGCUUUGAACUUGGUGAGAGAAAGAGAGAGAGAGUUUCAUUGCUCAUUUAAAAAAAGUAAUAAUCUUUUUAAGCUCUCUUUUAGGGUUAAGAGUGAUUAUUGUUUCAUUUUAAUGCAACUUUUACAUAACACAUAUAGUGAUAAUUAUUUUCUUUUAUUUUGAAGGAUUCAAAAGACUUUGUAGGGUUCAGAAUGCCAACUCACAUAGAGUUGUAUUGAACUCAACAAUGUUGGUCAUUUUCUCUCUUUCUUUAUGGCUCAUUGGAAUAUGUUUGAUUCAUGUUUCCCAAUUUCUUGUCUUCUUAUUUUCAAAAAAUAGCAAGUUUGUUUUGUGAAUUUUUUUUUUUUUUUUUUUUCAAUUCCCUUUCAAAACUAUAUUCUAAAUUUUUAUAAUGAAAAUUUAAAAUAUACUAUUUUUAUUCUCAUGUUGAAGUCUUCAAAUUUUUCAUGUCACUGCUGCAAAAGUUAACAUUUGGUUGAAGUAAUAAACUUUUUAGAAAAGCUCAUUUCAUUCUUAUCUUGAAUUUAGCUUUGAUAUAUUAAUAUUUUAGAAUGGUCAAUUAUGAAUUAACUCUAAUCUAACCAAACCACCCUAACACAAAAUUACAUCAAUAAAAACUCAUCUAAACAAAUAUUAGACAUAGUUUGAAGAACAUUAUUACAUGAAAAAUUGAUGUGUUAUUAGAUAUUGUUGUUGAGAGUUUUCUCUAAACAAAAUUAAAAAAUAUAAUAGGUCUAAACAACGUAAGAGGAAUUCAGAAGUGUGCAUCACAAAAAGAAAAUGAGAAAUAAUGGAGUUGGACUCGACUUAAUGCUUUACAGUUUCGAGUGCAACAACAACCCUAACAUAAUUGGAGUUACACAUAACCAUGCAAUUGUCAGAGGAAAUAAUGCGUUAUAAGUACUAACUCCAUUUGACAACUCCACAGGAGAAGGUUAAAAAAAUUUCAAAUGAGAGAUCAAUGCUUUUAUGUUUAGCUAAAUUUCAAUAUACUAACUUAGACAACAAAGUGUUGUAGACUUAACAUCACAUUAGUAUAAGAAACUCUCGAUCUGAAUAAUGAGACUAAAAAGAAAACAUUUAUCCAUAAAAGACACACGACAGACAACAAAUGUAUGUGAAUUUUCCACAUCAACACCAACAUUUAUAAUGAAAUAUAGUUUUAUGUUUAGUUUUCUCAAAUCAUAAUUUUAUUGCAAAAAGGUAAGGAUAUAUAAGAAGUGGUUGCCUAAGAAAUUAUUUGGAGUUAGAAAAGCAUUUCCAAAAUGAGGCAUAUUAUUACAAAAAUCUAAUCUGCCUUUCUUAUAGAAUCCAUCAUUAAGUAAUUGAAAGGUCACAACUAAUUAAAUUCAUAUAAAAUUCCUCUCAAUUAACUUCCGAGCUUUGCCAUAAUUAAUAAGAAUAAUAACACAUAUUGGACCCUCCAAUUAUAUUCUCUCUAUAGUUUUAUGCUUUUCUUUUCUUUUAUCUCAUAAAUUAAAACUAAAAGCUAUAAUGUUUUGUAAGCCAACUAUAUAAAAUCCAUAUAUAAUUUAUUUAAUUUUAUUAUUAUUUGAUAAUGGUAUCAUGUUUAAUUAACUUAAAAACUUAAAAAAAAGAUAAUAAAGCAUGGUUGAUGUGAUGUAAUUAAGGUCUCAUUUGGAAUUUAAUUGUAUUAUUAGUAUAGGUUAAGCUUUCACUUAAUUUAGAUAAAGACAUUUUUUUAAUUAUAUGUUUGUAUUUAUUUAAUUAUUUUGUGUCUUAGGAACCAAAUCAAUCAUUCCUCCCAUUAAAAAAAAGCAUACAAAGUUUGUAAGUUAUUUUUCAAAACUCAAAGAUGAUUAAAAGGAAGUAGAAGUAAGGUAUUUAAAUAUUAUUAUUAUUUUCAUUGUAUAUUGAAAUAAUUGAUUUUCAUUGUAAGAUAAUAAUAGGGUGGAAAUGUAGAAAAUGAAAACAGUAAUAUGGCGCUAACUAUUAACUGUUUAAUUUAUUAUCCUGAAGAAAGGAAAGAAAAAAGAAAAAAGUGUGAAACUUUUAGUUAGAAUAAUUCCUAGUUUUGAUACCCCGACGCUCCAUGCAAUAUUUGGAAAAACACAAUCGCUCUUAUUAUUUGAGAGUGUAAGACACGAGCUAGAUUGGAAGUGGGGGUUUCAUGUCAGUUAUUAAUGUAAUAAAAACAAGCUGCUUCCUUCCUUACUUCCUUCCUUACUUCCUUCCUUCCUUUUUCACUAUUAAUAUAAUAAAAUGAAGUUUCUUUUAAUAUUCUCAAGUGCUCUCUGACUCACCUAUAAACCAAACCCUACAAUUUUAGAAUUUUAGAAAUUAUACAAUUUUGCUAACAUGCGCCACCAUUGUUCUAUUACUGUUCACUGCCACGUCAGUUCAUUUUAGCACAACCUCCAAAUUCUUAAAACUUGCUUCUUUUUCUUUUUAUUAUUAUUGUUCAUUCACUGCUUUCCUUCUUCUUGUUCAUCCUUUUUUUCUUCUUUUUAUUUUAAAAAGCUCUUUUUUUAAAAAAAAUAAUAAAUAAAAAAAUCUGAUGUAGUUUUCCCUUUACUUAUAUAUAAUUUUUUUUUCCUAAUAAUGAUAGGAAUGAUUUCUUUCCCCCUGAUACUUUACCCAUUUCUCUUUCUGUCGUUUCUCUAACCUCUCUCAUUUGGGUUUUUUCUUUUAGAUUUUAUUUAGCAUUCUCUGUUUAGUUCUAGCUGGAAAGAAAAGGGUUUUUGUGAAAAGAGAGAGAAAUUUGAAGCACAGAUGAAGAUGAGCUUUUUAAUGGUGGAGAUAUGGCUUUUGGGUUCUCAGAUCUGAUGAAACAGAAGCUGUUUUGUACAAGUAGCUUAGACACUACAAAAUGUGUCUUGUUUUCUUGGUCUCUUCUUGAGUUUAUUCAUUUCAGCUCUGUUUUAACUCAAGUCUUCUGAAGAAUUUUCUGUUUGUUAGUUCUUUUUGGUCAAAAUUCUGUCUUCCUUUUGGGGUUUUGAGCAAUUUGGUGGUUUGUUUUUUGAUCGGUGGAAUCGAGAUCUGUUGAAAGGAAAAGAAGAGAAAAGAAAAUGUUGGCUGUUGGUAGUCCUUUUACAAGUGUUCGUACCAGCUCUAGUUGUAAUGCUUUGCUCAGAGAACUUCAGGUCUUUCUCUUUUUUUCUUUCUACUCUCUUUCUCUCCUACUUUUCAUUCUCUUGCUUUCUUCUUUCUUGUUUUGUUUUGUAAUCUGCUUCACAAUGAUGGGUUUGUGAGAAUCUCUUUGUUAUAUGCUUCUUCUCAAGGAGGCUUAUGAUGAGUUCUUAAGGGCUAUUAUAGUCUAGCUGCUAGUGCUAAUGAUUUCUCUUAGAAACAUGAGAGACUGGUUGGUUUGUACUUUUUCACAUUUCAGAACUCGAAGGCUUUCUUCUAAAAGCACUUUUUUGUGGUCUUCUUCCUAAUUUUACCUUCUUCUCUGUUACUCUUGUUUAACUUUGUCCUAAAUUUCACUAUAUCUGUUCUUAAGCUCGUUAUGAUUUUUAGUGAGAUGCAUCAUAUGGAGCAGUUUGAUGUACUAAUGAUUAUAGUUCACCUGAAUGAUACGUUUCUAGGCUUUCUUUUUAGCUUUUACUGAUUCCUCACAUGAUAGAAGUUUACUGAUAAUCUCUCAAUUCUUAUGAAUUCAGCAAAUAUGGAGUGACAUUGGCGAGAGUGAAGCUGAUAAAGACCGUAUGCUUCUGGAAUUGGAGAGGGAAUGCUUGGAAGUCUACCGGAGAAAGGUCGAGGAAGCUGCGAAUGCCAAGGCACGACUACAUCAAUCUGUUGCAUCGAAGGAGGCUGAGGUUGCAACAUUGAUGGCUUCUCUUGGCGAACUAAAUUCUCCGGUAAAGAUAGAGUUCUCUUGCAAAUUAUAUUCCUGCAUACUCGUUCUUUAAAGCUUGGAGAACUUUUAAGUUUGGAUCCUUGAAAUUGUUCUUAAUUAUUGGCAAAAGUUGAAUGAAUGUUCCCCAUUACCAUUUUGGUGGCAUUUGUGUUUCUUAUUUGUUUCCUGUGGUGGCAGAGUCAAAUUGAGAAGAGGUCCAAAACAUUGAAAGAAAAGCUUGCUUCUGUCACUCCCCUAGUAGAAGAAUUGAAGACGAAGAAAGAGGAGCGUUUGAAACAAUUUGCAGAUAUAAAAGCCCAAAUUGAGAAGAUCAGUGUCGAAAUUUCAGGUUACAGCAACCAUGUUAAUGAUCACAUAAUCAUCAAUUCUUUAACCCUGGAAGAAACAGACCUGUCUUUGAGAAAGCUCAAUGAGUAUCAAACACGUCUUCGCACCCUGCAAAAGGAGAAGGUUUGGAAAUAGAAACUAUAAGAUAUCAUGUAAUUGAGGAUUGUGCCUUUUUAUAGUUUUGCAUUGUUAUCAUUUGACUGUUCUUCACAUAUUGAAAGCUAUUUAUUUUAAGUUGAAUGAUGAUUGACUAGAAAUUCUUUGCAGUCCGAUCGACUUCAUAAGGUUUUGGAGCAUAUUAGUGAGGUCCAUUCUCUCUGUGGUGUCCUUGGCUUGGAUUUCGGCCAGACUGUAAGUGAUGUGCAUCCGAGCUUAGAAAGGACGAGUAUCGAACAAGCUACAAAUAUCAGCAAUAGCACAUUGGAAGGCUUAGAACACACUAUUCUUACACUGAAAACAGAGAGGAAAACUCGAAUCCAAAAGGUAAGCUUGCGUAGGUUUGGUCCUCGCUCAAGAUUUUGUGUCGUUGUCUUUUUCUUCUAACUUUAGAACUUGCUUCAACCUGCAGUUGAAGGACAUUUUAAAAUCAUUAUAUGAACUUUGGAAUUUGAUGGACUCUUCACGUGAUGAAAAGAGUAAAUUUUCACGGAUUACUUCCAUCAUGCGUGUAUCUGAAACAGAGGUCACAGAACCGGGUCUUCUCUCCACAGAGACAAUUGAACAGGUUUGAAGCAUUCUCAAAUAUGAUUUACAUGUCGACUUAAAAACAAAAACUCUCAAUUUUCAUUUUGAUGUCCCCAGGCGUCAGCAGAAGUGGAGAGGUUAACUAAACUAAAAGCAGGUCGAAUGAAACAACUCGUACUGAAAAGGAGGUCUGAGUUGGAGGAGAUUUGUAAAAUGACUCACAUUGAAGCUGAUCCUAGCACAGCUUCUGAGAAAUCAAAUGCAUUGAUAGAUUCAGGUAAAUUGGUAAUUAAAUCCUACAUUAUUCAAAUUUCCAUCAUGUCAAUCUUAAUAAAGACAAUGGAUGAUACCAUAGUCAAGCAAAAAAGAAACUUGAUUACUGUACAUGCUUGGUGUUUUAUAGGUCUAGUAGACCCGUCUGAACUCCUUGCAAACAUUGAAGUGCAAAUCGUCAAAGUAAAAGAAGAAGCCAGCAGCAGAAAAGACAUAAUGGACAGAGUAGACCGUUGGCUAUCAGCAUGUGAGGAAGAAAAUUGGCUUGAAGAGUACAAUAAAGUAAGCUGAGUAUCUUGGUUUUUGCCGAGAGAUAUUGACUACUUUAUAUAUCUUCUUUGCAUUCAUAAACGUUUUACGCUGCACUUUUGGGUAGUCAGUGAGGUUAUGAACUCUUCUUGUUUUGCUUAUAGAGUGAAACGAGAUUAUAUAGGUUUACAUUAACAUCUUGUCUUUCGAAUUGCAGGACGAAAACCGUUACAAUGCAGGGAGAGGUUCACAUGUUAAUCUGAAACGUGCAGAGCGAGCGAGAGUGACUAUCAGCAAAAUCCCAGGUAUUUUUCUUAGCAAGAAAACUUUAUUCUCCUCAUAUCAGGAUGAACAGAACAUUCUUUAUCCUUAAGUUGGGUGGAUUAAUUGGCGAAUUUAAGUUUUAACUUUAUCAAGUUGAUUUGAACUUAAAACUUUUCCAAAACUAUCAAUAAAUUACUUCAAUCUAACCCAUAAAACAUACAAAUAGCGAAAACAAAUAUUCAGACACCAUUAAUCUGAAUACCAUAACCCAAUAAAAACCAAUCUCAAUUCUCACAGUACUGACACUGAGACCAGCCCCCACAAAAAUAGUUUCACAAAACUACAAGAGUGCUCACCCUUGCCCACAGAUCUCUGAAGCAACAACCAACAUGAGUAUAGCAAUCACAGUAUCUCUACUUCGUCCAAAGAGUUGGUAGGUACCUGACAUGAAAUUUUACCUUAAGAAGCGUUUUCUUUUUUUUUUUUGGAUAAGAACCUCAAGAAGCGUAUAUCACAGAAUGUUCAAAUUUAAUUCGUUGUCAUGAAAACUUUUAGAAGUUUAGACUUGGAGGUAGAAAAUGCAUUCCUUCCAAGAAUUGGUAAAGCAGCAAUAGCUAAUGAGCUAAUGGUGUUUCUUUUCAGCUAUUGUUGAUAAUCUGAUACACAAAACUCUGGCCUGGGAAGAUGAAAAGAAGACUAUGUUUCUUUAUGAUGGGGUAAGGAUUAUUCCUCUGUUUUCUUUUGCAAUCUACAUCAUUUGUAUUCGGAUGUUCAUUAGUUCAUCUUCAUUCAGGCAAGAUUGGUGACAAUACUUGAAGAUUAUAAAUUAAGUAGACAGCAAAGAGAAGAGGAGAAGAGGAGACACAGGGUACUUUAAUUAUGUUCUCAUUUUGAAUUAUCAGGUUAAUUCAUUUUUUUACUGUCAUUUCCUGAAAAGAAAGAUCAAUCUUCCAUUGCCAGGAUCAAAAGAAACUUCAGGAUAUGCUCCUCACUGAGAAGGAAGCUAUGUACGGUUCUAAACCCAGUCCUCGGAAGAGCAACAGCUUUAGGAAGACUAAUGGAUAUCGUGCAAAUGGGAAUGGAUCGAUGACACCCACGCCUCGCCGAAACUCUGUUGGUGGAGCAACCCCAGAGCUUUUAACUCCUAGAUCUUAUUCCGGUCGCCAAAAUGGAUACUUCAAAGAAAUGAGGAGGUUGUCUACUGCACCAUUGAACUUUGUGGCCAUAUCCAAGGAGGAUACGAUGUCGUAUGCUUCGAUUUAUGGAUCUGAGCCAGGCUCUCCCCCCCAGAGUUAAAUCUUAAUGCUCUCUCAAUAUGGUAUGUCUACUUGUUUGAACGCUUCUAAUAUAAUUAGUCUUGAGUCAUUUCUUUUGUUGCCAUGCUCUGCAUAUUCAUUUUUCAACUCAGAAAGGGUAAAAUAAGUUUAUUUUCAACAGUAAACAUUUAUAACGUGUUUGGAUUGACUUUCUAAAUCUUUAAAUGAGUGUUUAUAAGUGUAAAAAAGGUGUUUACAGACCUUCGAUUUAAAUACUCAGCACUCUUUUUGUUAGCUAUUUGGCACCAAUUGUGAUUCUUUUAGGUUUUUAACGAAGAGCUUGUAUUUGAUUUGCAGAAAGGUCACAGCGGUCGCAACUUGGAUAUCUAUAUACAUGAACUAAUGCAGCAGCAGCAACUUUGUGAAUAGGAAACAAAUUGUAAACUAGUUUACAACUGUGAUUUGAUAGGACGACUUGGAGGACGGAUUGCAACUAACAGGUCGAGAAGGCAUAAAUGAUGUGGUUUUUAGUGUAUGGUAUAAAAUAGGUAGUGACGAUAACAGAUAAGUAGCUCAGAACAAUGCAUCUAAAAGUCUUGUAAUGUUGAAAUAGGAAUGAUUUGAUAUAGUAGGGAGUGCAACCACAAUGUUCAGUGGAUUUUGUUAGUGUUUCAUGUGUUGUGUAUAUAUUAUCUUUCUCAAACAAAACCAACCAUUUGAUUUUAGAUUCUUGAUAUUUUAAAGAUUCAUAUUUCAGGUGUUCUAUACGUGACUUUAAUCUUCCUGCUAUUUUCUUUAAAUUAUGCCCUGGUCGAUCCCCCUCCCUCGAAGAACAUGAGUAAUGACCCAACAUGUUCUGUUUCAUUUCUACCAAACACACCUGAAAACUGAAGCUGGUGCACAACUUAAGAUGAUCAAAGGCAAACUACCUGAUUUAGUUCUAAUUCAAGAUAAGUUUUGGUUCUUAAUUUUAACUUGAUUAUUUGAAAAGUUAAAAUGGACAAGAAAAGGCUGCGACAGAGAUCUCAAUCUGAUCUUACAGAACACUUCAAAUCAAAAUGGGGAAAAGUCGAAAGAAAUGAGUGUUCUAUUUGACUAACAACUACUACACUCUAAAACAUCAUCAUGAUAAUUUGAGAUUGCUUGGACUGGGAGAAACAGAGGUCAGGCAGUACACUUCAACUUUGCUUCUACUGGAGGAUAUGCGAUAGCCAUGAAUAAAAUAUCCAAAACAAGAAAAAGCAAAGGCAACACCUUCUACUCCAAAUAACUUUAAGCUUGUUCAAUGUACAUUAACAACUUCAAAAAAUUUCACACUACUGUUACAGGACUUCAUGAACCAAUAUAGAUUAAAGUUAUUUGGAGUAGAAGUGAACCAAUAUAUAUCAAAACAGAAGAUUAACUUGUUCAGAUUUGCCUGUGUUCUCCUCCCUCUCCUUUAAUAAUCUUCAACAUAGAGGGGAAGUAUCACAAGCUUCAAUAAUAAUUAGAAGUUAGAACAUAGAAGGAUCUGUUACUAAUCUUCAACAUUCAAAGAAUAAGUACUUUCAAAAGGAAUAUCAAUUAAAUGAAACUUCAUCCAGAUAAAUUCUUUUGUUUGCAUGUAUCACAUAAGCUGAAGGGGAAAAUAAAUAAAAGAACCAACGUGUCCAAAUGUCGUAAGCAAUUAUGAAAUGUUAAUAAAACUCAUGAACUACAAACUACCACCAGAGCUCUGCAGAAGGGUGCAGAUAUAUACACAAUUCAAGCAGACGUAAUGUAACCCGGAAACCACCCAUGAAGUACCAAGAGAAUUAGUCUACCUGAUUGUGACAAACUUAUUCGUACCAUGUCUCGCCCAGUGAGUCCUCAAAUCGAUUGGGUUAGCAAAAUUAUAGCCAUCAGCUGCUAGUUUUUCAAGUACCUUCUUAAACGCACCCUGACUCAUUUUUCGCCCAGCUAUCCUCGCCCCACGUCUUUUGUCACUCAUGGGCAAAGGAUAAGUUGAUAUGUUGGUAGUACAACAAGCAGAUUGCCAACCGCCACAUCCCCACCUGUAACAUUGAUGAGGAGCUCCAGUGCAAGAGCAAACCGGGAUUGGAAUACAUGAGAUGUCCAUAUCAAUCCCAUUUAUAACAAGAUCAAUGUUCUUCUUUGGUGGUUUCACACGCUGAACAGCCGUGCUAGUAUCUUUUGGUUUCCUCGGUUUUUUAGCUUUGGGGGCUUUGGGGCCAGCCUCACUACUCUGUCUUUUCUUUGCUUUCCCACCUUCCUUCUUCACUGGAGGCUCUUCAACUCUACUUGCUGCUAUUUCAUCCCUCGACGAAGAGGGUGGUUGCAAGAUCUGCAAGGAGUGAGCUCCUGAAGUUUCUGGCAUAACAGGAUAGCUGUGAUUGGUAGGUAACAUAUUAAGAAACCUAUCUCUGUUACCCCCCCAAUUGUCCCUCACAUAGUUCAUAUGCACUGGUGCUUCCGAAACAACGCAAUCCCGAGGAUGGAAGGAACCAUUGGCAUUAACCAUAACAGAAGGAUCACGGCCUGGUAAGAAAUGUUUCAUGUCCCGCUCAGAAAUGGUGGACAUGAGCUGCAGGCCGAGAUGCCCUUUGAAGGACGGCUCAUAAUAACCCCAAUUACGCAUGUUUAACGCAUCGUCAUCCAUCAGAACUACAUACCAAACAUAACAACAAUAAGAGAAAGAUUCUCAGGUUUUGAAUCUUCCCAAUAACAGUACUUGGAUGGCGAUUGUUCAACCACAUCAUCAUAAUGGCUUGGAAAUGAAAACAACAAAAUAUCCCAAGACGAGAAACGAAAUGGAAAAAAAAAAACAACAGAACAAUCAAAGCGCAACACAAACCUUACAAGAGAUGGGGAACACAAUCAACAACAAAAUUUUGCAACUAGACGCUAAUUGUGUAGAUCGACGUUCUUUCUAGAUAUUAAUUUUAACGAUAAAAACAAGAUUCCAGAUCCAACAUUUAAUUCAAUCAAUCAAAUAAAUUAGGGUACAGAUCUCGUUUCCGCAGUCCACAACUUGACAUAUUCAAAUAAUACGCAAAAAAAAAAGAAAGAAAGAAAAGAAAUCAUCAAAAUAAAAACAUGUUCACAUUGGCAACAUCGAAAUGAAAACAGAAGCCCUAAACAGAAAUCCCCAAAAGUCAAAAACCCCUCAAAACAUCAGAUCUCCGACACCCAUCAUGCAGAAAGUGCAAAAGAUUAGGGUUUCCACAACAUCCAAAUCUGAAAAACCACAGAUCUAAGCAAAAUUGAAGAUAAAAAAUCGGAGAAUCGGAAAAACAAAAGAAAGAAGGAAAUGCAUAUUUAUAUGGGGAUGCAGAUAGUACAAGAAGGACCCAUAUAUUCAAACUCGAGAGAGAGAAAGGGAGAGAGAAAGGGAAGAAGAGAGAGAAAGAGAAAGAAGGGGUAAGAGAGAGAGGACUUACUUGGGUGGGUGUAAACGGCUCUUUAGGGUUUUGCCCUUCUGGAGAGAGAGAGACAGAGACAGAGAGGAGAGAGGAGAGAGGAGAGAGGAGAGAGGAGAGAGAAACCUGAGAGAGAGAGAGAGAGAGAGAGAGAGAGAGGAAAGAGAAAACAGAGAGAGAGAGAGAGAGAGCUAAAAAUGGGUAUCUAUCAAAGAAGUAGUUGUCGCUUUAAAAUAAGGAGAGAGGGAAAGGGCAAACCAAAGCUAUUCUAUAAAUUUCUUUCCUUUUUUCUUUUCUUUGUUAACUCUUUUUCUUUUUCUUUUUCUUUCUUUCUUUUUUUUUUCUUUUUAACCCCCAAAACAAAUUUAUUAUAUUAUAUAAUUUAUAUACCAUGUUUUCAUGUUUUCAUGUUUUGGAGUAGGCGAAAUUUCCACAUCACACAACCCUAUCUUUAUAAUUAUAAUUAUAAUUAUAAUUAUAAUUCUUAUUAUUUAUUUCUUCUUAUUCUUAUAAUCUUAUUCUUUUGAGUUUUUGAGGGCUCCACAUUCCAUUUCUCUUCUUUCCCUUUUCUAUUUAUUCUAUUGUCUAAUCUAUUCUUAUCUACUUUCUCCUCUUCUUCAUUCUAUUCUUCCUCUUUCUCAUUAUCAACUCUAAUUUUGUUUCUCCCUAUUAUAUUAUUUCCUUCUCUUUUCUUUUCUCCUUUCUACUUCACUUUUCUUCCCAAUCAUCCUUUCCAUUUAAUCACAUUCCAUCACACUUUUUUCAGUUUCUAAUUAUUUCAUUUCUCAACUUUUACCAUUUUCUAAAUUUUCAACAUAAAUAAACACAUAGUUGUAAAUACAAUAACAUAAUGUACACAAAUUUGUAAAUAUAGAAUAAAGAGACUAUCAAUGAUACACUAUAGAGCGUUAGUAGAGUUUUUUUUGUAACUUUGAAACACCAAAUCACAUUUGGCAUAGAUGAAGUACCUUAGCGAUGUUAAUCCAAUAGCCAAGAGCUUUAAAUAUAAGAAGGGAAAAGAGAUUGAUCUGACCUCUAAUUUUGUAAUAUUGAUAUCAUAGUAAUGCGAUUUCAAUUAUUAGAUGGUAGAUAGGAUUCUCUUCAUAUAAUCUUUGGUCUACAAAUAAGCUGGUCCGUCUCUUUAGUAAUAAUGGACCUGUAGUGGGGUAUAAUAUAGACUAAUUAUCAGACUAAUAUGAUUUCUUAACCAUUGAAAUACAAGCAAAUAAAUUAUAGAAGUUUACACCUUCAAAGUUCUAUAGUAUCAUUACACAAGAUCUAACUAAAGUUUCUCUAAUGAUUCAUCAACAUGAAUUUGUAUUUGCUCUCUUUCUGUUCAAAUCAUGGGGUUCAAAAUUGAGAGAACUCAACACCUUUGAAAAUUGCUUUUCAUCCAACACACUUCUUCAAAGCUGUAUUGCAUAGCAGGACAUCUAUCUACUUUCUUGCUUGACCUUUAAUUAACACUAACAAUGGAACUUACAAUCUAAACCAACAACUGAGCUUAGAAUCUGCUCCUUGCAAAUCCACCAUCGUUAAUUUGAGACAGGAUUAGUACACCUACAGAAAACUUUAGCAGCUUAGUUUCUAAUAACAGUGUGUUCUUGAAAAUUUUCACUAAACGAUUACUUUGUGAACUCUCUAAUCCUCCUGUAAUCUCAAAUUUCAUUGGUUAAGAAAUCAUAUUACUCUGAUAAUUAGUUUAUAGAAAAUAUCAUUUCUACAACCAACAGAAAGGAAUCAAUUGCUACUUCACAAAUGUUUCCCAGCAAGAUAACAGAACCCACGGACAAUAACAGAAUGGAACCAAAAAUUUAAUAAUGAACUUCCUCAACUUCAGAGACAUACUUCUUAACAAACUAGAACAAAUUCCAGAAACAGUUAUACAAUAUCAUGACAACCAGGCACGAAGUCCAGCAUUCAUGUAUCAACUUCUAACAUGCAUUACAACAAUAUAGACAUGCCAAAAUUUUAAUGCGACACUUAUCAGUUCAUAGAGAGCAAUUGAAGAUUGAAUGAAUUUUCAUAUUGUUUUUGGUGAAUUGUUGAACAUGUACAAAAGAAAAUUUAUGAAUGGAUGAGUGGCCAUUUCAGAGGCCAUGUACCUGGAUAAAUCAGGAUGAAGAUGAAAUGCAAGUCUUUUGUAAUUCUGUAAAACAAGAAGGCUUAAAUACAUAUUGGUCUCCAUACUUUUAAAGUGUCCAGCCCCUUUAUUUUCAUUUUCAAGAGACCAAAAUGGUCACCUUUUCAAAGCACAAAACCAAGAGGGUCAUUCUUUGAAACGGCAGGAUCAAAAUAGUCAUUAUUUAACAGUAGUGAGACCAAACGGACAUAUCUAAAGUGCAUCAACUAAAAUCAACUAUAGCUAAAAGUACAAAAAUCAAUCAAAAUGAAUCGAAGUUAAAAGUGCAAAGACCAAGGUUACUUAAAACCAAACAAAAAAGUUAACAGAGAAGAAAUACGAUAAUACAGCUAACUGCAAGUUCUGUUUCUCUAAUAAUGCAUGGUCCUUCAUAUCUAUCGAUCAAAAUAAAUAAGAAUGCACGUUGAACUUUAUCAAAACAGAACACCUUCAACUUAACUCUACCACCAUAUCAUUCAUUGUCAUCAUUCUUUACACAAUUUUAGAGAACUCGGGAAGGAAAAAAGUUGAAUAAUAAUUAGAUAACUGAUCCAAGACAAUGAGUGAAAGAAAACAGCAUAAAAAGAUAUUCCAAUAAAUCGAAAACUACUACAAAACGAAUCAAGAUUGAUCUGGAUGGAAAUUUCCUAACUUUACCCAUAAACUAUAAGGAGAAAAAGUUAACGGCUAUAGCUACCCCAUGAUUGCUGCAAAAGGCCACAAAUAUAUACAUGUAAAACAGACUCGGCCCAUGACCAUCACAAUAUUCUGCUAAACUACCUGAUUGUGACAAACUUAUUGGUCCCAUGCCUUGCCCAAUGGCUUCUUAAAUCAAUUGGGUUAGAAAAGUUAUAGCCUUGAGCUGCUAGUUUCUCCAAAACCUUCUUAAAAGCACCUUGACUCAUUUUUCGACCAGCAAUUCUUGCACCUCGCCGCUUCUCACUCAUUGGCAAAGGAUGUAGAGAUAAACUUGUGGUACAACAAGCUGAUUGCCAGCCACCAUAGCCCCAUCUAUAACAUUGGUGAGGAGUUCCAGUGCAAGAACAUACUGGAAUUGGGAUACUAGAUAUAUCCAUGUCAAACCCAUUUAUAACAAGCUCCAUCUUCUUUUUUGGUGCCUUCACCUGUUGAACCGAAGGAUCAUUAUUUUUAGGCUUUCGAGGCUUCUUUGGUUUCGGAGUUUUGGGAGCACCUCCAUUCUGUCGUUUCUUUGGUUGUUUAGUUCCCUUCUUCACAGGUGGUUCUUCAAUCUUGAGAACCAUUUCAUCUCUUGAUGUGUCAAGUGGCUGUAAAAUUUGCAAAGGUUGUGCCGCUGACGUCUCUGCAAGCAGAGAAUAACUAGUAUUGGGGGAUAACACAUUGAAAAGCUUGUCCCUAUGAUUUAUCCAACCAUCCCUCGCCCAGUUCGUCGCUACCGGUGCUUCAGAAACAACAGACUCCCGUGGAUGAAAUGCGGCAUUCAUGUUAACAAUAGCUGACGGGUCCCGUCCAGGCAUAAAAUGUUUCACAUCUCGCUCACCAAUUGUGGACAUGAGCUGCAGUCCAAGAUGCGCUUUCAAAGAUGGUUCAUAGUAACCCCAAUUACGCAUGUUCAAAGCAUCACCAUCCAUUAGAACUACAGAGUGACACAAUAAGCAGAGAUUACAAGUUAGCUCAAGAAACUCCCAUGUUCAAAACAUAACCACCAUAGAAAUUAACACCAAGAAGGAAGAAAACAGUGUGCUUCAACUUCAAAUAGCAUCACUUCGAUAUUCCUACAAAUUAAAGAACUGCCCUGUCCCCGCAAUUAAGCCCUAAAGAAGACAAAACUCAUCAAAUACACUUAAAUUAAGUCUUUCCAAACCCAACAGUGAGGAUUAUAAAUUAAUUCCAACAAGAUCUCGAUAUAACCAAAAUGGGUUGAUUUAACAGCAUACUGUUGAUUGAAAAGUUCCAAAAUUGGAAAUUCCAGUAUCCCACCAACCAACUAAAAAUUAGGGGUUCUAUCUAAUUAAAGCCCCUUUUCAAUAUACAUAUAGAAGGGUAAACAUAAAGUAAUCCGUUAACAUAGAUUUCCACCAUAAAACCCUAAAACGGAGACAACUUUAAGAUUCAAAAUUCUCAUCAUACGGUUACAUAAACAAAAAUCAGGGUUAGGAAAUAUAUUGGAAUAAACCGUCAGAAACCAAAGUUGAUCAGAAACAAAAAGGAAUGAAAAAAAUAUAAUAAAAAAGUGGACAUAGAAGAAGUAUAUAUAAAGAACAAAGGAUAGCAAUAUUUAUAUAUGAAAAUGUCAGUAAUGGUCAAAGAGCACAAAGAAGGACCCCAUAUAUUGAGAGAUGAGAGAGAGAGAGGAGACAAAGACAGAGAGAGAGAGAGAGAGAGAGAGAGAGAGAGAGGAGGAGGAGGAGGAGAGAGAAAACUUACUUGGGUGGGUGUAAACGGCACUUUAGGGUUUUUGCCGGAGGAGAGAGAAACUGAAAGGGAGAGAGAGAGAGAGAAAGGGAAGGAAAAGGAAAAGAAGGAGAAAAAGUGGGUGAAAAAGGAAAGGGUUCUUUUGAUAUAUAUAUAUAUAAUAUGUUAUUUAUCUUAUGAGUUUAUGAGUACGAGAGAAAUAGAGAAGGUUGUGACAAAAAUCUUCCAACCUAAAUUAAUUUAUCAUUAUCUUUAUGGGAUCAAUUCUUUUCUCUUUUCUCUUUUUUCUUUUUUUGAAGAUAUCAUUAUUUGAUUAUUGUAUUUUGGUGGAAGUUUGAUCAAAGAGAAUGUUUUGGUUGCAUUUACUCUCCCUUUUAAAUAUCUUUUUUUUCUUUUCUUUUCUUUUUUCUAAUUCUUAUUUUAAUUUUCAUUUGCAAACUUAAUUCAACUUAAUAUUAGUUUCUAGUGAGUUGUGCAUCUCUCCAUUGCGCCAAUUUUUAAUUUUUAAAAUAUAGUAUUGAAUUUACUAUCCAAACCAAUCAUUUUUAUAUUUUUAUUUUUAUCACUACAUAAAAUCCAACAAUUCUUAACCUCAAAUAAAUGUCGAAAAUUAAUAGGUCGUGAUAUCCUACUAUUUCAGACACUUGGAAAGUACUGUCAGUAUACGGGUGCAAUCCCAACGUCUUAAUUAUAACGUCGGAACUGAUCCACUAAUAUAUUUUUUUAAAAUUUUAUUCACGUUUUGCCGACGUAAUGAAAAAACGACCGUGAAAGUAAAAAGAUUAUUUAAUUAUUUAACUUCUUCUGACAACUAGGUAAGACUCGUCGAAGAAGCUAAAAAUAAUUAUUUGAUUAUUCCACUUUUCCCAAUAUCUAGGCAAAAUUCGUCACAAAAAAAUGGAAAUAGUUAAUUUAGUUGUUUAACUCUCUUGGAUGUCUACGUUUACUGUGUCGGAGAAAAUUAAAUAGUUAAUUAAAUUGUUUAAAUUUUCUUGACGUCAUGCAGGAACGUCUUGAAAACUCCAACUAAUAUCGACGCCAUUAGUGAAAUAUCAACAUGGGUUGAAACUAUCUCCAAUGUUUCACUUUAUGACAUUGGAAAUAACGUGCAUUUUCAACAUUUUUGAGAUGCAUUGAAAAAUCCUUUGUUCAUUUUAAGUUAUCUCCAAUAUCAAAGGUUUGUGGUACUUAGUAAGACAAUAAGAGUGAAGGAACAUGAAGACAAUAGAAAUGACAAUAUAAUAAAGUGGAGGGAGAGCGACGUUGACGACGAGAGAUGUAGAGAAAAAUUGAGAAAAACGAAAAACAAAAAUACUCGGAUUAGGGAGUGGAGGAACUUAUACUUUAGUUUAAGGUUCGAAUAUAAAAAAUAUUUUUUCAAAAUAAGCAACUAAAUAAUUCGAUCGACUUUGUGUUUUUUUUAGAUUGGUCAACCAACUAAACUAUAUUUUAAAAGUGAAAAAUGAAAAUAGUGACAACUCUACAAACUGACCAAAUUGACGUUGAUCUAGUCAAUGGAAUCGAUUAUCAAUCUAUUUAUGUUUCACGACCAUAUUUCAUAUUUUAUAAAAUAAUUAUUUGUCUUUAAAACCCGGUAUCCAUUUUAUUUUAUUUCGUGUUGAUUCUUUUAGUCAUAAUGUGAGCAUAUACAAUUGUUCAACAAGUUAAUAUUGAGUUACAAAGCAUUAAAAUAUUGCCAAAUAAUUGCCUUGCUUUUGAAAGUUACAAAGAAAGUGAAGGGUUGGAGCAAACAUUUAACCUUUCAAAAUGGAUAUUUUCCAAGUUUAAUUUCUAAACCAAGAUCGAAUAGAUGGAUAAAAGUAGGACAAUGAAAUCGUGGACUAAGUCCACAUAUACUUAAGUUAACAAUGAACCAUGAUUAAUAGCAAAAACAUAUACAAUGUCAAGAAGUUACGUUCACAUCAAUAUUGAUAGAUAUUUGUUUUGACCUACCACCUCUUUGUCAUUCAUCAUCGAGUAGGGGCUCUCAUGGAUCAGAUACAAGACUUCACACUUUUCUCUUAAUUUCAUUAUUUUGCUUCCACUCUCCGGUUGUCUAUUGUCUGUCAUUUGCUCAACUGUUACACGUAUUAUUCCGCCAAUGGCACAUAACCUUUUUUUCAUAGUUUUUGUUUUCUCUUUUCAAUAUAUGGUAUUGUAUUUAAUAUCAUAGAUCCCAUAUUUUUUAUAAAAAUUAAUUGUGGAUCGCUAGAUAGAUACAUGGAUGUAGAACGUUUUAUGGUUUGUUUUUGUUUAAAUUUGGACUCAUAUUGGUUUUUGGACGGUUGAGUUUUGAGUAAUUAUAAUAGGUAGCAAUUUUAAAAAUAAUAAUUAAAUAUAUAACAAUAUUUUUAAAAAAUUAUAGAUAUAGUAAAUUCUAUGAUUGAAUGAUAGACAAUAUUUUCAACAUGGUCUACUAGUUCUACUAGGGAUAAAAAUAUAUAUCUAGGGAUAAAAAUAUAUAUCAUAAUAGACUAUGACUGAUUUUGUUAUAUUUACAAAUUUUUUAAAAUGUUGAUACAUAUACAAAUAUUUUGAAUCUAAUUGUUAUAUUUGCAAUUAUCCCCUCUUAUUUUAGUUUGUACUUAUAUUGGAUUGAGUCGUGGUUUCUUUUUUAUUUGGGCUCCUUACAUAUGUAGCAAAAUAAGGCUAAAAUAUUGAGAAAAUAAUGUCAACAUGGACUCAGUCUAACCCACUUGCAUGUAACUAGUCACCGACAAUCAAGACAAUUGAUAAUCGAUAGUCAAGAAGAUCCAGAGCCAACGAUCAAAAUGAUUUGGAGCCGAUAAUUAAGAUGAUCGAUUGUUGUGAUCGUUGAUCAAUCAUGACCGGUCAUCGUGGUUGAUCGUGAAGUUGAUUAACAUUUGUUGUCAAUGCCAACCAUCAUCGAUGAUCAUUGAUAAGAUGUUGAAGUGAAAAAAAUUCUAAAACAUAUGAAAUUCAAUAAUAAUAAUAAAAAAAACAUAUUCUAAACUCAUGGUUUGGAAUCUUAAUUCGAGAGAUUUUAUUCCAAGUGUCCAAACAUUGGUUUGGCUUCAAAUACCAAACCCCCCAAAUUCCGAACUCAUGAGCCAAAUACCCCCUUAGUAAUAAAAUACUAUCAAAUAUAUACUUUUAUAAUCAACAUGAGCUUAGCUCAACUGGCACCGUAUGUUCUUGUGGACAAGAGGUCCCAGGUUCAAAUUUCCACUCCAGUAUUUAUUACACUACCUUUGCAAAAUAAAAAUAUAUACUUUUGCAAGUGAUUAAAUUCUAUCCAUGAUAGAAGCACAUCAUUAAAAAUAUACUAAUGUGGUUCUUGAUUUUUUUUUAUAAAUAAUAAAAAUUGAUUAAUAAUAGUUCCAACCUAUUAAUGAUACACUUUUGUCAUUGAUAAACUUUUAUUGACGAUGAAAAUACACAUAUUCUUGAAAACAUAUUACCAUAAUUCACAAUUUUUGUUUAGUUUUGAAUAAUUCAUAGAAAUUAAUCAUUAAUGAUUCUAUGAAUGAUAAACUUUUAUCAUUAAUAAACUUCCAUCAAUUAUAGAACCAUACCAUAGAAAAGAUAUUUAAAGUGGUUGCCUACUUUUUUUAAAAUGUUGUUCAUUAGAGUCUAUCGAGGAGAGGUUUUUACCAUUGAUAGAUUUGAAAAAAGUUGAAUUUCUUUUAUGAAAAGUAAGAAAAAAUCCAUAGUUUCUUUGCUUUUUUUUUUUUUUAUGUUGUUGAUAAGUGUCUAUGAAAAAAAAAUUAAUAUAUUUUUAUGAAAACGAGUAUAGUUCCAUCUUUUUUAGUCUGUUCGACGAUAUGUUUUUAUACCAACGGUAGACUUGAAAAAAUUUGAAUUUAUUUUCAUGAAAAGUAAGAAAAUACAUAAUUUCAAUGUUGUUUUUGAGGUUGUUGAUUGAUAGGUUUCUAUUAGUGAUAGAGUAGAAGAAAGUUAAAUAUAUAUUUUUCAUGAAAAGUGACAAAUUGUAUAGUUUCUUUUUCCUUUUUAUAUUCUUUCUUCUUCUUCUUUUUCUUUUGGCUAUUGUUUAUAGUUUAUUGAUCAUGACUUUCGAUUAUUGAUAGACUUGAAAUUUUUUUAAUUUUUUCAUGUAGUUUCAAUUAUGUUUUUGUUGUAUAUUUGAUAGUCCAUCAGUGAUUCGUUUUAGUUUCUUUCAUUGGUAGAUUGGAAUAAAGUUAAAUUUAUUUUCAUAAAAAAUAAGAAAAUCGAUAGUUUUAUUUUUAUUUUUAUUUUUUUGUUGAUUAGAGUUCAUCGACGAUAGGUUUCUAUCCUUGAUAGACUUGGAGAAAGUUGAAUUUUCAUAUGGAAAGUGAAAAUAAUAGGAAAAAAUUGCAUCAAAUAACAAAAACAUUUAGAAAAAAAAAAACAAUUCAUGAUAUAUAUUUUUUGCAAUUUGCAAAUAUGACAAAAUUAGUGAUAUCAGACAGCUAUCAUAAGGCUAUCGGAAGACUAUUAGAUAGUAAUCAUAGGGUCAUCAACUUUUAAAUUUACUACUUUUGCAAUUUAGAAAAUGUAGUGACAUGAAGCCUAUUAUCAUAAUUUAUUUUGCUAUUUUUGCAAGGACCCUAGAAUAAUAUGUAUAUCAUUGUUGUUAUUUUAGUGUACUUGUUAAUAAGUCCAAAUCGAUAGACUUGAAAAAUGAAUUGAAUUUAUUUUCAUAAAAGAUAAGUAAAGGUAUAGUUUCAUUAUUGUUUUUUAAAGUGUUUCGUUGAUUUAAGUCUAUUGAUGAUAGAUUUUAUAGACUUGAAGAAAGAUAAUUUCAUUGUUGUUUAUAUUACGUGGAUUAGAGUCUCCAUCAAUAUUAAGUUUUAUCACUAAAUUAUAGAUUUAAAAGAAAAGUUAAAUUUAUUUUUCAAGAAAAUGUAUAGAUUUGUAUUGGUGUUGUUUUAGUUUUAGUUUUAGUUUUUUUUUGUUUUUCCUCGUAAAAACACUCCUAUUGUUGAUAAUGUUUCAUAUAAAUGACUGUAGAAAUAUUUAUAUGUGAUGGAAUUUGGUGUCGAUGUAUUCAUUUUAACAAUAAAUUGAAUAAGAGGUAGGAUAGAAAUUUGAAUGAAUAUAAAUGAGAUUUCACUAAUUGGAACGUUAUGACUUAAGUCUAAACUCACACCGUUCUUAUAUGAAUAUAUUCCACUUACAAAUUGAUUACAUGAAGUCUAAACUCAUAAAUUAAUUACAUUUGCUUGAUUGUUAUUACUUUAGUUAAAAACUUCGAUUAGCUUCUAAUAUUCUCUAGGAUGGAACCUAAAAACUUCAUUUGUGGAGAAAUCCAAACUCUCAAUUUCAUCAUUUCUUACAAAUUUCGACCUGAGCAAAUGACUGAAAAACAUGGAGACCAUGGAUUGAGUGAGUAAAGGACGAGAGAAUCACAACAAAUAUGAUGAUUGUUCAGUUAAGAAGAUGGCUAAAAAAAUCAUGCUAGAUUUGCUUCAUUUGAAAUCAAAGCUAUUUUUGGAAUAAACAAAAAAUAAUAAGAAUAUUGGAGGAAAUUUGUUAUAAUUGCUAUUUGUUUUAAAGUUUCCAAUAUCAUUAAUUAAUUCUUCACUCAUUGCAAUUACUCUUGCAACUACUCUUAAAACAAGGGUAUUUUAGGAAUAUAAAAAAAGAAAUAAAAAAUUUGCCACAUUUGUACAUUGUUUUUUUUUUUUUUUUAAGAUUUGGACUAUUUUAUUUGUUAAAUAAAUAAGAAAUUUGGAGUGAUGUUGGGUAUGUUUAACUUGGACUUGAAACUUUGGAUUAAUAUUUCUUAAUUUUAACGUGGGUAAACAAAUUGGUUAAAUAUGUCAAUUGCAUCUCGAAGAUAUAGUCAUUCUUGAACUUAGAAAUGAUGGAGAUAGUGAUAUUGAGGUAAAUUUUGAUGAAUUAUUUAGAGAAAAAUCAAAUGCAAAAGAUGAAAACGAAUUGUUGCAUCAUAGAUAUUUACACGAGUAGAGUGAGGUAUUACUUAUUCAAUUUGUGAAGAAUAGCCAACAUUAUUGGAGGAAAGAGGAAGAUGUGUACAAAGCUAGUCUAAUACAAAAAAGAAAAAACAAAUUGAUUUGACACCAAAAAAAGAUUUACAUAUAGUCAGUGAAAUAGUGUGUGUGAAAGAAUACUAUUAGAUCUUUAAUGUAAAAUGGAACCAAGAUAUACGGUAUAUGUAAAAUGCAAACAGUGAAAGGAAGGUUGCGAUUGGAAAUUGCAUUCUUUUCAUCGUAAAGCUAACUCGAGGAAUGUUUGAAGUUACUGAGCUUGAAGGAAAGUAGUUGUGUUUGUACUUAAAAUUGAUACCUGAUCCAUGUUAUUACAAUUAAAAGGAAAAGCAAUAGUGUGGUAGAGCAUCAGAACAAGUAUGCAUUGCAAAAUCUACCAUUGGAAGUUGAAUAUGUAGUUGCUUGAAUAGUUCCCAAAGAAAGAAGUUUUUUUGGCUCAUGAAACUUCUAAUUAACUUGGAAGUUGUUCCUAAAUUAGUAAUGAAACUCCUAUUUAUGAGAAUUGAUCAUCCCUUGGUUUGCAUGGGUGAGAAUGACUCAAGUUGUCGACUUAAUACAUCUAUCAUUUUGAGAGAUUUGAUCGAACGAAGAAGAGCGGAAAGCACAAGUUCAUAAAAUGAAAUUAAUUUACUCCUUCUCACCUAGGGGUAAAGUAGAUGAGUAGUUCUCUUAACUUGUAACUCCGAGACGUGAACAAUGAGGUCCUACCCUUUCACUGCCUCAAGAGAAAAUUUCAUACCUGUUGGAUUCUAUGUUCUAAAACCUGUAAAUAGUAAAUGUAAACAAUUGACCACUAUCAAUAAAGUGUUAUUAAUUGUUAUCAUUUCAAUAUUAAGAGCUAUCGAUUACUUAGUAUUAAUCUUAUCUUAAUAACCCUAAAUCCAGCAAACUAAUUGUAGGAUCAAUAUGACAACCCUAGAGGAGGUAAAUAGUUUUUUAAAGUGAUUUUAGAAAAAAGUUGGAGUGUUUGACAAUCAAUUCAAAAUAGUUUUUGGCUUAAAAGUUUUCUUUUACUCUUUUGGUUUUUGUACUGUUUGGUGUUUUCCUUUUCGGAACCUUCCUUUUUGUUUCCUGUUUGUAUGGAGAGUUUUCCUUGUUUGGUUGUGAUCUUCAUGGUUGUCUCCGUCUCUUUCCUUCUUGGCUUUCUAUAUAAAAAGGUAUUCUUUGGUUGCUUUAUGUAUGACGAGGAAAAAACCAGAAAAGGGUAUCAAGUAAGUAAGGUCUUUUUGUUCCACACAUUUUUAAAAUGUUCAUAAGAAGAAGAAGAUCUCAGCAACCUCUGUGAAGAUUAUUGUUACCGGGGAGCCUAACUUUAGAGAUCUCUAAAGAUUCACGUUCAAGGAAGCCUUAAGACAGAGGUGGCAGUAAAACCAUGCUUCAACAAGUUUAAAAGGGAGUCUAGACUUUAUCUUGUGUGAUUUGUUGUAUCGAAACAUAGUUCAUUCAUUAGCUAGAUAAGUUGGGGUACUUAUAAACCUCUUGAACUCUUGUAAAUCUUCUCUCAAUUGGACAAAUAGUUCCCUAAAUGUUGGUAAUGUUACAUCGAGCUCAGUUAACAACUUGCACAUGUCAUUACACAUUUCUUUUCAUUGGGUUGAUUAUAUUGUCAUUAACUUUAGAUCAACGAUAUAACACCAGGUUAACCUUUGUUUUUUUUUUUUUUUUGCCAAGGAUAUAAAAUGGAACACAUCAACUUUUUAUCUCUCUAACAAUCCCAAAAAUAUCUUCUUUUUUUAAAUAAUCCAAAAAAAAAAGAAAAAAAAAUCUUUUUAUUGAGAUGAGAUGGUUUGAGUUAAAUAAGCAAAUAUACGAGGGAUAUAAACAUCUUCAUUUUACUCUCCUAUAAAUGAAUUUUGCAACAACACUUUCAAGUUACAUAUUUUUCACUACCAACUAUUUUUGUUAACAAUUCUUCCUUGUAAGCUAUUUAGGCUGUAUUUGAUUUAAAUUGCUUAAAAUAGUUUUUGAAACCAUAUCAAUUUUUAAUUUUUUUUAACUAUUUAUAUAAAAUCAUUUAAAUAAUAUAUAUGAGAAAUUGUUAAAAAAAAAAAAUGAUAAAAUAUUUACUUUCCUACAAAAAUCAAAACCAAAUGUAAUAAAUUUUGUUUUUUUUUCAGUGGUUUAGUUUGUAAAUAGUUUGUUAUUUUUCUUUAUUUUUUUAACAAAUCCACACACAUAUAUAUAUAUAUAUAUAUGUUAUAAACAGUUUUUUUUGGUGGUUAGAGGUGUUUUUGUACAUUGAUAAUUAAUAAUUAUCAAUCAAGAAAAUCAUUUUGUCAUUUUGGAGGGACUAUUUAAAAAAUGGAGGUGGUAGACUAUUUUCACUCUAUAGAACAAAAUUAUUAAAAGACAAAAUUUAUUACAUAUCAUUUUUAAAUAUUUUGUUAAAUAUUCUAUUUUUUACCAUUUAUCUUUUUUUUUUUAAUUUCAAAACAUAUUUGUCAUUUUUAAAACGAUUCUUUAAAAUUUGGGUAAUUGUAAUUGAUGGUCAUUUUAUGAAUAAUAAAUAAGGAUAUAGCAACAUUUAAAAAAAAUUGCAAAUAUAGCAAAACAAUCGCUGAUAGACUUGUAUCGUUGAUAGACUCUUAUGGUCUAUCGGUGAUAGACUUGUAUCGUUGAUAGAAUUUGACAAAUUUUACUAUAUUUGCAAAUUUUUUAAAAUGUUACUAUAUAUAUUUGAUUAUUUUGAAUCUCAUUCGAAAAUAAUGGCUAAAUUUGCAAAUAUGGGUGUUUAGCCCUAUUUUUUUUAACCAAUUGGUGCUAUUUGGGCUGAGUGGGCCACAUUAUCCUGUUUCUGGGCCAUAACGAAGCCUAUUUGUAAAGUUUCACUUUUUAGCCCAUUUAAUUAAUUCAAUGUUCCAACCCAUUUGAUGGAUAUAACAAAUAUUUUUAUUUCAAUUUUUUUUUGACGUCUAAUAUAAUUUUCUUCCUCUUUUCUUAUAUUAAAACAAAAUUGAUUAAUACUCUACAAUCAAAAUAUUACGUAUGUUUAAAAUUUUAUGAAAUCGUAAAUAGAAAUUUAUAAAAACUUUGAAAUUCAAUAACACAAGCUUAGUUUGAAAUUCAAUAAUAACACAAGCCCAAUGUUAAUAAGAACAUUUUGGAGUGAGUGUGGAAUACAUGUUUAGUUUAAAAAAUAAGUAAUAUUAAAACCACACUUAAGUAUUUGACAACCAUUUUUAGAAUAGUUUUUGAAGUGUUGGUAAAAAGAUGUUGAAAUAAAAAUGAAUUUUUUAAACAAAAAUUUCUUUAAUCAAAAUAAAUAUGUUGAUUAUAUCCAUUAGUAUGGAAGAAAAUAUAUUAAUACAAUCUUAUAUUUAAGUAUGAUGUUGACUCUAUGUCCUUCCUUCCACGAUACAAUUAUAAAAAAUUACUGAUUAUGGUGAAAACGAAAUUCAAUAGAAUUGUAAGUGAAAGAGAGAAAAGUAAACGUCCAAUUAACAAUAUAUUGGCCACUCAUUCUUACUAAAGCUAUUAAAAAAAAAAAAAACUCAAUUAUGGAUUUAUCUAAACUAACUUUAACUUAUUCGAACUUAUUAAGAUUAAAAUACUGUUUACAUCAGAUUUUCGAAUUAAAUUAAAUAGAUUUUGUGUUGAUUUGAUGCAAUGUGUCUAGUAUUUGAUCAUUUGAUUCUCUCUCAGUUGGAUGCUUACACUUGAUUUAAGGAAGCGAGACAUAUGAUGUUAUUGAAGUUGGAGUUAUAGAAGAAAACUUGUAUCUUUAAAGGAAUUCCAAUAUUCGAAAGUCAGCUUCAAAGUUUUUAGGAGUCUUCUGGCUCUUGGGAGAUUUCUCUUUAGAUCUUCUAGGGUAAAAAAAUUCCAACCACCACAAAUGAAGAGAAUUUCUCUAUUUAUAGUAGGGGUGUAAGAAUAUGGGUUGAACCCGAAUAAUUCGUAUUACCCAACUCAUAUUAUAAGGAUUGGGUUAGAAAAAUAGAAUUUUUUCGGAUUGGGUUGGAUCUUGGGUUGGGAUUGAAAAAUUCGGUUCAACCCAACCCAACUCGAAUUAAUAUAAUAUAUAUAUUAUAUUUAAUAAGAAAAGAAAAUUACUAAUUAGUUUUUCUUAGUUUUCCCUUUCACUUCUCACAACCUAUGCGAAAUCAUCUUCUCAAUUCUCACACCGUCACGUGACACUUCACCUCCAACUCAGCUCCCUCAUGCGCCGCAGCAUCUCUGACGUCUCCUCCAUCAGGCAGAUCUCAUAUCACACCUCCUCCGUCUCCUCGAUCUCAGCUCUCCUCCGUCUCCGACAUCUCCAAUCUUCCCCAAAACUUAAAUCCCCUCCGCCCUAGUCAAGCAUAUAUAUAUAUAUAUAUAAAUAGAAUUCGACAACCCAAUCCAUAUACUUACGGGUAGGGUUGGAAACUAAGUUCAGGUUAUUCGGGUAGCCAACCCAUAUAACCCGAAAAUAUGGAUUGGGUUGAGAAUGUCUCCCAACCCAACCCUGAUUUAUAGAGUUCUCUAAUGAUCUUUAUAAGCUUGGGCCUAAUUAAUCAAUAGAACAGACUCGUUGACUCAACCACAUAAAUUUAAGUCAUAUUUAGUAUUUAAGUGGAACGAAGCUUUUUUGUUUUUUUGCUCAAUUGAACUUUAGCCAAAAUAAAUAAUAUUUAAUUUAUUUUGUAUUCGACGAAUGCAUUUUUUACAAAUUAUAUAUAUACACACAUUACCUUUUACCUAAUUUAUUUUACAACAACUCCUAAUAAAUUGAAAUUGGGUAAUUAAACGUAAUUCAUUAUACGAAAUUAAUCAAACAAUAUUUGUAUGUAUGAAAUAUUAUUUGUUUAGAACAAAAAAUUAAAUAAAUUAUACAAGUAACUCGAACCAAUCCAACUCAAAUAUUUGAUUGUUUGGUUGGUUUCUUUCUUUAGCAAGAAUGAUUUGAAUUAAAGAAAUUUACGACACUGAGAAGAAUAAGACUGAAUCUAAAAAGUAGUUUUAAUCCAACCAAUCACACUAAUGGAAUACUCCUACAUUUUAUAACUAUUAAUCAACUACUGCUGUAACUCAAAACAAAAACAUGAACAACAAUUUAAAACCUUUCCUCAUUCCUCAAAAGCAAAAGUGUAUGUAUUUCUAAAUUUCCAACACAAAUUUGAACAAGAAACACACACUUGAAAGUUGAAACAGUACACUCUUCUUAGGUCAAUAGUUAAGAGAAAUCAUUAUUAUAUGUUGUGUUAUAUAUCACAUGCUGAGGUUGUGAAAGAUUAAAAGGAAAAAAGAAAAAAAAGCUUUAAAUGGUAGCAGUGAAUUAUGUUAAAUCAAAGAAAGAUAUAUAUAUAUAUAUGUAUGUAUGUGUGUGUAUGUGUAUGUUACUAUGUAUAGCGAGUAGGUCCACACAGAAAGAAAAUGGAGUGAAAAUGAAUAAUUAGGGUAUAUUUGUCUCUCUGACUCUCUCUCUGUUCCCUAUCUUUUCUCUCCUUUCAUUUCUUUUCCUUUCGCUUCACUUCCCCCCUCUCUCCUCUCCUCUUUCCUAUUCUCUCUCUUUUCACCCUUUUUAUCUUUUGUUUUUUCACAUAAAUUCCAAAAAUUUCUAUUUCAAAUUCUAUAAAUCUCACACCUCAAUUUUUGUUAUUUUUGCUUCUAAUUUUAAUUACAACAGUUGCAAAAUUGUUUUCACCACGACUAAAAAAUGUUUUAAAUAUUUAUAAUUUCCCCAUCUACUAGUCAUAUUUUAUUUUUUAUUUAUUUACAUUGUGCUAUUUUUUUUAAACAAUUUUAAGUUGUUUGAGAGUCCAAUAAACAAGUCUACGAUUCAAAUAUUACAAUUAAAGAAGUGUUUAGGUCCAGGAAUUGAUUAAUUCAUUUAUGUUGAGAUGUACAUUAUUUUAAUUUGAGUAGUAGUAAUAUGUUUUAGAGGUGUAAACUACUUUUGCUUGAGAAGAAACAACAAAUAUUAUAGCAAAGAAUAAAAAAUUGUAAUAAUUGUUACAGCAAGAGAAGGUUAUUAGGAUCAUUGUUCUAAAUAUCUCUAUGAGUUAUGGGAUGUAAUUGAAACUACUACCAUAUAUUUGGGUAUUUUCUUUCUUCUAAUUGGCUUUGUUUUUUUCUUUUUUUGAACGUAGAUUGAAAUUUGGUGAGAUUUUCUAUGCAUGAACCGAACCAAGGGUACUAUAAUUCAAUUAACAUUAACAUUAGCAAAAAAAAAAAAAAAGACAAUAUAUAAAACGAAAAGCAAAACGUUAUGAAAAUUGGGAGGGGACAAAAAUCUAUCUUUUGAACGAAUAAAAUCGACCAAAAUUGACACAAGAAAUGGAUAUGUUAUGUUAGUUUUGUGUGUGUGUGUUUGUAUAUGUAUGUCAUCUUUCCUUGAUUUUGAUGUAUCUUUUUAUUUUGUAACCUUCAAACAAAUUCAAUCAUAGCUCUCUAUUCAAUAAAUAAAACCACCAUAAACUUAUAAUAUUUGCUACCAAUGUAUAUAUAGGUUUUAUUAUUUUUUUUAUCAUAACUCCAUUAUUUAGUUUUCAACAAAUAUAUAUAUUUUUUAAUAGUUUAGAUAUCUCAAAUUAUUUUCAACUUAAAUAGGUAAAAUGCGUCUAUUAGUAGGGAUUUUAUUAUAAUCUUGAGAUUAAAGAAUUUAAUUCCUUAUCUCAUGUCUUGAUUAAUUAUCUAUAAUAGAAAUUGUUCAAGUGAGUUAAUGCAUAUUAAAGUUUUUUUUGGUUGAACAUGAUAAAUCCUUCUCAUCUAGUAAUUAUAGAUUUAUAUAGGUAACAUAUCCGAUAAACUAAAAAAACUUAAAAUGUUUUUAUUAUAAUUGUGUUAUGUAUAUAGGAAAUCAUUGAAUUUUCAUUCUUACUUUGUGUUCUUUUUAAAAAAGAAAUUCAAAUUUAGACAUAAUUGGACGUUUUUAAAGUUUAUAAAUAUAAUAAACAUAAAAAUGCAUUUAUGGAUGUACAUAAAAGUUGAGCGACUAAACUUAUAAUUUAAUUACACCAACAAAAUUUAGUAAAUGAAGAACAUUUUGUUUUACGAGCAUUUCAGAUUUUCAUAGACUGGACAUCUAAACUAGCUACUAUGUUUGUUUUGUAAUGCUAUAAUAUGCUCAACAUCAUGAGAUUCUCAAACAUACCAGAAUGCUCGAACAUAGUGUAUUCGGAUAGUUGAAACAUAAAUUUUCAUAUUUUUGAUAUCCCAUUUUACACUUUUGUUCUUUUCUAUUAUAUAUAAUAAAUCUUUAUUUGUAUUAUAGAAUUAAAAUAAAUAGUCAACUAUAGAUUUUUUUUUUUUGUUAUAUCGUAAUUCUUAUUAAUUUUAACAAUAUAUUUAAAUUUAAAUUCAGAUUAAUAUUUAAUUUAUAAAAAAAUUCUUAAAUUAUAUACAUGACUUUGUUGUGAAAAAUAAAAACAAAUAUGCUACAUAUAAGUUCAAAUUAUAUCAAAUUACUAAUGUAUUAAUAAACAACAUCACUGUACAUAGUAAAAAUGGUAUGAAAAAACCACGAUAUUGCAAAAGAAUUCCUAGAAAACAAAGAGUAAGUAGAUUAAUUAGAAGGAUCCAUCGUCAUCUAUAAUUUUGUAUAUCUACAAAACACUUGUAAAGAAAAUAUGUUUGUUCAAAAGAGUAGUUAGUUUAAUUAGAAAGAUUGUAGGUAAUAUAUGGGGAUGAAUUUUAAUUAAAAUUAGUAAGAGGUAGCAGGGCACGUUGGGUUAUCAGACCUGACCUUACCUAACAAAAAAAACUUUUGUCAGUCUCCCUCUCUUUCUAUGACUCUCUCUUCCUCUCUCUAUCUCUCUCUCACUCAUAAUUCAUAUUAGUGACAAUAAUAGUACAGCAGAGACACACAAAAUUUCAAGGAAAACAAGAAUGAAAAUUCCUUACACCAUACACAAAAACAAACAAUCUGAAACAAACAAACAGACAAAUUACAAAUCAUACACACACCACUUUUUUUUACUUAAUUUAAUUUCUUUUCCUUCCUUUUUUUGCUUUAAUUAUAAUAUCAAAUGCCUUUUUCAAUUUUUCCUUUCAUUAUAUAUAUAUAUACACACACACAUACAUAUACCAUAUACUCAAAAGUUUGCAAUAAUAUAACACUGUUUUAGGUCAUUGACCACAUAUUUGCACGUCUCCACAAAUUUAAAAGUUUAGUUGUCUCAGUUUACCCUAUUGAUCUUCUUUAUUAUGUCUAUAUUCUAAAGAUGGUUUUGAAAUAUUUACGAAAGUCAAUACAUGAUAUUGUAUGUUUUGAAACAUUUUUUUAAAAUGUAGUGAUUUUUUUUAUUUUUUCGAGACAAGAAUUGUCGAUAAGGCAAACAACAACUACAACCCACUACUCUUGAUAUUUCUUUAAUCUACGAGUGGGGGAAUACUAUCUAAAAAAGUCUUUCUCUUUUCCAAAUAAAGAAAAACAUCCUUACGAGAAAGCCAAAGCGGUAAUGUAGUAGACCGAAUUUGUGCUUCUCUAUAAGAAUAAUAUGAAAAAGGUGCAUUGUAUUAACAAUAUAUGUUUAUUGAUAUGAAAAGAAUAUUCUCGAUGAACAUCUCAAUUUCAAAAAAAGAAAUAUCGUCUUUAUCAAAGAAUGCUCAUGAACAUGAAAUUCAACAUGCAAGUAAGUAAGUAAGGUGGGUUUUUCUUUUUCUUGGUAUGUGAUGAUUAAUUGAGAGGGAUUUAAUAUAUGAAUGGUAUUGAGUAGUGGGGAGUGUAUGUUAAAAGGAGAAGGGAAUAGAUGCCAAGUUUGGUUCACUUCUUUGGAUACCAACAAAGGAAUUCAGACAAAAUCUCUCUCUCUCUCUCCAUUUUUUUAAAACUUUGUUUUAAUCAGUUCUCUGUCUAAUAAUCUUUUAUUUUUAUUUUUGUAUAUAUCAUUUAUUUCUGUGUCAUAAGCUUCACUUUUAUAUGUUGUUGUUUUCAAAAAUCAAAGAAAAAUACAACCUCUCUUCCUCCCCCAUUCAUUCAUUUAUGUCCUUUCACCUAAUUUCUCUGCUACACCCUUUCUUCUUUCCAUUAGGGUAUGUGAUUAAUUAAUGAACCAAUAAGAGACUCUCUUAUUAUCACAAAGACUCCUCCUUUCCUUCUACUCAACAGUGACUUCUUUUAUUCAACACUCUCACUCAUUUCUAAUCUUAAAAUAUAUAUAUAUAUAUAUAUGUGAAGAGUACCCAACAAAUAAAAACUCUAACAGUGCAAUAGUUUGUACAUAUAAUACACUUUUUUUCUAGACCACGUAUUCUAAUAUACCAUCUCAAAUCACUAAUUCAUCUCUUCAAAACUUAAGCUAGCGGAUAUAUGUAAACUAAAAUUAUAUUAUCGAGAUAGAAAAUUAAUUUAUAUAUGCAUAAUUUGAGUCUUACAUUUACUAUUUCAAUUUCAAGAUGUAUGAAUGUUAAAUAUUUAGUAUUGAAAAGAUAAGGCAAGUAGGUAUAAUUAAAAAUAAAAUUUGGGAUUAAUUAAUGAAGUUUUGAUUAAGACAAAAAAGAGAAAAGUGUAAAUGUGUUUUUAUUAUAAUUAAAGUUUGUGUUUAAAAAUAGUAUUAAAGAGAGGCUUAUUAGAUUUGGAAUCCUAGACACUUGGGAACCAUGAUUAUGUCCUAUAUGCUUUCUUUCUUUUUUAGAAGACAACUUGUGUGCCCCCCAACUUCUUUCCAACUCAACAAAAUUAAAGUUUAUACUUUUAUGUGUUAAAUAUAUAUAUAUAUCUUUUAAUUUAUAGUAAUUAAACAAUUACUUUUUCUAAAUAUAUAUAUAUAAUCUACCCUUGAAGUCAAACUCAUUUAUUAUAUAUAUUUAGAUUUCCCCUAUCAAUAUCAUAUUAUAAGACCAUAUUUCUCUCCCUCUCCAUUUUAUCUUUUUGAUGAAAGUGUGUUUUGGUUUGUGUCUCCAUGACAGCUAAAAAGAACACAUAUAAUAUAUCUAAAGUUCAAAUCACUUUUUUUACUGAUUCAACAAAGAAAGGAAGAAAGAAAAAGAUAAUUUUGUUGCAUUCUGAACUUUAUUCUAAAAUUUAUUUUCUUCCACAUACUUAUUUUCUAUAAGCAAUAAUUGCAAAUGCUAUUAAUUUCUUCAACUCUUCUUACUUUUUUUCUUCUUCACAAUUUCUCUUUUAGUACAAAAAAAGAAAAAUGAUGUGGGCACAUGAGAAUAUAUCUUUUUUAACUUGUAAGAAUUGGAAUCAAAUAAAUUAUCACCCAGUUUCCUAAUUGUUUUAAUUUUUGUAUAUUUUUUUUACGAAUUAUUAGUCCGAUUCCAAAAAAUAAAAUCAAGUUAAAUUUUGUUUUUUUAGAUCUCAAAACUGGAUUUGAUUUGAUUUGUUUUUUUGGUCUUAGAAGUUCAAGUUGGUAAAUUGUAUUAAUUGUUGGACUAUGUUCAUUUUAAGAUAUGAAGAGUAUUGUCAUCAAAACUUCCCCUUUUGAUUUCAUCAUUAUCAUGCUAGAGAACAAAAUUUGAUCUUAGGGCUAUACUAGCGGUGUUUGUGGGUUAUCCUACUGAAAUGAAGGAUUACAAGUUGUAUAUGACAUUGUGCAUCAACAAUUUUAUUUAUAUCUCAAGAUAUCAUUUUUCAUAGAACUCAUAUAUCCUUUUCAUUCCAUUGUUGACUGAGAAAUUAUAUGCAUACAUAAAAUAAACUAUGCAUUUGACUCCUUAACAUACAUUAAAUAUCAUAAUACUGUUCAUAUCCGAUCCUAAUAGUUUCUUGUUAUAUGUGAUUUCCUCACAUAAAUUUGUAAUAAUUACUUUAAUUUUUGUUUUGAAUUAUAUUGGAACUUUAUCAUAUAUUACGUUUAUAAUUAGCCUAAAAGCAAGGGGGGGAAAUAAGGUGUUUGAUUCCAUUUUGACUUUGUGUUUGGUACUCAAUUAUGUAAACCUCUUUCUUUUUUGGGUGAAUAUAUAUAAACAGUUUGGGGGAAAAAAUUAAUAAUUAAUCUCUCAUCUAAUACCACUUGAUUGUUAAUAUUUGGUUAAUAAAAGUGUAAUUAUUAAGCAACCUUUUAAUUUCUUAUAACAUAAUGUGAGUGUGGAAAUAAUUAGUUUAUUUAACUAUGCCCACCUUGUAAUCAAAUUAAAUAUUACUUUUUCAAAUGACAAUAAAAAAAGUCUUAUUAGGUAUAUACAUUUAUAACUCAUCUUUAGAAAUUUUAACAAUAUUAAAAUUAUUUUACGUUUAUUUAUAAAGAUAUACUGUUGAUAACUAGACAAUAACUAAAUUAUUCAUCAUCUUUUAAUAUAAAAAUUUAGUUUAUUAUACUCAAUAAAACGAGGAUAGGGAAAAGUGCUAAAUUAUCUUACUUUCUUUUUUCUUCUGCAAAGGUAAUUUAUAAUUGUGUGAAAUAAAUAAAUAAAUAAAUAACUUUUAAUUUUAACUCUACAUGCAUCUACAGGAAGUAAGAUUGUCAACCAUCAUCAGUCAAUAAAGUCUUGCAUGUGAUAAUUUGCACAGUAAUGUUUGAAUUAUUAAUUGUAAUAUAUAUUUGAGUUGAACUAAAAAAUAAUAAUAUUAACUAUAAUUUUGAAACUUAAUUAUAUAUUUUGAUCUUGAGUAUUUUUUUUUUAAUAUAAUUUACUUAGUUUUUUAAUCUCCCUAAUUUCAAGUAUUUUGAAUAUUUAACUUUACAAAAAUAAUAGUAUUUGGUUAUGUGUGAUAAAUUUAAAUUUUAUAUAUAUAUUGGUUUUGUUUGACAUCAUUUGAGGAUGGUGUGUUAUAAAUCACAUGUAUAUUUAAUUUUGAUAUGAAUCCAAAGUUCAGAAAAGGUGUGAUCUAUACAAAAUUGUUAACAAAUAAAGGCCAAAUAAAAUAUUUAGAAAAGUUUAAAGUACCAAACAAAAGAAACUUUUAGAAAGAUAAAAUAAAGCAAAGUAUAUAUAAAAGUUAAGAGGAGACUAAGAUUAAGAAUAUUCUAAACCUAAUAUUUACUCAAAACUUUUUAAAACUAAAGUUCAUAUCCAUUUUCAAUCUCUACAUUAAACUUUUGCUUCAUAAACUUUUCUUUUCCUUUUCUUUUUUCAUUCCAUACACAAACUGUAUUUUCAAUUUUGUUCUUAUUUUCCCACAUCCAACCUAUUUGAAGCUAUAUUAUCCAAUAUAUUCACCAAUAUUCACACACAAUUAUACAAAACAAAAGUAAUGAUAAGAGUUUGACCAAAAUGAAAUUAACUUGUUUUUGUACUAAAAUAUACCAAACAUUGUGAAUGAUUUUCUUUUUGAAAGAAUGGUCCUCAAUGGAGAAACACAUGUAACCAAACUUCAAUUACUAUCUAAUAAUAAUAAUAAUAAGUUUGUCACCAAUAACCUCCAAAAUUAAACUAAAGACUAAAAGAGAUGUUUGAGCCUCAAACUUCGAGUGAGUGUCCACCCAUUUCUUACCUAUCUUCUCUCUACAAUAGUAUGCUAUUGUCCACUUUGGUAUACACCUUCAUGACUUUGCUUGCUUUUAGUAUAAUUUCAAAAGGUUUCAUACUAACGGAGAUAGUUGUUCUUAGUUAUAUACCAAAUAUUAUCCUCCUAUCUAAUCGAUGUGGGAUAUUGGUCGGAUUCACAAUCCGAACCCUCGAACAAGUCUCACAUUACAAUCCUCCUUCCCUCAAUAACCUAAAAAUUAAAGUAUUUGCAUAUAUAACACAAUGUAAAAGAAUUUGUAAAUAUAUCAAAAUGUUACAAUCUAUUUGCGAUAAACAACAAUAGAUUAAGAUAAACUAAUAUUUUUUAGUAUCUAUAUGAUGAUAGACACAACUAAUUAUAGUUUGUUUGAGUUGAUAGAUGGUGGAUGUAUCAAAAAUAGAUUACAAUAUUUUUAAAAAAAUAUAUAUAUAUAUUUAAUUAGAAGCUUUUAGGUUUAAAAUUAUUUUCCAAUAUAUGUAGAGAUAUGUUAUUAUUGUUGAUGUUCCAAGUUGAGGAAAGAGAAAAGAAAGAAAGAAAGAAAAAAAGAAAAAGAAAAAGAAAAAGGGGCCCUAAACAUUAGAAGGUAAUGUGAUCGGGGGUGGUCAGGCAGCCCCAUCUCUCUUCCCCCAAUUAUCUCCUUCUUUUUAUCAUAUUAUUAAUUCAUCCUUUUUCACACUUCCAUAUAGCAUUACCAUAUACACAAAAAUAUAUAUAUAUAUAUAUAUUCCUCUCUUUAUAUAUAUAAUCUCUUCCUCCCACCCCUUUUUCUUCCCAUUAUUAUUCAGCUUCUUCAUCAUAUCAUUAAAUUAUCUAAAUGUUGAAACCUUCCUCUUCUUCUUCUUCCACACCCCUUCUUCCUCCUCCUCCUCCUCCUCCUCCCCCCAAUUCCGACCAAUAUUCCAUCACCACCAAACGAAAACGAAGACCCGCCGGCACUCCAGGUAAUAACAAAUAAUUAUUUUUAACCAUUAUUAUUUCUAAUUUUCCAAUCAAUUCAUUAAAUUAUAUUAAAUUGAAUAAAAUUAGAUCCGGAUGCGGAAGUGGUUUCUUUAUCACCCAAGACGCUACUUGAAUCUGAUCGGUACGUUUGUGAGAUAUGCAAUCAAGGGUUUCAAAGAGAUCAGAAUCUCCAGAUGCAUCGACGGCGCCACAAGGUGCCGUGGAAGUUGGUGAAGAGGGCGGAGGCGGAGAGUAGUAGUAGUAAUGUUGUUGUGAAGAAAAAGGUUUUUGUUUGUCCAGAGCCUACGUGUCUACAUCAUCACCCUUGCCAUGCUCUUGGUGAUCUAGUUGGGAUUAAAAAACACUUCCGGAGAAAGCAUAGUAACCAAAAACAGUGGGUUUGUGACAAAUGCUCUAAGGCUUAUGCUGUUCAUUCUGAUUUCAAAGCUCACCUCAAAACUUGUGGCACUCGUGGCCACUCUUGUGAUUGUGGUCGUGUCUUUUCCAGGUCCUCUCUCUCUCUCUCUCUCUCUCUCUCUCUCUCUCUCUCUUCAAUUUCAAACUUAUUUCGUACUAGUUUCAGUUCAACCAUAAUUAACAUGAAUCAUCCCUUUUAAGUAGAAGCUUUAAUUUGAUUCCUCAUAUUCACAAUCGCUAUAUAUAGAAAGGUUGACAAGUCCAUAAUUUUGUUGCUUCCUUACUUAUCGACGUUAAUUGGAGUUUUGUUAUCUCUUCUAGUGAAUGGGUUCAAAACUUGAUUUGAUAAGAUAUCAAAUUUAAUAGAUAAACUAAUCAGCUUAUGGUUGAGUUGACAGGUGAUUUCGGAUGACUCUCAAUAUAUAAAGGAAUAAAAUACAUUUUCUUUUUUGUUCGUGUAAAACCUAUCAAUUAUUAUAUUGUUUUAGGCUUAGAAUUACUUUGAUUUUCUUCUCUUUAUAUAAAUGGAGGAAUUAAUAUUGAAGAAAUAAGGUAGUCGAAGUUUGAAUUUAUAUUAAUAAUAUAAUUUAUUUAUUCAUUGUACUAUUACAUAGUAUUUUUCCCAUUUAUGUAAUAAACAAAAUUUCCCUUCUUGGUUUACUCUUUUCAGAGUGGAGAGUUUCAUAGAGCAUCAAGACACUUGCAAUCUGCGCCAUAUGAGGUCCGAUCAGUUGCAGUCGGCGGUGGUACGGCCGCCACCACCACCACCACUGUUAUUGCAACCCUAUAACUCACGAUCAGUAUCUUACACUGGCGCCUCCACCAGCAACGAUCAUGCAUUUCAAAUGGCUAGUACUCCAUUACGAGGGUUUCCAAUUUUAUCAUCAAACUCAGAUCGAAACAUCAACAUUAAUUUACCCGAUCGCCAUGAUCUUGAGCUCCAUCUCUCUUCUCCAAGCUCAGCUUUUUUGAAGCUCUCAAUUGGGUCGUCCAACAAGGAGCCAAACGAUGACCGUCAACUCGAGCUGGCGAUAGCGGAGAAGGCAUAUGCGGAUGAAGCAAGACGAGAGGCAAAACGACAGAUCGAAAUUGCCGAGGUCGAGUUUGCAAAUGCAAAAAUGAUAAGACAGCAAGCACAAGCGGAAUUGGAGAAAGCAAGGAUCUUGAAGGAAGAAGCUAGCCGGAAAAUGAACUCCACCAUUAUGGAAAUCACUUGCCAAACUUGCCGGUUGCAUUUUCACGUCAGCUCCGCCAUGCCCGAGGAGACCUCACUCGCCAUCAGCUACAUGUCGUCUGCUACAACAGAAGGUGAUGGAGAGUGAAUAUAUAUUUAAAGAGUCUAGAACAAUGUGACUAACAAUUUUUUUAAAAAACAGUGACUUGUUCGAAAGUUUUAGAAGUAUUCUCGUUAUGACAAUCUUUCUAAUAGCCUAUUUAGCUUAAGGCUUGAUCGAAUUUUUGAUCCGUAGCCACAUUGUUCUAGACUCUUUAAAAAAUAUAUAUAUCUCAUGGAUUAUAUAACUUUUUUGAGACGAAACAUGUAUUAGAGUUAUUAAUUUUUUGAGGAUUUGUGGCAUAUGAAAGAUGAUCAAUCGCAAGUUGGAACAAUUGAAUCAAGAUAUAUGGACGUAGAUUGGAUUAAAAUUUGCAUAGGGUCUGGUUUUGUUGUUUGUGUGUGUAUUUGCAUUUGUAUUUGUAUUUGUAAUUGUAUUAUUUUUUUUUUUUUUGGGUUUCUUUUUAGACUCAUGAUUUUGUUGAAUUAUUGUAUAUGUGAUAUGAUUAUUGCAGUGUCUCGAGGGACGAAAAACUUGAGGUGUUAGGUUUUAAUAAUUUAUGUUGGUUUUUAGCUGCAAAGAAAAAUCCCAUUAUUUGAAUUCUUCAAAAGUACAAUAAUAAUAUCAAAAGAAUCACUCAUUAUUGUGUGUGAAGAAGAAACAUUUCUUUACAGUACCCUUUUUUCAUUACUAUUUAAUGUAUUAACAGAUGGUAAAGAAUUUUUCAUCCUUUCUCAUUUUUACCACAGUAAAACCUAACUAACUUUCUUGAAUAUUUUAAUAGAAAGCCUACAGCAGAUACUUGAAGGUAAAAGAAAAUAUAUAAUUUAUGUUCUUCUUCAAUUAUUUUGUGCAUGCUCUUAAAUUACUCACCAAAUAGAGUUAAUUAAGAACUUUUAAAACAUUUCCCUCUUCACUCCCUUGGUAAGGUCGUCUCUACUACAAUUUUAUGUAAACAUGUCUUCUUCUUACUUAAAACAGUACACUAUUGUAUGAAAUAUAUAUUCAAAAAGUAGAAUACACCACGGAAAAAAAAUUAGAAAAGAUUAAUAAAAAAGAUCACUUUUUUCUCUAAAUUUAUUUGGGGAGGUUUCAAUGGUGCAGUUUAUGGUUUAUACCAUCUUUAAAUUCGUAAUGAUCUUUUUAAUCUAUAUUCAAAUGGGUUAUUAUUAGAAAUCUAGAAACGAACUCAGAUAAUUAGUAGUGUAGUCGAAAGACUUUUUUUUGUCCUCCAACUUGGGAGCACCCUCACAUCCACUCAAAGAGCUUAGAUUUGGGAAUAUAUCAAGGAUUUUUUUUUAUAUUAAACUCACACACGAAAAUAAGAACUGAAGCCCUUAAGAAGGGAGUCAUUUUGGAGGGUAUUGAAACGAGGAUACUAAAAAUAAAUAGGGGAAAGUGAGUAUUAUUCCAAACGGAUAGAUGAUUGGACCCAUGUCAUAAAUGUAGGAAAUGAAUGAGGGUCUGAAAUAUAUGUAAAUAGAUAUACACAUAUUCACAUAUCUAUAUAUAUAUAUUACUUGUUUUGGGGACCAUUCUAAGUGUAUUAAAAGGAAUGAAGCUUUCAAACAAACAAAAAAUAAAGGAAAAGGUUCUUGUGACCUUCUUUGUAUGUAUAUGUGAUUUUUUUUUUGUAUGAAUAUUAUGAAUAUCUUUUUUAUAGAAAAAAGAUGUAUAUUAUUAAUAAAAUGUGAAAGGCAAAUUUAUUUAAUAAACAAAAAAAGGAAAGAGAAAUGUGUGAGGUCGUUUUCAAUGCAUUUGUGUUCCUUUGUAAAACGUAAAUGCUUAUUAAAAAAAAAACCCACCAUGUUUUUCAGUGCCACAGUUGCUUUUCCUCAUGCUCAGGCACUCGUCCCUCUCACUCUUCAAAAGAAGAAAAGAAACACAUCCAUAUGAAUCCAUGAGAAAGGGGAGAGACAUCUCUUUUAUAUAUAUAUAUAUAUAAUAUAAAAGUAUCUUAUUGGGAUUUUUCUUUUAAAAUGUUACAUUUGUUGUGGUUUGAAAUUUGAUUUUUUUAAAAAGAAUUAUAAAGUUUAAGAAUUUAUAUUUGGUGACUAGAUUUACGUAUUUUAAUUUAUUAAAUCACACUAGCUCUAACAACUACUAUCAGUGGUAAUUAGUACAAGUUCUAUAUAAGGAGUAUAAAUAAUUUCUCAAGAUAAAGUAGUUUUCAAUCGGAGGUAACCUUAUAUGUUUUGAUAGCAAAUUACAAAAGAAUAAUGCAAAGAGAAAAAUUGAGAAGAUGUUCAAAGACUUAAAGAUCUAGCUAGCUUGGGGAUGAAUGGAAUUACAUGUUUCAAUUUGUUUAAUCAUGACACUAUUAUUACCGAUUCUUAAUGUUAAAUCUCAACCAAUAUAAUUAGAAAAGCUAACAAAAUUUUCUUGAACUACAAUUUAGUACAAUUCAACCGGAUGAAAAGCAUACAUGUUGGAUUUAUCCUAAUAACAUUAAGAUCUAGGACAUGUUGGGUGAAUAAUCAACUUUCAAGCGCCUCGCUAGUUAUACUAUGGAUUCAAUUUUAAAUUGGUUAGUCCAAUAAUACUCAUCCAAUUGAAUGGUAAGUCAACUCAAUUCAUUGCCUUUAGAAAAAUCUAUGUAGUUAAGUGUCAUGAUAUUGUAUAUUAAUUCAAGCCGUAAACAUAUAUCCACAAACAUAUGAUAAUAUGUCUCAAUCUUGAUAAAACAUAAUUGAAUCAACCAUACAUCAAAGUCAUGAUUAAAAAACUCACAAACAAUAAAAUAACUGGGAAAGAAUCAUAAAGACUCAAUCUAUAAAAUUUUACCUUAGCUUCUUAUCCACAUGCUAGAUGAUGAAGGUAUUCAAGAACAUAAAACUAGAAUAAAUGACACAAAAAAAUAGAGAGAGAUUGAGCAAAGGCCAGCUGGAAUCGUAGAUGAACGGACUUAGAUAGCGAAAAAUUAAUUUAUAUAAAAUCGUAAUGAGGUCGUGGUGCUAGGAACAGCUUCGUAGAACUGAUGGUUUACUCGAUCGAGACAAGUUUAGAGCAUCAUGACACUUUAACACAAUAUUACAUCAUUGUGUGCUUUCCGCAAAUGAGGACGCUACAUAAACCAAAUCCAAGACUUAGGUAUUCAAAAGUAUAUAUUUCUUUCUAAUAUAUAUAUAGAUAAAUGUGUAUAUAUACAUAAUAUAUAUAUGUAUGUAUACAUAUUCAUAUAUAUAUAUAUAUAUAUAUAGUGAAUAAGGAUAAAAUUGUUAUUAAAGAAAACAAUAUUGAUCAUCUACACUAUCAAUUAAGUCUUUUAGAGGGUGUUUGACCCGUUAGAUUUAACAUCUAAAGUCGGUGUUUAUGUCGCUUGAAAUUUUAAUGAUACAAGUUUAGUCUCUCAACUUUCUUGGUUGUUGUCUACAUCUAAUAUAUCUAGAAGCUUUAAAAGUAUAUUAGAGUUCAAUUGUGUUUAAUAAUUUUUAAAUUAAAAUUUUAGAAAUAUCAAAUAAUUUUAAAAAAUUUAUGGUAUGUUUGGAUUAUCUUUCAUGUGUUUAAUUUAUAAAAUAAAUUAUAUAAAAUAAAUUUUAAGUUCAUUUAAAACAAAUUUUAGAAAAAUGAGUUUAAACAAAAAUGAAUUUCUUAAAAUAUAUUUUUUUUAAAAUAAAUCUAAACCGAUCAUUAAUUCAUCAAAUCUAUUAAAUAUGUGGUUGAAUUUGGAGGAGAACUUUUUGCAAAAAAAAUUAUCGUUCAGAGAUAGAAUUAAAUACAAAAUUAAAAUUUCAUAAACUAAAGUCUAUUGAUUUAUUUAAUUUAAGAAAAAGAAGUUUGAACUAGAGGACUACAAGUAACUUAAGGUUUUUAAGCUUAAAAAUUUAGGAGGAAAAAUCAAUACUUAUUCUCUUAAAACGCUACGGGUGGUAACUGUUUAAAACUUCACAACCUAUUCAUUUCAAACUCUAAAUUUGUAUUACACACAUUUCUCAUUUAACAAAAAUUGAAUCAAAAUAUUUUCAAAUUAAAAUAAUAAAAUUUGAAUCAAAAUAUUUAGAAAAUAAUCAAAAUUUCAAAUCUACCAUACUUCAAUCAGUAUAUACGAAUGAUAUUAAUAGAGAUGGAUAGAAGUCUAUUGUAAAACUUUACUAUAAUUUAUAAAUAUUUAAAUAGUUUUGUCAUUUUCAUUCAUUUUUCUUUUGUAUGAUGUAUUCCAUCUGUUUCUAACCCUUUAGAAAAUAUUUAUAGUAUUUUCACUUGAUUUUAAAACAAGAGAUCAUGAGUGGUUGGGUACUAAAAAGAAAUAAACACACAUUCAUCUUAGUAAAAUUAUCAUAUGCUCCAAUCCCACAAUUCUACCCAAGUGUGAUAAGAAAUAUUUUCACUUAAUUUUUAGUAAAUAAGUAGAAAAAAUAUCAGAAAAUUGUUGCUAUCUAUUUAAUCUUAAAUGAAAAAAUGUUAAUAAAUUUACUAAUUCAACUAAACACUUAUUUAAUGGAUAACAAUCCUUUAACUUAAAGUAAAUGAAUUGAGCUUUCCUUUGUUAAAAAUAAUAGGGACAAUUACACAAAAAAUAAAUAUCAAAACAAUUUAUGAUUACAUAGAAUUUUCAUUAAACUACGUUUUCUAAAUUUAAAAAGUAACAAAUUUAAAAGUCAAUGAGUCUACUAUGAUAGUCAUCAGAUAACUCUUGAAUAGUUAUCUGAUUGUUGUCUGAUAUAAUUAAUUAAUUGUCAUAUUUGUUAUAUUUGCAAUAUGCCAAAAAAGAUGUAUGAUUGACUGAUUUUUCAUAAAUGUUUUUGUCAUCUUAUGCAAUUUCCCAAAAUAAAAAACUAUAUAUAGCCUACAUCAUAUAUAAAAGUAAACUUUUCAUAAAUAUAAAAAAACACCAAAAUAUUUACGAAUUGUGUAACAAAAAAAAACUUAUAAAACUAACUAUUUUUUAAAAAUAUUUGAGAUUUACCCUUCCAUUCCAUAUUCUUUCUUCUCUUCUUCUUCUGCAUUUUUUUUAUAUUUUGUUGAAAUCAUAAUCUUGUUUUCAAUCAACCAUAAAUCUUGUAUUAUUUUUUUUUUUUUGUUGAAGAUUGUGUACUAAAUAUAAAUUUUUGUACACGAUCUUGAACAAAAAUCGUUGAAUAUUAUUGAUACCAUGAAACAAAAAUCAUCGUGAUAUUAGUAGUUUAGAUUUGGGUAACGACUGUGUACCAAAUAUAAAAGAUUUAUCUGAUACACAAUCUUGACAAAAAAUCGUUAGGAUACUAGUAGAUCGUUAGAUUUGGCUACACGAGAUCGUGUACCAAAUUAGUAGUUUAGUUUUUGGUACACGAUUGUGUAUCAUAUCUAAACGAUCGUGUAUCAAAUAUAGAAGAUUUAUUUGGUACGUGAUCUUAAAAGAAAUUAAGAUAUUGGUAUACGAUCAUGUCGUUUAGAUUUAACUACACAAUCAUGUACCAAAUCUAAACGAAUCUUGGUACAAGAUUGCGUAUUAAAUAUAUCAUGAGCGCGAUUGGCCAAUUAAUUUCAUGUUGACUGAGAUAAUGCUUUUCAUUUUGGUGUGUGCACUUUUUCUAUUUUUGAAAUUGUUAUACUAAUAUAAAUAUUUUGUCAAUUUGUUAUAUUAAAAAAAUUAUUUUAUAUAAAAUUAAAAAAAAAAAAGUUGGUGGGGGUAAAUAGUGUAAUUGUUGGUACUUGCGAGAAAAAGUAAGAGAAGUUGUGUGUAAUUAUUGGUUUUUUUCUUCUUCUUCAUGAUUUUAACUCCAAGCACAAGUAAAAGGAAUAUCUAUCUAUAUAUAUAUAUAAAAGGAAACCAUUUGAAAGAAAGAAAGAAAGAAAGAGAGAGAAUUGAAAAGUGUUUCUCUUUUGAAUUUACUUUGUUGGGACCAUAUGUUUCUUACUUUUCUCAUUUUCACCACAUAUUUAACUUUCCCUUUACAUCAUAGUCCUCUACAAUUUUCUUCCUCAUCAACUUCCCUUCUUCUUCUUCUUCUUCUUCUUCUUGGACCCCUUCAUACCCACUCACUUCAAACUUUUUUGUACACUUCCUUUUAAAUUAAUAAAUAUAACAAAUAAACUAAUACUAUAUGAAUAAUAGGAUGUUCUUUAUAUUGUGAUAUGAUAUGAAUGCAACUUUGCCUGUGGCUCCUACCAUUCUUGUAUUAUUCAAGGGCGUGGUCGAAAGUAAUCUUUUUACACUAUAUCAAAGUAAAAUAAAGAUCAAGAGGUGCAUGGAUGUUAUCGCAAUCAAUUAAGUUGACACAUUUUCAACAUUUGUAUUAUGUUUUAGAUUUUCAGUAGAGAUACAUUCAUUCAAAAUGGAAUAAGAUUAUUCAACACGUACACAUAGAGUUAGAAAAAAAAACUCUCCACACAAACAAGAUAACAUAAAUGAAGCUCGACAAAGGUGUUCGAGUUAAGAACUAAUGUAGAGACAUCAUUAAUCAAUAAAAAGAUUUGAUUUAGUGUUCCAAAGAGUAGUUGCUAAUGAUAUAAUAUCAUUUUAUAAAAAUUAAAUUGAAUAUAUGUUAAUUUUUUUUACGUUUUGAAAGGUUUUUCUGUUACUUUCAAAUCAUAUGCACUAUACAUGGUUUGCUGUUUUUGUCCAUUAUCAUUUUCUAUAUUUGCAAGAAUUUUAAAAUUGUUAAAAUUUACAUUUAUAUCACUUUAAAACCGGUUUGUAAACCUUAUCAAAUCCAAUUUAUCAUGAUUAAGUUUAUAGUUUGAAAUACAAUUUUUGAAUAAUUUUUAAAAUGAUUCUGAUCCAGACAAGAAAAAAAAAGAAGAAGAAGUAAAGUUUAACAAUUUUAUAGUUACUCCCAGAUAUAAUCUUACAGUUUGCUUUACACAAAACAAAAGGACUAAGAAAGGUAUGGUUUUGGUUAUUUAAAAAGUCAUUACAUAGGUAUAGGGUAGUUAAAGUUAAAUAUGCUUGAAAAUUUUGAUAUCAAACUUUGGAGCUAUUAAAUGAAUGAUUUUGGUUCAUAAAUUCAGUAGAAAAGUGAAAGUGACAUUUAAAAAAAGAAAAGUUAAUUUGAACUAUUUUGUAAAAAAAUGAAAGGCAAAACUAAAAAAAGCUCUAAAUUAAACUGUGAAUAACAUAUGCCCUUUAACUUUAAUCAUGAAGGCAUUUAAUUGUUGGGCAGUACCUAUAUGGUUUAAAUGGACAUCUUUGCCCUUCCAUUGCACCAAAAAUGAAGAAUAAUUUAAAAGAAAGAUAAUGAUUAUAUAUAGGGAGAGUUUGUUUAUUAUUAAUUUUAAUUUUCUUUUCCAAAGGUUAUUGAAUUGAAGAACAAAAAGCUGGAGAUCAUGAAAUAAACAAAACAUAAACCAUAAACAAAAUAUUCAACCAAACCAUCUAACACUCAAAUAAGUAAUUAUUAACAUGAUUCAAGACAACAGAUUUUAUGAAUAACUUCUAGCAAAGUGAAACAUACUAAACAGACACAUUAAAUCAACAACUUAUCAAAUCAUUAGAAGUAGCAGAAGACAGAUACAAAAGCUAAUUUUUACUCAUCUGUCAAAAUAUAUACAUAUAUAUAACAACAAUACAUAUCAAGUCACUCUCUAAAUCUUGCAGCACAUGGAAGGACUUAACUACACUAGCAUGACUAAUCAUAUAGACUUAUUGUCUUAUUGAGAUAAGUGAUGGGAAGACCAAUCACUUCAACAAAAGCAUAUCCUUGGGAUGGUUGAAAAUAUAGUUUAUAUAGAUUUCUUACUUUUGAAAAAUUGUAUACUUACUAAUAAUUUUACUUUAAGGGUAGACCCUUUUCAAAAAUCACUAAAAAUCUAGAUAGGAAAGCUGUUGCUUUUUCUUAUUAAAAAUUUUCCUAGAUUUUAAUUUGUUUUAUAAAAUCAUUAAUUAUAUAAAAAAUACAACCAAAUAAAAUAAUUGUAAUUAAACAACCACGUAUACAUUUAUAAAUUUAAUGAGUUACUGUUGGAAGUUUCAUGUUAAUGAAAAGGGUUUUAUAGAUUUGAUGUUUGUAAUUAUGGUGUUUUAGAAAUCAAUUAUUUUGAGGAAGGUUGAUUGGGUAGGAGCAAAAUCUUCAACCUCAUCAAUUUUCCAUCCUUCUUUUGAGGGAAAAUCAAUGAUGGCUAAAGUAACUUGGAAUCAUAUAAAGCAAAGGACAUUCAAUAUUUUCUUCUACCCAAUAUUUACACCAACUUGAAAUCUAUGUACAUAUUGAAUAUUUAUAUGGUUGAAAUUAUUAUAUUAUUAUUUGCAUUUUGAAGUGCAACCCAAAAUAUGUUUUGAGCAUUUCAAUCUCUAUCCUUGAGAAAAUGGAGAUGGACUUGAUUGUGGUCCAACACAAUUUGGUUUUGAGAGCCCAAUCUUUAUCUAUUCAGAAGGCCUUUAUGCAGACAAUUUACAAUCUCUAGGAGCCCACCAUUCACAUGGCUUUGGUUUUCUUUUGUCUCUCUCUUGUUUUUCUAUUUCAAUGUUUUUGGUUGAUAAAAGUUAUAAAAAGUACUAUCUUUCUUCAGUUCAAUUCAGCAUGGGACUAUUCAAAUCUUCUUGAACUCUCUGCACACCAUUGGUGUUACUAUUAGUCAGUUUACCAUAAUUUUAAACACCACAUCCAAAGAAAUUGAAAAAUAAGUUGAGAACUGAGAUUUUCUAUUACUAUCUUGAGUUUCUUUUGAAGAUUACUGAAUAUUCUGUUUUAUGAUCUUAGCUUAUUGGGUUUUCGGCUUGGCUUUAUAUGAAGAAUGUUCUUGGUUCAAGUUUCUAGCUAAAGCUGCUUUAAUGUUACUGAUCACCUUUUGUUUCAUAAAAUGCCUACCUCAGUAUCAUUCUAACUUUUUCAUGUCUGAAAGUUUUGAUCUUUUUUUUUUUUUUUUUUUGUUAUGAAACUGUAACAUGACAUUUUUUUUCUAUCAAUAAUUGAGUUGAGACAAUGGUUAUAGCAAAAGAAGAAUAGAAUACAAGUAACUCUUCACAGCUGAAAAAACAAAUGUUACAAAGCUUAUCUUGGUAAAGGCUAGAUCAGAUUUAGUAAACAAAAAACCUGAUUCAAGCACUGUUGCUGCUUCCAUUGGUUGAUCCGGGCAUCAACUCUCGCAGCAUUGUCACCACCUGCAACAUGUUAGGCCUUUUGGAAGGAAACUCUUCUACACACCGAAGAGUUAUCUCCAAAUAUCUAACCAUUUCUUUAACCUCUUCUGCUUCUGAUUCAUCACUUGUUUUGGUUACUGACAGCAACUCUGGAUCAAUCACUUCCAUUUGUUUUCCAUCGUUUACUUUCAUUUUGACCCAUCCCACCAAGUUGGUGUCCCCAAAAUCCUCCUUAUCGGUUGGUCGUUUCCCUGUCAAGAGUUCUAAGAGGACGACCCCGAAUGAAUAAACAUCGCCUUUUGCUGUGCAUCUGAAGCUUUGGUAGUAUUCAGGAGGGACAUAACCAGGAGUGCCUGCAAGUGUGCUUACACUCAGAUGGGUGUCAAGAGCACUUAUCAGCCUUGCCAUUCCAAAAUCCGAAACUCUUGCUUCUAAGUCAUGGUCCAGGAGUACAUUGCUGGACUUCAUGUCUCUGUGUAUUAUGUGUGGAAUGCAGUUGUGGUGUAGGAAACAAAGUCCUUUAGCAGCACCUCUGGCAAUCUUUUUCCUUUCAUCCCAUGUUAGAAUUCUUCGAUCCUGCAUCUUUGCUCUUCCAUGAAGCAUCUCUUCUAGGCUACCAAACUCCAUAAACUCAUACACUAGAAGCCUCUCUUCACCUAUUUUACAGUAACCCAAAAGAGGUACUAAGUUUCCAUGUUUGAUCUUUCCUAAAGUUUCCAUCUCCGCCAUGAAUUCACGAUCUCCCUGGCAACUAAGACGGAUCAGUUUCUUGAUUGCAACACUUGAUCCAUCCUUUAGUGUUGCUUUAAAUACUUCACCGAACCCGCCACUCCCUAUGAGACUUUCUGCUGAGAAGCCAUUAGUAGCUUCAAUCAGUUGGGAGAACUUGAGCUUCCUUAGUUGUCUUUGGAAAGUUGCCACAUUGAUACUCAGGGGUUCUUUCUCUUUGUCAAUUUUCCAUGUAGUAGGGGCAUGUAUUGCUUGUAAACUAUUAAGCAUCUUCACUUCCUCUGCUUCUUUUCGUCUUGCACGCAUGGCAAUGGCCCAUACAAUCAAAAUGCAGACACAGGCAAUGGAGAUAAGAACACCUAAAACAAUACUGUUAACCCAUGACCCGACUUCUGGCUUUGUUCUUCCUUUGCUAGCAUCUCCAUUAGGACUUGUCUGCUGCUGGUCAUCACUCGGGCAUUCAGGCAAAGGAACUCCACAAAGUCCUGGAUUGUUUGCAUACUGACUUGCCGGCAGUGUACUAAGUUGUCCCCUUGAUGGAAUUCUCCCGGUUAGUUCAUUGUAAGAUAGAUCAAUUUGCACUAAGAAUGAUAAGUUUGAGAAUGAAUCUGGAAUGUGACCCUGCAGUCUAUUAUGUGAUGCAUCAAACACUCCUAAGUUCUUUAAGCGGCCAAAGGAUUCUGGAAUCUCGCCAGAAAGUUGGUUGUGUGAUAAUUCGAGAACCUGCAAAGCAACCAUAUCUCCAAACUCUUCUGGUAUUCUCCCACGAAGCUCAUUGUAAGAAAGAUCCAAAUACUCCAAAGUUUGGUACUUCGUAAACAAACUGAGGACUGGACCGGAGUACAAUCUAGUGAAAUCACAGGUCUUCAAUGUUGGUUCCUGCUGUAGUCGUUCAGGUCUGAUUCCAGCAAACUCUAACAAGCCCCCAACUCCUUUACACGAAUUCCCAACAUUUCGAACGAACACUAGAGUAUUUCCAGAAAGAAUCCCAUUCAAUGAUUUGGCUCCAAGCUGCCUCCCAAGUCUAGGUGGAAUUUCUCCUGUGAGCUUGUUGCUGUUCAAAUCCAACCAAACCAAAGUGCUGCAGUUUGCCAACUCCCCUGGUAUCUGACCACUUAAGCUAUUGUUCCCGAGUUGCAGCACAGCCAACCUUGACAAAAGACCAAACUCUUUUGGUACCUCGCCAGUGAGUUCAUUACUUGUGAGCGAAAUCCAUUCAAGGUUGCUACAAUUGAACAAUUCAGUGGGAAUUUCCCCACUUAAACGAUUGUUAUUUAGUAUAACAUCUUUCAAGCUUCUACACUUCCCCAAUUCUGGUGGGAUUUUCCCUUCUAAGCUAUUAAACCAUGCUAUCAGCUGUUCAAGAUUCUGAAGCCUUCCAAGCUCUGCAGGAAUUGACCCAUUCAGAUAGUUUAAACUAAAAUCAAUUGUCUUUAACUGUGAACAUAGUGAGAGUUCAGGUGGGAUUCCUCCUAUUAUGAGAUUGUCUGGCAUUUUCAGUUCUUGAAGUGACUCAGCACCUGGGCAUAUACCUGGUGGAACCAACCCAGAAAUUCUAUUGGAACUUAAGUCUACAAGCUGAAGUUUCUUGCAGUGAGAUAUGGAUGAAGGCAAUGGUCCAGAGAUUAUGUUAUUACUCAAUAACAAGCUCUGUAAAGAGAUAAGAUUCUUGAAGAUGGAAUCUGGUAAAGGACCAGAUAUGUUGUUGUUUGAAAGAUCCAUAAUUUGAAGCCAAGAGCAAGCAGAGAAGGAAGCAGGAAUUACACCAGAAAUGUUGUUGUAGCAAAGCUUUAGUUCUUGAAGUGAAUUGCAAGCAUUUCUCCAAUCAGAAGGGAGCCAACCAGUGAGCUGAUUAUGAGAUAUAUCAACCCUUUGUAAACUACUGAGUUCCCCUAAAGAUCUUGGUAUUUCCCCACUGAGUAAAUUGUCAGCCAAACCAAGUGUCUGCAGAUUCGUGCAGUUUGAAAUGGAACUCGGAAUCGAACCGAUGAUUCGAUUUGCCGAAAGAUCAACCCGCAACAAAGAGUUGCAAGAAUUCUCAUCAAUUCUCAAUCCUGAGAUCAACCCAGUUAGAUUAUUGUAAGAGAUAUCAAGAUCUUGAAGCUUAUUAGCAUUCAAAAGAAGAUUUUCAGGCAGAUAGCUUGUCAAAUUGUUGAAUGAAAGAUCCACAAACACAAGGUUUGGACACUUUGAGAAAAGAUUCUCAGGCACACUACCUACAACUUUGGCAAGAGAAAGCUCAAGUUGCUGCAAAUUAUAAGGAAGCUGAAGCAAAGUAGUUGAAUUUAUAGUGAAAGAAUUUGUAGAUAAAUUCAAAGCCAACAACAUAUCCAUAGAAGACAGAGGAUCAAAAUAAACAUUCCCUGUAAGACUACAGCCACUCAAAUCAAGAGCAAUCACUCGUUUAGAUUGACAUGAAACUCCAUACCAUGAACAUGGAUUGUUUUCAAGCUUCCAAUUGGACAACACUCCAUUUGGGUCCUUGUCAAUCAAAUCCUUGAACUUAAGAAGAGCUGCAACAUCAGUUUUUAUUGAAGUCAUACCCUCUUGUUCUGCUGAAGAAGCCAAAGCAGCAAAUAAGAUAAAGAUCACUGGCAAAGCAAGAGAAGGAAGAGAAAACUGAAAGAAGUUUCUUUCCAUUGGAUUAAGAAGCAAAAUGUUUCUUUUCUUCUGUGGAAAACUCAACAAAGAGCUGAGAAACAUUGCAACAGAAAGGAAGAAGGAUAAAAGUUAAAGGUAGUAGUGAAGAUUUAGAAAAAUAUGUUUUGUGGUGAGCAUGAUGAGAAGGAGAGGGGAAGCUUUAGAAAAAAGAAGCAAGCUGUUUGCUUUAGUCAUUUAUGAGUGAUUUUUUGCAAAAUGUAAAGGAGGGAAAAGUGGAAAUGGAAUAUAAAAAAGAAGGGAAAGAAGUUAGAAGAAAGUUGGUGAUUGAAUUUUCCUGAUACAACUUCUAUAGUACAGCAAAUGAAGCAACCGUAUCCUAUAUGAAGAGAUAUGUAGAAAUAGACAGAAAUAAAAGGGUUGAGUUUACUUUUGGUCAAAAGGAAUAGGACCCACCUACCCCACAAACAAAGGGUCUAUCUUAAAUUCUCAAUCUUAGGAUCGGCGCCUGCUUUAAUAGACACAGUUGUUUUUCACAAUAAAAGAGACACAAACAGAUGAGUGAAUGAUCCAAGAUGUCAAUUUUGUGUCAGUAAGGCGUGACUGUUAGAAGGGAAUGUUUUAAGAAUUGUUGAAGAAAGGGAACAGAAACUGGGAAAGUGGAAGGCGUAUGGAAUUUGAUACUUCAGACCGCCAUUCACAUGAACGUAGUUAAUACAUUGUUAGUGAACUAUGUAAAUAUAUAUAUAUUUUUUUGUUCUUUAUUCCUAGCUUGUGGAUCAUAAAACCCAAAUUUCAUCAACAGUACUGCAUGGCCAUAUUAUUCCCAAGUAAAAUUACUCUGUAUAUAACAGUAUCAAAUAUUAAAAAUUGGUGUAUUUGUAGGAAACCCUUAGAAUCAUGUGAUAUUUCAUUUUGAGCCCACAAAAGCCUAUGGCCCUAAGGCUACUUCAUAUCAUCACUGUAGGUUCAAUGACUUUUUAUUAUUAUUUUUUUAAUAUUGAAGAAGGUUGUAAAGAAAAGGAAAGGGAAACAAUGGGGUUUUUAAAGAAGAAAAUGGUGGUGCAGUGUGGGACCAAAUGCUGAAAAUUUGGGAGAAUCAAUGAUACAGUUCAAUUGGUGAAAAAAAUUCUCCCUGAAAAGAAAAUCAAAAGAAAAAAAAAAGGUAAAGAAAUGACAUUAGAAAAAGAAAACAAAGGAAGAAAAGGCCCCACCAAGGAACAACAUGAAUGCAGCUAGUGGUAAUGGUAUGGGGGUGGUAAUGAUGCUUUCAAUUGCUCCAUUGGCUUAGUUUUUAUUUAUUUAUUUUUUUCCCAUUCUUUUCCCUUCAUCAGCAAUUCACUUCUAACUUCUCACUAAUGAAGAGAUGCCAUAUUUCACCAUUCCCUCAUGAUGUGAGUGCACUUUUUUUUUACAAAAAAAAAAGAAAAGAAAACUUACCUACAGAAACAACCAGAGACUAAAACAUAAGUUGCAAUAUAUCUUUUAACUUUUGGUAAAUGUUUAAAAAAUACACUCAAGGCAGGAAAAGAAAAGUUGUUUAAGGUUUCAGAUGAAAAUUAUGACCUAAAACAAUAUAGCGAUGACUGAUAAUUGUGUGUUGAUCCACAAUUUUGUUUUAGGUAAUCGUCACACCAUUUCAAGUAAUAAUUUAAAUCUAAAUUUCUAAAUGAGUUCUAUUUGAAUGGUAGUUUUGAAACAAUUAUGAAAGGACAAUUGUAAUAUUGAAAAUUUUUAGAAAAUAUGAAUAUUUUUUCUACUUGACAAAAAAAUAUAAUCGUGAGUUUAAGUUGAAUUGGUCUACAUACUCUAAAACCAAGAUUCCUACUAUAACUUUAAAGGCGCAUGAAUCAAUCAAAUUGCAUUAUAAACAUGAAUCAGAAAAGUUGAGAAGAAUGCAAUUAUAUAUGAUUGAUGAUAAUAGAAGUUAUAGGGCAAUGGUCCUAGGCAAGGGCAAGAAUGAGUUCCUCCUCUUGAUUUGACUCUUGAAAUAUACAUAAUUAGUUAGUGUAAAUGUUGAGAUGUGGUUGAAGAAAGUUGGGGAGUGAUAUGAUAAAUGUUGAUUGGGAUAUUGACCAUGAAACAGAAUGGUAGAAAUGGGUAAUUAUUAGAUAUAAGAUCUCAGUAUCCAAGAUGAAGAUGGUGGCCCUUUUAUUAAUCAUUUUGGCUUUGGGUCCAUAAUUACAACUUUCUAUUUCCUUUUCUUUGGGGAUACAAACUGGAUACCAAUUCCCAUUACAUAUAUAUAUUCACAUUGUAUAUGUGAAAGAGGACUUUGUUUCCAAAAGUACAAAAUAGUGCAUUUAUUAAUUAAUUAAUUCUUUAUUUUGGAUCUUUUCUUUUUAAUCUUACUUCACCCUGUUUUAGAUUCUUGAAAAUACAGUAUAUAUUAAAAAAAAAUUACAACUUUCAACUUUGUAUCUCUAACCUCUUUAUUUGUUGAUAUAGGGUGAGCUGAGCCUAGCAAUGAGAUCUCAAACCCAAAGGGAAGGGACCAUCGGGAGGCUAGACAACCAAACUACAAAACUAUCAUGAAAGUCGAGCAAGCCACAAGCCCCGAUGAGGGCGGCCGUCAAUAACUUUUCAAAAUCCAAAUAGAGAUGACUAAGUUGUUACUUAGAAAGAAGCCAAGAGGAAGGCUACGUUUUUUCAGCACGUGGAAAAUGGUAACAUUAACUCAACGCUGGAAGAAAAAGGUCUUAGAACACCAAACUAGCCCACUCCUAGAGGUCUCUUGCAAGACGUGUCCUAGUGAUUAUGGUUGGACCUCUCCUCUACUAGUAUGCGUCAUUUACAAGAAGAUUGCACCACUUGUAUCAACUAUGAGAUCAACCAACAAAUCGAUUGAUCAAAUCAAGAAAGGAGUCUCUGACUAUGAAAGUUUGAAUUUGGAAAUUUUAAUAGAGUAUAGGCUAGAACAACUAAAAAAAGCAGCACAUCGCUAAGGCAUAUAGAGCUCGUUGUAAAACGGUUAAAAAAAGAUAGUGUCUCAUUCACUAAUAUCAUAGCAAAAGAGCUUCUCAAACUCUCAAGCUCCUCACUACCAAAGAAUAUGAUGAGAACACUUAAUCGAUUAAGAUUCUCAAACGUACCAGUCGGCCAUGGAGCUGCAUAGGGUGCUAAAAGCCAUAUGCUAUUGUGUUUUUCCAUAUAUACCUCACCAUUGUAGCUCAAACUUAGUGUUGAUAAUUGCCCAAGAGGUUGUUUGGUUCGUUAUAGGAGCUCUCCUACACCUUUAUCGACUAAUUUGUGGUUGAUCAUGAAGCCUUGCACUCGUUUACGCAAUUGUUCUUAGUGCGCUAGUGAUAAGACGAGGUACUUUGAGAUUACAUCAUGCAUUUCAAAGUUGAGACACUAAAAAUGGAAGAGUGCUCCAAAGAUACUAUUUGCUUAGCCCUUGUUGUUAGCCUCCUCCAUUCAUUAAGCUUCAACCUCCUACGCUAAAAUCUUGUCUCGAGCUUAGAGGCAUAUCACAGCAACUAAGCAUGUCGAGGCAAGUGGGUCGUAAAGGGGGGAAAAUUUGUCGCACUGAGUCAAAGAGCAUGAACAACCUAAUGAUUCCAUGCUAUAUGACUUUCAUGUUCCCACCCAAGCUAAAAAAAAAAACAAUGAUGUUGGGCAUAAGUGGUACACCUUUGUUCAUUGACCUAUUCACCAGAUCUUGGGUUGCAAUGGAGGAAUGUAGGAUUCUCACAUGGGAAAAAGAAAAAAACAAACCGUCUGCCUUAAGUUGUAGGGAUUAUAACGAAUAUUGUAAGUUUCUUCACAAUCACAAGCACAACAUGGGUGGUUGUGUUACCCUUAAAGAUCAAAUUGAAGAGGUCAUGCGCCUAAAGAAAAUUUUGACAAUCUUUUAAGGACUGCCUAGAGGACCCAUUGGGCAAAAAAGAAAAGGUUGAUCCUUAAGAGACUUGUAGAGAAUAGCCCGAAGGAGUUUUGCUAGUCAAGACGAUAAAAUUGAGCCGGUUGAUCGACUUCAUCGAAGAAAGAGACAUAGAUCCACCUCCAUUUGCACAACGAUGCCCCGGUAAUCUCCCUCAACAUAGGAACAACUUUGUUGAGGCAACAAACAACUUGAAAAGGUCAUCGAUCGCAUUGAUUGAAUUCUCUAAAGAAUAUGUAUCACCUAAAGAAUAAUUGACCUUUAUGUAAAACUCAAGGAAGGUAAUUAAGAACCAAUCAAGGUCACAUUUACGGGAGUUAAUUAAGACCAUAUUUACCUACUAGAAACAUAAUAAAUCAAACGUAAUAUAAAAAAAUGCCACAUUUAAAUAUGUUUGUUCGAUGUUGUUUUACUAGUGUUUCAUAAUUACAAUGAGACGAGAGGUCCAUUUUGAAGUAUGUAAUCAAAACCCCAAUGUUGCAAUCUAAUUUCGCAACGAAGGGUGAUGAAUUCAAUAGUAGUUGAAAAUUAUGUGAGAAUAUUGUUACAAUUACUGAUAUCAUUAAUAUUACAAUGAAAAAAUGAUGAAAAGGGAUGAAAAAAUUAUGAAUAUGUCACAACCAUCAUUACUAUUAAUAAAUUAAAAGUAAAGUAAAUUGUUAUAUUUUCUAAAAAAAAGAAAGGCUACAAAGAAGGAGUAUAGAAAUGUAAUAUAUAGUUUGGAAUCUGAUUUUAGUCAAAACAGUGGCGUAACAUAAGUUUUAAGAUUGAUGUAAAAUAUGAUUACCUUAUAGUAAGUGACAUCAUUAUUAGCAAAAGUGAUAUGUAUAUAUAUAAAAAAUAAAAAGGCAGUACGUACUAAUAGUUUGAGUAGGAGAAAAAAAAAGUGUUGAAUAAUUGAGAACCAAUAAAUAGGGAAAAUAUGAUUCUUAGAAAAAGAAAAAUGGAAAAAGAAUAGGUAAUGGAUUUGGAUAAGCUAUGAAUUGUAAUGUUUUGGGGACUCCAAGGUUUUUCAAAAGAAACCAUAAGGGCGUUAGAUCUCAAGCACGUGGCAGUGUUGAAAAUAUAUGGUUUAAUGGGACGGUGGUGAUGAUAUGUAUGUAAUCUUAGUUCUUCUUACCUCACAAUUUCUUAUGGGAAUUUUUGAGUCUUUCAAUGCCAUUUAAGUUUUUUCCUUUUUGUUGGAAAAGAAAAGAAAAGAAAAGAAAAGAAAAGAGACGUUGUCGUGAAUGGCACGCCAAGCUAAUGCCUAAUUUUUAUGGGAUUUUUUUCUUUUUCAGAAAUUUGUGAUGUCACUUUUCCACACUAUCCAAAUCAUUGGUGAUGAUCCCUAUAUUCAAACGCCCAGUUUCAUGUAUAUAAAAAACAAUUUUCAUUAAGAUAGUCAAACUGUAGAAAAGAUAAAAAAUAAACUUCUUUAUAAACUGAAGAAAUCGUAAAGAAGCAGUUCAUUUUCUAGAUAUAUCUAUGGCAAAUAAGAUCGGUAAAAAUGAAUUACUACAUAGUAGAUAGCUAUUAAUGAACUAAUAAUUUCAAUUAUUCAGAUAAUUUUUUUUAGUAUAUGAUUGGUUAAGUUUAAAAAAACUAAAGAAAAUAUGUUUAAUUUUCUAAAUUAAGGAAACAAAAAAUGAAAGACAUAGGAAGGGGGACUUUUCAAAUGAUGAGAGUGUUUAUUUUGGACUGCACGUCUAUCAAUUAGACUACAAAGUGAGAUUUGUUGGUUUAAUAAUUAGGUCAUUUUAAUUUCAUUCAUUUUAGGUUUUCCAGUUGUACAUAAUUUUGUUCUUAAAUAAUAAUCCUCCUAAAAUGAUUAUUUUUUUUUUAAAAAAAAUCAAUUUCCUUCUAUUUGCACUCUGCUAUAUUUUUUCUUUUACUAUAUGAUAUUAAUCUUGCUUUUAAUGAAUUAGUUUAAACUUUUUAAGAUGUAUUUGGGUUGCUUUUUAAAGUAUUUAAUUAUUAAAAUAAUUUAUUUUAAGAUAAACGGGUGUUUGACGUUGAUUUAAAAUAACUUUUAGAAACAUAGGAUUACGAAAUAAAUCAUUUUAGAGAAAACAUACCCAAAUUUUAGAAUAAAUGUCUAUUUUGUGUGUUUAAUGAAAAAUUUCUCACAAAUAUCUAUCUCUCUCUAUUUUUUUGUAUUUCUAUUUACUAUCUAUUCUUCACUCUGUUGUUUUUUUUUUUUUAAUUCUUUGAAUAUUUUUUCAAUGUAUGGUUAUGUAUUUACAUUUCAAGAUAUUUGUGCUUUUAAAAUUGAAUUAUCUAAAAAAAUUAAUACAAAAAAAGAAGAAGAAAUUAAUAUUUGGUUUCAAGUAAAUAAAGAAAUCAAUAAUUUCAAGAUAACCUACAAUAAAUUUUAAAAUAUAUUUAAAAAAAAAAUUUUAAAUGUGUGUAUUUAUUUAUGAAAUUAGUUCAUAAUGUUUAAUAGUCUUUUAUGAUAAUUUGACCCAAGUAUAAACAUUGUUAGUAUAGGACAAAUCAAAUACAAUUUUGCAUAUAAAUAUUUAUAAAGAUGUCAAACUAAACAUGUAAGUAUUUAGAUUUUAAACUCAUUAAAAAAAAGUUUUUUAAAAAAAUAUAUUUUUACAAAAAAAAAGUAGUUUUUUCAUAGGUAAUCUAAUUCGACCCUAAGUUAAUGGAGAAUGUUAUCUCAAAAUUAGCUAGACGAUAAGAAAACUUAUCAUGCAUUCUUCCUCAAUAAACAAAGAAAAGAAAAAUGAAGGAAUGAAACUAAACAAACUUUGUCUAGACAUGACAACUACAUGUUUGAUUGUGUAAAUGAUUUUAUCGACGUCGUUUGAAAUGAAAUAACUGGUCGUAGAUUUUGUUUUUAGUUACAUAGUUGUAAAUAAUAUCAUAUAAGCCUCUAUCUUUUAUUUAAUAUUGUUGAUGCUAAAAAAAUGGAACAACCGUAAAUUUAUAUUUUUUAAGGAGAAUAGUUCAACUGGAGUGUGCACAAAUGAAGAAAUUCUCGCUAAUGUGCAGUGUCAAGAUACCAACAUUUGACAAUUUAUAAGUUAGCAAGAAGUUAGGAUGAAUAUUGCGGUAGUAUAGAGGAGUAUGAAGUAUUUUUAGCAUACACUUGACAAAUGAUCUUGAUUGUUUAUAUAUGAUUUGUAUUAUGUAACGGAGACCUUGGCUCAUAACGAAUACUUCAUUAAUUUAAUAAAGUUGUUGAGACUCUUUGUGCACCUAAAAUUUCCACCACAUGAAACGAUUGCCAACUUGAUUUGUUGGCUUAACUUAUUGUUAUGUAGAUUAUCAAUUGCUAGGUAUAUUAUUAUCACAGUGAACAGAAAAAUCAUACACAAAUAUAGAUCUGAGCUCAACGAAUUAACGUUGUCUCCUUAAGACAAAUUUACUCACCCUAAGUACAUCCAUUCAUGAAGAAUCAUAACCAUUUAUUCCAACAAUCCCCCCCCCAUAAAUGGUAAUUUGACAAAUGAGAGAAAAUAAGCGGUCGGUAUUUUCCAAUGGAGAACCUGCAUGAGGAUAAGUAGUAUAAAAUUUAAACUUUCCUUAGUGAAAAUCAAUCGAGUUUACUUGGUUAAUUAGUGAACAUGAUGUCUUGAACUGUCAACCGUUCUAGAGUAAACUAAAACAAUAGAUAUCACACAGCUUCUCAUUAUAACAAAGUUUGUUCUCAUGUUUUGUGUUCGUUUUGGCCUUGAACACCGCCUAGUCUCAUGAGUGUUUUAGAGAAUGUUGCCUUAAAAAUUCUCACAGAAACGGCCCCUUCACACUCACAUAGGUGAUUCCUGUAUAGAACAUCGUAUAUGUUCUUUUGUUAAUAAAUAUCACUAACAAAAAUCAUUAAAAGCAUAAAGCUUACCCUAAAACUAUACUGACACUACCUCAUCAUUCGUAAAAUGGGAAAAUCUUUUAAUGCAGUGCUUGUUGUAUUAUUUAGAGAUCGGUUUUCCCGUUGAACCUAGAUCUUGGGAUCUCCAGUCAACUAGGUUGGGUUGCCUCUUUAGAUAACUUCAUAUUAUAGGCUUUAAUCCCAUUCUUUUUUAUGAAUUUUCAACCAACUCCCUAAUUAGGCCUUUAGUAAGUAGAUCCGCUAUAUUAUCUUUUGACCUCACAAAGUCAAUUGUGAUAAUUCCACUAGAGAGUAGUUGCCUCAUUGUAUUAUGUCUCCGUCGUAUAUGUCAAGACUUACCAUUAUACAUAAUAUUAUGUGCCCUUCCAAUAGCUGCCUGGCUAUCACUAUGUAUACAUAUUGCAGGCACUGGUUUAGACCAAUUGGGAAUAUCUUCCAAAAAAUUUCGAAGCCAUUCUGCUUCUUCUCCAGCCUUGUCUAAGGCUAUAAAUUCAGAUUCCAUUGUGGAUCGUGCUAUACAUGUUUGUUUGGAAGAUUUCUAAGAAACAGCACCGCCUCUAAGGGUAAAAAUGUAACCACCGGUGGAUUUGGAGUCUUUAGUGCUCGAUAUCCAAUUGGCAUCACUAUAGCCUUCAAGUACAGCAGGAUAUCGAGUAUAGUGUAUUCCAUAAUUUUUAGUAUGCUUUAAGUAUACCAAAACUCUCAAGAUAGCUUUCCAAUGAUCAUGACCUGGAUUACUUGUAUAACGACUUAACUUGCUUACCGCAUACUCUAUAUCAGGACGUGUACAACUCAUGAUGUACAUCAAACUACCAAUGAUGCAAGAGUAUUCUAACUGUGCUAUACUAUCUCCAUUAUUUUUACUUAAAUGGAGACUUCCAUCAAUUGGGGUCUUUGCAAUCACAAUUUCAUGUUUUGUAUAUUUCUUCAAUAUUUUAUCAAUAUAAUGUGAUUGAGAUAGCACUAACCCUUGUGGGGUUGUAGAAAUUUUGAUACCUAGAAUAACAUCUGUGACACCCAUGUCUUUCAUCUCAAAUUUAUUGGCCAAUAUUUGUUUGGUUUUCUUAAUAAUGUUGAUAUUGCUACCUAUAAUUAGCAUAUCAUCAACAUAUAAGCACACAAUGACAUGGUCAUGCUCAUUGCUUUUGACAUAGACACAUUUGUCACAUUCAUUGAUUUUAAAUCCAUUGGCCAUCAUUACACUGUCAAAAUUUUCAUGCCAUUGUUUCGGUGCUUGUUUUAGUCCAUAAAGAGACAUAAUUAAUUUGCAGACUUUCUUUUCUUGACCUAAAGAAACAAACCCUUCAGGUUGUUGCAUGUAGAUCUCUUCAUCUAACUCAGCGUUUAAAAAUGUCGUCUUGACAUCCAUCUGAUGUAUCUCAAAUCCAUGCAAAGCUGAUAUUGCUAUGAGCAUGCGAAUGGAAGUAAUUCGAGUAACUGGUGAGUAUGUAUCAAAAUAGUCAAGUCCUUCUUGUUGCUUGUAACCUUUAGCGACAAGUCUUGCUUUAUAUUUAUCUAUUGAUCCAUCAGUCUUCAAUUUUCGUUUGAAAAUCAACUUGCAACCAAGUGGUUUACUUCCUAAUGGAAGAUCAACUAGUUCCCAAGUAUGGUUAUGCAUAAUGGACUCAAUUUCACUAUUCACAACCUCUUUCCAAUAUGGAGCUUCAAGAGAGGACAUGGCCUCUUUAAAUGUUUGAGGUUCGUUUUCUAACAAAUAAGUUAAAUAAUCAGGCCCAAAUGAUUUUGAGAUCCUCAUCCUUUUACUUCGUCGAAGUUCCUCAUUGUUCGUUAACUCAACAUUUGAUCUAUUGUGAGAUUCACUCGUUAUAGCAUCAAACGCACGUUUUUGUAACCUUGCUUCACAAAACAUUUUAUGAGGAAAAAUAUUCUCAAAGAAUGUUGCAUUCCUUGAUUCCAUGAUUAUAUUAACAUGUAUAUCUGAAAUAUCUAAUUUAUGAACUAUAAAUCGAUAUGCACAACUGUUACUAGCAUAACCAAUGAAUAUGCAAUCAACAGUUUUUGGUCCAAUUUUAACCAUUUUAGGUUUAGGCACGACAACGUUUGCUAGGCACCCCCAUACUUUUAAGAAUUUAUAUGAAGGUUUUCUUCCUUUUCAUUUUUCAUAAGGAAUAUUUUGUGACUUCUUAUGAGGAAUUCUGUAUAAUAAAUAAUUUGCUGUUAACAAAGCUUCUCCCCACAAAUUUUGGGGUAAACCUGAACUUAUAAGCAUUGCGUUCAUCAUUUCCUUAAGUGUUCGGUUUUUGCGUUCAUCAAUUCCAUUGGAUUGAGGUGAGUAAGGAGCAGUAGUUUGAUGAAUAAUGUCAUGUUCUGAACAAAAUUGUAAAAAAGGAGGAUCAUAUUCACCACCUCGAUCACUUCUUAUUGCCUUAAUUUUUGUGCUAAGUUGAUUUUCAACCUCUUUUUUAUAAAGCUUAAACACUUUAAUUGCCUCAUCUUUGCUUUUUAGCAGAUAAACAUAACAAUAUCUUGUGCUAUCAUCGAUAAAAGUAAUAAAGUACUUUUUUCCACCUCUAGUUUGCACAAAUUUCAAGUCACAAAUAUCACUAUGAAUUAACUCUAAAGGUUUGGUAAUUCUAUGAGUUGAAUGAAAAUGUGCUUUAGUCAUCUUUGAUUCCACACACACCUCACAUCGAUGAUUUGUGUCAAAAGUGAAUUUUGAAAUCAAGUUCAUAUUAAUUAGUCUUCGCAAAGAAUUAAAAUUAACAUGUCCUAGUCUGUCAUGCCAAACAAAUGACUCAACAAUAUAAACAAAAGUAGAUACUGUAACGCCCCAAAGAUAUAUAUAUUAUAUAUUAUAUAUAUAAUAUAUAUUAUAUAUAAAUAUUUGUUUUUAUUUUAUUUUAUUUUUUUUUCUUUCUUUUUUUUUCUCUUCUUCUUCCUCCCGUGCGCCGCGACCCUCCAAUCCGUCUUCUUCUCCUUCCGUUCGCAGCAAGCCGCCGACCAUCCCCUUCUUCUCUUCUCCUCUCCGUUCCACCAGGUCGAGCCGAACUCAACCGCAACGUCUCAUCUGUUUCUUCCUCCGUUCACCGAAGCCGAACCCACAUUCUUUUCUUCUUCAAUCCAAAACCGUCGGCCGCCGCGUAACUUUCCGUCCAGAUCUGCGUCGCCGUGCCCAGUCCUCACCGCCGCUGCAACCAUCUCCGCGCCAUUGCUCUGUCUCCGUCGAAGCCAAAGCCGCCGCGUGAAACAGUAACCGCCACGCCCUCCGCUCACAACCGUCGUCCAGAUCUGCAACGCCGAGCCGUCCAGGUCCUCGCCGACGCUCGUGCUUCACCCUGGUAGUUCGCAGUAACCCAGAUCCGCCGCUCGCAACUGUCGGCCGGUUCGUGCAGUCCUGCCGCGCAACCUCCGUUUCCAGCCGCCGCCCGUUCCGUCCUCCUCUGUUUUCUGCACUGCCGCACGACUCUCCGACCGCGUCUGUCUUCACCUCCGCCCGGUCGCCACGUCAGAUCGUCGAUCGAUUUUGAGGCAGCCGCCAUGUCUCAUUUGGCCGACCGCUGACCGACCCACACUUAGGAUUUUUGCUGCGAGUUCGACAUUCGUGCGUUGAGGUGUUGGGAGUAACGUUAGGCUCCCUUACAUUCACAACCAGUUUGUGAAUUGUUAGACUUAACGACGAAUUUAUAUCGUGAUUGUAUAUAUAUAAGUGUGUAUGUGGACAGGACGAAGAUUGUAGAUUGUGUUUGUAUGAGAUGCAGAUGUGAACUUGUGAUUUUCGUACGUUACGCUAAAGUAUGACUAUGUGCUGGUGAACUGAGGGACUGACAUAUUAGUAUAUUAUUGAUAGACAUAUGACUAAAGUGAGAUAAAUUGACUGUUAGGACGUUGAGAGAAAGAACUUUAUGUUUUGAAGUAAUUGAAAGAUGGAUUGAAAGAACUUUAUGUUUUGAAGUAAUUGAAAGAUGGAUUGAAUGGAAUGAGGGGAAAAUUGUUAGUUUGUAUUGGGAUGUGUACCUUGUAGGUGUCCCACAGGAUCACCAAUUUAUUUUGCACAUUCUGGAGCAUUAGACUGAUAUGUGUUUCUGCAGAACACUAGACUGAUAUGUACGUCCCUCGGGGCGUUAGACUGAGAUGUGUAUCCUACGGGAUAUAGGGUGUCCCAAUAGAACGUUAACAAUUUAUUUUCCCCUGACGGGACCAGUAGAGAGUCUCUUACUGAGUAUUUAAAUACUCACCCUUCUUAUGUUUAAUUUUCAGGCAAAGGUAAUAAAGGCGGCAAACCGGCGAGAAGGAAGCGUGAUUGCCAUAGGAAACGUGUUAUUUGCUUCCGCUUAUGGGUUCUUGUGAGGUUUAAGAUGAAUUGAAAUUUAGUUUACAAACGUUUAUUGUAAAUAGUAUUAUUUUUAUGUUUUCUUGAAUAUUUGAAAAUCAGGCCUGACUUAAAGAUGUUUUUAAAUUAGCUUACGUUUCGUUUUAUAUUAAUCAAAGUCUUUUAUUUGUUAAAAAUUAAUGACCUCGACUUACCUAGAAAAGUUGGGUCGUUACAUAAUAAAUCGAAGUCAAAAUAUCUCAUAAAGAGACAGUUCGCACGAGAUUUUUGAAGAAAUUUGAUUCGUGGAAUUGAACUUAUGUUAUAUUUUUGUUGAUUUGAUGCGAUGUGGUUUGAUCUCUAGAAUUUGAUCAUUUGAUUCUCUUUUGAUUGGAUGCUUACACUUAAUUUGAGAAAGCAUAACACGUAGUGUUCUUGAAGUUGAAGUCUUGGAAGAAGGUUUGUAUCUUCUAAGGAACUUCAAUCUUCGAGGGAAGUUAGAGUCUUGCAAGAAAGCUUGUAGAAGUUGGAGCCUUGGCAGAAAGCUUGUAUCUUUAAAGAAACUUCAAUCUUGUAUUUUUUUUUUUAAUUAGUCUCAAAUUCAAUUAUUUGUACUUUUUAAUGAUGUGGCUAAUUUGUGAUUGGUCGAAAAACUUCAUAUUCAACAAAUGUCCCUUUUUGAGGUUUAUGCACGUAUAUGGGUGAAUGAAUCUCGGAAAAGAUAAAUUUGAAGUCAAAAUACGUAUUUUUUAUUUAGUACAAGAGUUUGAUUCAAAUUGAAAAGUUCACGGUUUUAUCCGCAAUUUAAUUUGAUUUGAGGAUAAAAAUUUUAAUUUGAUUUUUUAAAAGUAAAAUAAAAUUAGGAACAUAACCUAAAUUUUAGUUUGAAAUAAUGAUGAGGUUUAUACCGUACUUUAAUUUGUCUUGAGGAUGCACAAGAGUUUGAAAUGAUCAAUUUUAAUUUAAGAUAAAAAGAGACCCUCAAUCUUGAGAUAAUAUUGAAUUUACAUCUUUGCUUUAAAUUUGAGAUAAAAAAAAAAGUCAUAUAUGCAAGUUAAUUUGACUUGAAUUGGAACCCAAAUUCUAAUUUUAAAAUUGGAAAUAAGAUCUAAUUUAAUUUUUUAAUUUUUAAAUAUCUAAAUAUUUUAAUUAUUAAAAAGUUAAAAUUGAAAUUUAUCCCAAAAAUGAAACAAUUUAAAAUAUCAUUCCUAAUCUUUGUAGGAAUUGAAUUUGUUGGCCUUAUAAAUACACAAUGCUUUAAUCAUUUAUUCCUCAUCCAACAAAAGAAAUGUAUGAAAAACUUCUAUUCUCCCUUUCUCUCUUCCUCUUUUUGUCUUUUUUGUCUUUGUAUUUUUUUUUUUUUUUUUUGUCCUCCUUUUUGAGAAGAUAAAGAUAAGAACUUCUUAUUUCCUCUUUUUUUUUUUUUUUUUUUUUUGCAAUCGUUUGUAGCGGUGACUAUGUCAUCACCGCUUCAACUUCUACUAGAAGAUCACUACUACAAAAACAGGCUCUCUUGACGUUUUUAAACUGUCAAUAAUCAUUAUUCUUGACGGUUUUAAAACUGUCCUUGAAGCCAGUGUCAAGAAAGCCAAAGUUCUUGACGAUUGAUAAAAACGUCAAAAAUAUUGAACGUUGACGUUUUAUAAACGUCAAAUAUACAAAUGUUCAUGACAGUUAAAAACUGUCAAAAGUGUGAAUGUUUAUGACAGUUUAAAACCAUCAAGAGUUUAGUGUUUAUGACAUUUAAUAACUGUCAAGAAAUUGAUUGUCUAUAACAUUGAAAAACCGUCAAGGAUGCACUUGUUUAUGACAUUUUAAAACCGUCAAGUAUGUUAUGAUUUUUUUAAAAAAAAAUUGAAAUUCAUUUAUAUUUUUGUUCAUGUAAUUCAAUGAUUCUAUUUCAACACAAAACUAGUACACAUAUAAAUAAGAACUUUCAUAUAUAACAGUAACAUAGAUAUAUUUUUUACAAAGAAACUAAGUACACAAAAUCUAUCGAAUUUUCCCAAAAGGAAUAAAUACAAGUAAAAUAGAAACUAAACCUUGGUAAUAUAUUUUUUCAAAGAAACUAAAUACAAUGUAUUGUCGUUGAUAACUAAAUUACAACAAGUCUUGUCACGAAUCAAACAUCAAUCACUUGCUUGGUAGUUUCAUCACUAUAGUAAAUCAAUCGAAUAUUAAUGCAAAACCUUGACAAUCUGAAAUGUAUAGAUGUUCCACUUCCACACCAUCAAGUGUCCUCCAUUUCAUAUUCUUCAUCGUCAAAAUCGGCAUCUUCUUCAAGUCCAUUUUUAAUAAACUACAUAUUGUACCCAUAUAACCACAUGGUCAAAAUCAUUCUAAAUCUCCACAAAAAAAAAAAAAAAUGAUAGAUUUAUCAGAAGGAUACACUAGAAAAAAGAUGUUAAAGGUAAUUCACAUCAUAAAGUAACCUUGUUUCUUUACUUCUCAGUUUAGCUUAAAGUGUUUGUAUGAGUUUGAUAUCAAACCAAGGCAACAAGAGAUCAAAUUUCACAAAUGAGAAUAAGUGAAAGAUUAAUUUCAAGAUAGAAGUAUUAGAAGCAAGCUAUGAAAAGUUCUCAUGAUAGUUAUCAAGACUUCCCAACUAUAGAAAUACUUCAUAGCUAAUGUCAUUAAACAUUGUUCAACAAUAUUACCUUGAAGCCUAGUCACCAAGUGAUGAGUUCAUCCUACAAAGAAUACAAAACAAGAUACAAACAUAUUCAGAAAAUAGAAACAUCAACAGUUGAAUAUAUUUCCAAUUAGUCACAAAUCUCGUCUCAUGAAUAUUUAAACCUAUAUGAAAAUAACAUUUGAAAAGAAAAUGGGUCGAAAAAAUUGAAGGGAAAAUGAGUAGUUAAUUGUUCAAUUUGAGGAGCCUAACCAUAGAACUGAAAAUAUAUGUCGUCAAAAUGUAAAAAUCAUAUGGAUCACAAUCUACCAAACAAGAUGCAGCUAAUGCCAAAACAUCAACAAGAAGCCGCAAGAACCUGAUCAAUACAUGUGUGCAUAUUUCAAUAACUCACAUCAUCAAUUAAAAAAAUGUGAUAAUUAGCAUGUUUAGGAUCAUAAUUUCUUUACCUUCUAGUGGGAACAAACUCUUGAUCACAAAUGUUACCAAAACAGUUUUUUCUUUUGUUUGUCUAAUGACUUUUAUUUUAUUAUUUAAAAUAACCUAUUUCUUGAUGUUUUUUUGAAAAAAACGUCAAGUAAUUAAAACUACAAACGUCAAGAAAGCCAUUUUUUGUAGUAGUGUAUGAUCGGACAUUUGCAGCCAGAUCCAUCUCACUAGUAGAAACGAUUAGGCAUUUCAGUUCUUUAUCGUCAGCGAUCCAACUCCUACUAGGAGACGAUAUUCAGAUCUACCUCUCUGGAACGAUCGGACAUCUAGGUUCUUCGCCAUUAGUGAUCCAACUUCUACUAGGGGAUGAUCUGACUUUGGCCGUCAGAUCCACCACCCUAGUAGGAGCGAUCAGACAUCUUGGCUCUCGUUUGCCAUCCAACUUCUACUAGGAGAUGAUCAGGCUUUUGUCGUCAGAUCCACCUUCCUAGUAAGAGCAAUCAGACAUCUCGAUUCUGCUUUGCCAUCAACGAUCUAACUUCUACAAAGGGACGAUAUGGCUUUUAUCGUUAGAUCCACCUCUUUAGUAGGAGCGAGAUCGACCAUCUCGGUUCUGCUUUGCCGUUAGCGAUCCAACUUCUACUAGAGGAUCGAGUUUUUUUUCGUCAGAUUCACCUAGUAGGAACAAUUAGACAUCUCGAUUCUUCUUUGUCGUCAACUAUCCAACUCCUACUUUGCCAUCAGAUCCACCUCUUACUUUUGCCAUCAGAUCCACCUCCCUCGUAGGAACGAUCAGUUAUCUCAGUUCUUUUCACCGUCAGCGAUCCAACUUCUACUAGGGAACGAUCAUAUCGUCAGAUCCACCUCUCUAGUAGAAGUGAUCAGGCAUCUCAGCUCUGCUUCUCCGUCAACGAUCCAACUUCUACUAGAGGAUGAUUUGGCUUUUGUUGGAAGAUUCACCUUCCUAGUAGGAGCAAUCGAGCUUCUUUGUUCUUCUUCUCUUUUUCUUUUUCUUUUUCUUUUUUUCUCUUUUUUUGUUUUCAUUUUUAUUUUCUUUUCUUUGCUUCAUUUUUUUUCUUCUUUUCGUUUUUCUUUAUUCUUUGUUCUUUUCUUUUCUUCAUUUUUUUAUUUUUUUGUUUUUUGUUUUCACUUUUCUUUUCUUUCAUAUUUUUCUUUUUUUCGCUUUGUUUUUUUUCUUCUUUUCAUUUUUUUGUUCUUUUUCUCUUCAUUCUUUUUACUGACUAUUGCUUCCCUUAGGUACGAAUUUUGCUUUUCGCAAUGGUACACUUUACUGUGAUAGAUGAUGCUCUUUAUUAACUCAAAUGACCUUUUUUUUUAUCCAAUAUACGACUGAACUUAAAUUUCUUUAGUGUCUUUGUACCUUUUAUAAUGUAGGGAUCAAGUCAUAACGUAGUUCACAAUUUUUUUUACUGGACUGGACUUAAGGUUUUCUUUAAGUUGCCUACGUACCCUUUAUAAUGUAGGGAUAAAGUCAUAACGUAGUUCAACUGUUUUUUUCUUAAGUCAUAACAUAGUUCAACUUUAUUUUUCUUCUUUUUUACAUAGCAAAAUUAAACAUAAAAUUUCUUUAAAAAAUUAUUGUUGAUUGGACCAAUUCGUAGUUUGUUUUGAUCAACGAUCUUGUAUGCACCAUUUGUAUAAACUUCUUUAACAAUGUAGAGUCCAUCCCAUUUGGGUGUGAACUUAUUUCUUGUAUGAUUUGUUGUGAUGAUUCGUCUUCUUAGAGCAAGUACGAGAUCACCAACUUGAAAGGAGCGAGGUUUAGCAUGCUUAUCAAAAGCUUUGGACAUUCUCGCUGGAUAGCAUUCUAAUGCUUGUUGAGUCUCUAAUCGCUUUUCAUCAAGUGCUUCUAACUCUUGAAGAUGUAACUUGACAUUAUCAAAAGUAGUCAAUCCCUCUUGCACUCCCAUUCUUAGCGAUGAAAUUUCUCUUAAAAGGGAGGAACAACCUCCACACCGUAAACAAGCAAAUAUGGCGUGACCACUCUAGGGGUACGAUGAGUAGUUUGAUAAGCCCACAAUGCCUCACCAAUCCUUCCUUGCCAAUCUCUCUUUGACUUGGUGACAAUUUUUUUCAAAAGAUUGCACAAAAUUUUGUUGAAUGCUUUUGCUAGCCCAUUCGCGGCUGCAUUGUACAUGGAUGACUUGUAUUGCUUCAACUUGAAUUUUUCACAUAAUUUGUCUAUCAUGCUAUUGAAGAUUUUCCUUCCAUUAUCCAUCAUAGUUUAGUGAGGAAUACCAUAUUGAUAGAUGAUGUGCGUUCGAAUAAAAUUUGCCACAUUCUCCUUCUUGGCUUCUCUCAAGGGCAUGACCUCAGUCUACCUUGAAAAAUAGUCUGUUGCUGCAAGGAUAUAAGAAUGUCCUGCUGAUGAUUUUGGUGUAAUGUGACCAAUCAAAUCGAGUCUUCAAGCCUCGAACGGCCAAGAAGCCAUAGUCGGAUGAAGGGGCUCUAGAGGUUGGUGUUUGAAGUUUGCAUGGUAUUAACAAGCCUUGCACUUCUUUGCAUAGUCUAUUGAAUCUUAGAUCAUCUUAUGUCAAUAGUAGCCCAUUCUUUCUAGCUAGAAUUGAAACUUUGGUCCAGAUUGAUUUGCUCCACAAACACCUGCAUGUGCUUCCUUUAGAGCUUUUAUCGACUCUUCCUUUACAAGACAGCGAAGGAAGAGUCCUUCAAGAGAAUGACGAUGUAAGGUUACUUCGAAUAAAUGAAGUGCGCAGCUCCCCUUCGUACCUCAGUUUUAUGACAAAAAUCCUUUGAAAGCUUUCAAUGUUCAAGAUACUCAUUGAUGGGUUGACGCCGAUCUUCUUCAUUAAUCAAAUAGGAUGUCACGUUCACUUCUUGACAUAAUUGGAGGCAAUUUCCAUUAUUGACAAAGUAGGGUAUAUUCAGAGUUACAUCAUCAAGGCAAUGGCUAAAUUGCCAAUGCAUCCACCCUCUUAUUUUCUGCUCUAGGGACAUGUUCCAACAUCAUGCUAUUGAACCUUUCCAUCAAUUGACGAGCAUAAGCAAAGUAUGGCUUCAAGUCUUCAUGUUUCACAUCAUACUAAAGUGAGAGUUGAUUGAUUAUUAACUUUGUAUCACUAUAAAUUUCUAUGAAUGAUACUCCAAUUUUCAAUGUCAUUUGAAGGUCAAUUAUCAAAGCCUGAUAUUCAGCCACAUUGUUCCAGCACAGUUCAGUCAGUGCAAAGCUAUAAGGUAACAUAUGCUUCUCAGGAGAAAUGAGAACGAUACUUGCCCUCGCACCACUUUUUCAUGUUGCACCAUCGAAGUACAUAGUCCAAGGUUCCAUAACUUCCAUGAAGAAAACCUCAACGUCUGGCAGGUCUUCACAUAACUUCCAAUCUGAAGGAAUUGUGUAGUUUGCUAAAAAGUCUGAUAGCGCUUGUCCUUUUAUCGCCUUUUGGAAAAUAUAGACAAUGUCAUAUUGUUUGUGUAGAAUCGCUCAUUUGGCAAAGCGUCUAGAGAUGAUUGGCCUAGACAGAACAUACUUUAUAGGGUCCACUUUUGCCAAUAGAUGAACCAUGAAGACCUGCAUAUAAUGCCUCAACUUAUCAAUGGCAAAGAAAAGUGUGAGGCAUAUCUUCUUGAUAAGAAAAUAGUUAACUUCAGCCCCAAUUAAUGUUCUACUUAGAUAGUAGAGAGCACGCUCUUUUCCCUUUUUCUCCCCUUGCGCCGGUAAUGCUCGUAAGGAUAUAUAAUCUUUCUUAUGUAGCAAUGUACAUUAUUAAUGGUUUUCCAGGUACUGGAGCUCCUAGCACUAGAGGACUAAGCAAGUAUUUAUUUAUGCUAUCAAAGACAUUCUAACAAGUCUCAUCCCACACAAAAUUUUCUCCUUUUCUCAUCAACUUUUGAAAAGGUUGACACCGACUCGCCAGGUUAGAGACGAACCUUCUUAGGUCAUGCAAAAUCUUUGGCCUUGGCAUCUUUUGAAUGACAUCAAUCUUGGACUGGUCUAUUUUGAUCCCUUGGUGCCUUACAUUGAAACCAAGAAACUUUCCUAAAGUGAAACCAAAUGCCCACUUAAAAGGCUUCAUUCUCAGCUGAUAUUUUCGCAAGCGAUCGAACACAACUUUUAGAUCCUUCAAAUGGUCUUGUCGUUUCUUGAAUUUGACCACAAGGUCAUCAACAUAGGAUUCGACAUACUUAUGCAACAUAUCAUCGAAACACUUUCUACAUAGGGCGUUGAUAAGUAGUACCAACAUUUUUCAAUCUAAAGGGCAUCACCUUGUAACAGUAUAUUCCCUUUGAAGUCCUAAAAGCUAUAAUUUCUUCAUUUGAAAGGGUCAUUCGUAUUUGGUUAUAUCCAUACAACCCAUCCAUAAAUGCAUCACCCAUGAUUUUUGUGAUGGAAAAAAGAAAAUCAUCCUUAGGGCAUGCAUUAUUCAUGUCAUGAAAGUCUACACAAACACGAAGUUGUCAGUUCUUUUCUCUGACAGGGACAAUGCUUGCUAUCCACGUUGGAUAUUUAACCUCACGAAUAAAUCCUGCUUCAAUCAACUUGUUGACUUACAGUCGAUUUAGGGAAUAAGCUCUGAUCGAAAACGUCGUUGCGCUUGUUUAAUCAAUCAAUAUCCUGGUUUAAUUGCGAGAGGAUGGACUGCUACUUUUGAAUCAAGUUCUGACAUCUGCUUGUACAACCAAGCAAAGAUGUCCUUGUAUUCAGUGAGCAAACUCAUGUACUUAUCCUCCUCUUCAUUAAAGAGAGAUGCACUAAUGAAAGUUGGAUGUGGUUCCUCAAUUGUACCAAGGUUCACCUCUUUUAGCUCAUCUACGGUAGAUUGACCACCAUCCUCUAAACUCUGUGGGACAUCUUCUGCGUCUUCUUCAUGAGUUUCAAUCUCUGAUUCCUCAAUAAUGGGAUGUGAUGACAUGAAGUUUCACCUUUUCCUUGUUCUGAGUCUUCCUUUUCAAGAUUCGUUAGUAUAACAGUAUGUCUUUUUACCUUCAACGAACCUUACUUGUAUUGAGAGUAACACAGGUUUUUCUUUUCAUUUGAGAAGGAACAUUGCUAUGAAUUUUUCCUUUCUUUGCCUCACAAGGAAAGUCCUUACUAUGAAAAUUCUUGAUGUUUGUGUGUUGAAUUCGACGCCAAACUGACAAAUGAUAUAUUGAUUCCUUCUUCAUGUAUCUAUGUUGGAAUCAAUGUUGAAAUGUAGUCCUCUAUCCCCAAGAUGAUUAAAAAUUGGAGCAUGGGGUGUUUGUACAAUUUUCUUUUUAGACACACCUAGCCUUUAAAAGGCUAAUGGUCUUGUAGUCGUCGAGAUCUGACAUAUGCUUUUCUCCUUUAUAGAGGUUAUAGCUCAAGGCUCAACGCUGACCAGUGACUUUCUCUUUCUGCCUCUGUCAUGCUUAGUCUUUCAAAUACUUUGGGCCGUGCAAUAUGUGGUCUAAUUCAGUCAAAUGCCUAUUCUUUGAUUAUCGCCUCCUUUUUCGUUCAUACUGUCAAUCUCCUCUAUAAUUAUAUGAUUUUUGUCAACCACUCUCUCCUUCCCCUUUCUAGUUAUAUGGAUCGGCUCUGGAAACUUCUAUUCGAGUCAUUUUCUCGACAAGAGUAUAACAUGUCAUUCCCGUAAAAGCGUCUUUUGAGUUGAUGAGAGUUUAAGUCGGUCAUGAAUUUUCAAGCUUUUGAACUCAGUAUGAGUUGUGAAGUCAUAACCUGCUUUCACCAUCAAUUUGUAAGCCUUGGAGUCAGAUUCAUCUGUCGUUCGCCUUUGAGGCAAGUUUGUUUCUGUCAGGUCUAUCUUUAUUUCAUACUUUGUUAUCUUAGUUAGUGGCGUAGUAAAACUUUCUUUUAAGACUUCGAUGUCACCAACCUUCAAUCCUUUUAGAGACUCCACGAACGGUGACUUGCUUUCUUGCACCUCGACAGAGGGACAUAGCGCAAAAUCAAUGGGUUUGAAGCCUUUUUAUCCUUCACGAUCAUACUUUUUGUGUUGCUAGUGUGUAGUUCACCCUUUCCAGAGUUAAAGGUUCUUAUACUUUCAUAUUGUUCCCUACUUGCAAGUGAUUUCAGCUGUGAAUUGUCUUCUCUCUUUAUAAGGUAAAUUUUCUACAGGUAAAUCUUCUAAGAUAUUAUCAUUCUUCAAAUAAAACUUUGCAUUUACGAAGUGAGACUCAGCCUCUAAGAAUGGGUUAGAGUCAACUUGAACCUUUUUUACACCGUCUUGAUAAAUUUGAAGCACUGAUGUAGUGUCGAAGUUACUACUUCAUUUCCAUGAAUCCAAGGACGACCUAGUAACAACUUGUAAGUGGUCCUUGAAUGUAUGACAUGAAACAAUGCACUGGCCUUUCGGUCGCCAAUUGUGAGUUCUAAGCUUAUCAUGUCUAUUGCUCUUUGAUUGCCCUGGUUGAAACCUUAAAUUACCAACUUGCUAUUUGAGAGCUCGUCCAUCAAGAUGCCUAAUUGCCUCAUAAUCGACUUCGACAUUAUGCUGACAGCUGAUCCAUUAUCGAUGAGAAUCUAGUCGACUCUUAGUUCUCGAACAUAUCUAGAAACAUACAAGAGUCUAUUAUGAAGUUUAGGUCUCAACAGCAAAUCUUGAUCUGAGAAGUCUAUAGACAUGUAGUAAGGAGCACUCUCAUAUGUAGCAGCCAGUGCACUCAAACUUGAUGCUAUUGAAUUUAACAAUGCAUAAAUAAUGAUUGUUUUGGUCUCCUAAGGAAGUGAUUACAGAUCCUCCACAUUUAAUCUCGAUUGGUCUUUUUGACACUUCCUCCUCUUCUAAUGAUCUUAGAGGGAUUCUUUCUUCCUUAGUCAUCAUGCUUCCAGUGCAUCUGGUGCUAUAGAAGCGGUUGAGGAACUCAUUUUCCAGUUGUUUCCAACUGUCAAUGCUUUCUAGCUCCAUAUCAGUAUACCACUCAAAAGCAUUUCCUUUCAAGCUUUGAACUAACUAGUUGAUCUUCUCUUUAUCCUAUGUUCUCACAUGUUUCGACGAAGUAGGCGAUGUGUUGUGUUGGGUUGCCCUUUCCAUCAAACUACUGAAAUUUUGGAGGUUGGUACUCAAGAGGCAUUCUCAAAUUAUCAAUUCCUUUUGUGUACAACUUAGAGUACAUAAAAGAAGUCUGAGAUGAGCCUUCAUACUGAUCUUUAAUGGAGUACAUGAUCAUAUCUUGUAAUUGCUAAACUGAGACAGAAGCCACAGAAGCUAAUUGUUGUUGUAGUUGAUUUUCUUGCACCACAGACACUUUGUCACCAGCUUUGACAACAAGAGUUUGACUCGAUUCAGCAGUUUCACGAGUCUGCAUCCACUCUCUUAAGCAGUGAUUUCGUGGUCUCGUUCAUCAACAGUCGUCAUCAGUAGAUUAAUUUUUCUCUCCAUUUUCAUCAUAAUAGCCUCGGUCAUUACUUCAGCCAUCAUGAUAGACAUCACAUCAGGGUAUGCUUCUCUUUUUUACUUGCUAGAGGCAGAAUCAGAGUCAUCAUACAAAAGAUUUUCCUCGAUGACAACCCCAACCUUAGAAGACUCCAUUAAUUGCUUAAGGAUGCUCUGCGUGAUGGCAUAACCUUGAUCUUGCUAUUGGAUAAUCCCCUUAGAACGAUUGCGGGUGACAGGUCCCAUAUAAAUGUCGCUUGCAACAAAAGAUUUGGAUGCAGCUUUCUUUAAUGCCAUUAGUUGGUUUGUUGAUUUGAGUUUUUAGAGAGAGAUGAGAGGCAGAGAGGUUCCACUAGGCGUGCCAAUUUGUUUGCACAAGAUUUCAGGAGAAAUUUGAUUCGUCGUGUUGAACUUGAGUUGAUGUUGUAUUUUUGUUGAUUUGAUGCUGUGUAGUUCUAUCUCUAGAAUUUGAUCCUCUGAUUCUCUCUUGAUUAAAUGUUUAUGCUUGAUUUGAGGAAGUGAAGCAUGUAAUGCUCUUGAAGUUGAAGUCUGGGAAGAAGUUUUGUUUCUUCUAAGCAGCUUCAAUCUUCGAGAAAAAAUUGAGUCUUAGAAGAAAGCUUGUAUCUUUAAAGAAGCUUCAAGGCGAUUGGCUUAAUCUUCAAGAGUAAUUGGCUUUUGGAGUUGGGGAGUCUUCUAGCUCUUGGGAGAAUUCUCUCUAGACCUUCUCGAGUAAAAAAAAUUCAACCUUUACAAAUUAGAGCUCCUCUAUUUAUAGAGUUUCCUAGUGCGCUUAAGUCUGGUUGGUCCAUGGACUAGACCCAUGGGCCACAUGUAUUUGGGUCAUAUUUAACUUGAUCCAACGAUUAUGAUGAAAACAUGUGGCAUUAUCAGAAUAAGUCCAAAUUAAAAAUAUCUCCUAACACUACAAGAAAAUGAGACUUUUCCAACAUACAAAAUGGUCGAAAGAUAUAUGAAAAGCGUCGGAAAAGGUUUUCCCAAUGCAUAAAUAUACUUUUAGGAUACACUAGUUCUAACAAAUAAAUAUAAUAAUUAAAAUUAAAUGUCCUAAACAAAUGAGCAAUAUCUAAAAUAGAAAAAUAAAUAACCAACAAGAAUGAAACUAAAAGACACGUGUUUUCUAUUCCUUGGAGGUGAUGUAGAAAAAUUGAUUUAUGGACAACCAUUUUUUCUUAAAUCAGCUCAAAUUUACUCAGAACACUCUCCAUAUAAUAAAUGAUCAAGGAAAAAAAGUUAUAAUAUAUCCAGAAAUCAAAGAAGAAAAAUUCAAAAUAUUUAAAAAAAAUAGAAAAACCUGGGCAGAAAAAUCGAUGAGAUCGAAUAUGGGGUAAUGUAUUAAUCCAAGAGGAUGACCAAUAGAUCGUUGGUCAGAGAGUAGAAUAAUAUUACUAUGCCACAAUCAAAGAGCCUUUGGCACAAUCGAAGAAGUUAUCUACAAUUCUAAAAACACAAUAACAAUGGAACUAAAUCAAAGAAUUUCACGUUAAGAAAAAAGGAAACAACAUGAAAGAGAGAAACAAGAAAGGAAUAUUUGAAUAAUCAAAUAGAUACGAAAGUAAAAAUUUGCAUAACAAACUCCAAAUUUUAAAACAAUCCCUAGAAAUUUGCAAGCUAAAAGAAUAAAUCUAAAUUAAAAAAGUCUCAUAAUACAGUACAACAAAUGAACCAAAAAUAAAAAGUCAAAAUUUUAAAACAAUCCAUAAUGCAAAAUACAAAUUAAAAGAUAAUAAAUCCAAAUUAAAAGAACAUCACAAAAAAACCAAAAAGAAGAAAUUCAAAACAAUCCACAUAAUACAAAGUGCAAGGAAGUUAAAAGUUGUAAAUCUAAAUUGAAUAUAUCUAAAAAAGUUGCACAACAAAGGACGAAAAAAGAGAAGAAGAUGCUUAAAAUUUCAAAACAAUUGAUAAUACAAACAAGCUACAAAAUAAUAAAUCUCAAUUAAAAAAUAUCUCAUUUGUCGUUGCAUAACAAAGGUCUAAAAACGAAAAAAAACGAAAAAAAAACUCAAAAUUUCAAAACACUACAAUAAUUACGGUCUUCUCCAACUCACAACUUCACCGAAAACCCUAAAUUGUGUGGCAGAAGCUACCACGACAUCACGACGUCGACAACCACAUCGCGAAAAGCGCAUCAAGGAUCCUUUCUGCAACGCAUCUCGACACAACGUCGAGAAAAGUUUCCCUGCGUAUGGCCCAUUACGUUGCAUAAGGCAUCCGUGACGUCUGCAUCGCUAUAGGAUUUUGCAAUGCGGAUGUCAAGAAGGAUUUUGCGACGCCGCGUAAGGUUGUUUUUUUUAUAAUAAUUUUAUUAUCAUUAUUUACGCAUUAGUAAAACCCAAUGUAAUAAAAUUUCUAAUAAACUGAUUAAAAUGAAAAUAUUACAUAAAACAUAAAAUGCAAUGGACGCCAAACCUGCAAAUAACAUGAAAGCAUUGUUAAUUAGAAUAUCACAUAUGAAAAGUUAAACAAAUUAAAUAUUGAAAAGUGCGUACCCAAGUGAUCAAGGGCCUCUCUGUGCCCGACUCAUCUCCUCGAGCAUCUUCUUCAUCUCUUCCAUCUGUCGUGCAUGCUCCGUCAUUUGCCAAUCUCGUUCUGUCAUUUGCCGAUCUUGCUCUUCUUCCCUCAAGCGUUGUUCUUGGAGCAUUCGGUUAGCGUUGUCAAGGCUCGCUCUGAGUUCGCUAACCUCUGCUAUGUGGGCUUGGUAGUCAUACACACUAGAGGAAAACGAUGAAUACUUGUUGAUCCAACCAUUGAGAACCUUGACGUGCAUCAUUUUAACCAAAAAUUUUAGUGACAAAAAUUCUGAACACCUGGUGUAGCUCACAACUUGCUUGAUUUAAUAACUUCUUAAAUACGUUGUUUGUUCUGUCUUCUUCUAAAUCUAAUUCUUUCUCUCUCUCUUCUACUUGUUCAAUACCAGCUUAUAAAUCAUACAACAUAUUUAACAUUUCAUUUGCUUCAUUAACUGGGUUGAUGCUUGUUCUUUCAUCAACUAUUGGGUAACUACUACUCAUUCAUUAAAUCUUUGUAUACCUAUGUUCAAGGCUAAUAUCUCUCCAUAAUACACCCAGUCUAUACAAGACGAGACUAUUCUCGUGGUUAAUAGAUGUCGCUUCACACCCUAUAAAGAGUCUCAGUUUGAAUUCAUACAUUUCUUGGAUGGACAUCUUAUUUUUCCAAAAUUAUUUUGUGAUGUUUUACAACCUCUAAAAGUUGAAAAACUCCUUGUUUGUAAUCAACAGAAAAUUUAUCCCUAAUUUUCAUCCAACUCUAUCUCGUUAAAAUGCCUAACAAAUAAAUAUGUUAUAUUAGUUUUAUACAUACUCCAUUUUAAUUACGUUAAUUAAUCGUUUUUAAAAUUUAAAUGCAAUUUGAAAAUGAUAUUCAAAUGCAUUUUGAGUAUAAAAUUCAUAUUCAAUAUCAAAUUCAAUAAACACGUCUUAGCUUUAUCUCAAAUUUACUAAACCCUAAACCCUAAAAAAAUAUACAUAUCCACUAAACUAUACAUACAUAUACAUUGCACAUUACACAUUAAAUAUACAUAUCACAAAUACAUAUAUAUACAUCAUCAACAUAUACACAUAACACAUACACAAUAAACAUAUACAUAUACAUACAUAUACAUAUACAUCUACAUACACAUACAUAUACAUACACAAUAAACAUAUACAUAUACAUAUACAUAUACAUAUACAUAUACAUCUACGUACACUGUAACGACCCAACUUUUCUAAGUAAGUCGAGAUCGUUAAUUUUUAACAAAUAAAGACUUUGAUUAAUAUAAAACAAAACGUAAGCAAUUUAAAAAAAAAACAUCUUCAAGUCAGGCCUGAUUUUUAAACAUUCAAGAAAACAUAAAAUAAUACUAUUUACAACAAACGUUUGUAAACUAAAUUUCAAUUCAUUUUAAACCUCACAAGAACCCAUAAGCGGAAGCAAAAACACGUUUCCUAUGGCAUCACGCUUCCUUCCUGCCCCUCGCCGGUUUGCCGCCUUUAUUACCUUUGCCUGAAAAUUAAACAUAAGAAGGGUGAGUACUUAAAUACUCAGUAAGAGACCCUCUACUGGUCCCGUCAGAGGAAAAUAAAUUGUUAACGUUCUAUUGGGACACCCUGUACAGUCGCAGUCUUGUGAUCCCGUAGGAUACACAUCUCAGUCUAACGCCCCGAGGGACGUACAUAUCAGUCUAGUGUUCUGCAGAAACACAUAUCAGUCUAAUGCUCCCGAAGGUGCACAAUAAAUUGGUGAUCCCGUGGGACACCUACAAGGAAAACAUCCCAAUACAAUCUAACAAUUUUCCCCUCAUUCCAUUCAAUCCAUCUUUCAAUUACUUCAAGACACAAAGUUCUUUCUUUCAACGUCUUAACAGUCAACUUAUUUUACUUCAGUCAUAUGUCUGUCAAUAAUAUGCUAAUACAUCAGUCAAUCAAACUAUACAGUCAACACACCCCUCAGUUCAUCAGCACACAGUCAUACUUUAACGUAACGUACACCCAAUCUAAACGAAAAUCACAAGAUUCACAUCUGCAUCUCAUACAAACACAAUCUACAAUCUUCGUCCUAUCCACAUACACAUACUUAUAUAUAUAUUCCAUGACAAUCACGAUAUACAUUCGACGUCAAGUCUACUUCAAUUCAUAUGCAUUCAUAUAUAUUUUCAGUCAAUCCACAGUAUACAUUUAACACAUACAAUCCACAGUCAUAAGUGAGUCCAGUAGAAAAUCCCUUACUUUCAAGUUAGUUAAGCUCCUUAACCACGUUGAAGUCUAUGAAGAACGAACCUAUAAACAUUAAGACAAUUUUUCAAUAAUUCUCUUCAACGCAUCAAUCAUUUAAAUUCAACCCAAUCUGAAUCUUUUUACAACUUACCCAAAUCUUCGCGAAAGAAAUCGAGCAGUAGCUUUGCGAAGAGACGACGUGCGACGGAGAGACCGUAUAUAGACGGCCGGAGAUUCGCGCGGCAGUGCAGACAACGGAGGAGAAGGGAUCGGCGGCGGCUGGCUUGGACGGCGGUUGUGAGCGGCGGACGUGGCGGUUACUGGUUCACACGGCGGCUCGGGCUUCGACGAAGACAGAACCGGCGAUGGAGACGGCAGAUCGGCGCGCGGGACGACUGCUGCAAGGUUGCUUCGCGAACCGGAGAUGGAGACGGCAGAUCGCGGGCUGCGGCGGGAAGAAAACGGAAGAGAAAAGCGGUUGGCUGCGGCGGGAAGAAAACGGAAGAGAAAGGCGGCUGGCUGCGGCGGAAGAAGAAGAGGAAUGGAGGUCGGCGGUUACUGGGCUGCAGACGGAGAGAAGGGGAAGGGCGCACGGGGAGGAAGGAGAAGAGAAAAGAAAAGAAAAAGAAAAGAAAAAGAAAAAAAAAAUAUAUAAAUUAAACAAUUUUCUUUUUCUUUUCUUUUUUUUAUUUAAAUUAAUAUUAAAUAAAAGUAUAUAAAAUAUAUAUAUUUUUACCUUUGGAUCUUUACAUACACAUACAUAUACAUACACAUACACAUAACACAUACACAAUAAACAUAUACAUAUACACAUACACAUACAUAUACAUAUACAUAUACAUACACAUAACACAUACACAAUAUACAUAUACAUAUAUACAUACACAUACAUAUACAUAUACAUAUACAUACACAUAACACAUACACAAUAUACAUAUACAUAUACACAUACACAUACAUAUACAUAUACAUACACAUACACAUACAUAUACAUACACAUACACAUACAUAUACAUACACAUACACAUUAAGUGUACACAUAACAUACACACAUAAUUAAUUAAUGCUUACACAAAAAAAUAUAAUAACCCUACAUAUACAUAUGCAUACACCAUAGAUUACACUAACACAUAUACAUAUAAUAUAAAUUAUACAUAACACAUAUAGAUAUAAUUAUACAUUACACAUAACACAUAUGCAUACACCUUAAAUUAUACUAACACAUAUACAUAUAAUUAUAAAUUACACAUAACACAUAAACGUAAUUAUAAAUUACACAUAUGCAUAUGCAUACGCUCGCCUUAUAUUAUACUAACACAUAUACAUAUAAUUAUAAAUUACACAUAACACAUAUACAUAUAAUUAUACUAAUAUAUACAUUAAAUAUACACAUACACAUAAUUAAAAUGCAAACAAAACGACAUCAACAUGUUCGAGAGGGAUAAAACUCCUUCUUUGUAAUCAACAGAAAAUUUAUCCCUAAUUUUCAUCAAACUCUUGUUCAUCUCGUUAAAAGGCCUAACAAAUAAAUAUGUUAUAUUAGUUUUAUACAUACUCCAUUUUAAUUACGUUAAUUAACCGUUUUUAAAAUUUAAAUGCAAUUUGAAAAUGAUAUUCAAAUGCAAUUUGAAAAUGAUAUUCAAAUGCAUUUUGAGUAUGAAAUUCAUAUUCAAUAUCAAAUUCAAUAUUGAAUUCGAUAAACACGUCUUAGCUUUAUCUCAAAUUUACUAAACCCUAAACCUUAAAAAAGGGAAGACAUGGGGUUCGGUUUCCAAGGAUUUUUAUUAGUGACGUUAGAUUAUGAGGAGAUUUAAGGGUUACGACACAAUUGGCAGAAUGUUUUCGUGGAAUUUUCGAAGAAAGAACCUUUGCUUUCAUCGGCGAUUCAUGAAACUCCUCGAUUCCUUCAACUUAUACCAAGAACAAAUAAGGAAAUAUCAAAAUCAACAAAAUCACAAAAUUAAACCACAGAAUCAAUAAACGAAGCAUGUACUCCAGAUCUAUCGUCGAACAAACACUCUUAUCGUACAAACACUCCUCGAUUCCUUCAGCCUAUACAAAGAGCAAACAAUCCAAAAUCAGAAAACAAAUCUUGAUGAAACAAUCCAAAAUAAAAAAUGGAACACUACAGGAAAGAAGAUACUCACGGAUUGAAGAUCGAGCAGCAAGAGCGUCGAAAGGGCUUGGAGCUCUCUCUUCUACAAUGUAUGGAAAUCCAUGGCGAAAGCAAAUCCACGGCGAAAAGAAGAUAAAAUAUUUGUUUGGAUUGAAGAAAUUUUUUUCAAUCUAAACAAAAUUUUUGAGGUUCCAUAAAAAAAGCGAUUCAUCCAAUUUGAGAAGUGGAUGAGGGGUUUUAAAGGAUGCUCCUCAGAAAUAUGACCGUUGAUAGAGUGAAUUUUGAAUUUAAGAAUGAUGGGCUAAGCCAACCUGUCAAUGGGACUUCGUUUUACUUACACACUUCGGGAUCCUUCUUUUUCUUUUUUUUUUCUUUUUUCCGACUGAAGAUUAAUAAACAUGAUAUAUUUUUAAUUUUUAGGUUUAACAUUUUUAAAUAUUAUAAUAUAAGAAAUUGCAUUGCAUAGCAAAUUAUUGAUCAAAUAUUUUUAAAUAUUAGGAACUGUUACUGAUCAAAUGUGAAAUUAAAUAAUUAUCAAAACAACCAAAUUUUCUAAUGUUUUUUGUUUUCGUUUUCACGUUAAAAUCAUUUCCAACCAUUUUUUUCAUUUUUUAAAUACAUAUCAUCAAAUUAAAUGAAUACAGAAUAAAAAAAAUUUAAAACUUUACUAAUGUAACGAUAUAGAAAAAAUAUUUUGCAAAAAAGGCAUGUUAACUAAAAAGAGUUUGGAAAAGGUAUUGCAAAUAAGCUUUUGGAAAAAUAGAGAAGAAAAAGCUUUUGAAAUAAAAAAGAGAAAAAUGUUUGAGAAAAGAUUUUGAAAAAAACCAGAUUGAAGUGCUAAAAGUUUUAAGAAAAUGUUUUUAAUAUUUUUAAAAGAUAAAAAAAUACUUGAGAAAAUAUUUUGAAAAAAAAUAGAGGGAAAAUAGUUUAAGAAAAUGUUUUAAAAACUUUUCUGAUGUGGACUAGUGAUUUUAAGAGGAAAAAAUUGUGUAUAAUUGAUUUUUAAGUAAAUCAAACUGUUUGUUUGGUUCCAAAAUUUAAAUUUUUAAAAUUGAUUCUCACUAUGUAUGUAUGUUUGUAUUAAUGUUACUUAAUUAUAUAGAAUAUGUUGAGAGUGAUGGUAGGGGAGUCACACAUGUAGUGUGUGGCUCAUAAAUCAUGUAGGGCUAUUACAUUGUCUAAUUUUAUCAUUUUGACCUACAUAGAGUCUUGGAUGCUCAAUUAAGAUUCCAAGAGUCUUGGAUGCUCAAUUAAGAUUUGAAGAGUCUUGGAUGUUCAAUUAAAAUUCGAAAAGUUCAAAAUUAACCUUGAAUUGUUUAGAACACUCUAAAAAUACAUGAUGUGCUCGAAUGUCUAUAAAUAUAAACAUUUAACGUCAUUAAUCAUCCUAAAAUACAAAUAUCGAUAAUGAAAGUUAAAAUUUCAAUUUCAAAUAAUAUAAAUAUAUACCUUCCAAAAUUUGAAAUAAUAAGUAAUGUAUAUAGAAAUACGUAUUAUAAAAUAACAAAUAAACAUGCAUAUUCAAACGAUUUAAAAGGAGUAAAUAUUACAUAAAUGAAAAUUUAAAAUUCAAAUACCAUUCAACUAUAUAAAAUUUAGGAAAUAGUCAAUAAUUGUGAAGCCCCAAACGUAAAUAUAUAUAUAUAUAUAUAUAUAUAUAUAUAUAUAUAUAUAUAUAUAUUUUAUGUAUUUGUUUUAUUAAAAUAGAAAAUUUCUUUAUUAUAUAUAUAUAUAUAUAUAUAUAUUUUUUUUUUUCUCUCUUCUUCUUCCUCCGUGCGCCGCGACCCCCACAGUUUCCUUCCCCUUCUCUCCGUUCGCGCAGCAACCGCCGCCGGCCAUCUCCAUCUUCUCUUCUCCUCUCCGCUCCGACCAAACCCAGCCUCACCGCCGCGUCUCCCCACCUGAAGCCAAACGCCCGAUCUGCCGUCUCCAUCUCCGUUCACGAAGCAAGACCGCGCCGUUGCUCUUCCGCCGCUGCCCGGUCCAGAUCUGCGUCGCCGUGCCCAGCCUCACCGCCGCUGCAACCGUUUCCGCGUCCCUGCUCUGUCUCCGUCGAAGUCAAAGCCGCCGCGUGAACCAGUAACCGCCACGUCCUCCGCUCACAACCGCCGUCCAAGCCAGCCGCCGCCCAUUCCUCUCCUUUCUCCUCUGUUUUCAGCCAGCCGCCGCCGAUCCCUUCUCCUCCGUUGUCUGCCCUACCGCGCGACUCUCCGUCCGUCUGUAUACGGUCUCUCCGUCGCACGUCGUCUCUUUGCAAAGCUACUGCUCGAUUUCUUUCGCGAAGAUUUGGGUAAGUUGUAAAAAAAAAUUCACAUUGGGUUGAAUUUAAAUGAUUGAUGCGUUGAAGGGAAUUAUUGAGAAAUUGUCUUAAUGUUUAGGUUCGUUCUUCAUAGACUUCAACGUGGUUAAGGAGCUUAACUAACUUGAAAGUAAGGGAUUUUCUACUGUACUCAAUUAUGUAUGUGUUGAAUGUAUACUGUGCAUUGAUUGAAAAUAUAUAUGAAUGCAUAUGAAUUGAAUUGAAGUAGACUUAAUGUUGAAUGCAUAUUGUGAUUGUCAUGGAAUAUAUAUAUAAGUGUGUGUACGUGGACAGGACGAAAAAUUGUAGAUUGUGUUUGUAUGAGAUGCAGAUGUGAACUUGUGAUUCUCGUUUAGAUUGUGUGUACAGAUUGUGUGUACGCUAAAGUAUGACUGUAUGCUGGUGAACUGAGGGGUGUAUUGACUGUAUAGUUUGAUUGACUGACGUAUUAGUAUAUUAUUGACAGACAUAUGACUAAAGUGAGAUAAGUUGACUGUUAGGACGUUGAGAGAGAGAACUUUAUGUUUUGAAGUAACUGAAAGAUGGAUUGAAUGGAAUGAGGGGAAAAUUGUUAGUUUGUAUUGGGAUGUGUACCUUGUAGGUGUCGUCCCACGGGAUCACCAAUUUAUUUUGCACCUUCGGAAGCAUUAGACUGACAUGUGUUUCUGCAGAACACUAGACUGAUAUGUACGUCCCUCGGGGCGUUAGAAUGAGAUGUGUAUCCUACGGGAUCACAAGACUGCGACUGUACAGGGUGUCCCAAUAGAACGUUAACAAUUUAUUUUAUCCUGACGGGACCAGUAGAGGUUACUGAGUAUUUAAAUACUCACCCUUCUUAUGUUUAAUUUUCAGGCAAAGGUAAUAAAGGCGGCAAACCGACGAGGGGCAGGAAGGAAGCGUGAUUGCCAUAAGAAACGUGUAUUUGCUUCCGCUUAUGGGUUCUUGUGAGGUUUAAGAUGAAUUGAAAUUUAGUUUACAAACGUUUAUUGUAAAUAGUAUUAUUUUUAUGUUUUCUUGAAUGUUUGAAAAUCGGGUCUGACUUAAAAGUUGUUUUUAAAUUAGCUUACGUUUUGUUUUAUAUUAAUCAAAGUUUUUCUUAUUUGUUAAAAAUUAAUGACAUCGACUUACUUAGAAAAGUUGGGUCGUUACAAUAAUGCACCAUGUUGAUUUCAUUGAGGAACGAAUGAAUAAAUGCUUUAAAAAAACCACAAAAAAAACUAUACCUUGAAC